UAAAGUCCUUGGGCAUAUCAGUAACAAUAAUUAAUAGGAAAUCUAUCAUGACAUGAAUGUUUCGAGCCCCUGAAGUGCUUGCGGUAAUAACAGUUACCAUGUGCUCUUGUAGAUGAAUCAGAUAUUCUCUCAGAACUUCCGGAGGGGUUUCCAGGAGCUGUUUAAUGAAGCAUCCAACUUCUGCUGAUGGUGAAGCUUUCAAAUUUGUAUAACAUAUGUGCAUCUCCUCCAAUUCAACUGGAAUAAUCUUCAUGAGUAGAUGUGCUAGCUUGAAGAGUCGAGAGUCUCCAUCAAGUCGAUCAUCCCAAUGGAAGAGUCCAACUCUCUCAGCCAUGAGUUGAAACUGAGGUAAGACACAUUGAACAAUCUUGUUCUCAACGCAACCAUUCACUAUCAACCCAUGGGAAUCUUUCAUGUUGCCAUACACUUUCUGAAGAAUCUCAUACUGAGUCACCAAAGGAAAAAUCUUUUCAGCAAAACACUUGGAUAUAUGAUGAAGAUUCUGGAGUAGGAAGUUCAACUGCUCGUCAGUCAUGGUGGCACUUGAUGUAAAAUGGUAGCACGAGCUAAUGCAAUCAUCGAUAUUAUCCAUGAGGCUAGGAAGAACAUGAUCCAUGUUGUAUUUACGCCCGACGUUAUUUUCAACAUCAUUCAAAAUUGGUCGAAGCAGAUUGUCAACCUCUUGUCAUUUGCCAGUCAUUUUGUCUUCAACUCUUCCAAAUCAGAAUAAGAAAGCUGGACGUAUGUACAAAUAAAUAAAGCACCAAUUUCAACUAUUCAAUUUGAUUGGCAAUGUCGACAGCAUUUUGACCUUCUUCAUUCUUUAACCUCUCAAUGAAAUCCAGAAUGUUGACAACGUCUUUGCGAAGAGCAGAAAAUGACACCUGCCAAAUGAUCAAAACCAAUGUAUUAUUUAUUUUCUAUAUUCAUCAAUAUAUCAAGGAAAUAAUCAAAUCCAUUGAUUUGUAGUCUUUUAUUGAAUUUCAUAUCAGGAAGGAAAACUUUAUGCAUUGGUUUAUACAAUUGUGAGGUUUAUCAACAGUUUUGUGCUUAAAGUUUUACUAUUACUUAUGGAAUACAUUUUUAUUGCAGCUGGAUUUUUGAAAAGAAAUUAAAAUAAUUGUUGACCUAUUAUUUUCGUACACCCGAAAAUUUGACUUUCCGUUGAAUUAUACUUUUUGGUAAUUACUCCCUCUAUCCCAAUUUCUAGGGCGACGGGGCCGGAUGAGAUACCGGUGGAAUUUUGGAAGUUCGUUGGAGAGGCUGGUGUAAGGUGGUUGACUGCAUUGUUCAAUGAAAUUUUCAGGACGGCAAAGAUGCCCGAGGCGUGGAGGUGGAGUACCAUGAUCCCCCUCUAUAAGAAUAAGGGGGACAUUCAGUGUUGCAAUAACUAUAGGGGGAUUAAGUUACUGAGUCACUCUAUGAAGAUAUGGGAGAGAGUGGUCGAGGUGAGGCUGAGACGGAUAGUGUCUAUUUCGGAAAACCAGUUCGGAUUUAUGCCCGGCCGCUCGACGACGGAGGCAAUCCACCUGGUACGGAGGUUGGUGGAGCAGUAUAGGGAGAGGAAGAAGGAUCUGCACAUGGUGUUCAUCGACCUGGAAAAGGCGUACGACAAAGUCCCCAGGGAAGUGCUUUGGAGAUGCCUGGAGGUGAGUGGAGUACCGCAGGCAUAUAUCAGAGUAAUUAAGGAUAUGUAUGAGGGAGCGAAAACCCAGGUGAGGACGGCGGGAGGAGACUCAGAGCAUUUCACUGUCCUGACAGGAUUGCAUCAGGGAUCUACUCUUAGUCCCUUUUUGUUUGCGUUAGUAAUGGAUGUGUUGACGCGGCGUAUCCAAGGGGAGGUGCCGUGGUGUAUGCUUUUUGCAGACGAUGUAGUCCUGAUAGAUGAGACUCGAGGGGGUGUGAAUGACAAAUUAGAGUUGUGGAGGCAAACUCUGGAGUCUAAAGGGUUCAGGGUGAGCAGAACCAAGACAGAGUAUGUGGAAUGUAAGUUUAAUGACGUGAGGCGGGAGAAUGAGGUAGUAGUGAGGCUAGAAGCACAGGAGGUAGGGAAGAGGGAUAAGUUCAAGUAUCUCGGGUCCGUGAUCCAGAGUAACGGUGAGAUUGACGAGGAUGUCUCGCACCGUAUUGGGGCGGGAUGGAUGAAGUGGAAACUCGCAUCGGGGGUGCUGUGUGAUAAGAAGGUGCCGCCCAAGCUUAAAGGCAAAUUCUAUAGGGUGGUAGUCCGUCCGGCCUUGCUGUAUGGAGCGGAGUGUUGGCCAGUUAAGAACUCCCACAUCCAAAAAAUGAAGGUGGCAGAAAUGCGGAUGUUGCGCUGGAUGUGUGGACUGACCCGAGGGGAUAGAGUUCGGAAUGAGACUAUCCGGGAGAAGGUUGGUGUGACUUCAGUGGAGUGUAAGAUGCGGGAAGCACGAUUGAGAUGGUUCGGACACGUGAAGAGGAGGGGCACGGAUGCCCCGGUCCGUAGGUGUGAGAGGCUAGCGUUGGAUGGUUUUAGACGGGGUAGGGGUAGACCGAAGAAGUACUGGGGUGAGGUGAUUAGGCGGGACAUGGAACAGUUACAGCUCACCGAGGACAUGACCCUAGAUAGGAAGGUCUGGAAGACGCGAAUUACGGCAGAGGAUUAGGGCCAGUGCGGGUCGCUAGUGCAGGGAAUUAAUUGGUGGGGGUGUAUGCCUGUUAUGAUUCUGUAUUCAGUGUUUCGUGUUCCGUGUUCCAUGUUUAUUACGAAUAUGUGUGCUUUCCUCUGCUUUAUAUUCCUGCAUUCCCGCUUUACUCUGUUUUAUAUUCCCAAUGGGUGCCGUAUUUAUGUUAUGUCAUCUGCUUCUGUGCUGUACUAUGUGUUGUGUGAUAUCUCGUGACUUGAGCCGGGGGUCUUUCGGAAACAGCCUUUCUACUUCAUCAGAGGUAGAGGUAUGGACUGCGUACAUCUUACCCCCCCAGACCCCACUAAGUGGGAAUACACUGGGUUUGUUGUUGUUGUUAUUAAUACAGAACACAACUUGGACAAUGGACUGCGUACAUCUUACCCCUCCCCAGACCCCACUAAGUGGGAAUACACUGGGUUUGUUGUUGUUGUUGUUGUUGUUGCUUUCCUUUUUAGUCAGUCCCAAAAAGAAUGACAUGUUUCUAUAUAAGACAAAAUUGAAAGAAAGGUGUGUUUUAAGUAUUGAAUGAAGGAUUGGUGACAUUGACCAACUUAAAGGGUCAAACAUCAUUAGUAAACUUGAUUAAGUUAAUUGUGGACUUGAUUAAAAUUUUCAAAACUUUCUAAUCUUUUCAAAAAUACAAAUCAACCCAACACACACCCUUCUUCAAUCCAAAUCAACCACUCUCUCUCCUCUCUCUCUCGAUAGCUUCUCUAAACUCUCUCUCCCAACCAACAGUUCUACAAAUUUCUCCUUUCAAUCCUCGGAGACUUCAACCUCCGAUGAUAAAUAUUUGGGCUUCAGGUUUCUUUUCGACUUCAACCUUCAAUCGACCUGACAACCUUUCUCUCCGGCCACAACAGCUUCGAAUUCUUCAACCUUCAAUCAACGUGACAGCCUUGAUCUCCAGCCACAACAGCUUUGAAUUCUUUAUCGUUCCUUUUCGUCUUUCACAGGUAAAAAUUUAUAGCCUUUUUAGUUUUAAAGAAAACGAGGAACUUGAGCCAACUUCUCUUAUAGUUUUGGUUAACAAUUUCAAUAUUUGUUGCUUUAAUUGAAAUACAGUCUGAAUAAAACCCUAAUUUCUGGUAUUUUUUCUCUUCUCUUUUCGAAGUGAAUUAUGAUUUUUUGUUGUUUGUUGCAUUUUUUUGAAGUUUGAUUUUUGUUGUUUGUGUUUAUACAAACAAAACGAUGAUUUGGGUUGAUUUGUUUUGUUCUUGUACUUGGUAAAAAUGGUAAUAUUGCUAUUUUUCUGUUGAACAAAAUCAUGCUACUCUUUUUUGUUCUUUCCAAUAGAUUAUCCAUCUGGUGAAACAUAUUAACCAUCUGAUGCAACAGAUUUAUCAUAUGAUGUAACAAAUCAACCAUCUGAUGCAAUAGAGGAACCAUCAGAUUAAAAUUCUAAUGCAAUACAUUAAUCAUCUGAUGCAGCAGAGGAACCAUCGGAUAAAAAUCUAAUGCAACAGAUUUAGCAUGUGAUGCAACAGUUUAACUAUCUGAUCCAACAAAUUAACCAUAUGUUGCAACACAUUAACCAUCAGAUAAAAAAUGAGGAACCAUCGAAUUAGUGAUCUGAUGCAAUAGAUGAACCUCCUAUUGGAUAAAAUCCUAUCAACUUUUCCUACAAAACAUGUCAAAGACUUGAUUGUUUCAACUGAUCAUUCAUUUACCGCGAUAAACGACCCUUCUGUUGGAAGAAAUAUAAAUAAUAUUGAUCAUUGAUAGUUGUUCUAAGAGUUCACUCAUGUGUUACAUCAGAUGUGUGACCUGUUGCACAGACCAUUCAUCAUCCUCAACAGAUAAGUGAUAUGUUUUGUAUUAUCACAAUAGAUUACUCAGUUGUUGUUGCAGGUUAGUUAACUGUUCUAACAGAUCACUCAUAUGCUGCAACAGAUAUGUGAUAUGUUGCAUAGACCAUUCAUCUUUCUCAACAGAUGAGUGAUAUAUUAUGUAUUAUCGCAAUAGAUUACUCAGCCGAUGCUACAGGUUAUUUAACUGUUCCAACAGAUCACUCAUAUGUUGCAAUAGAUAAUGUUGCAACAAUGUGUGAUCUGUUGCAUAGACCAUUCAUUUUUAACAGCAGAUGAGUGAUAUAUUUUGUAUUAUUAUAACAGAUUACUCAUCCACUGCAACAGGUUGGUUAUAUAUUGCAACAGAUAUACUACCUGGUGCAAUAAAUCAGUGAUCUGUUGGAACUGUUAUUUUACUAUUUUGCUUAUUUGAUUUACUGUUAUCCCUUUUUAACGAUGCAUUAAUCAACUAUAAUAUAUUUUUUUAUGUUCCUGUUAAUUUUAGAUAAUAUGGUUCCCAAAAGAACAGAAACCGAAUCAAGUCCAAGUAAAGGAACAAGUAAAGCAGCUAGGCUAUAACCACCACUCUAUGAGCUAGCUUUACAAGCAUUAUCUCAAUUGGGAGAAGAAUAUUAUGAACAUGGGAAGGAGGAAUGUUUCAAAAGAGAUGAUCCAAAUGUUAAUAGCCCUUCCACCGAAGAGAUGGUCAAAACCUUCAGCAUUGAUCGUUAUCCUAUGAGAAUGCAAUACGAUUGUGCCACAGAUUUAAUGGGUCGUGGUUAAGUCAGCCAUGGGAAAAUAUUUUGACACCUUCAGAAAAAUACUUCAGGAAUAAAAAUUGAAUGGUUAUUUCAGGGACAGCUUCUUUAGGAAAUAUUUUGAUUUGCCGGAGGACAACAAUGCUCGUUUCUAAAUGAAAAUGGUCUAUGAACUUCUCAAGCGUAGAUUUAUGUUUGAAAAUAAAGAUAUGAUGGAUGAGGUGUGGAUAAAUUACUGUGGAAUGCCUGUUUGUUUUUGUUGGAAGGAGUUUGUCAUAGUUACUGGACUAAAAUAUUAUCCUCCUUCUCAAGUUAUACCUAUUCUAACCAAAAAAAAACAUCCUAUACACCCAAAAAUGGCAAAGGCAAGUCGUGUGAUCGUGAUGACCUGGUGUCCAUUGUUGGUCUAAGCAUCAAAAACAAAAAAUUGAUAGAAGCGUUGAAAGGUAAAGGACUUUAAAAGAAGCACAAACAGUUAUAAUUGUGCUUGAUUUUGUUUGUACAUAAUAUUCUUUGGGUGAGAGACUUAACAACAACAUAAGCGUUGGUUUAAUAAAGCUCUCCGAGGAUCUUGAGGCAUUUAACAGCUAUCCUUGGGGUUAUGAAAGAUUUAAAAUGACUGUCAAAUAUUUGUUAAUUUCGUUAGCGCCAAAGACAGUCAACUUGUAUGGCUUUUCAUAGGUUUUCAUAGUAAAUGUUUCAUUCUUUUAUUAUGAUAUCAUUCAAUUUUUUUACUUAAUGAUGGUUUUGAUUUAUUGGCAUUAUUUUAUAGUCUUGGGCGUUUGAAGCCAUUCAUUAUUUGAGACAACAAGUGAACUACCAGGAAGAAGUUUUCUGUCCAAGAAUCUUUAGAUAGUUGUCAGCCAAAACUGAUAAAAAUGCAAAAAAAUUUUAUCUCUUCAUCCCCAUGAACGAUGCAGUAAGUAUAAUUAUAAUUAAGUUUUUAUUUUAAUUAAUGAUUUUUUUGAAUGAUCUAAUCAUCAUUCUAAUAUAUGUAAUGAUUUAUGUUAGAUUGUGCAUCCGUCGCUAGUUUUGAUCAAUUGAGAGUUGAAGAUACCAUUUUUUCUUACUUUACGGUCUGUGCAAACUUUAUUGGAUCCUAAGGUCAUCGACAGAAUAAAAAUAGAAUUAUUUAGAGCAACAGCCAUUACAAGAAAACAAUUUUAGAGGGUGGGCUUGUUGUUAUUCAUGGUCUUAGUGGUGAUGGAGUUGUUGGUGGUGGUAGUGGUGUUGAUGUUGAUGCUGAUGAUGCUCCUCUUACAGUAUUUAAAACAAACCAUUAUGAGUAUGAUCAUACUGGUUAUACAAAUUUUGCCUCUCCCAGCGAAUGUUUUGCAUGCAAAUGUCAAGACUGCAGGGUGAAACAUGAUGUUGUGAUUAAUGUUAUUAAUGCAUUAACUGUUUCUGUAAAGGAAUUGACAUCUAAGAUGUGAUACAAGUGCAAUCAUGUAGAUGAACUUAUGAGGAUGUGUAUUGAAUUCGUCCAUGUGUGUAUGCAAGAGAAGUGGAAUUAAGGGCUUAAAACAUAUCAAAACAGCCACUAAUUCACACUAGAGAGGCACCUAAUCUCUAAGGGACAUUUUGGACUUUUUGCCUUCUAUUUGUAAUACACUAUAUAAGAAACAUUUUAGGGUUACUUAACUUAGUUUUUGGAUAUUGAAUAUUGUAUAACACACUUGAAAAACACAAGUUCUCUCUUCCAUAGAGACUUGGUUGAAACUAGGAAACAACUUACGUGUGGAAUCACUUUUGUUGUUUGUUUGCUUGGAUCGUUGGGUGCUAGACGGAUUGAGGUCCUAUCUUGUGUCCACCGCAUAGUGUAGGUGUUUCUAAUAUCUUUAUCAAGGGUCUUUGUGCUUGAAUACACUUAGGUUCUUGGUUUUUGUAGUAGUGUAUGUCACACUCUCUAUCAUUUCCUUUGUUGUAAUCUUGUAGUCGUGUAGUGUGUUGUUUCUCUUGUAACCCGUACGUUGUUGUUCAUCUUGAUGUUGUUAUCAUAGUUUGUUGUGGGAUAUUUUUAGGUGUUAAACACCACAAUACAUUAUGUUUUUGUUGUAUCCGAGAGUGGUCAUCAAAAGGGUCCACGAUUCUUUCAACUUGUGGACUGAUUUUGGUGUUGUUUGUGUGUUCCUUGUAGAUCUUGUAUCAUUUGGUAUCAGAACAAGGAUUGAUUUUGUUCCAACAAAAUCAAUCUUGGGAUUGUUAGCUUGAAAAUUAAAAAAAAAGAAAAAAAAAAAGAAAAAAGUUGUUGUUCACGUUAUUAGGAUUUUUCAAAAAACUUGAUUUUCGUGUGUUUCUAGUGUUAGAUCCUUGUUCCCUAACAUUAUUAGAGUUUAGAAAUUGAAAAUCCCAACAAAAAAGAAGUGUCAAAUCUUGUGUCCACCGCAUAGUGUAGGUGUUUCUAAUAUCUUUAUCAAGGGUCUUUGUGCUUGAAUACACUUAGGUUCUUGGUUUUUGUAGUAGUGUAUGUCACACUCUCUAUCAUUUCCUUUGUUGUAAUCUUGUAGUCGUGUAGUGUGUUGUUUCUCUUGUAACCCGUACGUUGUUGUUCAUCUUGAUGUUGUUAUCAUAGUUUGUUGUGGGAUAUUUUUAGGUGUUAAACACCACAAUACAUUAUGUUUUUGUUGUAUCCGAGAGUGGUCAUCAAAAGGGUCCACGAUUCUUUCAACUUGUGGACUGAUUUUGGUGUUGUUUGUGUGUUCCUUGUAGAUCUUGUAUCAUUUGGUAUCAGAACAAGGAUUGAUUUUGUUCCAACAAAAUCAAUCUUGGGAUUGUUAGCUUGAAAAUUAAAAAAAAAGAAAAAAAAAAAGAAAAAAGUUGUUGUGCACGUUAUUAGGAUUUUUCAAAAAACUUGAUUUUCGUGUGUUUCUAGUGUUAGAUCCUUGUUCCCUAACAUUAUUAGAGUUUAGAAAUUGAAAAUCCCAACAAAAAAGAAGUGUCAAAAUCAAAAAUCCCAAAAAAAAUACUAAACCUGUUUUUGACCCUAGGUCAAAUUUUGAGUUUUUGAUUUUGUGUUUUUCUUGUGUUUUUAGUGUUAGAUUUGUGAUCUAUAACACUACAGGAGUAUAGGGUUCGAAUUUGAGCUAAAUUGGAGGUAAUUUGAGUAAUCCACCAUUGUUGAGCUUGAGUUUAAAGAAACUUGAAGGGUUAUUUUCGGUACAACCACAAUGGAACCCGAGGCUUUAAAUGCUCAAACAAUGGACAAUAAUGCCUUCAAUCUCAUUUUGGCUCGCCUUGAAACUAUGUCUCGAGAUGUGGCUAGGUUUAAUGUGGGGCUUGGGAAAUUAGAUACGGAUAUGGCAUCAAUGAGUGGGAGAUUAGAAUGUGUGGAAAGUCAAAGGAGUCAACCUUCCACCCCUCAAAAUAUUUCCCCAACCAUAACUCCCAAGGCCUUGCACCAAAUGAACAAGUCACUGAGCCAACCACCAAAUGUUCCCUAAAACCAUGAGUAUGAUAGAGCAACCCUCCCUCCACUUCACCAAGUCCAACAUGACGGAUUUGGAACCCAAAUGCCACCAAAACCAAACCCUCUACUUAUCCAAAGACCUCACUUUCUAAUCCAAACUCCAUUGAACCAAAGGCCUUACUAUCCUCCAAAUCCGAAUCGACUUAAUCCAAAUCCACCAAACCGUUUUGAGGGUUAUAGUAGGGAGGAACAACAUGGGGGUUAUGGGGGUUAUGGUGAUGCUUACUUGAGGGAAGAAGAGGAGAGGGGUAGGCAAGGUGAUUUAGGCCGAGAAGUGAGGGGUGGUAACCAAACUCGAGAGCUUGGCCAUAAUUCCAUCAAAGUUAGCCUUCCGAUCUUCAAGGGUGAGAGUGAUCCCGAGGCAUAUCUUGUUUGGGAGUCAUCUUGUGAUAGUAUAUUCCAAGUGAAUGAUCUAACCGAAGAAAAGAAGAGUUUUUAUGCAAUCGCUCACUUUGAGGGGUAUGCAAACACUUGGUGGGAGUAUGUGAAUAGGUUUGGUGAUGUGUUGAUUGCCAGGCGGUUUAAAAUACCCAUGUGAUUUCUUACUAUGUGAUAUGUUUAUGAACUGCUUUAAAUUGCUCUUAUAUAUGUUGAAUAUAAAUGAUUAUUUUGGAUUUGCUCUGCAUACCAGUACAUCUGUAUUGACCCCUCUCCCCUACCUCUCAGGUUCUGAGGCUCAGUCUAGGGGUCUGGAUAAGCAGUAGAUAAUUCAGACAGCAGAUCAGAUUGUGCAGUGGCGAGCCUUCUUUAUUCCAGAAGGCCCAUCCUUUCAGAUUAUGUCAUCUAUUACAGUUUUGAUCUACUGGGAGCCUUGUCCCAGUUUUCAGAUAGUUGUCAGAUUUUCAUGUAGUAGAGAUUUCGCAGACUAUUAUGGAUAUUAUUAAUGUUUUUCGGAUUUCAUUCCUUAUUGUUAAACUUAAUCCAGAGUAUGACCAUGUUUCCAUAUUAGAUCGUAAUUCCGCAUUUUCUUUUAUUAUAUGAAUGUUGUGCAUGACUACCAGAUAGUGUAGGACGUCCGGGCCUUUAUGGUUCGGGAUGUCCAUCAUGGCCAAGCCCUAGUUUAGAUCGUGACAACAUCACUAGCCAAAAUGAGCAAGGACUCCUCUACAAAGGCCAACUACUCAUCUAACUCUACUAAGUCCCACCUUACCAUAUGGGAUGGGUCAGGAAUAUACUUUUACAGCAUAGAGUCAUGAAAAAUUGGAUGAACAACGACAAAGUAUGGAGGUAAAUUUAACUCAUAGGCCACCUCGUCAACUAUACGGAGAAUCUCAAAAUGGCCAAAGCAGAUAUACACAGCAUACAAACAGAAUGAAAACUACACCCAAAAGUCCAGAAAACAUAUAAUAAGUCAAUAUGAAUAAUAAGGGAAAACCAUCCUAUUCAUAUCCAAGAGUCUUUAACAUAAUAAGAUUAAAGAAGUAUCGACUAUCUUAUUCCAGCCUCAUUCAAUUUACGUCAAUAAUAUACCAUAUAUACCAGGUAUAUAUACGAAUAAGGAGAGAAAGAAAUAUAUAUAGUAAUAUACAAGGCAAAGUAACAACUAUACAAAAUGAAUAAUGAAGGAAGGUAUAUACAGUAGUACCAUAUCUUCAUAUAGCUAUAUAUAUAUAUAUAAAUAUAUAUGCAUAUAAACCUGAGCUCAUCUCAAAGCAUAAUCUAUAUCAUCAUAUUCUCAUUUAAGACCUCAUUAUAACACUUAUCAAGAUUUAAAUACCAUCAUACUCAGGGUUUCUAAUCCACAUGGAUAGAUAUGAAGAAAUUGUGCAUAAUAAUGCAAUCAUAAGAUAGGAGAGGCCAAAAACGUACCUUAAAUCCCGAUACCGGAACAAUGACCAAUCUGUCAUAAGCUAGCCAUAAUAAUGAUAACAAUAAUAUCAAUAACGACGUGAGUAACCGGCUACUCCAAACAACCAAAUACAUAGCCGAGCUUAUGCGUACCCCUACCGCCCCAGACUCGGAAGCUUCAAUCAAUAGAGAACAACACAAGGCAUAUUCUUCACCCAUAUUUAUGCUACUAUCCCAUACCGUCUGAUAGACAUAGGUGCAUACUGGUGAUAGGCGAUGCGCAUGAAGGAAUGAAUGCAAGGUACACAAUCAAUAUCACAACUUAUCAUAACCGUCAUCAUCAUGACCAUCAUCAUUGUAAUCAACCUCCAUCCUUGUCAGGUAUCAACGUAUCAUCAUAAUAUCCUCCAACCCUGUCGGGUAUCAAUAUCAUCACAAUAGCAUCCUCCGACUUUUCCGGGUAUCAAUAUCACAACAGUCAUUACAGAAUAACAUAUACUAAUAUACUCAAGAACAUAAUCAUAUAACCAGAAAGUAUCUAUCUAGUCAUUACUUACCAACUACGCAUUUUUGGUUAACCAACACUUAUUAUAAUAGAAUCACUAGUUCGCAAGUCAUCACAAAACCUCUAGUUAUUAGCCCAAACCUUAUCCGUCACAUGAUCCUUAUUCAUGGGAUAAAAACUAACCACUAUUUAUUUAAUAAUCAAUAUCUGACAUCUAGUCAAGGUUCAACAUUAGACCAAAAAAGUCAUUUAUCCACCAUUCAUUAUUAUCAACUACUCAUCUUAUAUCUGUUAAUCAUUACUAGACAACACAUUACUACUUGUCACCCAACCUAACCAUCUUCUAUUAGCUGACAUCAUUCCUUAACUAACCAUCGUUAGCUACCAUGUUUCAACUAAGCAAAAUUCAUUAACUAAUACAUUAGAUUCCUAGCCAUCAAGUGCUAUAGUCCCCUAAUAGACAACUAGUUACCACAUAGCUUAACCGUCUAACAAGAAUAGUAGUCAUAAGAUCACAUUUCAGCUAUAAUCACAAUAUUUAUAAUUGUAAAUAAUCAUGAACAUACUGAAUCUAUGCAUUCCAUCACCAGUAUUCUGUCACGCAAUGUUUCCUAUAUUAAGAGUUAUAUUCUUCUAAAAUUUUAAAAUAAAUAUUAAAAACUAUCAAGGUGUUACAUAUUCAUUUAGUGGGAUAAUAAGCAUCAUACCGCAUUUUCUUCCAUCCCAUACCUGAGAGAUGAGUAUAUAAACAUAUACAUAUUUAUAUUCUAUUCAAUCAAUAUCAUAACACGACCCUUGGUCUAUCAAUUUAUCCAAAAUAUCAUGGCCUUAGGUACAUACACAUAUCCGGAACUCAUAUCAAUAAUCAUAUUUAUAAGACGUAGCAUAUCCCUAAUCAUCUAACAUAUAGGAGGCAUAAUAUUGAUAAGCAUCUCAUCAUCUCUCACACAAGAGGCAUCUCACAUCUAGGAGGCAUAAUAUUGAUAGAAAUGUAAUUAUCUAUAGGAUAUCAUAUAUCAAUAGCUCAUACAUCAUGACAAUGAGGAAUAUUACUUCUCUAGGCCAAUUUACAUAUCCAAGAUAAACACCGUCUCUGUAGGUCCAACAAUCUUGACUAAAGGAAAUAGAAACUCUAUAGGCCAAUCAUCAAGUCUAAGAGAAAAUAGCAUCUCUAUAAGACAACCAUCAAGUCUAAGAGGAAAUAUGACAAUCAUCAAGUCUAAGAGGAAAUUGCAUCUCUAUAUGCCAAUCAUCAAGUCUAAGAGGAAAUAAUAACUGUAUAGAACAAUCAUCAAGUCUAAGAGGAAAUAGUAUCUCUAUAAGUCAAUCAUCAAGUCUAAGAGGAAAAGAUCAUUCCAUAGGACAAUCAUCAAGUCUGAGAGGAAAAAGCAUCUCUAUAUGUCAAUCAUCAAGUCUAAGAGGAACUAAUAACUCUAUAGGAAAAUCAUCAUGUCUAAGAGGAAAUAAGAUCUCUAUAUGCCAAUCGUCAAGUCUAAGAUGAAAUAACAUCUCUGUAGGCCACAUAACGUAUCUAGGAGGAAUAUCAUCUCUAAAUGACCAAUAUCACUUCUACAAGGAGUGUCAUAACUUUAACUCAAAAGCCACAAUCCAAGAACAUCAAUAUAAGUUACCAAGUUAUGAAAUAACCUUAUUCUAAGGUUUUCUAGCUUCAUCUAUGUCUAACAUCCACAACUAAGUCUACAGGACUUAACGCAAGCUUAGGCCUAAGUGGGCUGAAGGAUCCCACUUCUAAUCCACAAUUUCCAUAUUUAGGCAUACUACACCCCAAACUAGGCUAAGGUAUCUAGUUCGUCUUUUAGAUGUAAAGUAAGCCAUAUUCAAGCCUAAGAUAGCAACUUUGACUAGAAACAAGGGCACUUAAGUCAACUUUACCCAACUUACGGAUUCAAGACUACCACAAUAUCCCAACAAGGCUAAAUAUACAAAUCAUGCUUCAAAUGCUAAAACCAUAUUACAAACAUAGUAUUAUAUCAUAUCCAUGCUAUAACUAAGCUAAACUAAAGAGGAAAGGCAAUAGGAUACAAAAGUGUCAGAAACAUGUCAUCUUAUGGGUCCAAAACCCUCAUCUAUUCCCCAAACAUCAACAAUCAAGGUCAAGUUAUCUUACUCAUAAUCAAGCCUAACAUCCAUAUUCACACGCAACAUAUAUCACACAUCAUCUAUAAAGAAAAGUAAACAGAAGCCUACCUCAAGGACAAACCACAAAAUCUCACUUCAUGUACCACAUGCUCGUCUUCACUUUAUAAUCCUCAAAAUGUCAUCGCACUAUCAAAACCAUAAUAUACUCAUUAAUACGAGUCUAAUGAUACUCAUAUUGUACUAUUGUGCUUCGGAUACAAAAACAACACCAAAACCCCAAGUGGGUCCCACAUACGGAAAAUGAAUUUCCUAGGCCAACUUAAUGUUCACAUGUGAAAAAGAAAUCAUAACCCUAAAAGAAUAGGUGAAAAAUAAGCAUACUUUGGGUUAAAAUCAAGCCCUAGGCUAAAUUGGGGUUUUGGGUCCAAACAAAGAAAUUCAAGCAUGAAUUCAAAAAAUUCUUGCCUUAAUCUUGAAGAUAAUUGCGAUAUAGGAUGAUAAUUAAGCUCCCAAAUCACCCCCCAUGAUAUUGAAAAUAUACUACAAACCAACUCAGACACUUAGCACGAUAUGAAUGAAAAAAAAUGAAGGAAUACUAAGAAUUUCAUAUAGCCUCCCGAAGAUAGAAAACUGACAUCAACGUUCUGAUCUGCAGGACUCUAUUAGACACUUGCUCUUCUACCAAUAAUACCAGUGAAACCUAGGCUCUGAUAUCAAUUUUUCAUGACACUGUUUGGAGUCAUGAUGGCCCCUACCACAUCCCACCGGUAGGUAAGCCAAUACCAUACCUCGAGGUAUUGCAAUGGGUUACCUUGGUAUGAACGUCCAACUUAGGCCCUAUAUGUGAACACAAUAUAAAACAACAACAUUUCACAACUAAAGACAACCGACAUUUAAAUACAAAUCCCACCACCUGAUAAUAUUAAUACAAGAGCUUACAAGAGGAAUUUACAAUCUCAGAAUCUAAAAUAUCUUAAAUAAUCUCAUACAUUUGUCUCAAAAGAAAAACACAAAUAAGGAUAGAAGGGAAAGAGGGAAACUUGAUCUCCAAGAUCUCACCCUGUCUCUGAUUUGUUAGCUCGCAAGAACUAGCUCAACAGACACAACUAAAACCUAGGUCUGGAACAAAAAGAAACAGAAGUGUAGUAUGAGUACCAAAACACAGGUACUCAGUAGGCAUCAUCAGCCGACUGAGCUCAAAUAUAAUUAAAGUCAAGGGGUAGGAUCGGACCUAAAUUUGCUUUGAUACCACUGUAACAACAUCUAUACUACUAAAGCAAUAACAUGACAUACUAUUUCAAUAUACUCCAUAAUCACCAUAAAAUCUGAGAAUCAUUUCAAAAACGUACAAUCAUAUACACAAUAGCAAAACAUCUACUUGCCAUAAUCAUCAUCAACCUCCUUUAAAACAUAAACACAAGAACUUACCACAACAUCCUACACCGCCGGGAAGUACACGAAAGAGAGCACAACAAAGAACUCAUCACAGCGUCUCAUACCACCGAAAAGUACACAAAAGAACAUCAAACAAGAACUCAUCACGGCAUCCCAUACCACCGGAGAGUACACCAAAGAAUACAACCAAUAAUACAAUAAAGCACAACUACUCCAUCAAUUUACCGAAAACCAUGAGUAGCACAACCCCUUCAUUGCUCAUUACCAAAAUCCACUUCCAAAUACCCAUACCGUAAUUCAACAUAAAGAAAGCAACAUUGUCAUAGCAUAGGUAUGUAAUCAUUAAUUUUAUAAUUCAUUAAUAAAUACGCCAAAGUCCAUAAUAAUUAACCUUAUUUUUUCCGAAAGUCAAAAGAUUACAUGUCUUAAAAUUACUAGUCAUCAAAUCGGGGAAAAACUACAAGCCACCCAUAGUAUAGGUUAUUCAACCAUCAUAAGGCCAUUCUUUUACUAGCAUCAUCAUGACAUGAGUUAUCAACUAAGCUAUCUCAACUUCACAUGUUAGGAUAUAAUUUAGCUAAUCAUCACACAAUACUAGAUCCAUCAUCUCUAAGCAUGUCACAACCUUAAGGAUUAGUUUUCAUAUUUUAAUCAAAUAAAGUCCACAAUCUAGUUUACUAGGUUUCUCGGUUCCAGAUAAUAAUCAUAUAUUUUAGAAGGAGCUAGUUAUCACAUAAGAAACCUUACUACGCAAGAUUUCAUAAUAUAACCUCUUAUUCAAGUCAAGUAUAUAUAUUAGGUUAGCCCUUGAAUUUUUAUGAAAGUUUACACAUAACGCCAAGCCUUAACUCAUUAUUAGUCAUAAAUUUCCUCUAGUAGAUAAUUUAGCAUAACAAGGGUCACACUCUUAUAUAGUGAUUUGGAAUAAGAAACGAAUAACAAUUUACCAAGAGAGACCUCAUAAUUCAAGCACAUAGGCGGUUGGCCCCACACGGCCUAACCUUACAAAUAUCAAUGAAUAUAAGUAAAUUUGCCCCACACAUCAUCAUAAUGUUCUUACCUCUUUUGGAUUCACGGGGCAUCAUGACAAUUUCAACAUAUUCCUCCAGAUUCAUCGAGCAUCGUCAUAAUAUCACACAUUCAUCCGGACUCAGACCGGGCAUCAGCAUAAUAUCACUUAUUCCUUCUAAUUAAUCGGGCAUCAUCAUAUAUCACACAUUCCUCCGAACUCAAAUCGGGCAUCAUCAUAAUAUCACAUAUUGUAAUACCCUAUAUUUCUCAAGCUUAACUUAACUCUCAAUUCAUGAGUUAUCAGAUAUAAAAUUUUUAAAAUAAUUAGUAUUUUCAGUUUAGAGCCUGCCAUUAUGUAGAUAAUUGAAUUAGAUUUUCAACGAUAUAAAAUUCACCUAAAUUCGAUAAUCGGGUAAAACACUAUGGCUAUUUUAAGUUUCAGUCAAUAAACACCGUUAUUCAGGCCAGUAGCGCGUCGCGGAGUAUGUUAAAAUGACAAUUGUCAGUUUCCAGUAAUAUAUCACAAUACAAGCGUGCCAUGCCACCAUAUAAUUUCCCAAUUGUCAAAAUCUAGUAUUGCUCCACGAUAUUGGUACGUCGUGCCAAGGACCCAAUCCACAAUUGCCAAUUUCCAAUAAAGCAACGCGAUUCCACCUCGUCGCGGUGAACUUCCAGGUCCCAUCCAGUAUUGAAAUGCAAUUCCACCACAUCGCACCACUAGCCAUAUUUAUAGUUGUCAUUUUCCAGUGGCUUGGCGCGAUAGUGGCACGUCGUGCCAGGUACCCAAAUCGGGAAUUUUUCAGUAAUGAUUUUAAAUCAGUUCCAUGGGUAAUUGGGUAUUUUUUUCAUGACCCAAGUCAGCAUUUAACAUGUAAAUUACCCCAAAUUAACCUAGUUACAUCAUUAUUAUUCAAUUUUUCCCAAAAUCGAAGCAUUCUCUCUCAAGAAAAUAAACCCUAGCUUCAAGAAUCAAGGACAAAACUCAAGAAUUUCUUCAAGCACCUUCAAGAACUAAUAACCUAAGGUAUGUUAGGUGUUCAUCUAUGGGUUUCUUUCACUCAUAGACUCCACGAAUCCAUUUUCAAAAUACAAGAUUGUUGAAUUAUGAACUUUCAUGCUUGAAUUGAAUUGAAUUCAUGUUCGUGUUAUUGUUGGGUUUUAGUCCAUGAUUAAAUUACAUGCUUUUAUGAAAUUAAUCAUUGUAUGUGUUGAAUUACAUGAUCUUCAUGAUAAACCCCUUAAAUUGUAAGUUGAUUGAUGUAGCCAUGAUGACUAUAUGUUUUGAUUAUUGUAUAACAUAAGCAUGCUCCGCGUGUGUUUGAUAAAAUGCAAAAGUAAAUGAAAUAGUGCCAUUAUAACAUGAUAGCAUGUAUUCCCCAUUCAUGUAUAAGUAGAUGCAUUAGAAGUGCUUGAUUAAAUGCCUUUAUGAGUGAACUAUGGACAAGUAUACAUUGUUAUGAUUUUCAAGAGUAUAUUAUACUUUAUUUUUCAUGCUAUUGAGUCCUAGGGUAUUUAAUACCCUACAAUUUUGUUGUGUUUCUAGAGCCAGUGUCGGUUAUAGAAUCUUAGUCAUGUCAUGAUCAGUAGUACUCUCAGUCAGUUACAGAACUCAGUAGAACAUAGUCAGUUACCGAACUCAGAAAAACUCAGUAAACUCAGUAUCAUCCCAGUUCAAUUAAGUAUACUCAGUUCAGUGUCUUUCAGUUUGCAGUAGGAUUCAGCACCGAGUGAAUCCAAGGAUGGGGGCUCACCUGCUAGUAGAAGGUGUGAUCCUUAUAAGCAAUCCUUGCAUUCCAGAACUACGUAGCUAAUGUAGAUUGAGACAUCAAACCUGCCGGUUAAGGGUUGAUGAGGUAUUUUAACUUACCAGUUGAGGGUUCCACCGUUCUCAUUAGAGUACCUUCCAGAUGAGGUUAACUCUUUAGUUUCUUUACCCGUGGCACGGUACCUACACCCUUUCAACUGGGGUCAAAAGUUGGACCCCAACUCAGUUAUAUUAUUUAGGGCAUAUCGGUUAGAUGAUUACCUCCCAAAAUCUCAGUUUCAGUUAUCAGAAUAGAACUCAGUUUAGUUCUAUAGAAUCAGGACUGUCAGAUACAGUCAACCAGUAUCAGUAAAUCAGUUAUCAGUACUUCAGAUAUCAGUUACUCAGUAUCAAAACUCAGGACUUAGUUUCAGAUAAGCUUAGUCACGGUAUUUAUUUAUAUGCACAGUAGUGCAUACUCAGUAUUUACAGUAGUAUAAGUUAUCCAUGUACUCUCAUGUUCAGUCACUUUAUAUCAUGCAGUCAGUUAUUGUUCAUGCAUAUGAACUCUUGCAUUCAUCCUUACCUAAUCUAGCAUACUAGUACAUUCCACGUACUGAUUCAUACUCUUUCUUUGCAUUAUAAAGUCUCAUAUCAUAGGUACGGACCCUCAGAUUCCCGAUCGUGCAUAGAGAGAUUAAGAUUCAUCCAGCGUCAGUUGAUUAGAAGUGCAUCCUCAUCAUUCGAGGAUAUUCUUUUAUUUUAUUAUUUCAUUAGACUCAGUAUUUUAGUAGAUAGAGUUAGUUGGGGAUUGUCCCAUCAACUCAACUUUCAGACAGUUUUAGUUAGAGACUUUUAAAACUAGUUUUUAGACAGUGUUUAAUUUUACAGAUUGUUAUUUCAGUUGAUACACUUUAGCAGUAUUUAUAAAUUUUUAACCUUAUGGAAUUUCAACCUAUUUUCACAUUUAUUACAGUAUCAUGUUUCAGUGCUCACAACAGAUAUCAAUCAUGGGUUAGCUUGUGGUCCUUUAGGGUCGUAAGCAUCCUGUAGCAUCCGGGGUACAGACUCGGGGCAUUACAAACUUGGUAUCAUAGCCUAAUGUUCAAUAGAGUCCUAGGGAGUUUGAAAGCCGCAUCUAGUAGAGUCUUGUGCAUGGGUGUGUAGCGCGCCCCACUUAUGGAUAGAAGGCUAUGAGAUGUUUUAGGAAAAGUUGCCCUUCUUUUAGUAUUCAUGUUGUGUGAGUGAGCAUGAGCUCAAGUUAAACUCUCAGUCUAAUCCAUUGUAUUCAUUUCAUUUAUAGAACAUGCCUCCCGGAAAGACUAAUAAAAAGAGAACUAAAAAUUAGUCAGCACCUCAGCCCGUUCAGGCAGAUCCCAUGGAUGACCAUAUCUCUUAGGUAGAAUUUAGAGUUGCAUUCACUACUCUAGCCAAUUCUGUAGCAGCUCAAAAUGAAUGGUCAGUUUCUGUUCCAGCCAACCUAGUGGUCAAUACUUCUGCAGCCAGGAUUCGGGACUUCACCCAAAUAAAUCCUCCUUUAUUCUCAGGAUUUAAGCUAGAAGAGGAUCCACAGGAGUUUCUCAAUCAGGUUCGAAAAGUCACAGAUAUUAUAAGAGUGACUUCCAGUGAAAACUGAGCUAGCUGCCUAUCAGCUGCAAGAUAUAGCUCAUAUAUGGUUUAAGCAGUAGAAGGUAGACAAGGGCAUAGAUGCAGAGCCCAUGGAGUGGGAAGAGUUUGCUACUGUUUUCCUAGAGAGAUUCUUUCCUUGAGAGAAGACAAGGUGUUAGAGUUCCUAAAUCUCAGGUAGGGCAGUAUGAGUGUGAAGGAUUAUUCCCUCAAGUUUACUCAGUUAGUUAGGUAUGCUCCCCAUGUAGUAGCAGACAGUAGGUUUAGAAUGAGCAAUUUCGUAUCUGGGGAGUCAGAUAGUGUGGCUGAGGAGUGCAAAAAUGUGAUAUUGAUUAAGGAGAUGGACAUAUCUAGGCUCAUGGUCUAUGCUCAGUAGAUAGAAGAGGCUAAGAAUAGAGAGAGAGAGAGGCAGAAUAAGAGAUCUAAAAUAGGUAGUUUCAAUUUCAUUCAGCCUAAGUCAGAGAGCGGUAACCAUUCCCAGUUUUUCCCAAAAUCUUUAGUUCCUACUCCGUCCUUAGCCAGUGCUCCAGUACCUAAGUUCAGAAAUGGUAACAAUGAUAGGGCUCCAAGAUCUAAAUACCAAGGUAGUGUCAACAAUAAUCCUCUUUGUCAGACAUGUGGCAGAAACUACAAGGGUAUUUGCAGAGCUGGCAGUGAUGUUUGUUUUGGGUGUGGCAAGCCAGGCCAUAGAGUUAGAGAUUGUCCUCAGUUAGGUUCUCAGGGUUAGCAUACUCAUUCUUUAGCUCAGUUAGGUUGCCCAAAUCAGCAGGGUACUGCUUCCAGUGUCACCAGUGGGUAAUGCCCAAACAAGCUUUAUGCACUUCAAACCAGAAAAGAUCAGGAAAUUUUUUUGAUAUGGUCACUGGUAUAUUACAGAUCUUCCAUUUACAUAUUUAUGCCUUCAUAGAUCUAGGAGCUUCUUUAUCUUUUGUAAAUCCUUAUAUAGCCAUUAACUUCGGAGUCCGUCCAAAAAUCCUAGCAGAGCCUUUAUCAGUUUCUACCCCAGUGGGUAAAUCUAUCAUAGCCCGAUGGGUCUACACGAACUAUCCUAUUAUGAUAUCUCAGAAAGUUACUUCAGCAGACCUUGCAGAGCUAGAGAUAGCAGAUUUUGAUGUCAUUCUCGGCAUAGAUUGACUUUAUUCAUGCUAUGCCUCAGUUAAUUAUAGAAAUAGAAUAGUUCAUUUUCAGUUUCUAAAUAAACCAGUCCUUGAAUGGAGAAGUAGUACCACAGCGCUUAAGGGUCAGUUGAUUUCAUACCUUAGAGCGAGAAAAAUGUUAUCCAAGGAAUGUGUCUAUCAUCUUGUAUGAGUCAAGGACUCUAGUUCAGAAACUCCAACUCUUGAGUCAGUUCCAGUAGUAAAUGAAUUAUCAGAUGUGUUUCCCAAAGAUCUUCCCGAAAUUCCUCCUGAAAAGGAAAUAAACUUCAGAAUAGACCUUCUUCCAGAUACUCAGCCCAUAUCUAUUCUGUCAUACUAAAUGGCACCAGAAGAACUCAGGGAGUUAAAAGAAUAGUUGAAGGAUAUCCUAGAUAAGGGAUUCAUUAGACCCAGUGUUUCCCCGUGGGGCGCACCAAUCUUAUUCAUGCAUAAUAAAGAUGGCUCUCUUAGAAUAUGUAUAGACUACCAUCAGUUGAACAAAGUUACAGUCAAGAAUAAAUACCCACUUCCUAGAAUCGAUGACUUGUUCGACCAACUUUAGAGUGCUAGUUACUUUCCUAAGAUAGACCUCAGAUCAAGCUAUCAUUAGCUCAGAGUUAGAGAAUGUGACAUUUCAAAAAUAGAUUUCAGAACUCGAUAUGGUCACUUUAAGUUUCUAGUCAUGUCCUUUGGUCUUACUAAUUCCCCAGUAGUUUUCAUGGGCUUAAUGAAUCGCAUGUUCAAGUAGUACUUGGACAUGUUCAUUGUAGUCUUCAUCGAUGAAAUUCUUGUCUAUUGCCUUAGCGAGAAUAAUCACACAGAUCACCUCAGAAUCGUACUUCAAACUUUUAGAACUCAUCAGCUAUUCACCAAAUUUAGUAAGUGCAAAUUUUGGCUAAGGUCGGUAGAAUUCCUUGGUCAUAUUAUUUCUGGUGACGGCAUUAGAGUUGAUCCUCAAAAGACCAAAGUGGUGAGAAACUGGCCUAAACCCAUCUCCCCAUCAGAUAUCAGGAGUUUCUUAGGUUUAGCUGGCUAUUACCAUUGGUUUGUUGAAGGGUUUUUGUCUAUUUCAUCCCCCAUGUCCAGAUUGACUCAGAAGAAAGUCCAGUUUCAGUGGUCAAAUUCCUGCGAGAAGAGUUUUUAGGAGUUAAAGACUCGACUCACCUCAGCCCCAAUUUUGACUCUACCAGGUGGUUCAGAUGGGUUUGUUGUGUACUGUGACGCAUCCAGAGUAGGUUUGGGCUAUGUCCUUAUACAGAGAGGUAAGGUCAUAGCCUACGCCUCCAGAUAGCUUAAGCCCUAUGAGAAGAAUUAUCUUACUCAUGAUGUUAAUUUAGCAGCUGUAGUAUUUGCCUUAAAGAUUUAGAGGCAUUUAUAUAGGGUGCAUAUAGAUUUGUUCACAGAUCACAAGAGCUUGCAGUAUAUUUUUUCUUAGAAAGAUUUAAAUUUACGUCAGAGAAAGUGGUUAGAGUUCUUAAAAGAUUAUGACAUGAGUGUCCUGUAUCAUCUAGGCAAAGCCAAUGUAGUGGUUGAUGCUCUCAGUAGACUAUUUAUGGGUAGUGUUGCUCAUAUUGAGGAUAGUAAGAAGAAGUUAGUUCAGGAAGUUCAUCAUCUUACCCGACUAGGUGUCCACUUAGUUGAUUCAGCAGAAGGUGGUGUGUGGGUUCAGAACAGUUCCGAAUCCUCUCUAGUUAUCAAGGUGAAGGAAAAGCAGGAGAGAGAUCCUAGUCUUGUUAAGUUGAAAGAGUCAGUCAAAGAUCAGAAAGUAAAGGUUUUCUCCCAGGUGUAGAUGACUUGAGGCAAUGAAUUCUUGCAGAAGCGCAUGGUGCGCAUUACUCGAUUCAUCCUGGGGCCACUAAGAUGUACCGCGAUUUAGGGGAGAUCUAUUAGUGAGUGGGAUGAAGAGGGAUAUUACAAAUUUUGUAGCUAAAUGCUCUACAUAUCAGAAAGUUAAGAUUGAGCACCAGAAGCCUAGUGGGUUCAUGCAGGAGUUCAGUAUUCCCAUAUGGAAAUGGGAAGAAGUGAACAUAGACUUUGUGAUGGGCUUGCCUCGUACUCGUCAUCAGCAUGAUUCUAUAUGGGUUAUCAUAAACAAGAUGACCAAAUCAACUCAUUUCUUACCAGUUCAUACUUCUUAUUCAGUCGAGGACUAUGCCAAACUCUAUAUCAGAGAGUUGGUCAAGUUACAUGGACAAUCAUCUCAGAUAGAGGUACCCAUUUUACCUCUAAUUUCUAGAAAGCAUUCCAAAAGGGUCUUGGUACCUAAGUUCAUCUCAGUUCAGCCUUCCACCCUCAGACAGAAGGUCAAGAAGAAAGGACCAUUCAGACUCUAGAAGAUAUGCUAAGAUCCUGCGUUGUCGAUUUUAAGGGUAGUUGGGAUGACCACUUGCCUUUGAAUUGAAUUCACAUACAAUAACAGCUAUCAUUCCAGUAUUCGGAUGGCUCCGUUUGAGGAUCUGUACGGUAGGAUAUAUAGAUAUCCAACUGGUUGGUUCGAGGUAGGUAAGGUCAUAGUAGUAGGGCCUAACUUAGUGUUUGAUGCCUUAGAGAAGGUUCAGCUGAUCAGAGAAAGACUUAGGGCAGCCCAGAGACAACAGAAAUCAUACAUAGAUGAGUGGAGAAAGGAUCUCGAGUUUGAGUUCAAUAAUUUUGUGUACUUGAAAAUCUCUCCGAUAAAAGGAGUAAAGAGGUUUGGCAAGAAGGGAAAGCUCAGUCCCCGAUAUGUCGGUCCUCACAGAAUUCUCAGUAUUUUGGAAGGGUAGCUUAUGAGCUCGAGUUGACUUCAAACCUAGCUUCAGUGCACCCAGUAUUCACAUCUCCUUACUAAAGAAAUGCAUUGGUGACCUAGCAGUCAUAGUUUCCUUAAAGGGCGUAGAUAUUCAGAAGGAUCUCUCUUCCGAAGAGGUUCCUGUCUAAAUCCUCGAUCAUCAGAUUUGCAGACUGAGAAACAGAGAAGUUCCCUUAGUAAAAGUUCUUUGGUGAAAUCAGUCCGUAGAGGGAGAUACUUAGGAAGAAGAAGUAGAUAUGCGGACCAAGUAUCCUCACCUCUUCUCCACAACCUCAUAUCCACCUUAAGGUAACAGUCUUCCUUAGCUUUACUCAGUAAUAUGUUCAGCUAUAAUUAUAGCUUGGGGUCCAUUACCGUUGCAUAUUCAGUCAUGCAUUUAUGAAUCAGUUCUAUCAUGCAGUCAUGCAUCAGAUAUGCAUGUUUAAUGUGUAAACUCAGUCUAUCAGUGCCUCAGCUUAAUCAGUCUCAUUCGAGGAUGAAUGUUCCCAAGGGGGAGAUAUUGUGUUACCCCGUAUUUUGCAAGCUUAACAUAACUCUCAGUUCAUGAGUUAUCUGAUACAAAAAAUUUUAAAUACUCAGUAUUUUUCAGUUUAGAGCCUGCCAUUGCUUAGGAAAUUGAAUCAGCUUUCCAAAGUUAUAAAAUUUGCCUAAAUCUGAUAACCGGAUGAGAAGUUAUGGAUAUUUUAAAUUUCAGUCGUUAAACACCAUUAUUCAGGCUAGUAUCACAUCGCGAAGUAUGUCAAAAUGGAAAUUGUCAGUUUCAAGUGAGGUACUGUAAUACUAGCAUGUUGCACCACCAGCUAAUUUCCCAAUUGUCAAAAUUUAGUGUUGCUACGCGAUAUUGGCGGGUUGCUCCAAGGACCCAAUCCACAAUUGUCAAUUUCUAGUAAAGCAACAUGAUUCCACUACAUUGCGGUGAACUUCCAGGUCCCAUUAAGUAUUGCAACAUGAUUCUACUUCAUCGCGUCACCAGCCACAUUCCCAGUUGUCAUUUUUUAGUGGCUUGGCGUGAUAGUGGCGCGUCGCGCCAGGUGCCCAAAUUGGGAAUUUUUCAGUAAUGAUUUUAAAUCAUUUCCAGGGGUAAUUAGGUAUUUUUUUCAUGACCCACGUCAGCCAUUAACACAUAAAUUACCCCAAAAUUAACGUACUUACACCAUUAUUAUUCAACUUUCCCCAAAAUCAAAGCAUUCUCUCUCAAGAAAACAAACCUUAGCUUCAAGAAUCAAGGUCAAAACUCAAGAAUUUCUUCAAGCACCUUCAAGAACUAAUAACCCAAGGUAUGUUAGGGUUCAUCAAUGGGUUCCUUUCUUCCAUAUAGUCCACGAAUCCAUUUUCAAAAUACAAGAUUGUUGAAUUAUGAACUUCCAUACUUGAAUUGAAUUGAAUUCAUGUUCAUGUUAUUGUUGAGUUUUAGUCCAUGAUUAAAUUACAUGCUUUUAUGAAAUUAAUCAUUGUAUGUGUUGAAUUACAUGAUCUUCAGAAUAAAACCUUCAAUUUGCAAGUUGAUUGAUGUACCCAUGAUAACUAUAUGUUUUGAUUAUUGUAUAACCUAAGCGUACUCCCCAUGUAUUUGAUAAAAUUCCUAUGUAAAUGAAAUAGUGUCAUUACAACAUGAUAGCAUGUAUUCCCCAUUCAUGUAUAAGUAGAUGCAUUAAAAGUGUUUGGUUAAAUGCCUCUAUGAGUGAACUAUCGACAAGUAUACAUUGUUAUGAUUUUCAAGAGUAUAUUAUGCUUUAUUUUUCAUGCUAUUGAGUCCUAGGGGUAUUUAAUAGCCGAUAAUUUAGAUGUGUGCCUAAAGCCAGUGUCGGUUAUAGAAUCUCAGUUAUGUCAUGAUCAGUAAUACUCUCAGUCAAUUAUAGAACUUAGUAAAACUCAGUCAGUUAUCAAACUAAGGAAAACUCAGUAAAAUCGGUAUCAUCCCAGUUCAGCUCAGUAUACUCAGUUCAGUGUCUUUCAAUUAGGAGUAGGAUUCAGCACCAAUUGAACCCAAGGAUAGGGGCUCACCUGCCAGUAGAGGGUUUGAUACUUAGAAGCAAUCGUUGUGUUCCAGAACUAUGUAGCUAGUGUAGGUUUAGACAUCAAACCUGCCAGUUGAGGGUUUCACCGUUCUCAUUAGAGUACCUUCCAGAUAAGGGUAACUCUUUAGUUUCUUUACCCAUGGCACGAUACAGACACCCUUUCAACUGGGGUGAUAGGUUGGACCCCAACUCAGUUAUCUUAUUUGGGGCAUGUAGGUUAGAUGAUUACCUCCCAUAGUCUCAGUUUCAGUCAUUAGAACAAAACUCAGUUCAAUUAUACAGAAUUAGGACUGUCAGAUACAGUCAACCAGUAUCAAUAAAUCAGUUAUCAGUAACUCCAGAUAUUAGUUACUCAGCAUCAGACUUAGGACCUCGCUUCAGAUAAGCUUAGUCAUAGUCUUUACUUAUAUACACAGUAGCACAUACUCAGUAUUUAUAAUAGUAUCAGUUAUCCAUGUACUCUCAUGUUCAGUCACUCUAUAUCAUGCAGCCAGUUAUUGUUCAUGCAUAUGAACCCUUGCAUUCAGCAUUACCUCAUCUAGCGUACCAGUAUAUUCCACGUACUAACCCAUACUCUUUUCUUGUGCUAUGAUGUCUCAUAUCAUAGGUUUAUACACUCAGGUUCCUGACUGCGCAUAGAUAGAUUCAGAUUUAUCCAGCAUUAGUAGAUUAGCAGUGAGUCCUCAUCAUUCAAGGAUAUUCUUUUAUUUUAUUAUUUUAGUAGACUCAGUAUUUUAGUAAACGGAGUUAAUUGGGGGAUUAUCCCAUCAACUCCACUUUCAGACAGUUUCAGUUAGAACUUUUCAGACAGUGUUCAAUUUUACAGAUUGUUGUUUCAGUUGAUACACUUUAGUAGUAUUUAUAGAUUUUGAACCUUAUGGCAUUUCAGCCUAUUUUCCGUAUUUAUUACAGUAUCGUGUUUUAGUGCUCACAGCAGAUAUCAGUUAUGGGUUAGCUUGUGGUCCUUCGGGGUCGUAAGCACCAUGUAGCAUCUGGGGUAUAGACUCGGAGUGUUACACAUAUUCCUCCGAAUUCACCGAGCAUCAUCAUAAUAUCAUAUAUUUCUCUGGAGUCAAACCGGGCAACAUCAUACAAUCUCAUAUUCCUCCGAAUUCACCGAGAAUCAUCAUAAUAUCACAUAUUUCUCUGGACUGGAACCGGGCAUCAUCAUAAUAUCACAUAUUUGUUUGGAUACAACAGCAUACAUCCACAUUCAUAGCCAAACCAAUAAGCAUACACAAAAUCUCACAAUAUAUAAAGAAGUAGGGAUGUGGGAUAACCCUUGCCAUUUUACCUUACUAAUAAGCUUCACACGUAAUAUGAGCAUCAACAAGAGCACAAAUAUUUACCAAACAUGCACAAUAAUCACUUAACAAGGGUAUUCAAGUCAUGAUCACAAGAUAAUCCAAUAAUCGAUUGCGACCAUCACAACUCCUACACACACACACACACACACACACAUAUAUAUAUAUAUAUAUAAAUAUAUUGAACAAUCACCACGUAUCUAGGUUGCUAAGCAUUUACUUAGUUCAAGAUUAAGGUGAGUCAAGUCCCACUUCUAAAUACCGAGAAUGCCAAACUUACUAACAUAUGUCUAGAUUCUAACCGGAAUUAGGCUAAGUCAUCCAUACCGUACCAUGUGGGCUUACCAAUACUUUCAAGGUCUAUAAGGAAAGUCUCUUCAAGAAUCCUUCCUAAGUCAACCGAACACCAAGGUCAUCUCCUAUAUAGGCAUUAUAUAGGUCAAUACACUCCUAAGGAUAGAUAAUUAUACCAUUCAUGUCUACUUAGAACAACUAUAGUGUUCUUACACUAGUCAUGAGACCACAAUUAAGCUAACCAAGGUCCUAGACUAAGGGUCAAAUAUCGUACCAUACAAAUCCAUGGCCUAUAGCAAUUAAUAAAUCCCAUGUUCACCAUUUAAUAAACUAUCAUCUUAAUUCCCCACCCAACCUCGCAAUAUAUCAAUGAUUACAUUACAAACAAGCUUAAUCUAUACUACGGGUAAGCCUAACCUACCUUGAAUCCAAGCAACUCAUGAUCCAACGAGCUUUUCCUUUCCUUUUAAGAAGCUUCCCCUUCCACAAGCAAUGCUAUCAACAAUACAAUCUAAGAAUUACAACAAGAAUGACAAUACCCAUUAUAUAACCAUUGUGCCAUUGGUUUCAAAAUGACAACAAACCCCAAGUGGAUCCCACCUUCGGAAAAUGAGUUUUCGAGAGCAACCCAUAGUCUAAAUAUCAUUAGGGGGAUAAAACCCUCAAGAAAUUUGAGUAAAGCAAUCACAUUUGUGGCUACAAUUGAGCCUCAAAGACUUAGCAUUUUUGGUCUAGAAAUCAAGAAAUUAAUACCAAAUUUGAAGGAAUCUUACCUUAGAUUUGUAGAAAAAAAUUGGAUUACACAAGUUGCUAAGCUUCUAAUCAACCCUCAAGACUCAUUUUUCUAUCAAAAAAUAUUUAUGGCUGUUAGAGUUUUCAAAAUACUGAAGAAUCUCCCAGAAAUCGGCCAACGGGCCUUUUUGUACGAGUUUAAAUGGGCCUACAAGGUCAAAAACUUAUUUUUGACCUCUCGGACUCAUUCGGACUCCAUUUUUUGCAAAUGAACUAUGUAACCCCACUAAAUUUGACAUUCCAGACACAUUAGUGAAGUCAAAUUUUUUAUUCAAGGUCAUUUAGGUCACUUGUGGGUCCCACAUCCAUAUAUUUCAAUUUUUGACUUUUCGACUAAUAGGUUGAAAUGAGCUCGGGUGCUGUGGGAUCCAAACCAAGGGUCUAUCUACCCUAAAAUCAAUAUUACAUAGCUUUUGGCACAGUCAAAAUUUAAAUCCGAAAUCAUUGCAAGACAGCUAUUUGGAAUAGACAAAGACUUCAAAUUGGAAAAGUGGUUCUAAAAACUAAAUGAACCGUCAGGUAACUGAACUAUCAAUUCCAGCAAGUCACUAAUAACUUGGGACAGCUAUGAAGGAGCUCUAUUGGCAAAAAUAAUCAAGAACACGGAUAAUGACCUGAAGGGUCAUUAUAGACUCAUUGUUGUAAAAUGGAAUUUUAAAGUAGUCUAAAUAUAUGCAUAGGUAAGUAAGUAUGAUGUGAGAAAGUACAAUGUGUUUAUAACAUCUUAAGGGGUUAUAUUAUAAGAUUAAGAUCAAUUGUCCCUAUUAUGUGACUUUACCCCCUUUGAUUGUCUUUUCUUUGGUAGUUGGAAGCUAGUACUGCACGUGAGAAUGUGGGUGGUAGUUUCUAAGGUAUGGUAAAAAUAGUAGCUUAAAUUUAAUGAUGCAUUUUUUGUGUUAGUAAGUAGUAGGCUUUAUCCGAUGUGUGCAAUAGCCUAGGUUUGAAACUUGUGGAAAAAGGAGUGGAUAAUUAUAAUAUAUUUAUAUACUUAGGACUAGUGUUAUAACGAUGAAUUGUGGUUGAUUCAUUAAGUGGAUAAGAGCAUGGGUAUGUAAGAAUAAGUUUUCCCCCCCCAGGUAACAUGUUAUUAGAUAAGGUUGGUAGAUAUAUAAGUGUCAUUUGUACCUUGUUCAUAUUCUUGAAUUUUUUAGUAUGGAAAAGUUUGGGGAGUUGUUGUAUGGCAUUCUUCAUAGUUAAACUGAGGAAAUAUAGGUAGGCAAUAUGCGCCUUUGGUAUAGUUUUACAAAUUUUAUUAAGAUUUUAAGUAUGUGAGUAGAUGUCUAAUAUUGGCGUGUUAAGUAGUGGAGAAUGAAUUAUUAUGUGAUAAGGAGUGUGAAUGUAUGUGCUCACGAGAGUAGAAGUGAUAGGGUGAUGGCUAUAGAGGCUAGAGAGAGUUAAGAGUAGCAGCAAUGCCUUCAGAGUUAGAGUUCAACCUAGGAGUAUUAUAUAGUGGGACUUAAACUCUUGCGGUUAGAAGUUUUAUGGGAGAAUUGCAAGUUAGAAGUGAUGAAGUAUGUUAUUUGUCGUUUGGGGCAUAGUUGAGUAGUGUCUCUCAGUUUUAGGUCAAUUAGUUGUAACUUGUAAGGCAGAGAAUGCUUCUAUUUCUUAUCUUUCGCGAAAUCUUAUUUCAUGAUUAGUACCAAUAUAAAUCAGGUAUAUGCUACCAAAUAAACUUAUUCCUUAUGUUGUGAUGCUAAUUUUUCAUAAAACUCAUGUGCAAGAUCAUCCCUAUGUAAAGUCUCGUUACCUCGCGCUUCGUGCUUACAUGUUUUACUAGGGGUUAUCAUGAAGCUCGUUUGAUGAAUUGUAUAUUUUGUUGACAAAAAAUGUUCAAUGCAAGAUUAUAUUCUUUAUUCUACACUUUUAGAGCUUCAAAAAGUCCUUGCCGAUCAUUCGGGGACGAAUGAUUCCAAGGGGGAGAUAAUGUAACACCCCGCAUUUUCUAGCUAAAAAUCAAACCGUUGUUCCUACGUGUGUAAGCUCUAAUAGAAAUUAUUUUCAAGUGAGAAUAAGUGUCAUUAUCUUUAUCCUCGUGUUUGAAGUGCUUUUGAGGUGAAAAAUCUUCAUAGGAAUCACUUAGAGCGAAGUUGAGCUAAGAACCAUAGAUUUGGCUAAAUCUUUGUAUUCAGUUUUAUAAGGGUCCACUUUGAAUGUGUAUAACAUUUGAUACACGUAGAGUUUUUCAGCUCAAGACCCACCAAAUUAUAUAUAAUUGAUUUAUAUUUCCAAUGAUACCAAUUUUACCUUAAUCCGAUACUCGAGUAAAAUGUUAUAGUAUUUUUCGUGAGAGGCAAUAAACAGAAGUGAUUGGGACAUGGUGCACCGGUCUAUUGACAUGAUAAAUGACGUGGCAUGUUUCUCUCCCCAACACGAUAUCUAACGCGACCUGAAGCUAUUUCACACGUUGUUUCAAUUCCUUAAGGGUCUAGGGGCACUUUGGUCAUAUUCCCUCACCCGAUAUCCGUCCAUAACACAAAAUUUCAGCUCCCAAAGAGCAUUAGCUGCCUCUUCAUUCAACGUUCUCUCAAACCAAAACCCUAAACACCUCCCAAGAACAAGAUUAAAUUCUUCUUUUCAAUGAUCAAGAAUUCAAGCCUUUCAAUUCAAGAUUCUCAAGAAAGGUUUCAAGAUUAAGGUUCUAUUUUUCAAACUAAACAACCUAAGGUAUGUGGGACUACUCUAAACACCAUGGGCAUCAUUUUUACUAUUUUUAUCUAUGUUAAAGAUCCUCGAUCAUGUUUUAUAAAGAGUGUUUUGUUAUUAUAUUGAAAAGUAUGUAUUAUGGAGUCAUUUUGAAGUAAGCAUAUGUUUGUCUCGAUCUUAGUUUUCAUGAAAUUAAAUUGUUGCAAUAUAUAUAUAUAUAUAUAUAUAUGAUUUCAUUGUAUUUUAAAGUGUGAAUGAGAGCAUGAAUGAUUAAACUCCCUCUCCUAUGAUGUUAUUUUUUAUUUUCAAAUGUGGCGGCUUGUGUAAAUGUAUGAAUUUCGUUAAAGGAAACUAAAUGAUGAAUGUUUUACUGAUUUUCAUGAACAAUUCGGUUUACUACAUGUAGAGGGGGUAUUUUCGUAUGGUAAAUGUCUACUUGAUCAACUUAACACUUUUCUUGAGUUUGAAGUAAUUACAAAUAUGAGGUGACCACCUAUUGAUUUUAUAAUUGGGAGGAGAAAGUUUUGAUGAAAAUUUGAAUGUAAGGUCUAUUGCAUAACUCUCUCUCAUCUGAUGUUUAAAAGCUAAGGGUGGUCAUUAAUAUGAUAAUAAGUGGAAAGGGCUGCAGAUAUGAUAUGAUGUGAUUUGAUUAACUUCUAAGUCAGGGUAUGACGAUACCCGAUGAUUUCAUGCUCCUAACAAGAUAGUGUUGAAUGUUUUGAAAGUAUGAACAUGUUUUAUUUAAAGAACAAAAAGUUAGGCUUAAGAGAGCUAGUAGGUUAUCCGAAGAAAGCAUUUGAGUGCAAGAGCCCAUCGCUGGAAACCAUAGUUACCGAUACAGGACUUAUGAUAUAUUAUCCUACAUGAAAGGACAUCUUUUAAGGACAUCUCACAUGGGGAGUACCACCACUCCAUUCCUGGUGGCUACUUGGAUUGGAGGCUUGGCCUCCGAGUCAAGGACGGGUUCCACAUAGCCCGUGGAAUUCCAUAUUUGUAGGGUGUACCGACUAGCUCAGAAGAAUAACAAAGAGUGAGUCAAAGUUGUCAAGAAUUGUUUUGAAGUGCACUAAAGUAUGCCCAUGUAUUUUUACUUGCUUUGUGUUCAUAGUUAUAAUGAAAUUCUCUCAUCUAUUUUGUAUAAGAAUAUAUUAUUUUGUGUUGUUUCAUAUACCAGUACAAUUGUAUUGACAUCCUAUACUUCAGGAUCUGAGGCACAAUCCCGGGGUCCCGCUAAGCAGUAGGUUGAAUCCUGUCAGAGAUUACAGUUGGUGAGUCUCCCUUAUUUUGGAAGGCCUAUUUUAGAACAUCGUUAGUUUAUUUUGAUCAAUGGUUCGACUGGGGUCUUGUCCUAGCUUUCAGAGAAUAUUGUUUUCGUAUUAUUAAAGAUUUUGUAGACUGGUGUCAUGUGUUUUUAAUGUUAUCAACUUAAUUCCCUAUUGUUCACUUGAAGUAAGGGAUUGACGAUGUUUCUAUUUUGUUAUGUUUUUUCAUAUUUUCUUACAGUAUAUGAAUUGUGUAUAUGAUUGCCUGGUAUGGGUCAAAGAAGCAUCUUAGCACUCGAGGACAUGAAGACAUGAGUGAAAACCCGAGCUUGUUGGGCUUCCCAUCCAAGUAACAAGCUUUGAAGUGUUGAGAAUAAGUCCCAAUACUCCAAAACCGUCCAAGGAAUACACUACAAGGCCGCCCCUUUAUUUGGGCUCAUUAAGGGUCUUUUGGUCAUUUUUGUAAUAAGUGUUGCCCUAGUAUAUAAAUAGAAUAUUUAGGUCAUUUUAUCAUUUAGAACUUUGAUGAUAUAUCUUGUAAACUCAUUGAGAGUGUUUGGCAAGGUGGAAUCAUUGUGGCAACGUGGAAUCCUUGUGUUGUUAACUUGCUUAGAAACGGUGGUUGCUUGGGAGUUCCGAUUCCCUUGAGGUCUCCGUAAGAGUUUAGGUGUAUUGUAUUCAUGUUGUUUGUGUUUUGAUGUUUAAUAUACAUCUUAGUGCCUAUAACGUGUACUACAUUAUGUCUCACUAUCUAUCCUCUUAGUUAUAGUCAUCUUGUUUUCCAUUUUGUGUUGCUUGUUCAUCUCGUGAUAGUGGACUAUUUUGUGCCAUUUCGUGGGCUGUUUUAGUACUUCAUAGGUCGUUCUUGUAUCAUUGCUAGUUAGACAAGGGCUCUCGUGCUUUCACGGUUCGGGGUGCCUAUCACGACCAGAGCCUCGAUUUGGGUUGUGACAUAUAGUCUACAACCUUUUCACUUUACGACCUGACUUUUGUGAUUAAUGUUUGUUGAUUUCGUGACAGAUUGAUAUCAGAGCUUCAUUUUGAAUCUGUACCCCAAUUGAGGUUGAACGAUUUCUCUGACCACAUAAGAUGGAACUUCAGACCCAAUAGGUUUGGAUUAUCAAAUGAAAAUCUAUAGUGUAAUCUAUGGCUUCACGUGAAUCUAAUAGCUUCACGUGAAAUGCCUAGUUGGUUUAAAUCCAUCAUGGAAAAGCUUGAUGUCAUGGAUAGCAGUUUGGGAUCUUCUAAAGGGAAAAUGGAGAGAAUGGAAGGAUGAAUGGAAAGAAUGAAAAGAAUAAUGGAUAGAAUGGAAGGACGAAUAGAAAAGAUGGAGAGAUGUAUUUGCAAAAAGUUGGAUAACUUGAUAGAGCAUCCAAGCUUUCCUAAUCCAAUUCCUGUGAGUGGCCAAGCUCCACAUGAGCUACUAGGUAAUCAAACUAACUCUUGCACUCUAGUGAAUAAGGCUAAUAACCAACUAAGUUUGAAUGAUAGUUUGUCUUUAGGUGAGCCGAAUGUGCCUUCAUUUUGUGAUGAUAAUGUACAACUUGAGAUUAUGGAUACACUAGUUGAUCCACCUAGUGUUGAAUCCAUUGGGGCAAGUAAUAGUACAUUGUCUUACGGAAGUCAUGAAGAACAACUUGUGUGUGAAAAUGGUGAUGUUGAACAUGUUGGCCGAUUGACUAGGAUAACCCUCUAGUUGUUUUUGUUGUAGAUUAUGCGAGUAUAGAGGGAACAUUUGAUCGUAAUUGUAGUAGUAUUGGGGUAGGGAUGUGUUUCCCCAACCCGUUCCAUGGACACUCCACCCAUUUGACCCCGGUGAUCAUUUGAAAUACGGUGAUGAUGUCUUUUGGAAUGACUUGAAUGUGCAUGGAAUGUAUGGUUUUCCUAUCUUGGCUUUCCAGCCUAUUUGUUGUUCCAAGAAGAGUCUAAGUUUUCCACUUGAUAAGCAACUCUUGUUCCUUGUUUCUUGUCAUACUUAUGUGGGUUGCCUAAUUUAUUCUUUCUUGGGAGGGUAUUCGAGUAAGAGGGAUGUUUGGUUGUAUAUGAAGUUUGAGCCACCUUGGCAAAAUGCUAUGAUUGAUUACACUAAUCCUAACCCUCAUACCUUGAUGAACUUGUUUGCUUGUCCUUCCUAUUGUUUGGCAAGGUUCAGAUUCGAGGACGAAUCCUUUCUAAGGAGAAGAGGAUGAUACGGGUAAAAAAGGCAUCUUAGCACUCGAGGACAUGAAGACGUGAGUGAAGACCCGAGCUUGUGGGGCUACCCAUCGAAGUAACAAGAUUUGAAGUGUUGCGAACAAGUCCCAACACUCUAAAACUGUCCAAGGAGUAAACUACAAGGCUGCCCCUUUGUUUGGGCUCAUUAAGGGUCUUUUGGUCAUUUUUGUAAUAAGUGUUGCCCUAGUAUAUAAAUAGAAUAUUUAGGUCAUUUUAUCAUUUAGAACUUUGAUGAUAUAUCUUGUAAACUCAUUGAGAGUGUUUGGCAAGGUGGAAUCAUUGUGGCAACGUGGAAUCCUUGUGUUGUUAACUUGCUUAGAAACGGUGGUUGCUUGGGAGUUCCGAUUCCCUUGAGGUCUCCGUAAGAGUUUAGGUGUAUUGUAUUCAUGUUGUUUGUGUUUUGAUGUUUAAUAUACAUCUUAGUGCCUAUAACGUGUACUACAUUAUGUCUCACUAUCUAUCCUCUUAGUUAUAGUCAUCUUGUUUUCCAUUUUGUGUUGCUUGUUCAUCUCGUGAUAGUGGACUAUUUUGUGCCAUUUCGUGGGCUGUUUUAGUACUUCAUAGGAUGUUCUUGUAUCAUUGCUAGUUAGACAAGGGCUCUCGUGCUUUCACGGUUCGGGGUGCCUAUCACGACCAGAGCCUCGAUUUGGGUUGUGACAUAUAGUCUACAACCUUUUCACUUUACGACCUGACUUUUGUGAUUAAUGUUUGUUGAUUUCGUGACAGAUUGAUAUCAGAGCUUCAUUUUGAAUCUGUACCCCAAUUGAGGUUGAACGAUUUCUCUGACCACAUAAGAUGGAACUUCAGACCCAAUAGGUUUGGAUUAUCAAAUGAAAAUCUAUAGUGUAAUCUAUGGCUUCACGUGAAUCUAAUAGCUUCUCUCCAGAUCCUUUAUAUGUAUUAAAAUGUCGACUAAAAAACUAUUCACAUGUGAUUAUGAACUCAAUUACUAUCCUAUUAACUUGAUUUUGCAGUAGGAACUCCUAUACUUCAAAUCCAAUGUAUCUGUAUCACUUUUUUUGCUAAAAAAGUCUAUUAAUGUUCAAAAUUCCAAACGAAAAUAUUCCUUUCACAAGUUCAUUCAUGUAGGUAAUUGUUUUUAUUGGUAUAUCGAGAGUUCCUCCCCAUAUUAUUUGACAUAAAACAGAUAUCAGAUUCCUCUUGGAUGAUUUAGGCAGAUGGUAGGGUAAUAUAUAUCUGUGCUACUCUAACCACUUGAAUAACUCCGAGCGAUAGAUUUUUCAUCUCCUUCUAAACCUUCCUGCAUUAGACUUUGUGAUGCAAUCCCUCUAAGGUGAUAGUUUCCAUGAUGUGUAUCUGAGUAAAAGUUGCUUCAUUUCUAAUUGAGUAGCAGCUAGAUAACAGACUUCUCUUCGUUAAGAUCAUUAAUCGUAUAUUUAAUGGACUUAAAGGUGCCACCUGCAGAAAAGAAGACACGGUUAGAAGCCAAAAUUCAAAAAGAAUUAACUAGGACGAUUUACCCUAGAACCUCCAUUACCCGGGACAGAUUCAAUACUUCUAAUAAUGGCUUUGUGGCAUCAACUUUGGCGUCAAAUCAUGAGAAUAAACAAUUGAGGCCUUGAGGAUUCUUAACAACGGAACAGGAGAAGCGUGCUCAUCAGUGAAGGAGGCCGAUAGCCAUGUUGAGCCUGUCGAACAUAUUCAACUUGCUAUCUACCAAUGAAAGAGGUAAUAGUCAAUUACGUAGUGCAAUCUAUCAAUAAACUUCUUUUGUCUUAGAAACAAGAGUAAAAUGUGCACCAAUUCAUCUGAAAAUUUAUCACCUUUAGGUAAGUUUUGAGGCAUGACAAAGGCAUCCUAUGACCCUUAGGUGUGCCAAUCUAGGCUCCUUACAAUACAAUAAUUCAUAUGAAGUCUUGUAGCCUAGAACUAAAUAUGGCAAUCUGUUCAUCAAGUACACUUAAGCCUUAAUACAAAAACCCCAAAAUGUAAUAGUAGUUUUGACUGAAAUCGGAUAGCUUUGGUAAUCUCUAGAAUUUGACUAUGCUUCAUCUCCACAGUGUCAUUCUGCUGUGGAGUAUAAGGACAACUACUUUGAUGCAAUAUGUCAUGGAGUUGAAAUAACUCAAUAGUUUGAUGAUUAAAAAACUCAGUACCAUUGUCUGAUCUCACAACCUUAACAUGAGAGUCAAAUUGAGACUUGAUCAUCAACAGGAAAAAUUUAAUGGCAACAAUAGUUUCAGAUUUUAAUGACAACAGAUAAACCCAUACAAAUCUACUAUGAUCAUCUACAAGAAAAUAAUGUUUCUUGUCAAUGGUAGGGACUUGAAAUGGUCCCCAUAGAUCCACGUGAACAACCUCAAUCAUAGUAGAUGCUCUAGAAGUACUAGAAGGGAAAGGGAGUUUAGCUUGUUUAGCUAGGGGACACAAACAGGACAAUUAUUGAGAAUUUCACAAUCAUUCCUGCAAUCCAUCAACUUGAAUGCCACGGCUAGACAUCAGGUAUUGUCACAUUGGCUCUUAUUGUUCCCUUUGAGUUAUUACCGUCCUUAUUCAGAUGCUUUAGCACAGUCUCAGUUUUGAAGAUGUACAAUUCCCCAUUCUCCGUACCAACCCCCCUCACUCUGCCACUCAAGAGGACCUGGAAGACACAAAAGUCAGGGUAGAAGGAAAUGGUAUGUUUUGUAGAGUAUUGUUGUCCAUGUAAUGAACUUUCUAAAAAUGAACAGGGCUUUAUGAUUGAUCGUCACAGUCUGAGUAGGUGAGACUUUAGUCCUUACUGUUGAAAAAAAAUCUUAAUGUUGCAUCUGGGGUUAGUUGUCUGAGUAUUUUAGCUUUACUUGGAUGGUGUUUGGUGGCACUUGGUGGAAACAGUAGCAAGAGUGAUAACCGCCAUAGUGUCCGAGCGAGCUUUCAAGUACCUCGACUAAAUUAAAGUGAUACCUGCUACCUCCUACCAGGAGCAAAUAUCAUGUAAUUUUGUCCACCAGAGCUAGGACAGAGAACGGGGUGGGGUGAUAGGACACCAAAUUAUUGAUUUUAAAGAGAAAUGACCAAAAAUAUGUUUGAACAUUUUUACAAAAGCAUUGAGACAUGAUACAAGACUAAGUGUGUAUCAAGGGAUUCCAACCAACAUAAGAACAACAAGAUGAACAACAAAGUGCCAGUGAAUCGAAAAAUGGCCACACACGGCUUCACUAGGCUUGCAACACUUGUUUUGAACGAGAAAAAUGAUUUUAACAGCAAUAACAACAAAGACAAUAUUGCUGGUGAAUUUAAAGAGCACCACACGGCUUCACUAGACAUUUAGAUUCAACAACACAAUGUUACCAAGAUUUGCAAAAAAAGAGAUAGAAACUUCACACACAAUAUUCAACUUGACACACAAUAUUCAUUCAUCUAAGAACCCUAACAAGAAAAAGGACCCUAAGACUAAUGAAUAUCAAUACCAAGUUCUUACUUGGACCAAGAGGAACUCAAAGAACCCCAAGAACCUAGUUUCUAGCCAAGAUACAACACUACUAUCACUCUACUAGUGAGAUUCGAUUUUGGCCUCUCCAAAUGAGAAAGAGAAGUCAAAAAUAUUACAAGUCUUUUUGUCUUCUAUGAUAUGAAUAAACUAACUAAAAGACUAGCCCUAAUAAAUGGCUUAUAUAGUCAAUUACAAAGGAGGGCAAAAGACCAAAAUACCCUUGACAUUAAGUAGGUGGGUUUAGGGUGUUUUGUUGGGCCUCUUCACACUUUAAUAAGUAUAGGCCCUUAGAUGGGCUCACAAGGGCCUCACACACGGCCAAGGAUGUGAACAAGGCUUGAAGUCAUUGCAACUCACGCGCUUGACUUCGUGUGAAAGGUCUCGAGCUAGGAAUUCCCAUAUCAAGACACAGGGUAUAACAUGUAGCAUUCAGGGUCAAGUUGGCAAUAUUUCCUUUUUCCAAUUUCAGAAAAGUCACUUAUCUGUGUUAUUUCCUUCAAAAAGUUAUUCAUGCACUUUGGUGUACAAAAUUAAUGUUCAAAAUUUCGAACCAAAAAUUAUCCUUUCAAAAGCUCAUUCAUGCACAUAAUUGCUUUUAUUGGUAUAUCGAGAGCUCCUCCAUGUAUUAUUCAACAUCAAACGGAUAUCGGAUUCCUCUUGGAUGAUUUAAGCAGAUGCCAUAGUGAAUAACUCUUGAGCGAUAGAUUCUUGAUGUCUAUCCGAACCUUCCUGCAUUAGACUUUGUGAUGCAAUCCCUCUAAGGUGAUAGUUUCCAUGAUAUGUAUCUGAGUAAAAGUUGCUUCAUUUCUAAUUGCGUAGCUCUAGAUAACAAACUUCUCUUCAUUAAACUCACCGAUCCUAUAUUUAAUGGACUUAAAGGGGUCACCUGCAGAAUUUAACCUAGUAACUCCAUUACCCCGGACAGAUUCAGUACUUCUAAUAAUGGCUUUGUGACAUCAACUUUGGCAUCAAAUUGUGAGAAUAAACAAUGGAGGCCUUGAGUAUUCUUGACAAAGGAAUAGGAGAAGUGUGCUCAUCGGUGAGGGAGGCCUUGAGUACCUCUUAUUGCAUUGGACUUUCUCGGUAACUUUACUACCUACAGAGGUUUCACAUUGUUUGUGAUGAUGGUAUUUCUUUUGAAUAACAAUUCAUUGAACAUAUGUAAAAUAUGUAAUAUGGAUGACUGUUUUAUGAUGUACCGAUGAGUUGUUUGUUUCCUCCUUCAUUUCUCAUUCAUUUUCUUCAUUCUACCAAAGUAACUUCUUCUUCCCUUCCUUCCAAGUUCUCAGGAUCUGAUAUAUAAAACAUGCAUAAAAUGUCAUUUUCGAGAUAUUGGUUAAGGUCAAACAUCAAAUGGUGUUUACAAAAGAUUAUGCCAAAAUGUUAUAUACAUUAUCGUCAUAAGUCUUCUGAAAAAAUUUGCGAAAAUUAUCUGCACACAUCACAACAAAUGCUUGCCAUUUUAAUUUGUUUUUUCCUUAUUACCGAAAGCUUAUUGUGAUGAAACAGGGUCACAUCAUCUACUCAUUUCUACUUAAAGUUAACAAAAAGUUCAGUUGAGAAUUCAUCAAACACAUCGUAAACAAUACGCAUAAAUUUGGUUUCUAAGAAGCAAAACAAUAGAGAAGAACCUGUCUUAGAUAAUGGGAUAUUAUUCGGGCCAAGGAUUUGAAGCUUGUCUUCUCCCGUCAUAUCUUCAACAUAUUGUUUAAUUCCAGAGUUGAAUCUUCAAGUUGAGGGCUCUCUACAAGUUGGAUAAUUUUUAAUGAACAAAUAUCCCCAAAAUUAGGUGGAAUCUCUGUAAGCUUACGACAUUCCCACAGUACUAAUUUCUCAAUCACAGGAAAGGAUUCCUCUCCAACCUCCCACUUAGCAAGAGUCACUUCAUACAACUCCAAAUAUUUGAGAUUCUCAAAGGUGUCUUCUUCCCCCAUGUUCCAUUCUUCCUUCUGCAUGAUUGUACUAGAAAGGAACAACUCUUCAAGGUUGGGCAGUCUCGCUAUUGUUGAUAGUGAAUCGGAUGUCAGAGGAAAGUUCCACAAUACCAAUUCUUUCAAAUUGGAAGGAAAAUGAAAAUCCCACGACCAAUUUGUCGCUAAAGAGGGCCCACUGUCAUUUGUGUUUGAACUUUCAAAAUCUGCUCUAAGGUAAUCUAGUUCAGUUAAGUGAUCCAAUUUUGGGAACCAAUAUCGCUCUUUUGAGUAAUCCCAUGAUUCCUUGAGAUCAAAUACAAGACUUUGAAGAUUGGGGAACCUUAUGAAAAUAUCCUCUGUUUCUUUCGAAAAAGAAAGCACGAGUGUCCUUAAAUCUCUCAAGUUCUCUAACUUUGAGUGCUCUGCUAUCAGUAUUGGUUCAUCUGUAUCCAUAUCAAUAUCAAGGAAAGAACAAGAAGUCAUGUACAACACUCGCAACUUUGCAAGAUCCCAAAUACUAGGUAAUAGUACCAAGGUUGAUCCUUUGUUUUCAACCCAUACGGUCUCUAGAUUCCAGAGGUUUGAGAAAGAUGAAGGCAGCGAUUUAACUUCUGUCCCAAUUCUUAAGAACCCAAAAUGAUUCAACAUGCCUAUUUCAUUCAGCAAAGAAUCUUUCACCAUCAUAACAGAGGGAUCGAAGUACAACACUCUAAGAAGCCUCAAGUCUCUUACGUGACAUGCAUCAGAAAGACGAUCUUCCAUCUCGUCUCCAAUUAUCAACAAAGAACAGAGGUGCUUACCAGAAUGCCUUUUCUUUUUUUAACUGAACAGGACGAAAUUGUUAGGCUCAAAGUGCUCCUUAUCAUAAUUAAUGGUCACUAUGCUUGCCAUCAAAUCUGAAGAAGAAGAUGGAUCACUUGAACUUAUCCUGCCAAACAACUUUUCCUCUCUUGCUUUUAUCAUACAAAAGUCUUGUACAAGAUCAUAUAGCUGGCAAGUCGGGUUAUCACCUAUCUCAUUGAAAGCAAUUAUCCAAGUAAAUUUCCAUCACUUCUUCCAAACUCUUCAUACCCGUCUGUUCAACAAGCCCUUCAGCACGCAAAUACAUUUUCAACAUAACUCUAUGCACUGCAGUGUCCUUUGGAAAAGACGCAUGGUAGAGAAAGCAUGGCUUCAUGUGAUGAGGUAAAUGGUCAUAACUUAAUUCUAUAACUUUCAUCACAUCAACUUCACUGCCGAAAAUAAUGGAAUUCAAAUUAUUUCAAACUUCAAGCCACACAGCCUUUUUCUUUUCCAAACCUGCAAUGACUCCAGCAAUCAGAUCAGCCACCAAAGGAAGUCCCUCACAAUUUUGGGCUAUUUCUUUUCCAACAUCCAAUAGUUCAUCAGGGCAACUCUGCUCUCCAAAUGCCCUUUUUUCUAUUAACUCCCAACAUUCUUCUGGACUUAGCAAUCAAAGAUUAAGAGGAUCAGUGUUGACCUUUCCAUGAAAAGCCACUUCCUUUUGUCGAGUCGUCAAAAUAAUUCUACUUCCUUUCUCAAGAUCAGGGAAAGAUCUUGUUAAAUCAUCCCAUGUAGUAGUAUCCCACACGUCAUCUAACACAAUUAGGUACCUCUUUCCAAACAGUUGUUUCCGUAGCAUAUCAGCAACAUCAAUAUCCUCACUGAACUUCAAAUCCGAGCCCUUCACUUGAUUAAAAAGUUUCUCCAACAACUUCUUCUCAUCAUAUUUUUGGUCGACUGUGCACCAUGCACGAAGGUCGAAAUGACUACAAACUGAUUCGUCAUUGUAUACUUUGUACGCCAAAGUAGUUUUGCCCGAACCCGGCAUACCAGUGAUUGAAAUGACAUCUAGAUUUGCUGGUCCGCUGGUGAGCUUCCUAAUUAACCAGUUUGUCUCCUCCUUAAAACCUACAAUUAUUUUACCAGUUGUCAAUGAUUUUCUUUCAGCUGGACUCUUGGGAGAGUUUACAACAAUGAGGGUCUUGCUCUUGGGAAUCUUCUCCAGCAAUUGGUAGACAUCUUCUUUGAUAAGGUUGAUCUUUUUUAUGGUGAUGGGAAGUGAGAAAAUAAGAUGUAAGAGACCAUUAUCUCGUACAAUAAUUGAAUCAAUGACAUCUUUUGCCUUAUAUGCCACAUCUAAAACACGUGCCCAGAGAUCUUUAUACAAUCCUUGCUCAACAUUCACAAAGAACGAUCUUAUGAAUUCGAGAGCUUCUUUCACCAGUCUAAUGUCAUCCUUUAUCAAAGCAAUUGAAUAAGCAUUGGACUCUAGCAGAUCAUUCAAGUGGAUGAGUAGAAGACGCAUGAAGAGCGGGCCAUCAUUCAUAGGGAAGCAACAUUGAUAUGAGUCCGGAGGUUUCAGAUAAACAUGUCCAAAAUCUUCCUUGAGGAGUUCCAUUUUUUCUUCCAGCGAGUCUACAGUCGCACGACAUGUUUCAUCGGUACUCUCUUCAUUCCUUGAUUUUUUUUCUAAGUCGUGAACGAGAGUUGAUACCUCCCUGAUAAGUGCUCCAACACGUGCCAAAAGAUCAAAUGAUUUGUCGUGAUGAAUAAAGUCCUUCGGCAUAUCAGUAAGAACAAUUAAAAGGAACUCUAUCAUGACAUGAAUGUUUCGAGCCCCUGGAGUUGUAACGGUAAUGACAUUUACCAUGUGCUCUUGUAGAUGAAUCAGAUACUCUCUAAGAAUGUCUGGAGAGAUUUCCAGGAGAUUCUUAAUGAAGCGUCCAACUUCUGCUGAAGUUAAAGGUUUCAAAUUUGUAUAACAUAUUUGCAUUACCUCCAGUUCAAUUGGAAUAAUCUUCAUGAGUAGAUGUGCUAGCUUGAAGAGUCGAGAAUCUCCAUAAGUUCGACUAUUCCAAAAGAAGAUUCCAACUCUCUCAGCCAUGAGUUGAAACUGAGGCGAGACAUAUAGAACAAUCUCGUGCUCAACGCAACCAUUCACCAUCAAUCCAUGGAAAUCUUUCAUGUUGCCAGACACUUUCUGAAGAAUCUCAUACUGAGUCUCUAAUGGAAAACUCUGUUCAGCAGCAUACUUGGAUAGAUAAUGGAGAUUCAAGAGGAGGAAGUCCAACUGCUCGUCAGUCAUGGUGGCACUUGAUGUAGAAUGAUGACACAAGCUGAUACAAUCAUCGAUAUUAUCCACGAGGCUAGGAAGGACAUGAUCCAUGUUGUGUUUACACCCGACGUUGUUGUCAACAUCAUCCAAAAUUGGUCGAAGCAGAUUCUCAACCGCUUGUCUUGCCUCACUCAUUACAUCUUCAAAAAAUUUCAAAUCACAAUGAGAAAGCUGGACGUACGUACAAAUAAAUGUCAGCAUCGAUUUCAGCUCUUCAAUUUGAUUGGCCAUGUUGACAGCAUUUUAACCUCCUUCAUUCUUUAACCCCUCCAAGAAAUCCAGAACGUUGACAACGUCCUUGCGAAGAGCAGAAAAUGACACCUGCCAAAUGACCAAGCCAUUGUUUUAUUUAUUUUCUAUAUUUAUCAGAAUAUCAAGUAAAUAAGCAAACCCAUUAAAUUGAAGUCAUGCAUGUAUUGAUUUUCAUAUCAGGAAGGAAAAAUUUAUACAUUGAUUUUGCACGAUUGUUGGGUUUAUCAACAGUUUUGGUGCUUCAAAUGUUCUAUCACUAAAGGCAUAUAUUUUUCUUGCAAUUGGACUUUUGAAAAGAACUUAAAAUAAUUUUUAAUGUGGCCAUAAUUUUUAGCUAAUGUUUUAUUCAAAAUCUCUUGAAAAUCUCAUGAUAAAUGAUACAUUGUAAAUCUCUCAAGAAUUUUUUUAGUUAUCAUUUAAUUUUUUCUUCACCCACCUAAUUAAUAAAUCUUCAAUAUUGCUCUUUUUCCGCAAUGAUAAAAGAAAUUAGAUGUCAUUUUCAUCUUUGAGCUGAAAAUUAUGAAAAAAUAAUAGUGAAAAGUCAUUUAAAGGUUAUAUUUGUGUUGUUUUGAAUAGUGCACCGUCAAAAUUUAAGGUCAAAGUUAUAAUUUAGUGUCAAGUUUAGGGUCAUAUUUAUGUAUUAUGCCCUUAGAUUUUAAGUUGGACGCGCCCAGUUUUGCAUGUUGAACACGCAUUUUACCACGUAUGAUCGGGGGUCAUAUUUGUGCAGUUUUGAAUAGAUAAAGGUCAUAUUUGUGCACUGUCAAAGUUUAAGAUCAAAAUUAUAAUUUGAUAAAGUUUUGGAUCAUAUUUAUGUAUUAUCUCAUUAUUUUUCUAAUUUUUUUUUUGUUAAAAUAAAAAGCCACAUGGAUUUAGCCACAUGGAUUUAAUUAAACGAAAAUUUGCCAGAAUAACCCCCUCUACUUUCAAAACUUAUAUACAUCUAAUCUCCAUCUUUCAAUAAUCUGAACCAAAAUUUGACCUUUUAUUGAAUUGUAUUUUCAGGAUAAUUAACACAUAGUUCAAUAACUUAAAUGGAACAAAAGUUUAAUUUUAUGACCAGAUACAAGUAGUAAAGUUCAUUGAUUUUAGUGAGUCAAAAUUAGUUUAUAAGUGACUAAUUAACAGAUACAUAGAUAAGUAAAGUUCAGUGAUCAUGACAUACCUCAAAAUUAUUUGCUUUCCCUUUCUCCGGAUCUGAUGUAUUAAAAAAGUAGAUAAAAACUUCACCAGAUGAAAAAAGAAGAAGCAUAAAAUUAAUUUCUUUAUCAUUUUUAUUUCUACAGAUCUUAAUACCAGAAUUAAACAAAGUAAAUUUAUUAGAGACUAACCUUUAUCACUUAAUAAAAGUAUGUUUUUGUGUACUCUCCAGAAAACUAUUAGCUUGAAAAAUGAAAAGCUGAAAAUUAGAAGAUAAGAGAGAACAAAUGAUUGAUGUUAGGUAGAAAAUGAUGCAUAGUAUUUCCAAAAAAGUUUAUAAAGCAAAAGCAAAUGGGGCCUCUACUCAAGUGGGAAUAAUAAUAUGCAAUAGGGAAUAUUGGCCAUGAAAUUUUUAUUUUUUUUUAGAUAAGUAUCCAUUAUCUUUCGAACUAUGAUCAAAGCUGCUCCGAUAUAUUCCUUCACAGGAGUUAUAUUAUCCCUGAAUUCAAUUUUAACAUAUUUUUAUCGCCCAAUGUGGCACCUUUAUAACAUAAAAUGAGGCUCACGUUAAUGAUAUUAUAUCAGCAAAAAAAGUUGACAAAAGGUGUCACGUCAGUUAAAAAGAUUGAGAAAAAUACGUUAAACUUUAGUUCAGGAGGGUAAUAGAAUCCUCGUAAAGUUGGAGAAUGUCGUAGCGAAUUUGAUCAUAGUUCAAAAGUUACUAGGUGUUUUACUCAAAAGAAUACAUAAAAAUCAUAACAAGAAACAAUUUUGACAUCCAAAGUCCUAACUGAACCAUUGAAAACGUCAAUAUCUAUCCACCCAACGUAGAGAGUUUGAUUUCAAAUCUUAUGAUUUAUUAACCUCUAUGUGAAAUCUUUCCUUCUCCCACAAACUCUUUCAGUUGUUGGAUGCACAAAAUAACCUAGUGGAUGAAAAUAAUUUCUGUACGAAAAAGUUAAAGAAAAAAAUGGUGCAUGGUAUUCCAAAAAAGUGAAUCUAAAAAGCAGAAGCAUUAAUCAAUUUCAAUGAGGCCUCACUUGUUUGCCACUAGGCCCUCGGCAUAAAAUAUCAAAAAUUAAAUUACCGAAUCGAAUUUAAAAAAUUUGAUAAUUAGUAUUCGGUAAUUUGAUAUUUGAUAUGAUAUUUGGGAGUAAAAUUUCAAUAUUUUGGUAUUCGAGAUUGAAUUUGGUACAAGAUAUUAAUACCGUUUGGUAUUCGGUAUUUACCGAAUAAAUAGACAAUAAUAUUAGUCAUCCCAAAGAAUCUUUUGGACCUUGGUAAUAUAUUCAUAAAAAGCAACAAAACAAAAUACUAAAUAGGGUUUCUAUUAAAUAUACUCUUUGAAGUUUAAACGUACAUGUGCACAUGUCCAACUUUAAUAUGGUAUUACCAAAUACCGUACUUAACCAAAGUUUAAUUUACCGAUUACCGAACUGAUGUUUAUAAGUAUGUUAUAUGAUAUCUAUGUUCAAAUACCGAUUAUCGAAUUAUCGAACCCAAACUUUGAAAAUACCAAAUCGAAUACCGAACGCCCACCCCUAUCUGCCACAAAGUCUAAAAGGAAAGAAAGUUAAUCAGACUUUUAAUACUGCUCACUUUGUAUGAGACUUUAUUAUUAAAAUUGUUUGAAAGUUAAUCGGAUAACAAUUCUAAUAGAGAAAGUGUAUUGAAAAAAUUGAGUAAGAGCAAAUCAGAAAUGCAUGUAAGGAUGUGUACAAUAGGCACUUGUGAUUCAGCCUUCUUAGAUUUUGUGCAUAACGGGAACUUACUACCUACAUAUGAGAAAAUUAAAAAUAUAUUUUUCUCCAUACCAAACACACCCUUUACUUAUAAGUAGAGAUUGUUUUCUGGAGUUGAUUCAUUAAAUGGUCAGAAAAUCACUUACUUUUUGAAGAAAAUUGAAAUGAUUUUCUGAGAUAAUAACUACUCUCUUCAUUCAUUUUUGCUCGUACAACAUAUUGAAAAUAGAUGUCCAAUAUUUCUUUUUCAGUUUGAAAAAUCAAUGAAUAGUUUACUAAAAAAAGAAGUUUAACGCUAAAAUAAUAAGCAAAUAGACGAGUAUUGAUAAUAUAAAUAUCCAUAUCAAACAGAAUAAUGUUUAUAAAAAGGCCAAAUCAAUGAAAUUAGUUUGUUUAGUUGAUGACUAUAAUAACUUGAUAACAUUUGUGUGGAGGAGAAGAUAAAGAGAGAAGGGUUAGGUAGAAAAAAUUCCUUAAAUCUGGUGUAAAAAAGAAAGAAGCAUAAAAUUAAUUUCAUAGCAGUUUUUGCACAUAUAAAUAAGUCAAUUAUUUUUUGUCGACUUCAAUGAGUAAAAUUAGAGAUGUGAGUAACAUAAUUAAACACACUAUAUUUUUAAGUUAUUAGUAGAGACUAACCUUUUUAGUUGAUGAAAUAUCUGAAAUGGCUGCUCUUUGAUUUUGUGUAUGACUAUAUUAACUUGAUAACAUUGAAUGGAGGAGAAGAUAAAGAGAAAAGGAUGUGCGGGUAAUAAUAGGACACCAAAUUAUUGAUGUUAGUAAGAAAAUGUAGAUAGCUUGCAACUAUUAUAUAUAUGUUGCUCGGAUACUUCAAAAAUGUUAUUACGCUAAUGUCGGAUUCUUCGAAAAUACGCUACUUUUGGAGGAUUCAAUAUGUACCCUUCGACAUUAUUGAAGAGUUUGAACUACAUAAUUUUUAAGAAGGUAUGUAAAGUGUGACUGGGUGGUGUUGCUCUUUUGACUCUGGUUACCCUAUUGACAAAAUUUCAAGAACAAUAUGAUCCUUUUACUUACAGGACUUAGAUGUCUCAUAUUUUUCAAAAAAGUGAUUAGAUUGAUACGAUUUGGUAUGAGAUCGAUGAUCUCAAUGAGAUUGAUAUUCCAAUCUUUCUUCUUACAAAGUAUUGAUUUGACCCCUUAAGCAGAAUCAAACAUAUUGCCUCUAAAAGGAGAACUUAAUAUUUCUUUUAGAGAAUCUCCUAAUUAUUGCAGAGCAACUAGAAAGAGAUUCUUUAACUAGAAAGAAUUAGGUCCAAAUGUAGGAUACCUAUCCAUAAGUUUUCGCAACUCAAUCAUAGAUGAUGGAAUCAUAAAAAAUUUGACAGUUUUGAUCUACAGGCAACGCUUUUGACUUUUGACCAUAAAGGUUUGCGCAUGAGGCAAGUGAAGUCAAAAGUCCAAGACUACUUGAUUAUUAGGUAUAUCAAAAGUAGCUAAAUUAUGGCUAUCAAGCAUACCAGUUUCCUAACUAAAUUAUCACCAAAUGUAUAUCACAACUCUAUGAAUUGUUUACUUUUCUAUCAUCAGGUCCCAAAAAAAAAGAGGAACAAAUGAUAGUUGAGGCGUAUUUUGAUAAACAUUUUGAUAAUAGUUUGACUAGAAAACUAGCAUAAUGAAUAGUUUAGAUAAGAAACUCGAAAAAAUAGGAUAUUUUAGACGUGGCGUAAUUUAUGUACAUACCUCUAGUCCACUUGGAGUAAUUUUCAUGAGUAGAUGAGCAAGCUUGAAGAGUAUUGAGUCUCUUUCAAUAUCAUGCUUUUUUAUAUACAUAAUAUGAUUUUUCUAUGAAAAAGUAAUAAUUGGCUAUCUUUCAUUAAUAGGUAACAUUUCUUAUUUUAAAAAUUGAAUUUUCAAAUUUCCUGAGACCCAUCACGAGAUCUGAGCGAAAAUUGACCAGCGGCCCUCCGGCGGACUAUGAAGCGGAUCUGAGUGGUCCGACGGGACCACCUAGUCCACUUGGGUGGUCAAAUGGACGAAACGGUGAGAACCGAGUAAUUUUUGGUCUCUUUCGAUGGGUGUACGCCCACGGUUUGGUGGAUGGGCCUAGGGCCCAACACAGGAUUUGGAUGAAAAUAGAUUGGUGCCCCCCCCCCCUCCCGGCGGCCUGUGGAGUGGAUUAAGUGGUCCGACAAGGCCGCCUAGGUCAUUUGGGUUGUCAAGUGAAACGGUGCGAACAGACCAUUUUUGACCAUUUUCGGUGGGUGUUAGCUCAAGGUUUGGCGGAUGGGCCCAUGUCCCGAUGUGGGAUCUGGAUGACAAGGUUACGAAUUAGACACUUAAAAAAAUUAAGGAUAAAAUUAUUUUGUGUCGAGUACAUCAAAGAUAUAUUUAGCGAUUUUUUUGGAUAUAUCACAUUUUUUGAAUACAUCACUUAAUUUUACAAGGAUAUAUGACAUUCUUCAGUGAUGUAUUCACACUUUUAAAUAAAAUCAAGGAUUUAUGUAAUUAUGUAAAAAAAGGUUAGGAUUUUAAGCAGUUAUGAUAAGAUAAGUAAGUGGUAUUAAGUGGGAAUUUUAAUUUGCACACAUUAUUAAUUUUUCAUUGAGAAUCUAUAAUCUAUAAUAUACAAUAUAUAAUAUAUAAUCUAUAUCUAUAAUCUAUCAUAUAUUAAAAGUGUAAAGACCCUUAGAAAAGUGAAUUGAACGUUUUGCCAUUCAUUAAAAGUCACCGCUUUAGAUAAAAUCAUUUUUUCGCUAUUUUUUUAUUAUUUUAAUGAUAUUAAAUAUUGACUAUAGUAACAAAUAAAAACCUUCCCAAACAAAAAUAAGAUAUUGUUUUGACAAAAACCUUUCCUGGCUAAAAUAGAAUCAAUCAAAAUUUAAGAUUAUAUUUUCUACAAAUUAUUUUCUUGAAUUAAAUAUCACAAUUAAAAUACUUGAAUACUAAAUCUUUUCUUAUAUUCUUCUUCUUUUCAUGUUCUUUUUCUUCUUUUCAUGUCAAAUAAAUAUAAGGAAAGAUUAUAUUGGACACAUGAAAACAAAAGAAAAAAUUAUAUAGAGAUUUAUGAUAGUAUUUACUAAUACUGACUUUCUCAAGUAUAUUUAAUGUUCAGGAAGAAAUUACUAGUACAAAAGAAAAUGUUCAGAAAGAAAUUUUAUGAUCUAGUAUAUUUAUGAUAUACUUACUAAAAAAAAUAAUUUUUGAAUAUCGUAUUAGUAAGUAUUUCAAAAAAUUUAAAAUUUAUUUGAUAAUUUAUUUGUUUUAUUGUUAUUCAAGGUUUAUUUAAUCUGGAGAAAAACUUAUCUUAAAAAUUAACUUCUAAUUGAAGAAGUUUUAUUUUCUCAGGGUUUUUAUGCACUCCUUUAUAACAUUGGCUUUUCAUGGAAUAAUGAGGGAAUAAUGCAAAGACGAUAAAUGUUGGUAAUAGUUCAUGUAAUAAACUAAAAAUAUUGAGAUAUUUUAUGCGUGUUUUUGACCCUUCACUUUUUUUCAUAAGUCAUCAUAAGAAUUUUUAAGUUGUUUGUUGAAUAGGGGGAAAGAGGGAUUUGAAAAUCUCAUAAUUUAUUGUGGACGAUCAUUUAAAUGUAUAGAGCAAUUGGUGAAAGAUAAGGUAGGAAAUUAAAAAUUUUGAGAUACUUUAGGUUAUGUUUUUGACCCGUCGCUUUAUUGAUCAUAAAUCAUCAUAAUAAUUUCGAAGUUGUUUGUUGAUAGAGGAAAAAGAAAGAGUGAUUUGUAGUAUGAGAUCUCAUAAUUUGUUUCAGACUUACACAAUCAUAUAGAUGUAUAGAACGUUUGGUGAAAGUUUGGAUAGAGAACUAAAAUAAUUGAGAUACUUUAGGUUAUGUUUUUGACCCGUCGCUUUAAUGAUCAUAAAACAUCAUAGUAAUUUUGAAGUUGUUUGUUGAUAGAGGAAAAAGAAAGAGUGAUUUGUAGUAUGAGAUCUCAUAAUUUGUUUCAGACUUAGACAAUCAUAUAGAUAUAUAGAACGUUUGGUGAAAGUUUGGGUAGAGAACUAAAAUAAUUGAGAUACUUUUUGUGUAUUUUUUAUUCUCACUUUAUUUAUACAUCAUUAUAAUAAUUUUCAAGCUAUUUGUCAAUAGAAAAAAAGAGUAGUGUGUUGUAGUAUGAGAACCCAUAGUAAUUUCGAUAUGAAACUAAAAAAAUCUAGAUAUUUUAGGUGUGUUCUAAGUUACUAAGGAAAAGUGGAGGACAAGGACAAAUUCGAAUAAAAUCUCUAUCGAUCCUCAAGUAAUGAAUGUUAAGCCCAGAUUGACGAAUGACAUUCCAACUAAAGUAAUUAAUUUCUACAAUUACUUUAAGAUUUAUCUUUUAUCUGAUUUGAUUUAAAUAGAAGAAAUUUAUUAGCUAGUCAUUUUCAUCCUUUUAAAUACACCCAUAACCAACUGAAUACAAAUUUAAAUUACUAAAAGAUUUUGCUAUUCAAAUUUUGAAGUGAAAAAUUGACUUGUACCCUACAAUUCUGUUGUAUUUGAUCUAAGUAGAUUUAUGAUGCAAAUAAGAUUUCAAUGCUUCCUUCAGUUGUCGUAUAUAGACUAUAAAGCAUAUUUUUUCUUUGAUAAAGUUGAGUGCAUUAUAAGAGAAUAGCUAUUUUAUCUAUGAAUGUGGCCAUGAUUAUCUAAGAUUUGAUAGGAAUAAUUGACAUAUUUGGUUGUUAGUAUUAUUUGUCUAACUACAUUAUUUUACAUACCCGUGAAAUAAUGGUUUAUAUUAUAUUUAUACUAUAUUAACAGUGUGAAGACCUUAGAAAUAUUAUUUGAUUUUUUGUCCUUUAUUAAAAGUCUCUGCUUUAGAUAAAAUCAUCUUUUUAUUAUUUUUUUAAACAUUUAAGAGUUGAAAAUUAAUUAAAUAUUUAUGAUAAAACCUUUUAUUAAUAGAAGUAAUCAGAAUUAAUGAUAACUAAUAUCUUUUUCAUUAAUUUAAGAAUUCGAAAUCAACUAAAGUUGAUUUAAAGAAGGUUUGAAAAAUCUAGAAAUAAAUAAGUUUGAAAAUUCUAGAAAUAAAUAUGAAAGCAAUAAGAAAAGUCAAAUUUUGAAAGUUUUAAGUAAGUAAUCAAAGAUUUUCUAAAUAUUUAACUUUAAAAUAAGGAAAGAUUUUAAAUAUAGAUAAAUAAAAAAAGACUAUCGUACUACAAAUAUAGUUCAAGUCGAUGUCUCUCUCUUACCCUCUAACAGCAAAGAAAAGAGGUACCACAUGACAAACGCAAAAGUGACGAUCCAUUAACCACUUGAAACUUUUGGUAGUAUAUGUUAUAUUUACAUUACUAUAUUAAAGUGUGAAGGAUAUUUGAGAAGUGAUUUGAACUUUUUGCAUUUUACUAAACAUCUUCGCAAUAGAUAAAAUUGAAGCGUAUUACAACAAAUUUCGUCAAAGAUUAGGUAUAUUUCGAAUCCUUUUCCCUUUAAGAAACUAAAAAUAUACCAAAACAUUAUAUUUAAAGGGUCAAAAUAGACAUUACACACAUAAAUAAGUAAACAAUUUUGGCUUUAUAAAAAAAAAAAACUUAUUAUUUCAAUUGAAAUUUUGUAGAAGUAGAAUCUUGAUUAAAAAUAAAAAUAAAAAAUCCUCCAUAGUUUAGAUUCCUUGGAGUUUUGUCAGAAGUACUAGGUAUAUGGGGUUCCUCCAUUUUCAACACUUAUGACUUUGCAACUCCAAAAAAACAAGAAUCACCUUUUACAAUCUACUUUAUAGGUAGUUUACUUUAAGUUUUGCUUCAUUUUUUGUUGUGUUUCUUGUUUAUUCUUUGUUAUUUUUACGAAAUAUGUAGUGGGGUUGUGCUAAUUUGGGUGAAUUCAAUGUUUAUUCUUUGUUAUUUUGCUGAAAUAUGAAGUGGGGUUGUGCUAGUUUGGGUGAAUUUAAUGAGCACAUCGUUCUUUUUGGGUAUUUAAGGGGCAUUACUGCAAGUUUUGGUUCAAGAUUUGAUUUUUUGCUGUGUAUUUCUGUUUGUUUUUUUGUUAUGUUGAUGAAUUAUGGAAUGGGGUUGUGUUAGUUUGUUAUUCCUUUCUUUUUUAACCCAUCUCUAGCUCCAUUAGUGACUCGAACUCACAAUCUUCGGUUUGGAAGUGAGGGGUGCUUGCCAUCCGAGCAAGUUUGUUAUUCUAUUUUGGGUCAAGAUUUGAUUUUUUGCUGUGUAUUUCUGUUUGUUCUUUGUUGUUUUUCUGAAAUAUGAAGUGGGGCUGUGCUAGUUUGGGUGAAUUUAAUGACCACAUCAUUCUUUUUGGGUAUUAAGGGGCAUUACUGCAAGUUUUGGUUCAAGAUUUGAUAUUUUGCUGUGUAUUUCUGUUUGUUCUUUGUUAUGUUGAUAAAUUAUGGAAUGGGGUUGUGCUUGUUUUUUUUUUUCUUUUUUUAACCUCUCCCUAGCUCCUUUAGUGACUCGAACUCACAGUCUUCGGUUUGGAAGUGAGAGCUGCUUGCCAUCCAAGCAACUUUGUUAUUCUGUAUUGGUUCAAGAUUCGAUUUUUUGCUCUGUAUUUCUGUUUGUUCUUUGUAAUUUUGUUGAAUUAUGGAAUGGGGUUGUGCUAGUUUGUUAUUUUUUUGUCUUUUUUAACCCCUCUCUAGCUCCCUUGGUGACUUGAACUCACAACCUUCGGGUUGGAAGUGAGGGGUGCUUGCCAUCGGAGCAACUCCGUCUUGUCUGCUAGUUUGUUAUUCUGUUUUGGUUCAAGAUUCGAUUUUUUGCUGUGUAUUUCUGUUUAUUGUUUGUUAUUGUACUGAAAUAUGAAAUGGGGUUGUGCUAGUUUGCUAUUCUUUUCCUUUUAAACCCCUCCCUAGCUCCCUUGGUGACUCGAAUUCAGGACCUUCGGGUUUGAAGUGAUGGGUGCUUGCCGUCCGAGCAACUCCGUCUUGUCUACUAGUUUUUAUUCUGUUUUGGUUCAAGAUUCGAUUAUUUUGCUGUGUAUUUGUGUUUAUUCUUUGUUAUUGUACUGAAAUAUGUAACGGUUUUGUGCAAGUUUGGGUGAAUUUAAUGUCCGCAUCAUUCUUUUGGGGAAUUUAAAGGACAUUACUGCAAGUUUUGGUUCAAGAUUUGACUUUUUGCUGUGGAUUUCUGUUUGUUUCUUUGUUAUUUUGAUGAAUUAUGGAAUGGGGUUGUGCUAGUUUGUUAUUCUUUCCUUUUUAACCCUUCCCUAGCUCCCUUGGUGACUCGAACUCACGACCUUCGGGUUGGAAGUGAGGGGUGCUUGCCAUCCAAGCAACUCCGUCUUAUAUACUACCAUCAACUUUUAUGGUCUGACUUCUCGGUGCUUCGCUAUAUUUUGAUCCGUUACUGCUUCAUAAAUGCCACAAUAUCAUUCUUUUUGGGAAUCUAAUAUCUAUGAAUUAAAUAGAUCCAAAUAGAUACAUAGGAUGAUUGAGUUGGCUACAUAGGUGGUUGAUUGAUUCUUUUUCAAGAAAAAGGAAAGUAGUGUCUAGAAGGGAAGUGAAGCCAUUGUUGAAGGAGAGAGAUGGCGGAUAGGUCUGAAUUCGUACGAGUUACAGGACACAGAUUAACAGCAAGUGCAUUUGCUAUUCCAUCCUUAAAAUUCUCUCUCUUUUUUAAUGUAACCCGUUAGACGAACUUGCUAGGAGAAAUUAAUUAGAGUUUCCGAGCUAAGAUGUUAUAUGAAGAGUGUAUCCAGUCAAUUACGGCUAGCAGCGCUGCAUUUUCUCUCAGAUAUGGAUUUUGCGUGACUUUGCUUCAAUUUUUAUUACUUCCCCAAACCUGUUGACUUUCUGGGGAGAAGUGGGAUCAGGAAACCAACAAUAAAUCUGUGGGUUACCGUGCCGACUUGCAUCUGUUGGAUUUUGUUGACGGAAAGCUUUCUCUGUACUAAGGUUUACAGAUGUCUUUGGCUUAUGGCUUUUUGGUGCAACUUUCAGGAUGUAAAGAAUGAAAACAGUAUGUUCGAUUUCAGCAAUUCACUACAAGAAUAGAUUUCUGUAUAGACUGCGUGCCCCUCUUUUGUUCUUGCAUGGGGGGAUAUUCUGCUUUGUGCCUACAGAGAACCUUCUCAGCGCUUUGCUGUUUAUCUCAAUAUAGUUAAUUGCCGGUUGUGAAAAAAGAAAAUCAGAUUAGGUUCUUUCUGUUGUGUAUCCCUUCCCCCCCUUACUUUUGGUUUUCUCUGGGUAACAAGAUUUAUGUUCUUCAAUUUACAAAAGGAAUUUCAUGAAGAAUUUGUUUGAAAUUCAUCCACACCUAUUCUUAUCAACCUUGCAAUACCAGGCUCGACCAAAUUCUUUUUUUUGUUACUUUUUGUAUAUUAUUUAAAAUUUUACCAUAUGUCAUAUUUGGCUAGUAUUUUCUCAUUUAUCUGUGUUCUCUUGUUGCAGGUCAGUUCUGAAGUUGGAUGUCUGAUUGUGCUCGACAGAGAUAUAAAGGUGAAGUUAAGAGAUAAAACUUACAUUGACAUUGAUGAACUAUGCCUGUUUUUGGUUAUUUUCUUCCUUAGUGUCUAUGUUGCUCGGACUCUUCAAAAAUAUCAGCGGGUGCGUGUCGGAUUCUCCAAAAGGAGUGUACUUUUGGAGAAUCCGACACGGGUGCGACAUCGAAAGUAAAGAGUCCGUGCAACUUAGCUUAGUGUUAAAAGCCAAAAUAAGUCCAUGCCACGUUUCAUGUUCACUAAUGCUUUCCCUUUUGUUCCAGCGCUAUUUUGUUUCAGUGCUAAUGGGGGCCAAGCGCACAAGAUUACAUGGUGAAAGUGACGACUGGAAAAAGUAUCCAAUUCCACCUGGUUUUGAAUCGCCAAUGCCCUUCACAUUAAAGGAGGUAGAAAAUAAUGAGAAAGCCUGUAAAUUUGUCGCUGUUGGGAAUGAGUCUGAGCAAGAUCCCAGCCAGGCGGCAUCUACUUCAACAAUUAUUAGCGUAGGAAAGCUUAAGAGUUCUGUUAGGUGUAGGCCUUGGAUACUUGAUGAUGAUGUUGAUCACAUGGAAGAAGAUUCUGGAUGUGAAGCUGAUAAGGUUAGUAAGAUUUUCAUAAUUUUUUCUCAUAAAUCCUGUUUUAAUUUCCAUUACAGUAUAAACAACGCUACGUCUGUUGUUGUAUGCUUAGUAUAAAAAAAUUAAUAGUAGAUUUCAAUUAAAUUGAUUAUGCUAUAAGUUUUGAGCUUGUGUCACCUUCAAUAUCCCCUCGUGCUUUUUUUUUAUUGAGAAGGCAUGAAAAGAAGAGUGAAUACCAUAGCUGAUGCUCCUGGUUUGAGAGGAUGAGAUAAACAUAUCUGGUGAGAGAUGCAUAUACAGAAAACUAUUUUUGUGCUUUACCGAGGAUUAUUCCUGUUGAUCGUAUGCAUCCCUAUAUUUUUUGGAACAAGAAGAAACCCAUGUUAACUGUCAAAAACCUGGUGAUUUCUUCCCAUCUGUCAUUGCCGUAGUGACAGAGUUACCUGUUACCGGCAGGAGGUGGUGGAUAUCUCGUGAAUUAGUUGAGGUGUGCACAAGCUCGCCCAGACACUAUGGUUGUCAAAAAGAACUCUAUGUUAACUGACAGGUGAUUGGAAAUAGGAAGAAAUGGAGAAUUUUCUUCAAGAUAUUUAUCGCCACGUGCGAUAGCAAGGGCAGGACAGGAUGGUAUGUUUAGGCCCAGUAGCAAAACGCAAAUCUUGCUAUAGAUAUCUGGAUUAUAGAGGGGGAAUAGAACCUAUAAGUCGCAGAUACCUUUGCGACAUGGAAGUUCAGCUUAAGGAAAGAAUGGAAGAAAGUUUGGGAAAUAGCAUCAGUAUACUUUUUUUGGGACGAUGGAGAGAAAAGAUCAGGAGGAUUUCUAAAGGGGUGGAUAGAUUUUUUGGGAGCUAUACAACUGAGCAUUUAUACCUAUUAACCCUGCAUCAUCUUCUUGCACAUUUAUGAAAUUUAUUUUGGAUUUAUCAAUAGGAAAGUUGCAUCAGCUGAUAAGUUUGUGUUCUCUCAUUGCCGCUCACUGUAUAGGGGAAGGGCCUAAUGGUGAAUUCUUUUGCUCCUUUACUUGUCAAUAAUGAACUAGUAUAUGUAAAUAGUACUCCCUCCAUCCCAUUUUAUGCGUCAUAGUUUGACCGGGCACGGAGUUUAAGAAAUAAGUAAAGACUUGAUGCUUUUUACUAAAUUGUCCUUUAUUAAAAUAAUGUAUUAUUAUUUUUAAUUAUGUGGGCCUUAUAAGUGGGAUCAAUAAAGGUAAAAGUGGAAUUGUGUCUUUAAAUAGUUACCAAAUAAGCAAAGGUGACAUUCUUUUUGGGACGGACAAAAAAGGAAAUGAUGACACGUAAAAUGGGACGGAGGGAGUAGUUAAUAUGGAAGUGUAUAUACGGAACUAGCGUUAAAACUGAAUCGUAGUGUCUCUGGAUGUUGAGCCCUUGUCGCCCAUACUAUCCAGUAACAUUCCUCAAAAGCUUGUACUAUUAAGUAAGUUCUUCUCUGAUUAUAAAAUGAGAGGUACUAACUAGUCCUAAUCCUAAUAUACGUGCUUGUUUUCUUAUAACUCUACCUAGAAAAAGCAAGUUAAUUAGAUAGAGAAUUGUCCAAGAGACCAUAUACCAAUACGAUGUCCCAUUCCAUCAACCUAGUUAGAAAUAUGUGGGACUCCAACAUUCAAUGUAUCGCCUAAACCUGGACAUUUGAAGUGUGGACGACAUAGUAUGAUGCUCAACAAAUCAACAAGAGGAUGUGUGGCUUUGAUACCAUGUUAAGAAAAUGAACUUUGAAACUAAGUCAAUGUAAAAUGUUAUCGCAUUAGGUGAGAGUUGUCCACGACCAUAUGAGGAGUCAAUAAUCAAUUCCCUCAAUCAAUGUGGGACGCUGUAAAUUUGUUAAUGGGCUUUAUCAAAACAUAUUUCUUGGCAAGUGGGCUUGAGUACCGGUCAAUGAUGAUGUUCUUUUCUGUUUUCUACGGGUUUUCUUUUCUUCAUUUGAUUGUCUUGUGCGUUACUUGGAGUUAAGGUCCAAGAUAUAUUGAGUUAAAGGCCCAUCUGGUUGCAUCUUCGCUUGUGGUGGCUAGUCAAAGAAUGUUGCAGCAUCUAUUGUUUCUCUGUGUAAUUGUUGGCAUGUAGCGCUGCUAGUUAGAAAUAAUGGUUUGGUCUUUUGAUUGUCUCUGGGUUCAAUUUAUUUCUUAGAGUUCGCCUUCACGUGCUUAUCUCCCAAAAGGAGUGAUUCGAGGAUGUUCCAGUUGUCACAACUGCCAGAAGGUUCAUUCUUCCUUAAUAUUGUAUAAUAUUUGGUUUUAAGGCAAGGAUUAACUGUUUUCUACCCAAAAGUUAGUUGCGAUCGACAUCUGUCUUUUUUGGUUUUCAGUUACCAUUGAGCUUAUGAUGUUUCUUAUAUGCUUUUUCCACAGGUUAUUGCAAGAAGUCGUCCGGAAUUGGCACAGAUCCCUUCACUUGAUGAGGCUCCUGUACUCCAUCCUACUGAGGAGGUAUUCCUUGACAUCCCUUCGUUCUUUCAGCCUGGUAUAUGCCCUCUAAGUUGCACGGACUCUUCACUUUCGAUGCCGCACCCGUGUCGGAUUCUCCAAAAAUACACUACUUUUGGAGAAUCCAACAUGCACUUGUUGACAUUUUUGAAGAGUCCAAGCAACAUAGUAUGCCCUUUAUUGCAUCAUAAACAAGUACUCUGGAUGCUGCUUUCAUGACAUUAAAUCUUAUGUUAGGAGUUUGAAGAUACUCUCAAGUAUGUUGCAAGCAUCCUUCCAAAUGUCAAGAACUAUGGAGUAUGCCGUAUUGUUCCUCCCUCUUCCUGGAAACCACCUUGCCGCAUUAACGAAGAGGACACGAGGUAUGGAGUUGACACCCAUGUCCAGCGCAUUAGCGACCUCCAGAGUCUGUUUUUCAAGAAUAGGCUUGUGGGAGACCAUAAAAAGACAAGUAAUAGACGGCAGAAAAUCCUAAGUAUGAAGUCAGAUUUGGAACACGACGUGGAACUUAAAGAAUUUGAUUGUUGUAAUGAACACUUUGAAUUCGAAAGUGGGCCAAAGUUUAAACUGAAAGCUUUCAAGAAUUACGCUGAUCAUUUCACGAGGCAGUACUUUGUCAAGGAAGAUCAGGUCACAGUGUCAAACGACAAAGAAGAUGCAACGAAGAUGCUGUCAGAACCAUCUAUUCCUGAUAUUGAAGGAGAAUACUGGAGGAUUAUUGAGAAUCCAACUGAAGAAAUUGAGGUUUUUCUCUGGAAGUGCAAUUUUCUUUUCUAGAAAUCCGUCAAACACGUUUUCUUCUAUCAUUUUUUUUCUUACUUUUCGUUGUCAAUUUGGUUUAUUAGGUGCUCCAUGGGAAUAUUACGGAAACUAGUGGUUUUCCACUUAAAACCAAUCCACGGGAUGUAACCGAGUGUCCCCAAUAUGUGGAAUCAGGUUGGAACUUGAACAAUACCCCUAAGCUUCAAGAUUCUCUUCUCCGCUUUGAGAGUUGUAGCAAUUCCUCUAUUUUCUUUCCCCGGCUCUCCGUUGCAAUGUGUUUUUCAUCAAAUCACUGGGUAAGAUUUACAGUCUUUUCAUUGAGCAAGGAUUUUCGUUCUUUUAAUUCGAAUUAUGCUUGGGAAUUUGUUCUUGUGUCUUAGUUUUUUCUGGGAAGGGGCAUCAUCAUUCUCGGGGCAGUAUCUCUCUUGGGAGGAAAAAGUACGAUGAGCAUUAUUUCAUUUGUUAGCGUUUUCUUUUUGAUUGAUUAAUUGCCUAUAUUUUCUUCUUUUUCUGUCCUCUAUUAGAGAACUGAAGAGCACCACUUAUAUUUGCUAUCCUACAUACAUUUUGGUGCCCCGAGAAUAUUUUAUGGGGUUCCUGGCAGUUUUCGUUGCAAGUUUGAGGAAGCUGUCAAGAAGCAUCUGCCACAGUUGUCAGCACAUCCUUGUUUGCUUCACAACCAUGUGAGUUUCAAAUUCGUGAAUAUAUUUUUCAUUAUUUUAAUUAGGAAAUGUCUUUUACUACUCUGUGGGUGUUUUCGUUUCUUUUAUUAUCUAGUGGUGUGUUACCCCAUUUUGUUGUUUGUUUUUAUGUUUUCUGCUUGUUAUACUGCUAUUUGUCCUGAGCCGGGGGUCUAUUGGAAACAACCUCUCUACUUCAUCUGGGGUAGUGGUAUGGACUGCGUACACUUUACCCUCCCCAGACCCCCCUUUGUGGGAAUACACUGGGUAUGUUGUUGUUGUUUGCCUUUUACUGGAAAGAAAGGAAUGAAUGUUUAGCUGGUUCCAUUUUCAAUUUUACUAAUAAAAUGAACUCUCCUAACGGAAUCCGAAUGAUCUCUGGAUUGUUGUUGUUGUUCUUAUAAAUUGCACGAUGAAGAUGAAAAGUUUGUCUAUUACCUCCCAUUUGAUCGAUCAACCCUUAUAUUUGAUGCAGGCCACACAAUUCUCUCCUUCUAUAUUGACUUCAGAGGGUAUACCUGUUUAUCGUUGUGUGCAAAACCCGAAGGAGUUUGUUCUCAUUCUCCCUGGAGCAUACCAUGCAGAGUUCGAUUGUGGAUUUAAUUGUUAUGAAGCAGUAAACUUUGCUCCCUUUGACUGGUUACCACAUGGUCAGAAUGCUGUGGAGCUGUACCGUGAGCUGGACAGAAAGACAUCAAUCUCCCAUGAUAAGCUGUUGCUUGAUGCAGCUGCAGAAGCAAUUAGGUCUUUAGGAGAACUUGCGCGACAAAACAAUAAUUCGUUUGAUAAUUCAAAAUGGAGGGCAGUCUGUCGGAACUAUGGUUAUUUAACGAAAGUAUUCCAGGUUAGCCUCUAUUAUAAUUGACUUCUAUAUAAGGAGCCAUUCCAAAUUCCUGAACUUCAAUUCUAACAGGCUUUCUGCGACUUGUUCGUUUCAUUUGACAUUGCCAUUUCUUCCAUUCCUUGUUAUGUUGUACUUCUAAUUUUGUUAUCAACCACAACUGUUUUCCCUCUCUAGUUGUUCGAUCUCUUUCAACAAUAACUCCUGCGUAAUGCUCUCUUUUUGAUAUGCUUUCUGUUGUUGUUACUGUUCCUUUUCUGGAUGCUGUGUAGUCAGUACUGCUUUUCUUAUUCGUUGUCAGGUUUGCUUUGCUGUCGUGUUUUCUUUUCACAGCUAUUUGAUUAACCUGAGCUAAGGGUCUCAGAAUCAGCCUCUCUACCUCCACGUGGUAGGAGUAAGGUCUGCGUACACUCUUACCUUCCCCAGACCCCACUUCUGUUGGUCCCUCGUUUUGUGAGGAAGUUACUAUGCUAACUGGCCCUUAGUAAGGGCUAAUGUCAUGUUGAGUUAGAAACUCUCGUAAGAGAUGCACGCAUUACUGACUAGUUAUGUUUUUUUUGAAUAUGAUACAUCGUUUCAUUUUUAUGUUGGAUAGACUCGGGUUGCCGCUGAAGUGAGACAACGGAAAUAUCUGUGUGCUGCUCUUGAAUCACGAAAGAUGGAGUAUGACUUUUGCGCUACCACCAAAUGGGAGUGUGUUACAUGCUUCUAUGAUCUAUACCUUUCUGCCAUUGGCUGCAACUGUUCUCCGCAUAAAUAUACUUGUCUUCUUCAUGCCAAGCAGCUAUGUGCUUGUGCUUGGAGCGAGAAGUAUUUGCUUAUACGGUAUGAAAUAGAUGAGCUGAACAUCAUGGUUGAAGCUUUGGAUCGAAAGUUAAGCGCAGUUCAUAAGCUGGCAAAAGAAAAACUUGGAUUGCCUGUAUCCGACGUUUCUAAAGAUGCCAAAAAGGAUGGAGGUACGGUAACAGUGAAGGACGAACCUGUAAUUCCUGACGUGAAACUCUCUGAGAGUGAAUCUCACCGAUCAACCUCCAGACAAGCGUCAGAUGCUCAACGGUACAAGAAAGCAGACGUGUUCUUUGCACCUUCGGUUCGUCCAAGUUCAACGACAAAUACUUUGGAUCAGAUAUCUGGAUCGUGUGUUGGUGCAGAUGUUGGUGCAGAUGCAUUGAAUCAUCGAUCACAAUCAAAAGAAAACACUCCAAUACAGCAUACUGCCGUUGGAAAAACUAUUCCGACUUGUUCCACAGUUGGUCCAAGUUCAACGACAAAUACUGUGGAUCGGAUAUCUGGACCGUGUGUUGGUGCAGAUGCAUUGAAUCAUCGAUCACAAUCAAAAGGAAACGCUCCAAUACAUCAUACUGCCGUUGGAAAAACUAUUCCGACUUCUUCCAAUACAGAUCUGAAGAAGCAUCUUGCACGGGGGUCUUCAUCGACUGAUAGAAAUGUGAUUGUUCUCAGCGAUGAUGAAGACUAGCUACCCCAAGUUCACCAUAUCACGAAUGGUAAACGAGCGUUUAUUACACAUUAAUCUGUUGCUGUAAGUCAGUUCUUUGAUGUAAAUUUGCAGAUAGUAAAGCUAGAAUUCUGUUACAGAUUGUAAGUCAGUCUUAAAUUUUGUUUUUCUUGAAGUACAUUCAUCAUCACCAUCAAAUAUGUAAAUGCCACUAAAAAGAUAUGUACAAAGAAGUACUAACAAGUGUUUGAAUAGUGUGAGGAAGUAAGAGAAGUUUUCUGACGGUGGAUUUAUCGGAUACAACCUCUCUAAGCUACAUAGGUAGGGGUGAGAUCAUACAUCCUAUCCUUUUUAAACCCCACUUGUUGUAUCUUUACCUUGAGCCGAGGGUCUAUCGGAAAGAGCCGCUCAUCAAAACCUUCCACGCCCCACGCUGGAUUUACAGGUACUUUUCACGUUGGUCCAUAAGGAUUGGACACCCAUAUUCCGGGACCAUGAAAUGCAUUAAAACCAAAGCAAGCUAUCCUUGAGAGAAAUAAAUGAAUUCUAAAGAUCUUUGACAAAUCCAAAGAGGUUUUCCUGUACGUUCGUCACAAAAUAUUUUUAGAUCUCAAUACACCCAAUGCUAGCUAGCUGCCAAAAAGCAUAAGCUAGUCCACCGUGAUACUCCAACUGCUCCAUGAAUUGGUUAUUCCUAAACGAGUCAUAAGGGUAUAACGAACAUACCCUGUCUCCACAUUGGAUCAAGAACAGAAUCAGAAGGAUCAAAAACCACUAAUUCAUACAAAGCCAUCGAACCGGCCCAACCAGCAACCAGAGUUGUAUGCAUAGAGUGGAUUCGAAACGAGGUAGUGAAUGAGUCAACCGAAACUGUAACUAUGGAGAAGCAACUAAAAUGCAAGUAUUAUCUUUUUUGAUAAGGUAUGUAAAACUCAUUGAUAACAAGAAGGCCAGCUUGGCAGUAUACAAGAGGUAUACCAAAAAUAUAGAAGCAAAUCACAUAAAUAUACACUUUAAGAGUUAAUAUUACAAAAACUAUCCAUAGUUUCUAUUUUACAAAAUAUAACAAUAGAAAUAUAACAAAAUCUACCAAAUAAGGCAAAAGAAAAAAUAAAAGACAAUAAAUAAAAUAGCAUGAUUUAAGGGGGCAACUUAAUAGUUGAUGUUUUACCCUGCAAAUUCUCCUAUAUUGUUUUUCAUCAAUUUUUUUUAAAAAAUAAUAAAUAAGGCAAACGAAAAAACAUUGCAUUUAUUUGAUAUUUGUUUUAUGUUUUCAAGUUUAAUUUAUUUAAUUCAAUUGACCUUAAUUUUUAAUAUUUUUUAGGAGAAAACAUCAUUAAUGGUAGUAAAUUCUCCGGUUGAUUCAAACUACAUCCUAUACAAAUUUUAUACACCAUAAAAUUAUUGAUACACCUAUUUUUAUAUACACUUAUUUCUAUAUCGAUCAAACACCAUAAAAAUAGAUCAAUUUCUAUACAUAUUAGACACCAUAAAAUUAUGAGAAAAUGGCCAAAAGACCCCCCAACCUUUACCCCAAAUUUCAAUUACACACUUAUACUUUGCGGGUGUCCUAUGACCCCCUGAACUAUUUAAAAAUGGAAUAUAUGCCCGUCUAAAAACUCAUACCCAGAUUUGUACAAUCGAGUGAGCUGCACGCGCCUAUCAGCUAAUACCACGUAAUAUUGUUAUUUUUUUGAUAUAAAAAAAUAUUUUUAUCCUACUUUUUCCUUAUUUUUUCGAGGCCCAUUUAAAUGGUCUUCUCAAUGGAAAAAACUUCAAUCCAUGGAACCCAGAACUUCAAUUCACUCUCACAUGAAGAAUCAGAAGAAGAUGGUGAUUUCAUCUACCUUCAAUUAACCCUCAAUAAAAUCCCACCCAAACAACUCACUAUCUCUCACAAAAUCACCCUUGCCACAACUCAAAAUCCAUUCUUGAUGCUAAAACAGACAAUUUCAACAAAUCCACAACUCAAAAUCCAAUCUUGAUGCUAAAACAGACAAAAUUAAGAAACCCCACAACUCAAAAAUCAAUCUUGAUGCUGAAACAGUGCAAAAAAAAAAAACUUAAAUAUGAAUAUUGAUUUUGAGAUAUAAUAUUGAUUUCAUGGCUUGAAAUCGUUUCACUUGAUUCGGAAUCCUCAUGAGACAUAAUUUUUUGAACUAAUUCCCACUUUUUCUCAGAAAUUACCCUAAGAAUCGCUUUAAUCUUUUCAAAUUUCUGAGAAUUGUGAGAUGAAUAUGUGUGUAAUUGUUUAUGGGAUUGGUGCGUAUCACUGAUAUAUUCAUUUUGGAACUGGUCCGAUGGCCGGACAAGCUCCACCGGCGGCUGUGAAGCCAUUCCGGCGGAAACACUUGGAAUUAUUUAUCCUCAUUCACAAGAAGGAGAAAUUAGUUGGUCUAAAAAUGAUAAUUAAAAAAAUAAUGAUGAAAAAAGUGUUGGGCUUGUGGUAUAAAUGAAAAUGGAGAUAAAAAAAUGAAGAUGGAGAUGAGAAAGAUGAAGAUGGUGAAGGAAGAUGAAAAUGGAGAGAAGGAGAGGAAUAAAGGAAUAAAAUAAAUAAAGAAAAAAAGAAUCUAUAUAUAUAUAUAUAUAUAUAUAUAUAUAUAUAUAGUCAAAUAUUAAAUCUGCUACUCACAAUUUCAAAACAAUAUCUAGUGGAUGCUCAUUCUCUCAAGGAGAGUGAGAUUCACUCGCAUUGCCACGUAAGCAUUUAGGGAGGUAAUAAUAUCAUUUUUAAAUAGUUCAUAGGGGUGAUAGGACCCCCGUGAAGUAUAGGUGCGUAGUUGGGAUUUGAGGUAAAGGUUGGGGGACUUUUGACCAUUUUCUCUAAAAUUAUUGAUACACCUAUUUCUAAAGAGUUUGAACACUAUAAAAUUAUUGAUACACCAAGACACCUUAAAAUAAAAUUGAUGAUAUACCAAUCUCUAUAUAAUAAUUCAAACACCAUAAAAUUAUCAAUAUAUCAAUUUCUAACUAUUUCAAAAAUCAUAAAAUUAUUGAUACACCAAUUUUUAUACUUUUCAGACGCCAUAAAGCUGUUGAUACACCAAUUUCUAUACAAUUCAGACACCAUAAAACUAAUAAUACACCAAUUUCUAUACAAUGCAUACACCAAUUUCUAAACAAUUCAUACUGAUACACCAAUUUCUAUACUGCACCAUAAAAUAACCGCUGACAGUAUGGCUGGGCAUAUUUUGGUUUAAACUGAAAAAACCAAAAAAUCGAAUCGAAAUUUAAUUUUGGUUUGGUUUUUCGAAUUGGUUUCGGUUUCAAAUUUUAGAAAUUUGGUUGAACGGUUUGGUUUUUGGAUUUACAAAAAAGAGAAUUCGGAUAAACCGAAAAACCGAAAUUAUAUAAAUAAUAUAUUACAAUAUAUAUAAUUUAAUAUAUAUGUAAAUAUACUAAAAAUAUAAUAUAAUCUGAUAUAAUAUAUAAAUAUAUAAAUUAUAAUCAUUUAGUAACCCUAAAUCCUAAUAUACUGCUUUGCUUUACACCUUAACAUUAACAUGAAGGCUGCAACAACUCUCAACCAUCCUCAGUUCGUCAAUUCAUUUGAAAUUUCAACAUCGUCAACAACAGUCGUUUGUUCAGUUCGUCACUGCCAUCGGCAGUCGCUGCCGAGUGCGAUCACUGCCGUCACGCCAACGGCGAUGACUCAGUGAGGUCGAUAUUUAUAGUUAUUUCAUGCAUGUUGAAUUAAUUAUAUUUGGGAAUGAAAAUUAGGUUUGAAAAAAAAGAUUAUUUUUCUAGAAAAAUCAUCAACUUUAAAUACUCACUACUUUAAUCUUUAAAACCGAAAUAAAAAUUCGAAAUAACCGAACUGAAUUUGUAAAAACCGAACCAAACUGAAAUAAUUUUGGUUUGGUUAUGGUUUUCAUUUUCGUCAAUCCGAAAAUCGAACCGAUAUUCAAUAAUCAAAUCGAACAAACCGAAUGUCCACCCCUAGCUGACAGUCAAGAUACUCAAGGAAACUUUCAGCAGUAUGCUUAUCAUAAGACUAAUGGUAGCAAUUGGAUUAGAGUUUGGAAGAUCCCUUCAAAGCCAUGUAUGGUGAAUGCUAUUUGUGGGGCUUAUGAGCCAUGUUUGGAAGAUCCUUCAAAUACCCUUUUAAUUGGGUUUUUCAAUCAAGAAAGAAGAGAGGAGAUAAAAAAGGAAGAAGAAAAGGGGUUUUUGGAUUAAAUUUUUUACACACACAAAAAAAAAAUGAAUAUUUGGUAGAUUUUGUAAAUAAAAAUUAGAUUUUAUAAAUAAAAAAAAAGUAGUGAUAGAUUUUGUAAUAUUUACUCUUAGAGCGUAUAUCUAUGUGACUUUUCCUAAAUGAUAAUAAAAUAUGAAAAUAUAGAAUACAAAAGACACUGAUUCAGGGGCUUAUCUAGGUGGGCAUUACCAGAUUCAUGUGAACUCAUGUUUUCCACCUUAGAUCAUAUGUAGUGAUGUUAUAUUCUUUUAAAAAUAUUUAAAUAUAGAUGAAUGAAGCCACGCUUGACGUAUUUUCUUAAUAGUACAUCCACCCUCUCAAAAUCCUGCAUACGCCCCUGCGCACAUUCCUGUAUACAAACAUGAACUACAUGGGUGCACCAAAAGAAAAUAAGAGAUCGAAUACUACUAGUCAAUCGAGCAAAGCUCGUAUACACCCCUUCAAACCAUGCCUUUUGCGAUCUUCUUCUAGCUCCACUCCUUCAACUGAACAUGAACUAAGAAACGUUAAAUCAAAUGAAGAUAUCCGCCAAUAACCUCAUGGUUAAUUUAGGCGCAAUAUAUAAACAUGCCCUUUAACUUGGCCUCAGAUCACAUCUACGACCUUCAACUUUGGGUGUGCACAUGCAGACACUUAAACUUGUAUGAAGUUUUAACAAGUAGACACAUAUGUCCUAUGUGGAGUCUUACGUGGCCAGUUCUUGUCCCACAUGACAUCCUACAUGUAUUAUGUUACAUUGGACGUGUAUAUCUAUUCGUUCAACUUUAUACAAGUUUAAGUAUCUGCUGGUGCACACCUAAAGUUGGAGGUCAUAGAUGUGAUUUGAGGCCAAGUUAAAGGCUUGUUUAUGUAUAAUGCCGUUUGCAAAUGAUAUAGAAAUGACAUUCGAUAAGAUCAGGUUGCGCCUGAGUGUAGUUUACUACGAUAUCUAGGCUCGAUCUUCUAGGAGAACGACAUGACAUUUACCUCUCAAACGGAGUAGAGCUUUAUAAUCUGAUCGAUUUUUACUCGACAGAUGGGGCAUUCCCCUUUCUUGGAUUUGAUCUGGUUCAAACACUGGAUGCAGCCAACCAUGUGACCACAAGGUACACAGGCUCCUUCAACUGAACCUUCCCAACAUAUUAUACACAAUGCAGGUUCAUGUUCAUGUUCAUGUUCAUUUUCCUUUUGAGUCGUAACAGAAGCUGUUUUUUGAUCCACAUGAGGAUUCAACAGGUGCAAUGGGCUAAGAUCUAUGGCCGGAUAACAAACAGUUUCUUCGUGUACAACCUCUUCUGGAAGUGGUGGAGCUGAAGGGGACGCAAAAUCAAAAGCAGGAUUGUUGCCUUCUCGAGUUUCAGCAUUUUCAACCAGAUAGACAAUCGGUCUAAACUCAGAUGCAUUGUCUGCAUUAGCCAUUGAUUCACGGCUAGUUACACCUGGGGAUUCUGUUUUGUCCUUUGCGGUGUGUCCCCAUCCUUGAUAAUGAACUUUAUCCGAGGCAUCUCUAUGUCCCUGCCGAGGCUCAGGCAUGCCCCAUCCAUUGUACUGUUCUACAGCAGGCUCGGCAUUCCAUCCGCUGCAGCUUAGUUCAGAAGAUGUGGAUUUAGGAAGCGAUUGCUGCUGUCGUUGACUGGAUACAUCUGCGUUACUUCCCCAUCCAUUUUCUUGGACCUUAGUUCUGUCACCCGUCCAAUUGUAGUUAGUAAUUUCACAUGUAGGCUCGGAUCUGACAAGUGAACCCCAUCCGUUGUAGGCAGAAUCAUCGGUGUCAUCACACCAGUCAUUUCCAUUUUUCACACCGGAGCUUUGUCCGUGAUGAUGUAAAAUCUUAUUUUCUUUAGCAGAAUGAAUGGAAGAGUUGAUUCCAAUUGCUAAUUCCAUUGCUUGUGCAGCAGUUUCAGAUUGUGGCACUGUGGUUCGGGUUUUCUGUGGUAAGCGACGAGGCGUGACCUGAAAUGCGAACAUGUCAAGCCCCAGAGGUGGUUCUACUAUACUAUGAUAUAUACCUUAUUUGUACCCUCCGUUAUACUUUGGGAUCAUUGAUACCGUUGUCAUUAGCAAAUCACCGUAUAAAGUCCAGAGCAAAUAUGAGACGAUUUGCUAACAGCAAGGGUACGGAUGGUUCCAAAGUAUAACAGAUGGUAAAAUUACGGUAUUCCGUAUAUUAGAGGAAUAAAUUUGGAUCUUUUCCCCUAUGCGCGGGGUUCGGGGAAGGGCUGGACCACAAGGGUCUAUUUUACGCAGCCUUACCCUGCAUUUGUGCAAGAGGCUGUUUCCACGGCUUGAACCUGUGACCUAAUGGUCACAUGGCAGCAACUUUACCGGCUACUCCAAGGCUCCCCUUCAGGCAUAAUGCACGUGUUUCAAACACAACUUGUGUAAUAUCGCAAGGUACAAACUCAUCCGACGAACAAACAACAGAUACAGAAUUGGUAAAAAAGUAUGAUUCAGUCUGAGUUGGUAAUAACCUCAAUUGCAGCAAUACAUGCUCUGUGCAACAACUGAAGCUGUUGUUGCUCGGAAUCGCUCACUGAUGUAAAGUUAUAUCGAGUAUCUGAUACGAAAGCAGCAAAAUCAAAGAACUAUUAUAAAGUCUAUUCUGUAAAGACGCGUUUCAGGAAAAGAGUAUUACUACUGGUCUUGUCGAAAAUUGUCAGCACAGGAUCUGAUCGUUGCCACCUUAGAUCCUCAACAUUAGCCUUCCAUAAGGCGAUAACAUUACGAGGCUGGGCAUCCUGUUCAACGGAACAUCAUUUCAGUAAAUUCUCCAAUUUCAUAGUAAGGAGAGAAGAAGUAUCACGAGUCCAUUGAAUUGUCAACCAACUCUAACUAGUUUGGUUUUGAGCAUCGUUGUUGUUGCUGCUUUAUUGAAGUUUCAACCAAGCACAGAGAACCAUGUAUAGAGAAGAAGGAUAACUCGACCACAGCAUAUACCGAGGAGCUGGCUCAUAUACGGCUUAUGCUUAAACCUCACAUAGAUAUAGUAUACCUACAUUUACGUCCAGUUUUCAUACCUACUCCUCGCUGGCAUACAUCAUUAUCAAGAAUUCUCUAAAGAUGCUGCGAGCUAAACGACAGGUACCUCACAACAUUGCCAGAAGAGUUUUCAUAGAAGUGUUUAUUUACCUGUAAGGAUGAGUAUAUCGCCAGCUCCAAUUUAAGAGGCUUCGCAGGAUCAGCUAUACUGCAAGGUACGACUACAACCCAACUGCAUUUUAUAAUCAUUUGUCAGCAAAUAUGCGAGACAGCUUACAACAACAACAACAACUACGCUUAGGGUGUGUUUGGUAUAACGGAAACUGUUUUACUGUAUUUCUGGUAUUUGGUAAAUAUGCAGGAAAUAUAGUCUCAAAGCAUUUGUACAAGUCUGGCGAACACUAUUGAGGUUGACGUGGGGGAUGUGUUGGAGGGCGGAAUUAGACAGUUAGUAUGGAAGGUCACUUAUGCAACCUAUUUUCCCUAUUUCCACUAUGUACAACCGAACAUGAGAAAAUUGGAAAAUAUUUCCAUACCAAACACAACCUUAGUCCCAAACAGGUUAAACAAGACUGCUUACAUAUGUCUAUUUCAACAGCCUUCGGCAGAACAAAAGUUUUGAAACUUGAAACAUUACAACAACAACAACAACAAUUGGAGUAUAGAGGUUGUUUCCGAUAGACCCCAAAACUUGUAGCAUUAUAUACAGAAAAGAAUUCAAAGCACAGACAAGGGGUACUUAUAAGAAAAGACAAGUCGGAAUCAUACUGACAUCUUCCUAGAUAACAAUUGAGGAGCUAAAGCUUCAAGAAUUCCUCGACCAUAGAACUCCCUCAUCCAGCCGGAGAAAAUGCAGAUUUGUCUCUGCAAGUGAAAGCAAUACCAGAAUAAAUGAAUUUACGAACAUACAAUCCAAGUCAAGAAGGGGGAGAACGUACAAAAAUCUUGAAACUAAUAUCAAGUACACCUCAAUAGUACGAACGACAUUGCUAAAACCCUUUGCUCGAGCAACUUCAAGUGGAGUUUGGCAACCAUCGUUCUUGAUCAAUGGAUUUGCUGGUAAAUUAGUUGCAUAGUAAGUUAGAUACAUACAUUAAGCGGCUGAUAACUAUGCAAAAAUGACAAUCGCUCCAUCCCAAUUUAUGUGAAGGUAUUUGAUGGUUGCGUAGUUUAAGAAAGAAAAAAUUGCUUUUGAAACUUAUGGUCUAAAAUACAACAACAACACACCCAGUGUAUUCCCAUAUAGUGGGGUCUGGGGAGGGUAAAAUGUACGCAGUCCAUACCACUACCUCGGAAGAAGUAGAGAGGUUGUUUCCGAUAGACCCCAGCUCAGGACAAAGAGAUGGUAAACAAUGUCGUAAUAAAACAUGAAACAAGAUGAAAAAACAGAAAUAAGACACUCACAAAGUAGUACUACGCACUAUCGAACCAAAAGGACACAAUUCAGCCAAAAUCUCCUAACUAGAAGCUCCAACCUAUGUACAAAGCCCUACGACUACUAGUCAGGCUACACUAAAGCACUCCUAUCUACUGGCUACAAACUCACCCACAUGCACUAGUCCUCUAACCUAAUUCGCAUCCUCCAUACCUUCCUAUCUAGGGUCAUGUCCUCAAUAAACUUUAAAAUAAACCAAAUAUACUUGUGUGACUAUGAAUCAUCUCACUAAGGGUAAAUCAACAUUUUAAGUUAAAUUGUACAAAAUAUAGAAAGAUGUCGUUCUUCUGGGACCGACCGAAAAGGAAAGACUCUCGCAUAAAUUGAGACGGAGGUAGUACUAGAUCAUCGAGAAAUGCAGUCUGGAUCGAUCUAUAGAGCAAAGCCAGAAAGCAUGUUCACUCUGCAAAGCUAUAAAUAUGUACCUCCAUAGGAAAGAAGUAACUGAACGUUAUCAUCCAGACCUCUCUUAGCUGCGUGAUGCAGUGCAGUUCCAGCACCAUAUCCUGAAGAAAAUUAGUAAUCGGAAUGAUGAUUAUCGUAAUAACUAAAGCAGAUUACAACAAAGUAAUGAAGGUCGUGACACUUAAAGCCUACUGACUUAAAAUCCAGGAGCCGCCUCUAGUGACAAGUUGGGCGAGAAAGGGAUACCUGGCCGGUAAGCAUUGACAUUAGCACCGAGCUCAAGCAAAGUUUUUGCAACAUUCAAGCCAUUCGGCUUCAUGCACGCUACAAUCAAUGGUGUCUUUCCUUCUUUGUCGGUCCACUGAUUCAAAGGGGGCACACAAUUACAUUUAGUAUAUACAGAUAACUCAUGUAACCUCCUAAACAGCGAAGCUCUUUUAUGUUCACCAAAACCGGAGUUGAUGUAGAGCUAAACUUUUCAAGUAAAUUGGCGCAUAGAACUUGUAUACUACAGACUUGCACCAGUUAAAAGAUCACUUAUAACACCUCCUAAAAGUUGAAUUUUUUGUAUAUUUACCAAAAGUGUAUUGCUAUAGAGUUAUAUUCUUCCAGUAAAUCGGGUACAUGGGUGAAUAUGUAUGACUACGGACUUAAAACGGCAGCUCGGUGCACUAAAGCUCCCGCUAUGCGCACGGUCUGGGAAGGGCCCCACUACAAGGGUGUAUUGUACUCAACCUUAUCUUGCAUUUCUAUCAUCAGAGGAUGUUUCCAAAGCUUGAACCCGUGACCUCUUGGUCACAUGGCAACAACUUUACCAGUUACUCCAAGGCUCCCCUUCCAAAAGGAGGGAUGCAACACGAGGACUUCUCAGGGGGUCACCCAUCCUAGUACUACUCUCACCCAAGCACGCUUAACUUCGGAGUUCUGAUGGGAUCUGGUAUGUUAGUGCUGGUAUGAUCGUAUCAUCUCCGAAAAGAUGUUUGUAUAUUCACCUAAAUUUAGAACUUAGUUAUUAGCACUUGAAAUCGUCGUUGCAAAAUUAAGAACUAGUAAAGCUGAAAGCUCCACCUAUGUGCACCAGUGACAAAACUUAAUGUCAUAUCCUAAAAGUUGAAUCUUUUUCAUAUUCACCAAAAAGGAUGUUAAUAAAUAGUUAAAUUCUUCUGUAAAUUGGCAGCAUUUGUAUACCUCCUAACUUUCACCAGUUAAAUUACUUACGAUAUCUCCAAAAAUAACAACAACAACAACGACAACAUACACAGUAUAUUCCCACAAAAUGGGGUCUGGGGAGGGUAAAGUGUACGCAGUCCAUACCGCUACCUCGGAUGAAUUAGAGAGACUGUUUUCGAUAGACCCCUGGCAUAUCUCCAAAAAUAAAUAGGAUCUUAUUCAAGUUUAACCAAAAGGGUGUUGAUAAAAAGCUCAAAUUCUCAAGUAAAUUGUGGUUCAUAAUUGAGUUUAUAUACUUCAAGAAUUGCACCAGUGACAAAAAAUACUCAUGACAUCUACUAAACAUUGAAUUUUUUUCAUAUUUACCAAAAUGGGUGUUGAUAAAAAGCUAAAAUUUUCAAGAUAAUUGGGUACAUGAGCAAACUUAUGUUUUUUAUUUUUAUUUUUGGUUUUCCAACCAGUGUCCGGUAACCAUAUCGGAGCCCAAAUAAAUCCGAAUUAGCACCGGGAAGUGCCACAUUAGGGGAAAAGCGCUCUCUAACAAAGGUAACUCCAUACCCAGGGGAAUCGAACCUAAGACCUCUGGCAAACUUAUAUACCUAUACUUCAAGACUUGCACUAUUGAAAAAAACACUCAUGGUACCUUCCAAAGAUUGAACAUUUUUCAUAUUCACCAAAAAGGGUAAAAGGGCAGCCUGGAGCACUAAAGCUCCCGCUAUGCGCAAGGUUCACGGAAAGGUUCUACCACAACGGUGUAUUGUACGCAGCCUUACCUUGCAUUUCUGCCAGAGGCUAUUUUCAAGGCUUGAACCCGUGACCUCCUAGUUAUAUGACAAGAACUUUAUCAGUUACUUCAAGGCUCCCCUUCAUAUUCACCAAAAAGGCUGUCAGACAAAAAGUUACUUUUGUCCAGGUGCACGGAAGCUAGCCUAUACACCAGGAUUAUCGUAAAAAAAAAAGGGCUAAAUUAUUCAAGAAAAUUUUUAUACAUAGGUGACAAUAUAUAUACCUCAAGACUUGCACUAUUGAAAAAAUCACUAAUGGUAUCUUCCAAUGAUUAAAUCUUAAUUUUCAUACUCACCAAAAAGGGUGUCAGACAAAAACUAAUUUAGUCUAGGUACGCGAAAGCUGGCCUAAACACCGCUACCACAACAACAACGACAACAUCGCCAGUGUAUUCCCACAAAAUGGGAUCUGGGGUAAAGUGUACGCAGUCCAUACCACUAUCUCCUAUGAAGUAGAGAGGUUGUUUCCGAUAGACCCCGGCUCAGGAUAGAUAACAGUAUAGCAAACAAAAACAAAAAAAGCAAACAACAAAAAUGGAUAUCACACUGCCAUAUAAUAAAGGAAACAAAACAGGACGAAAACAACAACAACAUACCUAGUGUAUUCCCACAAAGUGGGAUUCAGAGGUAAAGUGUACGCAGUCUAUACCACUACCUCACCUCAGAUGAAGUAGAAAAGUUGUUUCUGAUAGACCCCCGGUUCAGAACAGAUAACAGGAUAACAAACAAAAAUAUAAAAGCAAACAAUAAAAAGGGAUAUCACACCGCCAGAUAAUAGGAAACAAGACACACAAGGAGGCUGUUUCCGGUAGAUGCCCGGCUCAGGACAUAUAAAGUAUAGCAAGCAAAAACAUAAAAGCAAGCAAUAAAAAGAGAUAUUACACUGCCGGAUAAUAAAAGAAACAAGACACCCACAAGGAGGCUGUUUCCGAUAGACCCCCGGCUCGGAACAGGUAACAAUAUAGCAAACAAAAACAUAAAAGCAAAUAACAAAAAGGGAUGUCACACGCCAAAUAAUAAAGGAAACAAGACACCCACAAGUUCAUACUACUGGUCUAGACACCACGAUUAUCGAAAAAAAACAAAAAUAAAAGCUAAAUUAUUCAAUAAAUUUUUUUUACAUAGGUUAAAAAUUUUAUAUACCUCAAGACUGGCACCAUUAUUAUGAAUAGCUUUGAUAGCUUCAACAUUUCCUUCAAUGACUUGUUGAUACAGUAACUCAUCUUUUGAUUGUUGUUGCCCCAUUAAUCAAUAAUUGCUAAACAUUUCACUUCAAAUGUUAGAUUUUUUUCUUAUAACAAAAUGUUCCGGCUAACUGACGCGCACCUCGACUAAUUAUAUGUAAGAUUUUAUGUGCAAUCAUUUGUAUACAUGUGGCAUAAUUUGAACUCCCUGCCGCUGAUAAACCAAAUCAAGUCUGUCCAAUUGGGAAUAUUUGUGGAUAGUAAUUUUUCUCCCAAUUUUUUUAAUAAUAAUAAUAAUAAUAAUAAUAAUAAUAAUAAUAAUCUUGGUACAAAAUUUAACUUGCAAAACACAUAGAUUAAAUGGAAAAAGGUUUGAAAUAUACCUAAACUUUGACGAAAUAUAUUGUAACGUGCCUCAACUUUGCGGGGUCCUAUGACCCUCUUGACUAUUUAUUAUCAUAUUUCUGUGGCAGAUUUUGCCCAGCUGAACUACUGCAUGAACACACGUACACUGAGCAUGUAAGGAUUUGAAGUGAUCUAGCUAGACAAAUAUAUAUCACAGAAAUACGAUAAUAAAUAGUCGAGGGGGUCAUAGGACCUCGGCAAAGUUGAGGCGUGUUACAGCAAAUUUCGCUAAAGUAUAGGUAUAUUUCUGACUAUUUCCCUAAAUAAAAUCUUAACUUGGUUUCAACCGUCAAUCAUACACUUUAAUUUUGAGAAUGCACAUGUAGAUAUUUCAAAUCGUCUUUAUCAUGUUAGUUGAACGUUCUGACUUAAAAAAUGAUUGUGUUAGACACCUUUAAAAUAUAUGUGUUACGUUAGCGUAGAAUAUCCAUGAGACACAAUGAGAACAAGUUGAGGAGUCAAAAUAUAAAGUAUCCUUGAACAACUAAGUCAACCUCUAAUCUUAUGUUCGAGAUUCAAUAUAUACAGUGGCGGAGCCACCUUAUGAUUAGGGGGUUCAUCCGAACUCCCUUCGAUGGAAAAUUAUACUAGUUAUAUAUGAUUAAAAUUAUUUUUUUAUGUAUAUAUCAUUGAUAUUGAACUCCCUUCGGCUAGUUCAUGUGCCUAUUUCUUUUGAUUUUGAACCCCUUAGUGAAAAUUCUGGCUCCGCCAUGAUAUAUAUAUAUAUAUACAUGUGUGUACAUAUACAUAUACACACACAUCACCCUCCAAUAAACCUCAUCUUUAUCGCACUCUUGUAGCCUUCAUCCGCAUUGCCUCAUAUUUUUAGGAUAAUAUUUUUCGCAUAUAUACCACACAUAAGAAAAUAAUCAGCAUGGAAUAAUAAUUUAAAUUAGAGUAGAAAACCAAAUUUAUUUAAACCAAGUCUCAAUAAUGAAACGAAUCCCUUCGCUCCUUUUUACUUUGUCACUUUUCAUUUUUUCGAUUGUCAAACAGUAUGAACGUACCUAAUAAGUUGUUUUAGCGUUUUUCGUUUUGUUUCUGAAUAAGUAAUGUUUCACAUAGUCAAAAAACAUUAAUGACAUUAUUCCAGUUUUACCCUUCUUUAGAUGAAGAGAAUUUUACCUAAUCAAGAAACGUCUCCUUUUCACUUGUCACAUUUCGUUUCUUGAUUGUCAAACUGCAUGAACUUCAAUUUUAAAAUCUACUAUUUCAUUAUAUUAAUUGUAAUAUUUCAUGAUUGCUAAUUAAUGACUAAUUAGUAUAAAUUAAUAUCUCACAAAGUACAUAUAUAAAUUAUAAUCACAACUACUAGCUAUUACAACAUUAUAUUCAUAUACUACAAAAUGACCUUGAUCAUUAUACCUUGUAAUUUUCACCUAAUUCAUAAAAUUUCUUAAAAGGCGAGUAAUUUAACUCUUCAAUUCUUGAUUUAUUUUAUUUUAAUGAGGUUGAUAAGGUUUGAGAAGUUGAAUUAGAGAAAAUAUGUAAUAACAAUUAAGCUGCAUAUAUAUAAUAUAUAAUAUAUGGUUCAUGAUCGCAAAUUAAAUGACUAAUUAGUAUAAAUUAAUAUCUCACAAAGUACAUAUAUAUAUAAAUUAUAAUCACAACUACUAGCUAUUACAACAUUCAUAUACUACAAAAUGGCCUUGAUCUACAUGACAAGUGUAAGUCGAUCGAGCCAUUAAAAUUUAUUUGUUCGUAUAUUUUUAUUAUUAUACCUUGUAAUUUUCACCUAAUUCAUAGAAAGGCGAGUAAUUUCUCUCUUCAAUUCUCGAUUUAUUUUAUUUUAAUCAGGUAGAUAAGGUUUGAGGAGUUGAAUUAGGGAUCCUUUAAGGUGAAGUGACAUAACUUCAUUUGUUGAUCCAACUAAUUUCCCUCCAAUAAAUACUGCUGGCACUGACGCAUUACAACCCAUUCUCAUAAGAGCCUUUUCCAUAUCCUUUCCAUCAUUAUCGUGAUCGAGUUCAUGUACGUAAGGAUCAACACCGAGAUCGCGAAAUAAUAUAGUGACCGCGUAACAUAAACAACACGUGCUCUUGCUAAAGAUCACGACCCCGUGCUCUGAUGCCAUUCUUUGUACCUUAUCCAUUUCAGGUCGUGAAAGAAUCGCCUUAUGCCCUUGGAGUAACAACAAUGUCUAGUAGUACAAGAUGAAAUUAGGGUUUUAUUGCCUCUGGGUGGAAUCAGACUGUUUGUACGAUAUAAAAUUAGGGUUUUAUCACCUCUGAGUGGAAUCAGACUGUCUGUACGAUAAAAUUAGGGUUUUAUCGCCUCUGGUUGGAAUCAGACUGUCCCACUCUCAAUUGCUAUAUUAUGUUGGUUGCCUUGUUAAGCUUUUAGGUAGUAUACACCUUCUCAAAGCUUUAGUGGCUAGAAGACAGAUUGGUACGAGUUACACUUGAUAUUCAGGUAUUUGGAAACUUAUCAAAAAAUAGGGUUAAAUGAAGGUACGCUUUAGUAUACCAUCGGAUCUAAGUUCAACAGAAAAUGAACAUCGAUCCGAUGGUUAAUAAGAAGUGAUGAAGGAAGAAGCAAAUAGAAAGAAAAAAAAACUUGAGAAAUAUUAGGGUUAAUUUUUAGUUUUUUUUAGAGGUUGCUUGGAAAUGUAGGGAUUUCAUGGCCACACUAUUUAUAAUACAAGGAAAAAAAAAUGGAACAAUCUAAAAAUGAAAGUGGAAUUCUCUGACUAAAUUGUAAAGAUUCAAAAGAUGGUGUGCUUUAUUUAGAUGCUCCAAAAAUUGGACUACAGCUCUACUAAAAAGAAUUUUAUUUUAAUAAAUAAAUCAAAAAGAAGAAAGGAAUUUUAAUAAACAAAUAAAUAAAUAAAAAGAAGAAGAAGAGAAUUUUAAUUUUUAAUAAAUAAAAAAACAAAAAAGUAGAUACUAUUUCAUUCCACAAACUUUGAGCAAGUUGUAGGAUAGUACAUAUAUUCUAUUUAUUUAGUCAUGCACUUUUUGAAUAGAAUCUUUUUGGUGGAAAAGUCUUAUUUGAACCACCUAGAAAUAUAUACCUAUAUGCACAUUCCAUAUAGUUAGCAUUUAUUAUUUUUUAUGUAAAAAAUUUAGUAUCUUUGAAUUAUGACGAGAUUUAUUAAGAUACACUCCAUAAUUUCACAAGUGUUUUAUUAUUUUUGAACUAAAUUUUAGUAUAUUUUUAUCAACCUUUUCAGCUGAUGUGAUACCUUUUGUCAACCUUUUUAGCUGACGUGACACCUUUGACGUGAGUCUCAUUUUAUGUAAAUAAAGGUGUCAUGUCAGCACAAAAAAAUGACAAAAAUAUGUUAAAAUUAAGUUCAGGGGUAAUAGAAUCCUUGUAAAGUUGGAGUGUAUCGUAGCAACUUUGGUCAUAGUUUCGAGGGAUACUGAAUGCUUAUCUCUUAUUUUUUUUUGGUACAUAGUUAUAUAUUUUUAUAACAAUCAUCUUUUAUAAUAACAUAUUAUUACACACUAUUUCAUUCUACUUCUUAUUUGGAAUUGCUAUAUUUGGUCUUUCGAAAAUAGUCUCUCUACCUCCAUGAAAUAGUGAUAAGAUUUCACGGGGUAUUUUAUUAUUGUUGAUUAAGUUUUCCUUCAAACCGACAAUUCAUUAUGUUGUAUUAUAUAUUCUUUAUAAUAACGUUUCACUAUAAUAACAAAAAAAAAAAUAUCCAUAAAAUGAAACUGUACUAUUAUUAUAGAAAGAUUCGAGCAUAACAAAUAACCUGUUAUUUUUCCUAAGUUAAUUACUAUUUCCUCCGUUCAUUUUACGUGACACACUUAUAUUUUUAAUUCAUCCCCAAAAAAAACGUCACCUUACUCUAAUUAAAAAACAAAGUUUACUUUAUAUUAAGUAUGCAUGUUAAAAUAAUUAAUUAGACUAAUGAUUAUCCAUAAUUAGUAAUUAAUUCCUUACUAUAAAAAGUUCUCUAGACAACGUGGACAUAAAACUAGCCGUGGAAGAUUAAACUUUAUUAUAAAAAUUUUAUUCUUGAAGAAUGAAGAUGCAUUACAAUAAUUAUUUAUUUAUAUACAAUAUAAUGCAUGUGUAGUCAAUUUUUUGAGAUUCUUUUCCAAUAUUCUUGGAUUAUAUUCUUUGCUCGAAUAUUUAGCAAAGAAUUGAAAAGUUUUUUGGUGGCUUUUAUUCUUUUUCUUUGUGUCCAUUUCCAACUUUAAGUUAUAUUCUUCACACACUAAAUUUUAUCAAUGGUGGUACACUUGUACACAACGGAGAAGUCAGAAAUUUCGUUAAGAAUAUUUAAAAUUUAAUAUAUAUGUGAAGAAAAAGUUUAAAAUAUAUCUAAAUUUUAAUGAAAUUUAUUGUAACAUGUCCCAACUUUGCAGGGUCCUAUAACCCCCUAGAUUAUUUUUUAUCGUAUUUCUGUGACAUAUAUUUGUUAGUUGGACCACUGCAUGAAUACACGCAUACUAAGCGUGUUAGGGUCUCAAAUGAUUCAGUUAAUUAAAUAAAUGGCAGAGAAGUACAGAAAAAAACAAUUUAUGGGGGUCAUACGACUCCCGCAAAGUUGAGGAGUGUCACAACCAAUUUUGCCAAAGGUUAAAUAUAUUUCGGACUUUUUUUCCAUAUACAUGUAUGAAAAUAUACUUUAUUUAAUUUUCUAUAUGUGCGGUAUAAUAUUUUAACGAAAGUUGUUCCACUGACCACCCUUAAUUGUAUAUGGCCGUACACGUGUACACGACAGUGAAAUUAGAAAUUUUGUCAAAAGUACAAAAAUUAAUAUAUAUGUAUGAAAAUAUACUUGAUAUAAUUUUCUAUAUAUACAAUAUAUAUUUUUAACAAAUGUUGUUCAACUGAUCAUCCUUAAUUGUAUAUGGCUAAGCCAAUGCUUAUAAAUAUUCUAGUAGUGUAUGUGUGAGGCAAAUGCAAGUUUUAGCCUAAUUUGGGGGGUGUAAAAUAUGUAUUCCUAAUCUUUCAUGUGAGUUAAAGGGGUUAAUUGACUAAUUAAUUAAUAUAUUGUCUUGCCUCGCCAUAUUCAGGGAGGUGACUUGGUGUAUGUUAUUUACUGAUGAUGUAGAGGUUAUUGACGAAAUUCGAGGAUGAGUUAAUGAUAAGUUGGAGGUUUGGAGACAGACCAUAGAGUCUAAAGGGUUUUGGUUGAGUAAGACCAAGACGGAGUACUUGGAGUAUAAGUUCAGUGAUUUGACGAUUUUACCUGUAGUCUAAGUGUUAUGAAUGUGUCUUGACGUAGUUUCUUAUUCGUGGUAUUUUAGGGAUGUUUGUGAUUUUGGAUAAGUAGUUCAUAGUAUUGCUCAGCGGAUAAGUAGUUUAUAAUAUUACAUAUUACACACACACACACACAUAUAUAUAUAUUAUUUGAUGAUGUUGUAGUGCUUAUUGACGAGAUUCAGGGAUGAGUUAAUGAUAAGUUGGAGGUUUGGAGACAGACUAUAGAGUCUAAAGGGCUUAGGUUAAGCAAGACUAAGAUGGAGUACUUAAAGUGUAAGUGAAGUGAUUUAACGAUUUUACCUGUAGUCUAAGUGUUAUGAAUGUAUCUUGUAAUUUCUUAUUCGUAGUGUUUUGGAGAUGUUUGUGGUAUUGGAUAAGUAGUUCAUAGUAUUACAUAUAUGUGUGUGUGUAUAUAUAUAUAUAUAUAUAUUUCUAUAAUAUUUGAUCGAUAUACAUUAUAUAACUUUCCGGUGAAAAGGUAUUCAACUGACCAUCCUUCAGCAUACGCAACUACGCGCCAUGUGAUCUCUCCAUCUUAGGGUGAUCUAAAGAUAGCAAUCAAAAGAAAAAUUUUCAAGAAAAAAUUAGUAUGUGCUGCAUGAAUAUUUUUAUGGUCAACAACAACAUACUGAGUGAAUUCUCAUAAGUGGGGUCAAUCUGCGGAGGGUAGAGUGUACGCAGACCUUACCACUACCUCAUGGAGGCAAGAGAAGUUGUUUCCAAGAGACCUCGAUCCAAGUGAAUAUUUUUAUGGUCACUUUACUAAAGUGAGUUGAGGGAUCAAAUAUAUAUGUCAAAGUUUACGGAGAAUAGAGUGUACGCAGAUCUUACCACUAUCUCGUGGAGCCAAGAGAGAUUAUUUUUGAGAAACCCACGGCCAUGAAUAUUCCUAUGGUCACUUUACUAAAGUGAGUUGAGGGAUCGAAUAUAUAUGUUAAGUUUGCAGAGGAUAGAAUGUACGCUGAUCUUACCACUACCUCGUGGGGGCAAGAGAGGCUGUUUCCGAGAGACCCUCGAUCUAAGUGAAUAUUUUUAUGGUCACUUUACUAAAGUGAGUUGAGGGAUCGAAUAUAUAUGUCAAGUUUGUGGAGGGGAGAGUAUACGCAAAUCUUAUCACUGCCUCGUGAAGCCAAGAGAGAUUGUUUCUAAGAGACCCUCGGCUAUGAAUAUUUCUAUGGUCACUUUACUAAUUAAGUGAGUUGAGGGAUCGGAUAUAUAUGUCAAGUUUGCGGAGGGUAGAGUGUACGCAGAUCUUACCACUACCUCGUGGUGACAAGAGAGGCUGUUUCCGAGAGACCCUCGAUCCAAGUGAAUAUUUUUAUGGUCACUUUACUAAAGUGAGUUGAGGGAUCAAAUAUAUAUGUCAAGUUUGUGGAGGGUAGAGUCUACGCAGAUCUCAUCACUACCUCGUGAAGCCAAGAGAGAUUGUUUCUAAGAGACCCUCGUCCAUGAAUAUUUCUAUGGUCACUUUACUAAAUUGAGUUGAGGGAUCGAAUAUAUAUGUCAAGUUUACGGAGGAUAGAAUAUACGCUGAUCUUACCACUACCUCAUGGGGGCAAGAGAGGCUGUUUCCGAGAGACCCUCGAUCCAAGUGAAUAUUUUUAUGGUCACUUUACUAAAGUGAGUUGAGGGAUCGAAUAUAUAUGUCAAGUUUGUGGAGGGUAGAGUAUACGCAAAUCUUAUCACUGCCUUGUGAAGCCAAGAGAGAUUGUUUCUAAGAGACCCUCGGCCAUGAAUAUUUCUAUGGUCACUUUACUAAAUUGAGUUGAGGGAUCGAAUAUACAUGUCAAGUUUGCGGAGGAUAGAAUGUACACAGAUCUUACCACUACCUCGUGGGGGCAAGAGAGGAUGUUUCCGAGAGACCAUCGAUCCAAGUGAAUAUUUUUAUGGUCACUUUACUAAAGUGAGUUGAGGGAUCGGAAUAUAUAUGUCAAGUUUGUGGAGGAUAGAGUAUACGCAGAUCUUAUCACUGCCUCGUGAAGCCAAGAGAGAUUGUUUCUAAGAGACCUCGGCCAUGAAUAUUUCUAUGGUCACUUUACUAAAGUGAGUUGAGGGAUCGGAUAUAUAUGUCAAGUUUGUGGAGGGUAGAGUAUACGCAGAUCUUAUCACUGCCUCGGGAAGCCAAGAGAGAUAGUUUCUAAGAGACCCUCGGCCAUGAAUAUUUCUAUGGUCACCUUACUAAAGUGAGUUGAGGGAUCGAAUAUAUAUGUCAAGUUUGUGGAGGAUAGAAUGUACGCAGAUCUUACCACUACCUCGUGGUGGCAAGAGAGGUUGUUUCCGAGAGAUCCUCGAUCCAAGUGAAUAUUUUUAUGGUCACUUUACUAAAGUGAGUUGAGGGAUCGAAUAUAUAUAUAAAGUUUGUGGAGGAUAGAGUAUACGCAGAUCUUAUCACUGCCUCGUGAAGCCAAGAGAGUCAAGUUGAGGUGGUAGAAUCUCUAAGAAAAAUAUGAGAUUCACCUUGCAAGAAAUGACAUUUGUUUAACUUAUGGAUAAGUUCUUAUUCAUCUUUAGAGCUUUGAUUCCAUGAAGAUGAUAAGUUCUUUUUAGCUUCUCAUGUCUAUUUUCUUUAUAUAUUCUUUUCCUUACUAUGUGGAGGAAAAGAUAAGAUAUUCCUUUCAGUGACGAAUUCAGAAUUUAAAGUCAUUUGGCUGUAAGAAGAGGAGGUCAAGCCACUCUAGCUACUUCAAUCNNNNNNNNNNNNNNNNNNNGACAGAUCUGAUAGGUGGAGAAUACAUUUAGCCGAUAAAACCAUUAGUUUAUUUCUCUAUUUAUUGGAUAUGGGACAAUUGGCACAUAAAUCGCCCCCGCUUGAGAACCAACGACCUCAUUGGUCACGACUAGCAUCCCUCUUGGGUCAAGGCCACCACUUCGAGUCGCGCCCCCUGCAUGGAACGGAUGACCUUGUUUGUCACGGCUGAGCUCAUUUGGUCACGACUGACAUCCCUCUUGGGUCCAGGUCACCACUCAUGUCACACAAGCCACCACUUCGAGUCGCGACCCCACGCAUGGAACCAACAACCUUGUUGGUCGGGGCUAGCACCCCUCUUGGGUCCAGGUCACCACUCUGAGUCGCACCCCCACGCAUGGAACCAACGACCUUGUUGGUCACGGCUAACACCCCUCUAACCAGGACAUCCUUCCACCCCUCUUGGGUCCAGGCCACCACUCGUGACACACAAACCACCACUUCGAGUCACGGCCCCACGCAUGGAACCAACUACCUUGUUGGUCACGGCCGGAACCCCUCCUAGGUCCAGGUCACCACUCCUGACACACAGGUCACUAAUCCGAGUCGCGGCCCCACGCAUGGAACCAACGACCUUGUUGGUCACGGCUGGCACCCUUCUCACCAGGAAAUCCUUCCAUCCCUCAUCAUUCAAUGAGAUCAAUCUUAAAGUUUUGCUUUCAGUGCCUAGAAGACUCAAUAGCAACUUUUAAAAGUUAAAAUAUUCAUAUUAGUUCAUGUUGGAUCUUCAAUAUGAAAGUUGUGCUGAAUGUUGAUGAGUAAGUAGUGUUGAUGAGUAAGUACUUAUGCAUAUAUAGAAAACAUUGUCUCAGUUGGAACAAUCUGCAACUCGAGAACAUAAAGUUGGAGUCACUAGUAAUCACAUGUCAACAUGUUGAUGUGAAUAUAUCAAGCCUUGUAUGUAUCGAACCAAUGAUCAUCUAUGACUUUUUUGGCACUAUUCCAUGCAACUUAAUUUUUUAUUUUUUUUUGCGUUAUGUUAAGUAUGUGACAUUAUAAUCCAUAGGCAGAUUUAGAAUUUAUAAUUUUUGCGAGUUCUUUAACACAUGCAAUAAGUUCUUUCAAAUUUGUAUCGCGUAUACUCUACAUCUGCCUCUGUUCGAAUCCAAAUGUCACGACAAACGGGAAGAAUAAUAGAUUGCGAACAUCCAACAACAACAACAACAUCAGCUAUUAUGUUUCAGUCUCAAACAAGUUACAAUCGACGAAACAGAAAAUUUUACAAGCAUGAGAAAAGUUUUCCAUUAUUAGCCAUUUUGACAAAAUAUAUGGCUUCCUUUUCUCCCUCAAUCUCCAUUCCUUUUAAAGGAAAAGAGGACUACUUAGAAAGCAAAAAAAAAAAAAAGACAUUGGGUUGAAGUUGACACACAAAAAAGUUUGUGUACAAGCUAGGAACCUACAUGUUGUUUUUAUAAUACAAAAACUUACAAUAAACCUAAUUUGGUCAGAUCCUUCUGCGAAUCCAUGCAAGUAAAAACUUAGUCCAGUGGACUAUUCUUUUUUUCUUCACUACAAGAAAUCAGUCAAUUUUCGACGGACAGUCCGUCGUCCGUUGGAAACAUCUCAGACGAGUGCAUUUUUGACGUAUUUAUCGACAGAAUAAUGUUAUCGAAAAAUUGACUGAUUUCUAGUAGUAGUGUUUUUUACUUAUAAACUAAGUUGUUCAGACUCUUCACUUUCGAUGCCGCACCUGUAUCUGAUUCUCCAAAUAUACACUACUUAUGAAGAAUCUGACACGUAUACGCCGACAUUUCUGACGAUAUUUUUGAAGAGUCCGAGUGGCAUAGCUUAGAACCAAAUAGCUUUGGCAUCAAUAAGCAUUUGUUUAAGUGAUCCAUCAACUUGUAAAGAUAUAAUAUCCUUAGAUGAUCCAACAAAUUUCCCACCAAUAAAAACAGCAGGAACACUUGGAUUACAACCUAAACUUCUCAAUGCUUUCUCCAUUUCUUUCCCUUUUGGAUCUUGAUCAAGUUCAUGAAUUGCUGGACUUGCUCCAAUGUCAUAAAAUAAUGCUUUAAUACUAUGACACAUAAAACAUGAACUCUUUGUGAAUAUUACAGCUGCCUUCUUUGAUGCCAAGUCACCUAUUCUAUCCAUAUCGAUCGAUAUGUAUAGAUAUAGAUAUAGAUACAGAUAUGGAUAUAAAUAUAUACGACGGUGAAACGAAGAAAAUAUGAAGAGUUGAUCACUAAGUUUAGUAGUAGAUGUUGGUGAUGAUAUUUGAGGUUACAUAUCUUGGUUAUUUAUAGGGAUUUUUAGAUAGAUAUGGAUUACAUUAUUUAUCCAGAAAAGGAAAAAAUAAAUUAUACUAAUGCAUAAAUGAAAAGGCAAUGUUCCUUAAAGAUAUUUCUUUAGAUAAAGGAAAGCAAAAGUAAGAAGAAAUAAAAUGUCACAUACUUUGAGAAAUUGAGUUUAACUUCUAUGUACUGACAGUUAAUGUGGAUUUUUAAGCGUUCAGAUAGUACUAUAGUAGUCAUCGUAUUGUCACUGUAGUUUUUAGUCCUUCGAUUCUUGUUACUAUAUGAUAUUUCUAUGCACUUACGACGAUUUUUAAGAGUUCAGAUAGUGGUAGUACUGUGUUGUCUUGUUAUUUGUCCAUACUAUAGUAGUCAUCGAAUUGCCACCGUAGUUACUAGUCCUUCGAUUCCUGUUACUAUCUGAUGUUUCCUGUACUUUGAUUAUUGUAUUAUUUAGAUGUAGUCACUUUUCGGUGUGUUUUGUGAUGCUUUCACUUCCUUGUUCUCUUUCUAAACUUCUUUAAUUUGAACUGUUUUUUCUCGAGUCGAGGGUCUAGUAGACGCAGUCUCUCUACCUUUGAGAUAGGGUAAGUUCUGCGUACUUUCUACUAUCUGUGUUUAUUGCUAAUUCCUAUGUUCUUAAAGUAGUAUUUGUCGAAGAGAAAUCGGUUGACAUCUCUUCAUCGGAAAAUUACACUAUGAAGAUCAAUCAAUUUCUUUUUUUGAUGUAUAUAUACUAUAUAUUGAAUCCCGUUGGCAUAUUUCUGCGUAUACUUUUUUAUAUUUUGAAUCUUCAUAGUGAGAAUUCUUGGCUCAACCUCUUUGUUCAAAUUCAGUUCAUCUAAAAGAUAUUUACAUGUACAUAAAAUCCUCAUAAAAAGUGGAAGGAAUAUCACAAAAAUAAGGUAAAUUGCUAAUUACGAUAGAUUGAAUAUUAGAUGGUUCUUUUCAUUUGUUUUAAUCUUGAAGAACAGAAUUACGAUAGAUUUAAUUAAGGUGCACGAAAACUAGUCCAAACACCACAGUUAUUAAAAAAAAAUCACUCGUAGUGUAAAAAAAGUUAUAUUUUGAGUGUAUAUUAAACUAAAUUCUUCUAUUUUGACCCUUUAAUACUAUGAAAAGUUGACAGACCAUAAAGAUAAUACCAAACUUUUUGUAGAAUCCAUACAACUAUUUAAUAAUAGUUAUUAAUUAAUAAACAAAUUGAUGGGGUAAAAGGCAAAGAUAUUAUUCCUUGAUUUUUUUCAUGAAAAAUUCUUUCAUUAGUGGGUAAAGUAAUUCUAAUUUUGGAGAUCUAGAAACUAAUACAGUAAUAUAUAGAUUUUUUUUUUCAAACUUUAAUGAUGUGUAAAGACAAUGCUACUGGUACAAGAGAUGUAUAGGAAUAUGGAAUAAAGAAAAAAAAAUUGGAAUAAAGAAAAAAAAUUAUGUUCUAUAUUCAAUUCAUAUAUAUAUAUAUAUAUAAUAGUAUAUUUUUAUGUGUCAUCUAAAAGAUAAUUAAUAUAAUUUUACUUUUGUAUAAGGAUGGUGUAAAUUUUUUAUUUUUUUUUACACUAUUAGGUUCGUUUAAAAGGUAAUUUCGGUAACCGAAAAGUAUAAUCUUUUUUAACCGCUUAAACUUUAUCAUUUUAUCAUAGCAAGUAAAGGUUUUCCCGCCCGCAAUUGUCUAAAAGAAUUUACACGUAUUUGGUCCAAAACGUAGGCAAAGACCUAGAUGUGUGGAAAUGCAAGUUGGUUUCGCGUCUGUUAUAACAUGUUAAAUUAUACUGAUAAAGUAAAAGAGAUAAGCAUUCAAUACCUCCACCAUCCACCCACCCGAAUUAUGGCCGCCCAUCCGAAUUAUGAUCAAAGUUGCUACGACACACUCCAACUUCACAAGGGUCCUAUUAUCCCCUGAACUCAAUUUUAGCAUAUUUUUAUCAUUUUUUUGUGCUGUCGUAAUAUUUUUAUUACAUAAAAUGGACCCCACGUCAAAGAUGCCACAUCAGCUAAGAAGGUUGAUAAAAGAUGUCACGUCAGCUAAAAAGGAUGACAAAAAUAUGAUAAUAUUUAAUUCGGGUGGUAAUAGGACCUUCGUGAAGUUAGAGUAUGUCGUAGCAAAUUUGUUCAUAGUUUUAAUUAUGAUGUAAGUGCAUAUGUGUUAAAAGGAGAGAUAUUUACAUUAUUACAUGUGUGGUGGUCCAAUAUGAUGAUUAUUGGUAGAGAACUUGGAGGAUUUUUAGAUGAUGUGGAAUAGACAAGAGCUUCUAUUAUUUUGUUCUUAUAACCUUUCUUUACUAUCAUGAGAUUCAAUAUUAUUUGUUCAAUGGGAUGUGUCACAAUUGUAACCAAGUUGAGUACUCUUCUUUUACUUUGUUAAAAUGGAUGAUAGAUAUUAUUGUUUCAUGUAGUUGAAUCUAGAUUAAUGAAGAUAUUCGAGAUAAGAUGGGAAUAGUCUGUGUAGUGGACAAAUGAAGUAGGCAAGGUUGAGAUAGUAUAGGCGUGGAGAUAAGCAUUCAGUGCUCCCGAACUAUGAUAAAAGUUUCUACCGAACUAUGAUAAAAGUUUCUACGACACACUCUAACUUCACAAAGAUCCUAUUACCCUCUGAACUCAAUUUUAGGGUAUUUUUGUCACUCUUUUGUGAUGAUGUGGCACCUUUAAUACAUAAAAUGGGGCCCACACCAAAGGUGCCACAUCAGCUAAAAAGAUUGACAAAAGGUGUCACGUCAGCUAAAAAGAAUGACAAAAAUACGCUAAAAUUUAGUUCGGGGAUAAUAGAACCCUCGUGAAGUGGAGUGUGUCGUUGCAACUCAUAAUUCGGGGGUACUAGAUGUUUUACUCUAUAGGCGUGCGAAGAAGAAAUGUCAAAUGUCGUAGUGAGGAGGUGUGAAAGAUUCAUAUGGUGGGAACGAGGAGAGGUAGAAGUAAGUUAAAGAAGUAUUAGAGAAGGUGAUUAGACAGAACAUGACGUAGUGGCAAUUUACUGAGGACAUGACCUUAGAUUAGAGGCUAUGAAGGAAGCAGAUUGGGAUAGAAAGUUAGUAGGUAGUAGAGCGCUGUCUCGCUUUAUGACGUAGAGGUUAUGGAGGAAGCCGAAGGAGUAUUAGAGAGAGGUGAUUAGACAGAACAUGACAUAGAUGCAACUUACUAAGGACAUGACCUCUAGGAAACAGAUCGAGGUAGAAAGUUAGUAGGUAGUAAAGCAUUGUCUCGCUUCUUGGUGAUAUAGUUUGAAGCACCGUUUAUGUCGUAGUAUUAAACUUAUUCAUGAAUUUCUUGUUUUUUCGAUAUAUGCUACCAUAUAAAGUCGAUGUUAUUGUUCCUUUUCUGUAUGCUUUGCAUUGCUUUUCGUAUUAGUUACCAUGUUUUCCUUGUUGCCGUAUUCCCUCGUGCAUGACUAUUUUGACUUAAUGCACUUGACUCGAAGAUUGUUCAGAAACAACCUCUUUGCCUCCAUGAUGUAGGGAUAAAGUUUGCAUACACUCAGGAUGGACCAAUGACCAUCUUCUUGGUGCUCCGGCACCCGUUGAAUUCGAGGCAGACUUAUAAAAGCACCUAGUAAACCGAACCUCCUAAGCACCCACGACUCCUAAAUCCUGAGUCCGCCACUACUUACACUGAACCCUCCCCAGACCCCACCAGUUGAAUUACAUUGAGUAUGUUAUUGUUUUAUGUAGUUGAAUCUAUAUAAUCCGUCUAAGGGAAUGAAAGAAAAAACAAAGAGUAUCUUGUAGUGAUAGAGAUGCAUCUUAAUUUGCUUCAUCUCUUUUUCUAUUGUAUAUGAUGAUGUUUUCAAAUACUUAGGACAGGGAAACCCCAUGCCCAAAGCAUCCCACGUUUACGCAGGGUCCAGAGAAGGGCCGCAUGGCAAGGGGUCCAAUGAGACACGUUAACACAGGGUUAGGGGAAGCCGCAAGGGGUCCAAUGAGACGUUUACACAGGAGAAGGGGAAGGGCCGCACCACAAGGGGUCCAAUGAGACACGUUUGCGCAGGGUCAGGGGAAGGGCCGCACCGUAAGGGGUCCAAUGAGACAAAUUUACGCAGGGCAGGGUUAGGGGAAGGACCGCACCGUGCAAGGGAUCCAAUGAGACAAUGAGGAGAUUCUUCAAUUGAAAGAAGGUAACAUUGAGCCAUUUAUUCAUAAUGUACAGAAAUUACCAGGAAAAGCAUACAUAGGAGUUGUUGUUUACAUCAACUUUGCUGGCCAACUUCGCCGACUUGAGAGUUGCAUAUUCGGUAUUGAAGAAAUACCAGACGCUACGCUACACAAUGAGGAGGGGUCCGUAUUGGAUCCUGAAACAAUCCGGAUUGUUAUUCUGGCGAUGACAUGUAAGGGGCAUUCGGUAUAUCAGGAAGAGAAGAAGCUGAUGAACUAUCUCGUACUGUUCCCAUUGGAUGAUCGAAUUUACAAGUGCCACCGAAUUUGCAGAAUCCUCUUUGCAUAAAGAAGGAACAAGGCUGCACCCCCUACUUUCACAAGUGAAAUUAGUCGAGUCUCAAAACAGACUAACGAGUUACACACAUCAAUACUUUCAGACUCAACAAAGCUAAUAUAACAAGAUGAAAGUGUCGCAAUCGUUCAGGUAUCAUGAAGCUCACCAGAUAUCUGAACCAGAUAUGAAGGUUUUGAAACCGGAGAAAGGAGAUUUUACACUUCCUCCAACCAAGGCAAAGAAGUAUUCAUGUAUCAUGCAGAGACUCGAGAUGAUAACAAACAUACUUGGUUAUACUGGAACCAUCGAAGGAGGCUAACAUCUCUAGUGUAGCUAUAUGUUCUCGAGUCUAGAAGAUGUGCAGCCAUCAUUUUGGCAUUUGAAAGUUAGGCAAUCGUUAGAAUUCAACCGUUUGUAUUCUGUGUGAACAUAUCGUGACAUUUUCAAAUCGCAACAUAUUUUGUUUCAUUUCUUGUUAGGACUGAUAACUAACAGCAGCCUAAUAAGUCAUACGGACCAGCGGCCAGCGACUAAUGCAGAACAGGUAAGAGUAGUCAGACUGCCCUUUUGUAGUUUAUCUACAUGGCAUAGAGCAUGCAAGAGGCAAGUACCUCUGUAGCUCCAAGAAGAACCGUAAAUUUAGAUUCAACAAAAUAAUACUACUUGAAUUCUGUGACAACUAUGCAGCUGAGCAGGCUAAGAACGGUAAUGCAUGGCAGGAUCUCAGUUUCAGGCAAGACCAGAUAGACAACGAUGCUCAUCACAGAUUUAUCCAGAUUGGAUUCUAAAUUCGCGAUGCCAAGUCAAACAGAAGGAAGAAAGAAGGAUAUUAGUCAUACCGGGCGCAAAGGAAGGCCUAAGGAGUUGACAGCGCAAUCUGUCUUUGAUGGACUCCAGUCGGCAGGAUGAUGAAACUUACAUGAUGAUCCAAAUUUACAAUCCCCCGUUUGCAUGUAAUAUUGACAUACUCGUUGGCCUGGUCUUUCAGGAAAAUGCUUUUCCUGCAAUGCACUGCUUGACGGGCCAUCAGCUAAGUGUAACGAGGAGUAAGGUGCUGCAAUGGCAGGUGUCGAAGAUGCUAGUUGUGAUAGUGCAAGACUUCCCGGUGCCUGCAAAAAGCAAAUUAAUCACCCGAUAGGAUUGUUAUUUUCCGUCAUAUCAGAUAAUCGACUGAGAGAAUAUCUCCAUCAUACCGAAUAAGUGCUCCAGUUCUGAACGGUCGCUAAUCCUGGGUGAAGCAGAACUGGACCGUAAGUACCAGGUACAUAAGAACUAGGUAAGAGUUGAGGCCUCGUUUCUUCAAGAGGUGCAGGAAGAGACGGCACUGUCGGAUAAAAUGGCCGUGCAGUUACUGGCGCUGAUACCUCAGCAGGGUUAGGAUGAUGGAAUUUACAUGUUAAACCAAAUUUGCAUUGCCCCGUUUUCAAAUAAUAGGAGCAUACUCUUUCCUCCUGUCGUAAUUGAUAAAUUUUGAGAGCUCUUAACCAAACUUAUCGAUAGAGUACACAAAUGCAUACAUACAACGAAAUAGAUCAAUUACCGGGCGUAAUGGGUAUCCAUAUUCAUUUAGUGGUACAUUGCUCAAAGAUCCACCCAAGUUUCUUGGAUGGUGGAACUUGCACGAUGCACCAUAUUUACAGGUCGCUGUUCUUAGAUAGUACUGCAAAUAGAAAUUAUCCAUUCAUCACACACGAAAUCAAUAUUGCAUACACGCGUACUUGAUAAAACAACAUGAUCAAACACGAACAAACUCAGGAUGUUAAAUAGAGUUACCUGACAUAUAGGCUCUCCUAUUCGUUCUGGAUAUUCACUUCUUUCCAACGGCACAACACCAACCUUAAAUCCGAGCCACACCCAAGUAAGAGUCAAAGUAACUCAUGCUUACCAUUCCGAGAAACUAACAGAACAAAUAAAAAUCGUCCAUUUCUACUUCAUCUUGUUAAGUAUACAAAUAGAAAAACAUAAAAUGAUCGGCCAAAUAGUACCACUCUUUUGUUAUCGUUAUAAUAUUUCUUCAAACACUCUGCUUUUGAUUAGAUUGCCUUUGAUUUUCUUGCCGUGCCUACUCAGUGCAUUCUCUGUGCAGGACCUUUUCAUUCAAAUCCUCACUCUCAACUAGUCUUAGUUGAAAUGUAAAGUUAGCUACCGAGUUACUUACGGUGUAUAAUUGUCUUUUACAUCACCAAUAUGAGCGAAAACGACCUAAAUGAUCCCUUAUAGUUGUGCGUAGACACAUAACAUCAACCUUAUUCUUUAGUAUGGUGCAUGCACUAUUAGCGCAUCAAAAUCGGUAAACAAUAAGGAGUAAUAGUGCACCAGGUAAAAGAAUACAGAUAACUAUAUUACUCAGCUCGAAAUAAGGGACUAUUUUAGACUUUUUUUCCCAAUGAGACAUUAAGGUUUCAGCGUAUAACGUUAGUACCAAUUCAAUAAGCUUGUCGGUUCAUGAUUCUCUAUGAAACUAUAGGCUCCAUUAAACAAGUAAUGAUCAGUAUAGUCAUCAGGAGCGGAUCUAGCCUUCAACGUAAGGGUUCACGUGAAUCUAGUAGCUUUUCGUCAAACUCUAUGAAGCCCAUUGGUAAAAGUACAUCAAUUUGAGGUCGCGAUAGGAACUCAUAAACUUCAAAUCUUGAAUUCGUCUGAUGAUAGUAAGCUUAAUUAACACAAUAUAUAACUACAAGAUGAGAUCAAGAAACUUACAGAGGUUAAAUCAGGAGGAUGAUUAUACCGACAUUGAGCACCAUAUCCACAAGACCCCGUACGCAUAUAGAAGGAACAAUUAGGUGUCCCGGACCUUUCCGGGUACCCUUCAUUGCUCCAUAACCCCAACCUCCUCAUUGAUUCUACAUUGUCAAAACACACACACACACAAAGAAUGUGGACAGACCCCAAAAAGUCAAAUUCAUUAAAUCAAAAAAUACCAAAGGAAAAUUCUUCCUUUAUAGACAUGAACAUAAGAAGGAAAAAAUACUAUUUACACUAUAUUUCCACUCCAUUCUUUCAUUUUCUUGAAAAAAAAAGUCCGUCGCUUAUGUUUCCGAUGAUCUUUCGGAAACAGUCUCUCUACCUCCACGAGGUAGUUAUAAGGUCCGCAUACACUCUACCGUCCGCACAUCCCACUUGUGGAAAACCCCUUGGUCCCCGAGUGUCUUACGGAAACAACCUUUCUACCUCUACAAGUUAGUUAGUGGUAAUUAAGUUUUGCGUACACUCUACCCUACUGUCACCGAUUUGUCAUCAAAUUUGUGCAGUGAAAGAACUCACCUUCUAGACCGGUUUCCGGUCCAACAGGUACCCAUUCUGGCUGCUGAUCAGAUUGUGAUCCACCAUACAUCUCCAUAUUUUUUUACCUAAAAUUCACUAAAAAAAGUGAAAAAAAAAAUUAGGCAAAAAAUUUACUAUUCAAAAGAGCAAGAUCGUGCAUAUAACAGUCCGGUGCACUAAAGCUCCCGCCAUGCACGGAGUCUAGAGAAGGACCGGACUACCUGAGUCUAUUAUACACAACCUUACCUUCCAUUUCUGCCCGAGAUCGUGCAUGUAUGUAACACAAACAUUCAAUUUAUGUAUAGAUAUGUGUUAUGAGUAGGAAAAACACACACAGUGAGUGUGUGUUUUUGGUGUUUUUUUCUCUUUUUUUUGCAAGAAUCUAUUCUACGAAGCCUUACCUUGCAUUUCUGUUAGACAUCAUGCAUUUAUGUAACAAAAACAUUGAAUUUCUAUAUACAUAUGAGUUAUAAAUAUGAAAAAAAAACACAGUGAGUGUGUGUUUUUGGUGUUUUUUUCUCUUUUUCUGUACGAGUCUAUUAUACGCAACCUUACCUUGCAUUUCUGUCAAAAAUCAUGAAUAUAUAUAACACAAACAUUCAAUUUCUGUGUAGAUUAUGAGUUAUCAAUAUGAAAAAAACACAGAGUGAGUGUGCGUUUUUGGUGUUUUUUUCUCUUUCUUUAUGCACGAGUCUAUUAUACGCAGCCUUACUUUGCAUUUCUGUCAAAGAUCAUGCAUAUAUAUAACACAAACAUUGAAUUUCUAUAUAGAUAUGAGUUAUCAAUAUGAAAAAAACACACAGUGAGUGUGUGUUUUUGGUGUUUUUUCUCUUUUUCUGUACGAGUCUAUUAUACGCAGUCUUACCUUGCAUUUCUGUAAGAAAUCAUGCAUAUAUAUAACACAAACAUUGAAUUUCUAUAUAGACAUGAGUUAUCAGUAUGAAAAAAAAACACAGUGAGUGUGUGUUUUUGGUGUUUUUUUCCUCUAUUACUGCAAGAAUCUAUUAUAUACGCAGCCUUACCUUACAUUUCUGGCAGAGAUCACGCAUGUAUGUAACACAAACAUUCAAUUUCUGUGUAGAUUAUGAGUUAUCAGUAGGAAAAACAAACACAGUGAGUGUGUGUUUUUGGUGUUUUUUCUCUCUGUUUUUUUGCACAGUACAGUGAAGUUCAAGAAGUGAAGUAAACUACUUUUUCUUCUUAUUAUUUUGCUUUUAUAUUUUCUCAAACUGUAACCGUUCAUUUUUAUUUUUUAUUUUUGUUUCCUUUCAUUAAGCUACCCGCCAAAGUAUGUUUGAUGGGGGGUAUGCAUUAAUUAAAUUAAAGAAAAACAAUAAAUAAAAUAAUUAUGUCAUUUUAGUUAGUUUUUGUGUUUUUAAAUUUUAGAUGUGUGUAACUAGUAUUUAAAUUUGUAUAAAGUUGAAUAAAUAAAUACGUGCAUUGCCACGUAGAUGUCACGUGCAUCCUUGUACUUUUCAAAAAGAAAAAUAAUAUUUGCCCUUUAUUAUACUUUUUGGAUAUAUUUAUAUUUAUCAUCGAAUUUUGAGUACAUAUUUAUUCCUGAAUUGUUAAUUUCUCUUGUCUCGCCUUUACAUCCUACGUGGCAUGCUCACGUGAAUUUUUCAUCUUCUUUCUUUUUGUAACCAUUCUUUUCUCACCUUUACCUCCUAUGUAGCACGCCCGCAUGAAUUUUUCAUUUUUUCUUUUUGUAACCGUUCUUUUCUUUAUUUUCUUCCUUUCAGUACCUGCCAAAGUAUGGUAUAGGGCCAAGCAUGAUGAAGUAGGAGUAUUCGGUAGGCAAUCUUUUUGACUUGAUCAAAAAAUGAGUCAUUCAUUAAAGUAAAUAGAACCGAUAAAUGUAUAAUAUGUGUUUUGUACAUAAACUAUUUUAACAGUAUUAAAUUUACAUGACUUAGUAUAAACAUCGAGCACGGAUGAGAUAAUUAUUUGCCUUUAUCAUUGAACUUUGAGUACAUAUUUAUCCCUGAACUGUUAAUUCCUCUUCUGGAUCAUCUUUACUUUCUAUGUGGCAUGCUCACGUGAAUUUUUCAUCUUCUUUCUUUUUGUAAGCAUUUUUUCUUUCACUAUCCGCCAAAGUCUGGUAAAGGGCCCAACAUGAUGAAGCAAAAGCAUUCAGUUGGCAAUCUUUUUGACUUGACCAAGAAGUGGGUUAUGCAUUAUAGUAAAUAGAAUCGAUAAAUGUAUAAUAUGUGUUUGUAUAUAAAUUUUUUAACGGCAUUAUAUUUACAUGAUUUAGUAUAAACAUCGAGCAUAGAUAAGAUAAUUAUUUGCCUUUAUCAUCAAACUUUGAGUACAUAUUUAUCCCUGAAUUAUUAAUUCUCUUGUCUCACCUUUAUCUUCCACGUGGCACAUUCACGUGAAUUUUUUUAUUUUUUUUUUGUAACCAUUUUUUUCUCACCUUUACCUCCUACGUGGCACGUUCAUGUGAAUUUUUUUUAUCUUUUUUUCUUUUUGUAACCGUUCUUUUCUAUCUUUACCUUUUACGUGGCACGCUCACGUUAAUUUUUCAUAUUCUUUCUAUUUGUAACUGUUCUUUUCUUUGUUUUCUUCUUUUAGUAUCCGCCACAAUAUGGUAAAGGGUCAAACAUGAUGAAAUUGGAGCAUUCAGUCGGCAAUCUUUUGGACUUAAACCAAGAAAUGAGCUAUGCAUUAAAGUAAAUAGAAUCGAUAAAUGUAUAAGAUGUGUUUUGUUCAUAAAUUUUUUAACAGUAUUAAAUUUACAUGACUUAGUAAAACAUCGAGCACGAAUGAGAUAAGUAUUUGCCUUUAUCAUCGAACUUUGAGAACAUAUUAUCGUUCUUUUCUUUGUUUUCUUCCUUUCAAUACUCGUCAAAGUAUGAUAAAGGGCCAAACAUGAUGAAGUAGGAGCAUUCAGUCAGCAAUCUUUUUUACUUGAUCAAGAAAUAGGUUAUGUGUUAAAGUAAAUAAAACCGAUAAAUGUGUAAAAUAUAUGUUUUGUACAUAAUCUUUUUUAGCAUUAUUAAAUUUACAUGAUUUAGAGUUAGAGUUUGUGACCCAAAUUCUGUUGAUCUGACCCUGAAAAGUUCGCGGUACGACCCAUGUUUGUGAUUCUUUGUGGGGUCAGUGGUGGGCUCCGAGAUCGGGCCGAUACUUGUGUGUUUUUGGGCCUAGAAUUUAUUUGUACACACGUAUUAUAUAAGUGCAAUUUAAUGGGUUGUUUUGGACGGUUUGAAAUACGUCAUUGAGACUUCCGUCUCCUAUUGUACUCCUCUCCAUUAUAGUGAAAUUCCUCCUCCUCUGCCUGUGAUUUUUCCCGCAAAGAUUUUCACAUAAAUCUAUGUGUCUUCUUUUACUUUGUGAUAUUACUUAUUCUGCCCAAAUAUAACAUUUAAUAUAAACAUCGAGUAUGAAUAAAAUAAAUAUUGUACCCUAGUAAAUGAGGUUUCAACAAAGUGGUUUAAAAGAAUUUUUAAAGUCUCAACUAUUAACAAAAGAGUUUAAAAUAUUUUUUUAUGUCCAACUAUUCAUGUUAGAAGCACCUGAUUAAUCAUUUUGUGUUGAAAAACUGCACAAAAUUUGCACUUUUACUGAUAAAAAUUUGCACAAAUAAUUAUAUAUAAAAAAAAAAAGAUCUAGACAAAAUACAAAGUGAGCACUUAUAUUUCACACUUAUAUUUUCUUUCUUUUACACACAGAGUAUUGGAAAUGGGGGUUAUCCAUUAAUUAAAUAAAAAAGAGCCAAUAAAUGAUACUCCCUAUGUGUAUCAUGUGGUAUAAUAGAUUUAUAAUAUGAAUUGCUCCGUACGAUGUCAUAUAAGACACAUGUAUUAUUUAUUUAAGUAAAUAGAUUUAAAUGUCUAUUUGUGUACAUCUAAAACUGAAUAACGUAAAUGUCAGUUGAGGUUAAAUUAAAGGACACAUUUAUAUAUUAUAUCUCAUCUAUUCAUGAAAUCUGAGAAGAAUUUGAUUAAUCAUUUGUUUUUGAAGAAUUUCUUGAAAAUUCUUCAAGAUUAAAUUGUUUUUGUACUUUUCAAAAAAUAUUAGUAGAUUUGCUUUUCGUUUUCUUAUCGUUCAACUUUACACACAUAUUUAUCCUACGUGGUGCGUCCACAUGAAUUUUAUGUUUUCUUUCUUUCUAUAACAGUUCUUUUUUUGUUUUCUCCGUCUUAGUACCCACCAAAUUAGGGAAAGGGGGUUAUGCAUUAAAUUACAUAGAAUCGAUAAAUGUGUAAUAUGUGUUUUGUACAUAUUUUUUUAGCAAUUUACAUGAUUUAGUGUAGACAUCAUGUGAUACGUAUUUUAUCUUAGUAACAGUGAAUCUAGAAUUCAAAAUUUGAUUCUCAAAAUGGUUUUCUGGAUAUUCUUUUAUAGCUCUACUAUUCACGAAAUGUGAGAAGCACCUGAUUAAUUAUCUAUUUUUAAAAACAAAUCGAAAAAUUUCUUGAGAUUUUACAAGAUCAUUCGUUCUUUUUUUAGGAAACAAAUUUGUUUUUGUACUUCUCAAACAAAUUAUAUUUGCUCUUCAUUAUAUAUAUAUAUAUAUAUAUAUAUUUGUUCUUAUCAUCCAACUUUAAAAAUAUAUUUCUGAAUUAUUAAUUUUUCUUACAUGCCAUCACUUUAUUUCCUACGUAGCGCGCUCACGUGCAUAUAUUUUUAGUGUACUUUUUUUCUUUGGUUAACCAUUCUUUUUUCUUUGUUUUAUUCCUCCCAAUUUCAACAGUCCACCCAACUAGGGGUGGGCAUGGUAUGGUAUGGUACGGUAUUUUAAAUUUCAGUACGGUAACUUUGGUUUUCGGUAUCUAAAAGAACAAUACCAUUACCAUACCAAAUUAGUUUGGUAUGGUUCGAUAUUUUUGAAUUCGGUUUUGAUAUUUUAUGGUACGGUAAUUCAGUAACCAUACUUUAUUUGAUUUCGAUUUACAUAUAUUCAUAUAAAAAAACUAUAACUUAAAAACUUAAAAACGUCUCAAUCAUAUCAGACUAACAACUAUCUUUGUUAAUCAUCUACACAACUAUCUUUAUUAUCCAACUUUGCACACAUAUUUAUCCUUGAAUUGUUAAUUGCCCUUGUCAUCCCCAUAUUUUUUUCCUACGUGGUGCGUGCCCACGUGAAUUUUUUGUUUUCUUUUUUUCUAUAAUAAUUCUUUUAAUUUGUUUUCUCCAUCUAAAUACCCACCAAACCCGCCAAAGUAGGGAGAGAGGGUUAUGCAUUAAAUUAUAAAGAACCGAUAAAUGCAUAAUAUGUAUUUUGUACAUAAGCUUUUAGUCAUUUACAUGAUCUAGUGUAAAUUUAUCCUAGUAUCAGUGAAUCUAGAAUUUAAAAUUUGAUUCUCAAAUAUUUUUUCUAGAUAUUCUUUUAUAGCUCAACUAUUCGUGAAACGUGAGAAGCACUUGAUUAAUCAUCUGUUUUAAAACAAAUCGAAGUAUUUCUUGAAAAUUUUACAAGAUCAUUUGUUCUUUUUUUUAGAAAAGGGUCAAAUUUGUCGUUGUACUUCUUAAAAAAAUUAGAGAUAAUACCCAAUUACCUCCCUGAACUAUACCCAAAAAGGCUAUGACAUACCUCAACUUAAAGGGGGUCCUAUUACCCCCUGAACUAAUUAAAAAUGUAAUUUUGACACCCUUAGUGCCUAUGUGGCACAUACGUGGCACAACACACUGAAGUGUCCACGUAGGCACACGUGUGUGCCACGUAGGCACUAAGGGUGUCAAAAUUACACUUUUAAUUAGUUUAGGGGGUAAUAGGACCCCCUUUAAGUUGAGGUGUGUCACAAUCUUUUUGGGUAUAGUUCAGGGGGGUAAUUGAGUAUUUUCUCAAAAAAUUAUGUUUGCUCUUCAUUAUAUAUAUAUUUUAGAUAUAUUAGUCCUUAUCAUCCAACUUUAAGAAUAUAUUUCUGAAUUGUUAAUUCUUCUUACACGCCAUUACUUUAUUUUCUAUGUGGCGCGCUCACGUGCAUUUUCAAUGUACUUUUUUCUUUUUGUAACCGUUCUUUUCUCUUUGUUUUCUUCCUCUCAAUUUCGACAUCCCACCCAACUAUUCACGAAAUGUGAGAAGUAUUUGAGUAAUCAUCUUCUUUUACAAAAAAAUAAAAUAAAAAAAAAUUGAAGCAUUUCUUGAGAAUUUUAUCAAAUUCGUUCUUUUUUUUUUUUUUUUUUUUGAGAAAAGGUCAAAUUUGUUGUUGUACUUCUCAAAAAAAAUUAUAAUAUCUCUUCAUUAUACUUUUUUGUUAUAUUUGCCCUUAUCAUCUAAGUUGGAGCAUAUAUUUAACAUUGACUUGUCAAUUCCUCUUGCAUGUCCUCACUUUAUUUCCUAUGUGGCGCGCUCGCAUGCAUUUACAGUGUUCUUUCUUCGCGCUCGCAUGCAUUUACAGUGUUCUUUCUUUCUUUUUUCUUUGUUUUCUUCCUCUCGAUUUUAAUAGUCCACUCAACUAUUCACAAAAUGUGAGAAGGACCUGAUUAAUCAUUUUUAAAAAUAAAAAAAAGUCAAAGAAUUUCUUGAAAAUCUUAUUAGAUUUUCAUUCUUUUUUGGGGAAAGAAUGUUAAUUCCUCUUGUGACCUCCUACGUGGCACGCUUACGUAAAUUUUUCAUGUUCUUUUCAGCAUCCGUCAAAGUAUGGUAAAGAGCCACACAUGAUGAAGUAGGAACAUUCGGUAAGCAAUUUUUUUGCCUUGACCAAAAAUUUGAAGUAAAUAGAAUCAAUAAAUGUAUAAUAUGUGUUUUGUACAUAAAUUCUUUUGAUAGUAUUAAAUUUACAUGACUUGGUGUAAAUAUCGAGCGCGAAUAAGAUAUCUAUUUUAUCCUAGUAAAUGAUGUUUUAACAUCUGUGGCCGGUUUCCUACCGCUUAAUGCACUGACAGAGGAACGAAGGAUUAGUCUCAUGAUUGCCGGCUGUGGGGAUACCUUGGGAAACCAAAAAAAAAAAAUAAACAAAAAAAGUCUCAAUUAUUAACAAAAGAGUUUUGAAUAUUUUUCAGUAUCUAAUUAUUCACGAAAGGUAAGAAGCACCCGAUUAAUUAUUUUGUGUUAAAAACUCCAUAAAAUCUGCACUAUUACUUGAUAAAAAUCUAAAUAAAAUUAUAAAAGAAAAUCUAGAUAAAAUACAAAGUGAAAUGUGAGAGAAUUUGAUUAAUCAUUUAUUUUCUAAGAAUUUCUUGGAAAUUCUACAAGAUCCAUUCGUUUUUAUUAGAAACGAAUCAAAUUUUUUCUUGUACUUUUCAAAAAAUAUUAAUAGAUUUACUUUUCGUUAUAUUUUUUGUGAUAUAUUUGUCCUUAUCAUUCAACUUUACACACAUAUUUAUCCUUGAAUUGUUAAUAUUCCUAGUGUUAUCCCUAUAUUUUUUUUUCCUACGUGGCACGUGCCCACGUGAAUUUUCUUUUCUUUUCUUUUUUUUAUAACAAUUCUUUUUUAUUUGUUUUCUCCAUCUCAGUACCCGCCNNNNNNNNNNNNNNNNNNNNNNNNNNNNNNNNNNNNNNNNNNNNUAUGCAUUUUGUACAUAAAUUUUUAACAAUUUACAUGAUUUAUUAUAAACAUCAUGUGAUACACAUUUUUAUCCUAGUAUCAGUGAAUCAAGAAUCUAAAAUUUAAUUCUCAGAAAUAUUUUUCUAGAUAGUCUUUUAUAGCUCAACUAUCACGAAGCGUGAGAAACACCUGAUUAAUCAUCUAUUUUUAAAACAGAUCGAUGAAUUUCUUGAAAAUUUUAUAAGAUCAUUCGUUUUUUUUUUUUUAAGAAUAGAGUCAAAUUUGUCUUUGUACUUCUUAAAAAAAUUAUAUUUGCUCAUUAUAUAUAUAUUUUGGAUAUAUUUGUCCUUAUCAUUUAGCUUUAAGAAUAUAUUUCAGAACUGUUAAUUUUUCUGAUAUGCCAUCACUUUAUUUCCUAUGUGGUGUGCUCACGUGAAUUCUCAAUAACCGCUUGACAUAUUUUUUAGUGUUCAAUUAUUCAUAAAACGUUAGAAGCACCAGAUUAAUCAUAUUGUGUUAAAAACUGCACAAAAUUUGCACUUUUAUUUAAUAAAAAUCUGCACAAAAUUAUUUAAAAAAUCUAGAAAAAUACAAAGAAAAAUUAUAGAGCAUUUGAUUAAUCAUUUAUUUUCGAAGAAUUUUUUGAGAAUUCUACAAAAUUCAUUCGUUUUUGUUUAGAAAAGAAUCAUAUUUGAUCUUGUAGUUUUCAAAAGAUAUUAACAGAUUUGCUUUUCGUUAUAUUUUUUUGAUAUAUUUUCCCUCGUCAUUCAACUUUACACACAUAUUUAUCCUUGAAUUGAUAAUUGCUCUUGUCAUCCCCAUAUUUUUUUCCUAUGUGGCGCAUGCCCACGUGAUUUUUUUUUUUUUUUAUAACAGUUCUUUUACUUUAUUUUCUCCAUCUCAGUACCCGCCAAAGUAGAGAAAGGGGGUUAUGCAUUAAAUUACAUAGAACCGAUAAAUGUAUAUUAUGUGUUUUGUACAAAAUUUUUUAGCAAUUUGCAUUAUUUAAUAUAAACAUCAUUUGAUACGUUUUUUAUUCUAAUAACGGUGAAUCUAGAAUUUAAAAUUUGAUUCUCUAAAUGUUUUUCUGGAUAUUUUUGUUAUAGCUCAAUUAUUCACGAAACGUGGAAAGCACCUGAUUAGUCAUUUAUUUUUUAAAACAAAUCAAAGAAUUUCUUGAAAAUUUUACAAGAUUAUUCAUUCUUUUUUAAGGAAAAGGUCAAAUUUAUUUUUGUACUACUAAAAAAAUUAUAUUUGCUCUUCAUUAUAUAUUUUCUUUUUUGGAUAUUUCUUUCUUUAUCAUCCAAAAGAAUAUAUUUCUGAAUUGUUAAUUCUUCUUACAUGUCAUUACAUUAUUUUCUACAUGGUACGCUCACGUGCAUUUUCAGUGUACCUUUUUUUUUUUUGUAACCGUUCUUUUCUCUUUGUUUUCUUCCACCCAAUUUUUAGUGCAUUUUUAGUGACCUUCUACAUUGCACACUCACGUUAAUUUUUCAUAUUCUUUCUUUUUGUAACCGUUCUUUUCUUUGUUUUCUUCCUUUCAAUACCCGCCAAAGUAUGAUAAAGAGCCAAGUUUGAUGAAAUGGAAACAUUCAGUUGGAAAUCUUUUUGAUUUGACCAAGAAGUGAGUUAUGCAUUAAAGUAAAUAGAACAGAUAAAUGUAUAAUAUGUGUUUUGGACAUAAAUCGUUUUAACAGUAUUAAAUUUACAUGAUUUAGUGUAAGCAUCGAGUACGGAUGAGAUAAUUAUUUGUCUUUAUCAUCGAACUUUGAGUACAUAUUUAUCCUUGAAUUGUUAAUUCCUCUUCUCGAUCUCCUUUACUUCCUACGUGGCACGCUCACAUGAACUUUUCAUAUUCUUUCUUUCUGUAACCGUUCUUUUCUUUGUUUUCUUUCUCUCAGUACCUGUCAAAGUAUGAUAAAAAGUCACACAUGAUGAAGUGGGAGUAUUCAGUCGUCAAUCUUUUUUGACUUGACCAAGAAUUGAGUUAUGCAUUAAAGUAAAGUAAAUAGAACCAAUAAAUAUAUAAUAUGUGUUUUGUACAUAAGUUCUUUUAACAAUAUUAAAUUUAUAUGAUUUAGUGUAAACAUCAAGAACGGAUAAGAUAAGUAUUUUAUCCUCGUAAAUGAGGUUUCAACAAAGUGAUUUAAAAGAAUCUUUAAAGUCUCAACUAUUAACAAAAGAGUUCUGAAUAUUUUUUUUAAUUUUCAACUAUUCACUAAACCUGAUUAAUUAUUUUGUGGUAAAAAUUGCACAAAAUCUGCACUUUUACUUGAUAAAAAAUCUUCACAAAAUCAUUUAUUUUCGAAGAAUUUUUUGAGAAUUCUACAACUUUUUUAGAAAAGAAUCAAAUUUGUUCUUGUACUUUUCAAAAAAUAUUAAUAGAUUUGCUUUUCGUUAUAUUUUUUUAAUAUAUUUACUUUUAUUAUCCAACUUUACGCACAUAUUUAUCCUUGAAUUGUUAAUUGCUCUUGUCAUCCCCAUAUUUUUUUCCUACAUGGCGCGUGCCCCCGUGAAUCUUUUGUUUUUUUCUAUAACAGUUCUUUUUUCUUCAUUUUCUCCGUCUCAGNNNNNNNNNNNNNNNNNNNNNNNNNNNNNNNNNNNNNNNNNNNNNNNNNNNNNNNNNUGUUUUGUACAUAAAUUUUUCGCAAUUUACAUGACUUAGUGUAAAUAUCAUGUGCUACGUAUUUUAUCCUAGUAUCAGUGAAUCUAAAAUUUAAAAUUUGAUUCUCAAAAUAUUUUUUUUGGAUAUUCUUUUAUAGCUCAACGAUUUAGAAACAUGAGAAACACCUGAUAAAUCAUUUAUUUUUUAAACAAAUAGAAGAUUUUUUUCAAAAUUUUACAAAAAUAUUCGUUCUUUUUUUAGGAAAGGGUCAAAUUUGUUUUUGUACUUCUCAAAAAUAUUAUAUUUGCUCUUUAUUUUAUAUUUUUUGGAAUAUAUUUAUCUUUAUCAUCCAACUUUAAGAAUAUAUUUCUGAAUUGUUAAUUCUUCUUACAUAUCAUCAUUUUCUUUUCUAUGUGGCGUGUAUUUUCAGUGUACUUUCUUUCUUUUGGUAACCGUUCUUUUCUCUUUGUUUUCUUCAUCUCAAUUUCAACAGUCUACCCAAUUAUUCACGAAAUGUGAGAAGUAUGUGAUUAAUCACCUUUAAAAAAAAAAAGAAAUUGAAGAAUUUCUUGAGAAUUUUACCUGAUUCGUUCAUUUUUUUUUUAAAGAAAAGAAUCAAUUUAUUGUUGUACUUCUCAAAAAGAUUAUAUUUUCUCUUCAUUAUAUUUUUUUUCGGUAUAUUUACCCUUAUCAUCUAAUUUUGAGCUUAUAUUUAAUACUGAAUUGUUAAUUUCUCUUGCACGUCCUCACAUUAUUUCCUACGUGGUGUGCUCACGUGCAUUUACUAUGUUUUCUCUUUCUUUUUGUAAUCGUUAUUUUUUUUUGUUUUCUUCCUCUCAGUUUUAAUAGCUCACCCAACUAUUCACGAAACGUGAGAAGUACUUGAUAAAUUAUCUUUUUAAAAAAAUGUCAAACAAUUUCUUAGAAAUUUUAUCAGAUUUAUUCAUUCUUUUUUGGUGAAAGGGUUAAAUUUGUUGAGAAAAUUGAAGGAAAGGUGUCUUUUAAGUCUUGAAUGAAGGAUUGUUGACAUUGACCAACUUAAAAGGUCAAACAUAAUUAGGAAACUUGAUUAAGUUAAUUGUGGACUUGAUUAAUAUUUUUAAAACUUUCUAAUCUUUUUAAAAAUAUAAAUCAACUCAACCCACAUCCCUCUUCAAUCCAAACCAUCGACUGUCUCUCUCCUCUCUCUCGACAGCUUCUCUCAACCAGCAGUUUUGCAAAUUUCUCCUUUCAACCCCGGCGACUUCAACCUCCGAUGACAAAUAGUUGGGCUUCAAGUUUCUUUUCGACUUCAACCGUCAAUCGACGUGACAGCCUUGCUCUCCGGCCACAACAGCUUCGAAUUCUUCAUCGUUCCUUUUCUUCUUUCACAGGUAAAAAAUUAUGGCCUUUUUAGUUUUGAAUAAAACGAGGAACUUAAGCCAAUUUCUCUUAUAGUAUUGGUUAACAAUUUCAAUAUUUGUUGCUUUAAUUUGAAAUGCGGUCUAAAUAAAAUCCUAAUUUCUGGUAUUUUUUCUCUUCUCUUCUCUUCUUUUUUGUUUUAUGAUUUCGAAGUUUAAUUUGUUGCGCCGUUGCUGGGUUGAUUUGUUCUUAUUCUUGGUAAAAAUGGUGAUAUUGUUGUUGUUCUAUUGAACAAAAUUGUGCUACUAUUUUUUUCCAAUAGAUUAUCCAUUUGGUGCAACAUAUUAACCAUCAGUUGCAACAGAUUUAGCAUAUGAUGCAAUAGAUCAACCAUCUGAUUCAACAGAGGAACCAUCAGAUUAAAAUUUUGAUGCAACAGAUUAACUAUCUGAUCCAAUAGAUUAAUCAUCUGAUGCAACAGAGGAACCCUCGGAUAAAAAAUUUGAUGCAACAGAUUUAGCAUAUGAUGCAACAGUUUAACCAUCUGAUGCAAUAGAUUAAGCAUAUGUUGCAAUAGAUUAAUCAUCUGAUGCAACAUAAUUACUAUCGAAUGCAACAGAGGAACCAUCGAAUUAAAAAUAUGACGCAACAGAUUAACCAUCUGAUGCAAUGAAGGAAACAUUGGAUUAAAGAUCUGAUGCAACAGAUGAACCUUCUGUUGGAUAAAGUCUUAUCAACUCUUCCAACAGAACAUGUCCAAGACUUGAUUUUUUCAACUAAUCAUUCAUCUAUCUCGACAAACGACUCUUCUGUUUGAAGAAAUCUAAACAAUAUUGACUGUUGAUAAUUAUUUCAACAGAUCACUCAGAUGUUGCAACAGAUGUGUCUUCUGUUGCACAAACCAUUCAUCUUUCUCAAUAGAUAAGUGAUAUAUUUUGUAUUGUGGCAACAAAUUACUUAGUUGUUGCUACAGGUUAGUUAACUGUUCCAACAGAUCACUCAUAUGUUGCAAUAGUUGAUUUGUCAUGUAGAAAUUUAUCCCAACAGUUGAUUCAUCUGUUGCAACAGAAAUAUAAUCUGUUUGGGACAAUUUAAAAUAGGAGGAAGACUUGUUUGAUUUGCUAGAACAAAUGAGUUAUCCUUUUCUGUUUUGUUGUAUCUCCGUGAUUAGCAUUGACCAAUUCUGGCUUUCCAGGUGGAUGUAGAAGUUGCUGCUGAAUAGCAUUGAUAAUAUGCUACUCUUUUUAUGGAAAUACGGAGAACAGAAAGCGCAGAAAUCAUACGUAAGCGACAAUAAAGAUCCACGACGACCAAAACCAAAUUCCAUAGCACCGGAUGAAGAACAACUUGUCCAUAUUGAGUAGAUCUUUAUAGCUUGAGUCUGUCAAAGUAAUAACUUCACCCCUCCUUAGGAAUUCUUGGCAUCAAUACUUAGAUUAUUGAAGUAUUUGUUGAGAUCUGUACCCAUAACAAUUUUUUUUACAUUUCAUUUAUUCAUUGAUUUAUUUCAGUUAAUUUCUGAAGACUUCAAUUUAUUUUAUUUUGUCUAUGAAUUUUAUUUUUUCUUAGAUUUGAACUUAUUAAUAAAAUAAAAUACUAAAUUUAAAUAUUGCAACAAAUAAAAAUAUCAAAUAGAUUUAGACAUAUGUUGCAAUAGGUAGGUAAUCUGUUGGAAAUUAUCAAACAGGUCUUCCUACUGUUGCAACAGAUAGAUUUAGAUAGAAACAUCAACAUAAUGCAACAGAUGACCAACCUAUUGCAACAGAUAAACUAUAUGUCAUAAUAGGUAAAAUAUCUAUUACAACAGAUGGACAAUCUGUUGCAUUAUAAAAGUUCAACUUUUCUAAGACAUAAAAAAUUGCCACUACAUGUAAAAAGUUAAAAUGACUUGAAAUAAAAAAGGUGGAACCCAUCUACAAUGUUCAGUUUAAACACCUAAAAUAAAAUAGGCAUCAAGUAGACAGUGUUCAUUUUAAAUAUGUAAAAUAAAAUAGGCAUCAAAUGUGUCAGUUGUCACUUUUUGCCCUGUUGACUGCUCACAUGUAAUUCACGCAGCCAAGGUUCGUUGAACCUCUAUUUUUGCUGAUUUGGCCCCCAACGGUUACUUUUCUUCCAUUGUCUUAUAUAUUCAUCUUCUUCCUAAAAUUUAACCCUAAAUUCCUAAAGCUUCUUUUUCUUCUUCAUCUUUUUUCUCUAUCCAAUUCAUCUCAAUUAUUUGUAUUUUUUUUGCGCAUUUUUUUUUUCCAACUGAGCUUGACAAUGUCGAGUUCAUCUUCCACUGUUUUUUGUGAGAAAGAUUUUUGAUAUUGUAAGUGCAGUCAUAAAGCUCUAUUUAAGAAUUCUUGGACUCAACAAAAUCCAAGUCGUAGGUUUUUUACUUGUAAGAUUUCAAAGGUAAUAUUUUUUUAUUUAAUUAGUUGAUUAAUUAUUGACUUGUAAUUAUUUUGUAAUUGUGUUUUUGUUUUUAUAGAAAUUGGGUGGAUGCGAUUACUUUGAUUGGUAUGAAGAAAGACACCCUUCACAAGCAAAUCGUGGAAUAUAGGGUUUGUUGAAGAAAGUCAAGGCUUCUGAAAAGAAACAAAAUCGAGCAAGAAGAUACUACAUUGUUGUCAUUAUUUGUACUGGUUUGGUGGUGUUGGGUACAUAGAUAUUCAAGCCUAAUUGCUGAAAUUUUCAUGGUGGUGUAUUUGCUACUGGUUUGGUAUUGUCGAGCACAUAGAUAUUCAAGUGUAAUUGUUGGAAAAUAUCAAACAGAUUUAGGCAUAUAUUGCAAAAUUUAGGUUAUCUAUUGGAAAUUAUCAAACAGGUCUUCCUACUGUUGCAACAGAUUUGACUUAGAUUUGAUAGAAAUAACAUUGGCAUAACGCAACAGAUGACCAACCUAUUGCAACAUAUAAACUAUCUACCAGAACAGAUAGAAUAUAUUUUACAACAGAUUGAUAAUCUAUUGUAUUAUAAAAAACUCAAAUUUCAUCAGAAAAAAAUUAUUGCCACUACAUGGACAUGUAAUUUAAAGUGAAGUGUGACUUGAAAUAAAAAUUAUUAUUUCACAGGCUCUUCUUUAUACACAGGCUCCAAGCAUCCAGUUAGUACCACAUAAAUCCAAACCUCUUGCAAUUUUGUCAUAGCAUUGUCGCACAGAAAGAUCGCUGGCUUGAUCAUUUCUAUGCAGGUCAGCAAACAUUCGAUGUAUGAAAGUGCGUGUGAGCUGCACGAGAAAUUGAUAUCAUUUUUUGAAAGGUUCAUGCCCUUGUUUCGCCUUUCAAAACCCCAUGACUUCUUCAUCAACACUUUCUCUGGCAAAUGUUACAUCAGUUUACUCUGCCUCAACAAGAUGGGGAAUAGGUCCAUCAGUGGCUGCACGUUGAUAAAAAAAUGACCUCAUCGAUGGCAGGUUCGUUGCAGUCAUAAUCAUUGAUCUUUCCCUCCUCAAGUAGUAUCUCAACAGCCCGAUAAUGUAUGUCGUCCACGUUCAUGACUACAAUAAUCCUCUUUUCCUCGAUUCAGCUCUUGUCAUGUGGAUUUGGCCUCUCCCCUCUAACAUAUUUUAUCAUUUCUUAUUCAUCCCAGUCUAAUGUAGAAACUAACGACUCAAAUCCUGCGCCACAGGAUGACGCUAGACAAUUGAGUUUAUCGUACUUAUCCUUGAGCUUCUUGUAGAAGUCGAGGUCCAUUAUCCUAUCAGCAGCGUCAUAAGCUUUCGGGUACGCUAAUUGUCUUUUCUCAUAAGGCAGAGAAUUUCGUCAACAUACUGUGAUAUAAGAAGUCAAUUUUUAAAUAGGUUAGUAUUUGUAAAUAUGCAAUGGAUGGUCCAUCUGUUGCAUAGGGUUCUCUGAAUCAAUAAUCCAAUGCAACUUAUGCAACAAAUGAAUAAUAAGUUGCAACAAAACCACUAUCAGUUGCACCAGAAUACCCAGUUGUUGCAACAGAUUUUACAUCUGUUGCGUAUUUGCUUCUUCAUGGAGUAGAUUAGAAGGCUAGGUUAGGAAAAGUAAACUUACCUUGUCCUCGUAUCAUAUACGCAUAUCUGCUAUAAUCUGGAAGUCUUAGGGGUAAAAAGGAGGCCUGGGGUAAUUUGGUGUGCCUCGCUUGGCAUUCUUGGCUCGUCGCAGAUCCUUCUUCUCUUUGGUACCAAGUUCCACGUAUAUGUUGACCUUUUUAAUGGCCUUUAAUCUUUAAUAUUUUUUUAUUUUCGACUGGAGAGUACGUCGCUAAUUGAUCUUUUUUUCCUCUUAACCGCCAUUGUAUGAGUGUAUGGCUCCCUCACCUUCUUGGAUGGUAUGACACCUCUUUUGGAUUUGAACUCCUCGACAGCUUUAGCGAUAGCCUCUACCAUUUCAAAGAGUUUAUCCUAGUUUUCCUUGCACUCUUUAUAUUUGCAACAUGAAUACAAGGGUGAAGAGGGGUGAGAGGGACCGGUGUAAGGGUGAGAGGGACCUGUGUAAGGGUGAGGGAGACCUGUGAAAGGGGUGUUUUAAACAUAUUUAUUUUUUCUUGAGCACCAACAUGCUCAUCAUUACGAGUGGUAUCAUCAUCAGCAUACCUGCCACCAACACCAACAACUCCACCAGAAGAAGCACCCAGAUCUGCCUCAGUAGGUUGGUCAUGAAGAGCCUCAACAUUAGGCUGACCUUGCCUAACUACUCUUCUUAUGGCUAUUUCUCCAGCCAAUUUCUUCUUUAUUAACUCCAUAAUUGGGUCUGCUAUAGUAUCAACAUGACCUAGAGUAAUAAAAGAAGUCAUCCCCAACUCCUGCUCAGUAAGCACGAUCCAUGGAUGAAACCUAUAAAAAAAAUAGAUACAUUUAAAUCAUAUGAUAUAAUAAUUUUCAUAGCUAAGUUACAUGUUAACAUAGAUAACUUAUGCAACAGAUGAUCUGUAUGUUGUAACAGAUUAACAAUAUAUUACAUCAGAUUACACAUCUGUUACAUAUUUUGCAUUAGAUGAUUAAAAUCCAUUUGAGUCGGGUUCAGAGCAACAGAUGGAUAAUCUGAUGCAAAAUAUCAAUCAUCUAUCUCAAUAGAUUACCAAUCUGUUACGCCAGUUGGCACAAGACGAGUAAUCUAUUGGGUUACAUGUUAUACAAUAGAUGAUCUGUAUAUCACAACAGAUUAACAAUAUGUUACAUCAGAUUACCUAUUUGUUGCAUAAUUUACAAUAGAUGCUUAAUAUAUUAAGAGUCGGGUUUGGAGAACCAAAGCAACAGAUGGGUAAUCUGAUGCAAUAUAUCAAUCGUCUGUUGCAACAGACUACCCAUCUGUUGCACCAGUUGGCAUAGGACGGUGUUGCAACAGAUGUCCCAUCUGGUGUAUCAGAUAUAAUAUUCGUUGCUCCAGAUAUAAUAUCUGUUCAAUAUCUUUCAUUGAAUCAAAUUAUUUUACUUGAAGAAGACGUACUGCAUUAUCCAGAGGGUUAAAGAAAUCAACUUCCUUAAUUCUUGUGUUGUUCUUUGUAGCUAACCACCUAAACAUUCUUGGAUGAGAAACCUCAUCUGGGUAAUCCAUUACCCACUUUCGGAGGGGAGGAAUGACUUCAAAUUCUCAAGCCUAAAAAAUGUAAACAGGAAGCAAGAAACUUUUUUUAUAAUAACUAUAUUCAAUAUAAAUUAAUGGAUGAGUAAAAAUAAUGAUUAAUUUUACAAUAAAAGCCCAAGAAAAUACGUAUAAUGUGGUCAUCCCUAGGGAUAGCUUUGUUAGUAAAUAUUGGAUAGUCAAGUAGAAGCCGUCAUAUCCCCAGGGAUAAUUGUUGAAUUUAUCAAAAUCCUCAGCACACGCCAACAAAUCAUCUUUUAUGACCUUGUUGACAUCUCUUGCCAAUAUAACCAAAUGGGAAAACCAAACUAAGCACAAUUUCUCCCUGUACUGCUUUGGUAUGGUUUUAUCCUUGAUAUUUAUCAUCAAAUCCGAUGCUUUGUAGCCACGUCCAGCAAUGUCCAACAACCCAUCUAUGUUUUUCUUCCAUUUGUUAGUUUUACUGGGUGGUGGCUAGGACAAUGCCUUCCCUCUAUUUGCUUGUGGUGAUUUGUCUAUCCUGCUUGCCUUGGACCUUUUGCGGGGUAUUUCCUUGGAGAUAGGUUCUUCUGUACGAUCGCAUCUCAAGCCCGUCACUAUGGCAAACUCUUGCAAGCCAAAACAAACCAGCAUGCCACAAUACUUGAUCAAGAUUUCAUCCAUCUUUUUGCCCACUCCUUCGAAUCUUUAUCAUCCCCCACGUACUUGAUCCUGCACUUGAGAAGACCAUAUACCAUCCUUAUUUGGAAACAAGCAGGGGGUCCUCGGGCAGCUCGAGAAAGCGUCCAAAGCAGCUCCUAUAAAAAAGUCCAUCUAUGUUUUCCUUCUUCAUAAUAUUCCUAGAAUAAUUAAAAAAUUUCCCCAACUGACAUUUAAGUACAAGUUCACCAGUUAGUUCUUUUGGGUCAUCUAUCGACAUCGCAACUUGAAACCUAUCAAUACUAAUAAUUUUGACAGAAUCAUGCUGGGAUGUCGAUAUUAAUUCACGCCCCAUUGGUGAUCCAUUGUUAUCAUGUUGAUGAUGAUCUUCUUUAUCACUUUCUAAUUCCUCCUCUUUCUCACUGUCAUUUUCUUCAUCACCAUUUAAUGACCCUUAUCCAUCUCCUUCAACGUUGUUUUCAUAUCUCUCCUCAGCUUCACUUUUUCCUGACUGAGAUUGUUCAGGAAGCUCCUUUGAAUCCUUUUGUACUGUAGCCUUUGUUGUUGGGUGGUCAGAAGUUGAUCCACUUUCACUUUUUUUUCUUUUGGGAGACAUGUUUUACCUACAAACAACAGAAAAACAAAAAUUAUAUUACAAUUGAUGUAUGCAUAAAUUUUAAAAAAUACAUUACAAACACCACCAAUAUCGACACACCAACAACCACCACCACAAACACAACCAACCAAUGCCACAAACACCACGGAUACCGAUACAACCAACAGCCACCACAAACACCACCAAACAAUUCUACUAACAGACACUACAAACACCACUAGUGCCACCACGACGACUACCAACACUAACACCAUGACCACCAACACUACAAAUAACAUCAAACAAUACCACGAAAGUCAACGGAACACUGCGACAAAAAUUAGGGUUUUCUCGAGUUCUUCCUCUGAUUGUACCAUCAAAACUCAAAAUUAUAAAUCCAUUCUUGAAGAUAAUACAACUAAAAGUCUUUUUUUCAUCAUUAACUUAAAAACCCUUAUUUUUUAGAAAAAAUAACAAAUAUAGAACUCUUCUCAAACUCUGUUACCUACGAAGACAGAUAAAAUGACUGAUACAAGCAAGAAUGAAGUCGAAAAUACACCUACAUAGUCGAAAAUGAGAAGAAAAAUAAUUUGUUAUGAAGGGUUGAGCAAUUUGUUGAGUAGCUGUUGUAUUGUUGAGAGAGAGAAAUAAGCGAGAACUCAAGAUUUGAAAUGAUGAAACGUCUUUCUCACAAAUGGAUGAUUUGUAUGGGUUGAUUUGUAUUUUGAAAAAGAAUGAAAAGUUUUAAAAAUGUUAAUUUGGUCCGAAUUGAUCUUUAUUAUUUUUAAAAAUUAUAAAAGAUAUGCAUAGUUUUUAAACCUCUCAUCAUGUGAUUGCUAAAAGACUCAAUUGAAGUUAUAGUUGACACUAUGAGAACUCACCCCUAGUCCUAGAUUAAUCAAUUAAGGCAUUAGUUGAACAUAUGAACUCAUUUGAAUUUGUAUAAAACAAAUGUUCAACCUGUUGCAACAGAUUACCCAUCUGUUGUAAAUUAUCAGAUAGGCGCUGCCAUCUGUUGUAGUUUACCCUAUGAUUAAUUAAGGUAAUCGUUGAACAUAUUAGGUAGUAAGAAUCGCUUCACCUCAAAGUGAUCGAUCGACGACUCUGGUCGGGAGAAACGCAAUACCAUCUCAUCAUGUAUUUGCCAAAAGACUUAAUUGAAGUUGUAGUUGACCAUAUGAGAACUCACCCCUAGUCCUAGAUUAAUCAAUUAAGGUAUUAGUUGAACAUAUAAGGUAAUAAGAAUCGAUUCAGCUCAGAGUGUUCGAUCGACGACUCUAGUCGAGAGAAACAAAAUACCGUCUCAUCAUGCGAUUACCAAUAGACUCAAUUAAAGUUAUAGUUGACCCUAUGAGAACUCACCCCUAGUCCUAGAUUAAUCAAUUAAGGCAUUAGUUGAACAUAUGAACUCAAUUGAAAUUAUAUAAAAAUAAAUGUUCAACCUAUUAAAAAAGAUGACCCAUCGGGUGGAAUUAAUCAAAUAGAUUAAGUUAUCUGUUGCAACAGAUUACACAUCUGAUGGAAUUAAUCAAACAGAUUAAGUCAUCUGUUACAACAGAUUACCCAUCUAUUGUAAACUAUCAAAUAGAUGUCGCCAUCUAUUGUAGUUGACCCUAUGAUCAAUUAAGGUAUUAGUUGAAUAUAUUAGGUAAUAAGAAUCGCUUCACCUCAGAGUGAUCGAUCGAUGGCUCUAGUGGGGAGGAAUGCAAUACUGUCUCAUCAUGCAUUUCCUAAAAUACUCAAUUGAAGUUGUAGUUGACCUUAUGAGAACUCACCCCUAGUCCUAAAUUGAUCAAUUAAGGUAUUAUUUGAACAUAUAAGGUAAUAAGAAUCGAUUCAGCUCAUAGUGAUCGAUCGACGACUCUGGUCAGGAGGAACGCAAUACUGUCUCAUCAUGCGAUUGCCAAAAGAAUAAAUUGAAGUUGUAGUUGACCCUAUGAGAACUUACCCCUAGUCCUAGAUUAAUCUACUAAGGCAUUAGUUGAACAAAUAAACUCAAUUGAAAUUAUAUAAAAACAAAUGUUCAACCUAUUACAAUAAAUGACCCAUCUAUUAGAAUUAAUCAAAUAGAUUAAGUUAUCUGUUGCAACAGAUUACCCAUCUGUUGGAAUUAAUCAAACAUAUCAAGUCAUCUAUUGGCAUAAAUUACCCAUCUCUUAUAAAUUAUCAAAUAGGAAAUGCCAUUUGUUGUAGUUGACCCUAUGAUCAAUUAAGGUAUUAGUUGAACAUAUUAGGUAAUAAGAAUCGCUUCACCUCAGAGUGAUUGAUCGACGACUCUGGUCGGAAGGAACGCAAUUUCGUCAAAUUAUGUAUUUGCCAAAAGACUCUAUUAAAGUUGUAGUUAACCCUAUGAAAACUCACCCCUAGUCCUAGAUUAAUCAAUUAAGGUAUUAGUUGAACAUAUAAGGUAAUAAGAAUCAAUUCAGCUCAUAGUGAUCGAUCGACGACUCUGGCCUGGAGGAGCGCAAUACCGUUUUAUCAUGAGAUUGUCAAAAGACUCAAUUAAAGUUAUAGUUGACCCUAUGACAACUCACCCCUAGUCCUAGAUUAAUCAAUUAAGGCAUUAGUUUAACAUAUGAACUCAAUUAAAAUUGUAUAAAAAUAAAUGUUCAAUCGGUUGCAACAGAUUACCCAUCCAUUUGAAUUAAUCAAAUAGAUUAAGUUAUUUGUUGCAACAAAUUAUCCAUCAGUUGGAAUUAAUCAAACAACUUAAGUCAUCUACUAUAAAUUAUCAAAUAGGUGCUGCCAUAUGUUGUAGUUGACCCUAUGAUCAAUUAAGGUAUUAGUUGAACAUAUUAGGUAAUAAGAAUCGCUUCACCUCAGAGUGAUCAAUUAACAACUCUGGUCGGGAGGAACGCAAUAUCGUCUCAUCAUGCAUUUGCCAAAAGACUCAAUUAAAGUUGUAGUUGACCCUAUGAGAACUCACCCCUAGUCCUAGAUUAAUCAAUUAAGGUAUUAUUUGAAUAUAUAAGGUAAUAAGAAUCUAUUCAACUCAAAGUGAUCGAUCGACGAUCUGGUCGGGAGGAAUGCAAUACCAUCUCAUCAUGCAAUGGCCAAAAGACUCAAUUAAAGUUGUAGUUGACCCUAUGAGAACUCACCCCUAGUCCUACAUUAAUCAAUUAAGGCAUUAGUUGAACAUAUGAACUCAAUUAAAAUUAUAUAAAAAUAAAUAUUUAACUUGUUGCUACAGAUGACGGAUCUGUUGGAAUUAAUCAAAUAGAUUAAGUUAUUUGUUGCAACAGAUUAUCCAUAUGUUGGAAUUAAUCAAACAAAUUAAGUCAUCCGUUACAACAGAUUGUCCAUCUGUUGUAAAUUAUCAAAUAGUCACUGUCAUUUGUUGUAGUUGACCCUAUGAUCAAUUAAGGUAUUAGUUGAACAUAUUAGGUAAUAAGAAUCGCUUCACUUCAGAGUGAUCGGUCGAUGACUCUGGUCGGGAGAAAUGCAAUACCGUCUCAUCAUGUAUUUUCCAAAAGAAUUAAUUGAAGUUGUAGUUGACCCUAUGAGAACUCACCCCUAGUCCUAGAUUAAUGAAUUAAGGUAUUAGUUGAACAUAUAAAGUAAUAAGAAUUGAUUCAGCUCAUAGUGAUCAAUCGAUGACUCUGGUCGGGAGAAACGCAAUACUGUCUCAUCAUGCGGUUUCCAAAAGACUCAAUUGAAGUUGUAGUUGAACUAUGAGAACUCACCCAUAGUCCUAUAUUAAUCAAUUAAGGCAUUAGUUGAAUGUAUGAACUCAAUUAAAAUUGUAUAAAAACAAAUGUUCAACCCAUUACAGUAGAUGACCCAUCUGUUGGAAUUAAUCAAACAGAUUAAGUCAUCUGUUGCAAUACAUGACCCAUCUGUUGUAUUUAAUCAAACAAAUUAAGUCAUCUGUUGGAAUUAAUCAAACAGAUUAAGUUAUCUAUUGUAACAGAUUAUCCAUCUGUUGUAAAUUAUUAAAUAGGAGCUGCCAUCUAUUGUAGUUGACCCUAUAAUCAAUUAAGGUACUAGUUAAACAUAUUAGGUAAUAAGAAUUGCUUCACCUCAGAGUGAUCGAUCGACGACUCUGGUCGGGAGGAACGCAAUACCAUUUCAUCAUACAUUUACCAAAAGACUCAAUUGAAGUUGUAGUUGACCCUAUAAGAACUCACCCCUAGUCUUAUAUUAAUCAAUUAAGGUAUUAGUUAAACAUAUAAGGUAAUAAGAAUCGAUUUAGCUCAUAGUGAUCAAUCUAAGACUCUGGUCGGGAUGAACGCAAUACCGUCUCAUCAUGCGAUUGCCAAAAGACUCAAUUGAAGUUAUAGUUGACCCUAUGAGAACUCACCCCUAGUCCUAUAUUAAUUAAUUAAGGCAUUAGUUGAACAUAAUGUUUAACCUGUUGCAACAGAUGACUCAUCUGUUGAAAUUGAUCAAACAGAUUAAGUCAUCUAUUGCAACAGAUUACCCAUCUGUUGGAAUUAAUUGAACAGAUUAAGUCAUCUGUUGCAACAGAUUACCCAUCUAUUGUAAAUUAUCAAAUAAACACUGCCAUCUAUUGUAGUUGACCCUAUGGUCAAUUAAGGUACUAGUUGAACAUAUUAGGUAAUAAGAAUUGCUUCACCUUAGAGUGAUCAAUCGACAACUCUGGUCAGAAGAAAUGCAAUAACGCCUCAUUAUGUAUUUUCCAAAAGACUCAAUUGAAGUUGUAGUUGACCCUAUGAGAACUCACCCCUAGUCCUAGUUUAAUGAAUUAAGGUAUUCAUUGAACAUAUAAGGUAAUAAGAAUCAAUUUAGCUCAGAGUGAUCGAUCAACGACUCUGGUCGAGAGGAACGCAAUACUGUCUCAUUAUGAAAUUGUCAAAAGACUCAAUUAAAGUUGUAGUUGACCCUAUGAUAACUCACCCCUAGUCCAAGAUUAAUUAAUUAAGGUAUUAGUUGAAUAUAUAAGGUAAUAAGAAUCGAUUCAGCUCAGAGUGAUCAAUCGAUGACUCUGGUUAGGAGAAAUACAAUACCGUCUCAUCAUGUGAUUGCCAAAAGACUUAAUUGAAGUUGUAGUUGACUCUAUAAGAACUCACCCCUAAUCCUAGAUUAACCAAUUAAGGCAUUAGUUGAAUAUAUAAACUCAAAUGAGAUUGUAUAAAAACAAAUGUUAAACCUGUUGCAAUAGAUAACCCAUCUGUUGGAAUUAAUCAAACGGAUUAAGUCAUCUGUUGCAACAGAUUACCCAUCUGUUGUAAAUCAUCUGUUGCGAUAGAUGACCGAUCUUUGAAAAUUUUUAAACAAAAAUUGUCAUCUAUUGCAAAGUAUGACUUUGAUAUUUCAAGAUUCUUUUUUUAAAAGUAAUUUAGAUAUUUUUUAUCCGAGAUAAAAAAACAUAAAAUACUUAGGCGGUAAAAAAUAUUACUUGGAUAACUCAAAAAUCUCCCUAGUGAGUAGUCUUAUCUGGUCUUUUUAAUAUCACCGUCUCCUCGUGCCCCUCAAAAGUUAUUAAUGAAUAUUUAAAACUCGUAUCUACUCCUUCCAUUUCAUUUUAGUUGACCCUCUUUCUAAAAGUAUUUGUUCAAUUUAGUUGUCCCAAUGAUGAAAUCAAGAGGAUUUUAAUAUGUUCUUCCAAUAAUACCCUUAUCAUUAAAUGACUAAACAAGUUGUAUAUAUUCAAAUUUAUAUUUUUAAAGCAUAAUUAAUAAGGCUAAUUUGGUAAAAUAGACCCCUAAUAAAAAAAAUUCUUAAUGGAUGUGCCAAGUCUAUAGGGGCCAACACAACUAAUAUGAAAUGGAGGGAGUAGAAUACUCUCUCCUUCAGCCAUAAACUCGAGACGAGAAACUCAACUCAUAUCUCUCUCUUCUUUAUUCUCAAUUCUUUUUUUUUCUUCCUCUCUUUUCUCUCUUCUUUCAGAUGAUGAUCCUUUAGGAUCUCAACCUAUCAAUAUCUUUUCUCGACUGAACUAGAUGUUCUGAUCCCUUUGCUUUUUUGACAUUGCAGGUAUGGUUUACUAUUGCUCUGUCCUUCUCGUCUUCUUCUUUAUAUGUUAUUUAAAUUAGAUAUUUAUAUCUAUUGCUAUUAAUGAUUUACCCAUUACCAGUUUCCUAUUUAUUGAGAAAAUUGAAGGAAAGGUGACUUUUAAGUCUUGAAUAAAUGCAUUGUUAUUUUUAUUAAAAUAUGCAAAAAAAGUCAUUUUUUGUGAGAACUUAAGCCUUGUUGUCAGUGUAGUUUUUUUUAUGUGUUGGGGGUGGUGGUGGUGUUGGAACAUGUGGUGUUGGUGUUGUUAAUGGUGUUGGAACAUAUGGUGCUAUUUUUUUUGUUGUUGGUGGUGUUGCAACAGUUUUCUCAACUGUUGCAAUCGAUGAAUCGGCUGUUGGAACAGACGGAGCAACUGUUUGAAAAAAUCAAACUAGUAGAAAGGCUGGUUUGAUUUAUUCCAACAGAUAACCCAUCUGCUGUAACAUAUCAUUCAUCUGUUACAACAUAUGCCUCAUCGGUUGAACAGAUGGGAAUCUGUUGCAUCAGAUUGGUCUUCUAUUGAUUCAUUCAAUUUUGUGUUACCCUUUUGUAAUGUUCUUUUUAUUCUUCUCUUGUUUGACAUCAAAUGUAUUUCUCUUAUUUGCAGAUAAAAACAAGUAAAACUAGAACAACUUUUGCCCGACCAGCAUUAAAGGUUAGACUAAAGAUCGGUACGGAGGAAUAAGCUACUUGUAGAUGGAACCACUUCAUAUGUGGGAGGUAUGUAUUACUAAUCAAUCUAUCAUAAAAACACACAUCCAGUACAAUAAUUUUGUGAAUGUUGGUUCUUUACCUAUUAGGCAUUAAUCCUUUAAACAAGAUAUGGUAUUUUAUAGUUAAGAUUGUUAAGUUCGAACUAGUAAGACUGAGGGACCAAGUAGGUGGUGUCGAUACCCUGUUACAAUUUAAUAAAGAUUUUACCAAUGUUUAUGUGUUAAGUUUGGAGAAGGGUUAGGGUUUUUGGUGGUAGUGCAAAAUUUAAAUAGUGAUUGCACUGACUUUAAGGGUUCAAUAGACUGUUGAAAGGCCUCCGAAGCCUCGUACUGCUGCGAACAAGAAUGGAAAUGAAUAUAGUUAUUGCUCUGGUCCAAAUUUAUAUGGAUGGGUAGUUCGAGAAGACUAUUAUACAACAAAAGGUUGUUGUAAGAAUACCUUUGUAGAAAGAGGGAGGUGAAGAAGACCAUUUAUAAAAUUAGACCUUAUUAAAUAAGAAACACAAGGUAGGAAGGAAAGUGUAGCAAAACUGGCUGAUGAAAUUGACAUGAAAAAUUAAAAAACUAAAUGAGUUACGAAUGUGAAAGUGUAUCCAAAAAGUGAAAAUCCAUCAGUUUUCUUGAAAACGAAAAAUGCUCAAGUGGAAUGGAGCAGUGCACUUUGUUAUGGGGCAACAACUAGCUAACGUGGACUGAAUAAAGACUCACAAAAUGUAGGAACAGAACUCUAAGGAAGCAGCUUUACGAGCACGGGAGGUGGUAAGAUUGUCGGUCAGAAUUGAAACCUGAACCGACUACUCCUGAAUUAAAAAUAAGGGAUCAAGCCAAGGUGGUAAUUUUUCAAGUUAAACUUGCAUCACAUGUCUCCUGUUUAUGGCUCUGGUCAGGUUAAAGGCAGUGGAAACAACAAGGCAUGGGAUUUUUGCCUAAAUUCAGAUCUUUUUGUUUCUACUGCCAUUGACCUGAUCACAUCCACAAACAUAAGGCAUGGCAUGCAAGUUAGACUUCAAAAAUUGACGCCUUGGCUUCCCUUAUUUUUACUUCUGGAGUUGUUAGUUCAGGUUUUAUUCUUAACUAAAAAUCUUACCAAUUUCCUGCGAUCGCGAAGCUUCUUCCUUAGAGUUCUAGUCCUGUACUUUGUGAGUCUUCAUUGAGGCCACGCUCACUAGUUACAGUCUCUAGCAAAGUGACCAGCUCCAGUCCUCUUGACAUUCUUCUUUUUCUUCAAUGACUGGCAGAUUUUUAUAUUUGAAUACACUUCCACAUUUGAAGCACAUUCAGUUUUUUCAUUUCUCAUGUCAAUUUCAUUGGCCAGAUUCGCUAGAAGUUCCUUACUUUCUUUCCUGUGUUUCCUCUUAAACAAGGUCUGAGAUGAUAUAUGGUCUUCUCUACCUCUUCCUUCCCACACAGGUAUCCUCCUAAGCACUUUUUGUUGUAUAAUAGUCUCCUCGAGCAACCCAUUCAUAUAAAUUUGGACCAGGAAAAUUUCUAUUAGUUCCAUCGUUGUUUGAUACAGUGCGAGGCUUUGGAGGCCUUUUAAGAAGUCCAUUGCGCCAUUAAAAUCGGUCCAAUCACUAUUGGAUAUUUACACUGCCGCCAAAAACUUGAACCCUUCACCGAAAUUGACACAAAAACAUGAGCAUAGACUAUCAUUAAAUUAUAACAGGGUAUCGACACCACCAUCUUGGAACCCUUCGGCCUUAUCAGUUCACACCGAUCAAACUAAACUGUACAAUGCAGGAUCUUGUUUGAAGGAUCAAUGUCUAAUCAGUAAAAAACUCCAUUUACAAAAUCGUUAUACUUUGUGUGUCUGGUACAGUAGCCUGAUCAAUAAUACAUAACUCUCGCGCAUGAAAGUGGAUCCAUUCAUCUGCACGCACCUUAUUUUUCCUACCCCAUCAAUACAUGUCAGAUAGUGUUUAUUUUUCAGCACGCAUGUGAUGACUAUUAAAAAAGAGGUGAAGAGUCAUGACUUUUUAUCUAACACAUUCAAAACAGCUGAUGAACCAAAUUCUCCAUCUGUUGCAACUGAUGAAUUAGCUCUUAGAAGAAAUCAAAACAUCUCCUCCAAUAUAUGGUCCAUCUGUCAUAACAUAUAAUCCAUAUAUUGUGACAGAUGGUAAAUCUGUUACGAAAGAACAGACAAUAUUUAUUCAUCUGCACGCAUGUGAUGACUAUUAAAAAAGAGGCGAGGAGUCGUGACUUUUUAUCAAACACACUCAAAAUAGCUAACAUAUCAAAUUCUCCAUCUGUUGUAACUGAUGAAUCGGCUGUUAGAAGAAAUCAAAAUAUCUCCUCCAAUAGAUGGUCCAUCUGUCGUAACAGAUAAUACAUAUGUUGCACCAGAUGUUGCAACGGAUGAUAAAUCUAUUGUAACAGACCAGACAGUGUUUAUUCAUUUGCACGCAUGUGAUGACUAUUGAAAAAGAGGAGAAGAGUCAUAACUUUUUAUCUAACACAUUCAAAACAGCUGAUAAAUCAAAUCUCCAUCUGUUGCAAUAGAUGAAUCAGCUGUUAGAAGAAAUCAAAACAUCUCCUCCAAUAAAUGGUCCAUCUGUCGCAACAGAUAAUACAUAUAUUGCAACAGAUGUCUCAUCUGUUGCACAUAUAAACCAUAUAUUUCAACAAAUGAUAAAUCUAUUUUGACAGACCAUCUGUUGCACAUAUAGACCAUCUAUUGCAAUAGAUGAUAAAUCUGUUAUGAAAGAUAGACGAACUGUUACAACAGCUCAAUAAUAACGGUUGUUAUCAAGUGUCAAACCAUUUUGAAAAGGUGAGAAAUAUUAAUGUAAAAGAAAAAGUCGCGACUUUUCACAGGAAACAAAAUGCCACUAGUUUGAAUGUAAUUAAUACAAUGGAGCUGAACAGUCAUGCCUUUUUUCCUAACACAUCCAGAUUCAAUCCUCCAUAAAUAGGUCCCUCCUUAAUCUUCAUUCUAGUCAACUUUAUUUAUUUAUUGUAUUUUUCUUUUUGUGUGACAUCUUCAACCACUUCUCUUCAAAGAGCAUAUUCCUUUCUCAUUGAGAUAAGUUUUUUUUUGUGUAAAUCUACCAGUUGGUAGUAUAUGUUAUAUUACAUUUGGAUUAUUUUCUUUACAUUUGUCAAUUCAUGCGUGUUCUAGAUAUGGCUGAUCCUGUUUGGGAUAUUGCUAUUCUGCGUGACACAGUGUGGGAACUUCAGAGGCAAUUUAAUGACCUUCAUAGGGAGUUGGUCGCCGUGAGAGCGACGAUGUUCAGAGAAAUGCAGAGGCUGAUGAGGGCCCUAUUGCUGGGAGUUGAUUGGUUGGCUGUCAUUAAUGAUGAUGAUGAUGAUAAUAAUAAUAAUAAUAAUUAGAAUGUGUUUUUUCUUUUAGCGUAUGUAUUUUAAUUUUUCUAUAGCGGAUCUAUACCUAAUGUAUUUUAUUUUUCAUUUAAUGAAAAAUUUAUUUUUAGUCGAUUGUAGCUUUUUAAUUCUUAUUCAAUUUUCAUUCUGUCUAUUUCUUCUAAACAUAACAUACAUGUUAACAUGUCGACGGUUGGAGGCAAGGAGUAAUUUUGAAUCUAGUAGCAAUAGAAAUUUUGGCUUUUGAGUUCUUUCAAUAGAUGGACCAUGUGUUGGAACAGAUUGAUCAUCGAUUGGGUUUCUGUCAACAGAUUAUUGAUCUGUUGUGACAGAUUUGUCAUCUGUUGGAGAAAAAUAUUUCAGUUUGAUGGAACUGUAUUUUGUUCUUCCAGCUAAUGUCCAUCUUUUCCAUAGAUGGGUAAUCUAUUAAAAAUAAUUAUGGUCUGUUGUAUUAUUUAGUUCAUAUUUUGCCUCUUUUUAUUGAUGCACAAGUUAUUAAAAAAGAUAUUUUAUAUAUAAUAAAUAAUAACAUUACGUUCACAACAAUGAGUUAAAUAUAUAAAAGUCUACAAUAAACAACAACACAAGUUUUUGCAAUUACAACGAUCACGGUGGAUUAUGAUCCGGGCAUGUAGUUCUUUUGUGGCCAGCGCGCUUACAUACAAAGCACUUGUUUCUUCUUGAUGAAAAUGAUUCUCUGACUCCACGCCUCCUCUUAUAUGGAUUUCUUCCCGAUUUGAUAGUGCUUGGAUCAAUAUAUGGAGGAGGUAUUAAUCUCCCUAAAAGCUCUGCAGGAACAACUCAAGAUUCUUCGGGAGACACCAAAGUAAUAUGCCCACUAUAUGCCAUUGUAUAUUUUUCCACCGAAUAAUAUUGAGAGGAGUGCUUGUAAAUUUCAGGUCCAUAUUUUAUAUCGUAUUAAGCUUGAAGCACUGUCAUAGCAUGUGGACAGGGUAUUUUGUCCAAGUAAAAAACUUUGCACGUACAAGAUCUUGUUUGAAGAUCGAUUGUGGCAACAUCACCAUGACCGGUGAUACUAAACUUGUAAUCUUCUAUUUGAUGGGAUAAUAAACUAUUCCUCAGACUGAUGUUCGUUGAUAUUAUUUUUUUCAUUUCUAGAACAAAUGGGGUUCCUGCGUCCUUGAACUGCACACGCCUUUCGUUAAAAAAUUGGCCACACUUUUUGUUUAUUUUUUCAACAAAGCCUUGAUAGGAAAUUCUCUUUCAUCGUCAAACAAUGAAUUCACCGAUUCAGCUAUGUUUGAUGUCAUAAUAUUGUACCUAUACAAAAGAAUCACUUAGUACGACAUCAUACUAAACUUGUAACUCAAACAAGACAUUAAAUUCAUAAGAAUGUACCUAUCUACCGGACAAAAUGUUCGACUCCAUCUCUCGAAAUUGACACAUAUGAGAAGUUUUGCUACCUUGAGAUUCAUAUCCGUUAUUUGAUUGAAAUGGUCUAAAAACUCCUCUCUACUAUAUGCUUUAACUGCUUUAUUAAAAAGGGUCACAACCCAUUCGUCGUGAUAGUUGGUCCGAAUGUUCUUUCUAAGAUGCCUGAUGCAACAACCAAAGUAAGCUGAAGUGAUGAAAAUUGAACCCAUCUUUGGAAUACUUGGAUGCCUAUCCGAAACAAAACACAACUCUUCGGUAUCUUCAAUGCAACUUUGCAGUUGUUCAAAAAAACCCAUAAGAGGCAUCACAUUCCUUGUUCUCUACACAAAAAGCAACAGGAAAGAUGUGAUUCUCCACAUCCUGUGCCACCGCCGCUAGCAAAACUCCAUUAUAACUGCUCCCCAAGAAGGUACCAUCGACGGCUAUGCCUUUUCUCAAAUGUCAAAAACCUUGAAUCCAAGCACCAUAGGAUACAAAAAAGUACUUGAACCUGUCACACCCCUUUUUAAAAGCCAAAAAGAUUCGUUUUAAAUUCGAAAGGGUUUUUAUUAUUCAGUGGCAAAAGAAAAUAAUUUGUUUCGAAGAAGGAUUGUAUUUCCAUUCGAAAUCAGAGUCGCCACUUGGCAUAGAUCGGGUGUGUCAGGUCACCUUUGGAAAUCCUUUUUUCAAAAUAGUUUGACUCUGAAUACUGAUCCACGAACAGAGAUUCCGGCUAAAGAAUUUUGUUGACCGAGGGGAAGGUGUUAGGCACCCUUUGAUCCCGUUGUUCGACCACGGUCGCUUGGUGAGGCGUAUCGGCUAGUUUGGCAUUACAAAUGUAUAAACCACACAAAAUACAUAAAACAAUCAAUCGAAGACACAAAAUAAAACAAAUCCAGAAGUGUAGUGUCCAGUCCGAAUUAUACAGUUCCAAAAUAAAAAUACAGAAAUAUAAACCCUAUUCUAUUCUAAACUAAACUCCACCCGACGUUCCGGGCCUUGACCGUGAACCAUAUUUCGAUACAACUUUCUCGGGGCAUUCCCCGGAUAAGGCAAUACAGAUACCUCGGGGCGUUCCCCGUCCAAAUGAGUAUAAUUGAGUCAAAGGCGAUAAAAUAAAGCUAUUCAACAUAUAUUUCAAGCAUUCCAUAAUCCACAAGUUCUCAAUUUGCCUACUCGAGCCUACUGUUGCCUACACCGUUCGACCUAUCAUGAUACUUUCGCGAAGUUGAUAAUUAGAUGCAAAAUUAACAAUGACAAUGAAUCAAAGCAGCAAAUUUAUCCAUCUUUUAUCAUCCGAUCCCCCAAUCCAUCAACCAAAUUAUCACAUGCUUCGAUUAUCAAUUCAAGUGUUCAAAGUUUGAAACCAACGUCAACUAACACACAACAAAGAUUCAAAUAUACCAAAAAACAAAUCAUUCAUAUUCAUGACAUCAAUGCAUCACGUGAGGGUAAAAUAGGAGAAGAAUAGAGUUGAAGAAUUAGACCUCAAAUGACGACUUUAUUUCGAUCAAAUCGGGUUACUUGAUUAGAGAGCCACCGAACCUUAAACCGGGCCCAAACUCACAAAACUUGAUCCCGAACUUGGUUUAAUCGCCAAAUCAGACCCAAAAUAUUAAAAUAUCAAGAAUGCAUAAAAGAUUUCGCCGAAACCAAAUCCAAGAUUGGUUGACUUGUUUUGUUGCGGGACUUAGACUGCUACGGGUUGAUCGGAGCUCCGGCGACCCCCAAUAGCGACAGGAAGAUGACGGGAUGAUGGUUGGAUUUACUUUUCAUAUCGUCGGAGCUCCGGCGAGCCCCAACAAUGGAUGAAACGGAUAAGAAAGGAUGGUAGCAGCGUUUUUCCGAUGAGAACUUGUCGGAAAAAGUCCUCUCCCGCGUAUCUCUCUCACUCUUUAGUAGCUCUCUCCCUCUUUCUAUUCUCAAUUCCGAUCUCUCUCUAAUUACUGUGCAUGAGUGUGUGUGGAAUUCUAUAUUUUCUAGUGUGACCCGUGUGUGUGUGGUAUAUUGUGAAGGUGAUGAUGAGUGUCUGUUGAUGGUGAGGUCUUUUUGUGAGGGUCAGUAAUGGAUAAGAGGCGUAUGUGUGUGUGAAUUGUAUAUAUGGCUUGUAUUGUUGUUCCCCUUUUUGCUCCCCUAUCACUGUAUUCGUAGGUGGGUAUGUAUAUUGUAAGGAAAAAAUGUGAGUAGGGUGAGGUUAGGUAGGGUAGGGGUAUAGGGUGAGGUAGGAUAGUGAUGUGUUGUCCACUUUUAAUGGGGAAGGUUGUUAAUUUGUUAUCAAUUGGGAUUAUGUGGGAAUUUUUAGGAUAAGAUUUGUUUAGAGCUAGUUUUGAUUUUUUGUCAUUUGUGAAGGGAUAAUUACAUGGUUGAGGGUACACGGUAGGAUAAGGUAAAAUGAGUAAAAGUGAUUGGGGAGGGACAAAAUUAGGUGUCUACAUCAUGCCCCCUUUGAAUGUAAACACGAAGUGUUUUCAGACAAAUAAGUAGAUAACGAGACAAAAUUUUGUCCCGGCCAUUAUUCAGAGAAACAGAUGGAAAAAAAAAAGCAAUUGGGUCUUGACUUAGGACAUCCUACCUACCCAAGUUACGAGGUAAUCAAGUCACAGGUAUCUUAAAGGAUUGGAAGGAGAAGGACUAUACCGAGUUGGAGAGUUGAGUGAGGUCCCGUCGAGGUUCCAGUCCGCGGCUCUGUCAUUACAUCAAAAAUAAAAAUUACAAGUUAGAACAUAAAUGAAAUUACAAAAUCCUAUCUAUGCUGCUUCUUUUGGACUCUUAACUUGAGUUUCAUCACCGUGUUUUUCAGGAGGGUUCCUGACUUGCAAUUUCUUCAACUUGUUGCUUGAUUUUCAAUUUCUUCACCUUGUUCUCCAGACGGGAUCCUAACUUGCUAUUUUUCGAUCUAUUGACUUUCAUUUUCUUCACCUUGUUGCUUGACUUUCAGCUUCUUCACUUUGUUGCUUGACUUUCAGCUUCUUCACUUUGUUGCUUGACUUUCAGCUUCUUCACUUUGUUGCUUGAUUUCCUAUUUAUUCGCCUUGUUCUUCAGGCGGACUCCUACUUGCAUGUUGCAAUGAUGAACUAAGACUCUGACCAAGAAAUGCAUCUCUUGAGAGUAAAAUUGAAUGACCAAGACUAGGAAGUGCAUCUCCUAAGAAUUAAAGUGAGGGAUUCCGACUAGAAAGUGUCUCCUUAUAAAUACCGCUUGAAUUACCAAACAAGGAAGUGCAUCUCCUUACCAAUGCCGCCUUAAUUACCAAACAAGGAAGUGCGUCUCCUUACAAAUGUUUCUUGAAUUACCAAACAAGGAAGUGCAUCUCCUUACCAAUAUCGCUUGAAUUACCAAACGAGAAAGUAUGUCUCCUUAUAGAUGCUGCUUGAAUUACCAAACAAGGAAGUGCAUCUCCUUACCAAUGCCGCUUGAAUUACCAAAAAAAGAAAGUGCAUCUCCUUACCAAUGCCGCCUUAAUUGCCAAACAAGAAAGUGUGUCUCUUUACCAAUGCUGCUUGAAUUACCAAACAAGAAAGUGUAUCUCCUUACCAAUAUCGCUUGAAUUACCAAACACGGAAGUGCAUCUCCCUACCAAUGCUACUUGAAUUACCAAACAAGGAAGUACAUCUCCUUACCAAUGCCUCUUGAAUUACCAAAACAAGGAAGUGCAUACUCUUACCAAUGCAACUUGAAUUACCAAAAUAAGGAAGUGUGUUUCCUUACCAAUGAUGCUUGAAUUGCCCAAACAAGGAAGUGUGUCCCCUCACAAAUGUUGCUUGAAUUUCCCAAAUAAGGAAAUGCGUCUCCUCACAAAUGUUGCUUGAAUUACCAAAACAAGGAAGCGUGUAUCCUUACAAAUGUUACUUGAAUUACCCAAACAAAGAAGUGCGUUUCCUUACAAAUGUUGAUUGAAUUACCCAAAAAAAAGUGUCUCCUUACCCAUGUCGCCUAAAUUACCAAACCAAGGAAGUGUGUCUCCUUACCAAUGUUGCUUGAAUUAUCCAAACAAGGACUAUGAUCAAGAAAGACUUCAUUUUUCUGAAAAUAAUGUCCCAUUUUUCAGGAGAGUCCUGAACAUAAAGUAAAUUCCCAUUUUUCAGGAGGGUCCUGAACAUAAAAUAAAUUCUCAUUUUCUAGGAGGGUCCUAAAAAGAAAGUAAAUUCCUAUUUUUCAGGAGGGUCCUGAACAGAAAGUAAAUUUCCAUUUUCCAGGAGAAUCCUGAACAGAAAGUAAAUUCCCAUUUUCCAGGAGGGUCCUGAACAGAAGCAAAUUCCCAUUUUCCAGGAGGGUCCUGAACAGAAAGUAAAUUUCCACGGAUGUGCUUUUCCAAGGGUAGCUGAAUUAAGUAAAGCAAAUUUGCCCCUGUUUCAACAAAAAAAAAAUUGUCAGUAAAAACUUAGUGGUGGUUUGCAGCACUUGGUUGUCCCAACACCUGCUCCAAUGUUCAUUCCCUUCAUUUUGUUUUUGAUUGCUGGCACUUGCCCCUGCUUUAUCGCGUCAUUGACCCAAACUCAGAUUAUUAAGAGUGACUCUGAAAUAAACACAGUAUCUCUGCUUUACCAUGCUUCCCAGAUAAAUCCAUUAAACCUUGGUAUUUUCAUGAGUUCCCAGAUUUGCCUAUUGACAAAGCUUUCUGCGUGCCUUUUUUCGGCUUACAAUCAUGUCUCUUUCAUGCGCUGGCCUUUUGUCUUGCUUAGUGCAAUUGAAGAAGCUGGUAGCUAGUUUUGGAAUCUUUUCUCACUUGUUUUGACAUGGACUUUUGACUCAAAGACAAGAGAAAAAUGACAAUAAUUUUUAUUUUAUUUGGAUAAUUGACUUAAGAAGAUAAAAAUAUAACUAUAGAGAAGAAACAAACGACAAUGAAUAUCCCUAUUGAAAAAUAUAAAAUAAAAGUUUAUCUGAAAAUGACAGUCAACUCUAAUGAUUAUGACAUGCAUAUCGGAUUAAACUGCAUGAUCUUUCCAUCCAAAACUCUCACAAAUUGUUAUUGAGUUAAUGACCCUGAACUAGAGUUGCUUCCUUGGGCCAAUUGCAUUCGGAGACCUCAUUCGGCUAGUGGCGGCCUGGAGAGUUUUCGCCAGCAAGCCUCUCUCAUUCUCUUUCUCUCAGCUCAACAUCGCCUGAUGGUGCCCGUGAGGAUUUUCAUCGAUAAGACUCUCUCAUUUUUAUUUCUCUCAACUCACAGUCAUCUUACAGUGCCCAUGAGGGUUUUCACAGAUAAGACUCUCUCAUUUUUAUUUCUCUCCUGAUUCCUUAUGCUGAUGAAGACAGGUAGUUCCCAAAAUGUGUCAUUAUAUCCAUUGCAUGCUUAGCCUUAAUAUUCUCAAAGAUUGAUCUGAAGGUCUAUCUUUGGUUGUAACUUGACUUUUGGAUAAGGAUAGAAAAAAAGGAUGAUAUGAGGCCCAAACGACACUUGAAGUUGGGUGGGACUUACAACUUUUAGAAUCGACUCAAACAAUGAGGAUUAACUCAUGCCCCAGUUUCUUUUGGCUGGUUGACUUUAAAUUAUUUAUCUGGUUGGACCGAGCCCUUAGUAGGGCAGCCUAUGUAUCUCAUCCCGAGAGAGGAGAAUCAGGUCAUGCGUAGUUCUGGCAGCUUGUUUUGCAUGAUUUAGACUUUUGAUUCUUUUUCUUUGAUUGACACUCUUUUCUCUUUGAAUUUUUUUGACUCUAUUUGUCUUGGCACUUUUUUUUUGGACAUAUAUAUUUUUUUGACUCUAUUUUGAUUCCAAAAGAGGGGUAUGAAAGAAAAUAUGAGUAAAGCUCAAAUGGGGUAAACAAAGGAGACACGAUGUUUGGAUAGCAGAAUGAAAUGCCUUCAUCAUAUCAAUUCUUGAAAAUGCAAGCACAUAUCAUGCAAUAUAAAAGUGCACGAUCAAUAUCACUUAUGACAUGUUUUACAAUACUAACUUGCCCCGAACAUAUGUACCACCUCUUCUUCUACACUUGCCGAACAUACAACUCCAUCUUUGUUGUACAUCCCUCACAUUGAAUGACUCACGCUUUCGUGGAGUUGAUUUUCGUUCUAUUCCUCGGGAUCACAUAUCUUCUACUUGACCUAAUUGAGCUAUGUUUUUCAAUUGAUAACCAAGUUAUUCUUGUGAUUCUCUAAAUAAUUGCCUUAAUUUUCAAAGAAGGCUUGAACUUGUCACCAAAUGUCUCAGCACUCUACCUGUUUUCUCAGAUGCUUUCUUUUUCUAACUUUAACCCUCUGAUUCAAUGUUCAUGCUUAAAUUAGAUUUUAAGAUCUGGCUGAAAAUUCCGCUAGCAUGUCAUAUUACUAGAAUCAACAUAAAAUGUACUAUGUAAAGAAAACAAACAAACAACACAUAUUUAAAACACAAAAAAAAAAUAGGACACUUCAUUUAGUGGAAACAAAAUAUAGAAGGGUUUGAACAUAAACAACAAAAGGACAAAACAAGAAAGAUCCCGAAGUACAACCCUGAAAUAAUUCGGACAACAGAAAAUAAAACAAAACAAGCUACCAGACCCCUUCCUAGUAAGGAGAGAAGUGACUUCUUAAUUGCUCAGCCUGACAUCUUAGCCACUGGUUUGCAUAUCAGCAUGACUAGAGCUUUCCUCACUGUCAAUGUUCUAUACCAUGAUUGAUUUAUCUUGAAUUAUUUUUUCAAUUUCUCUUUUCAAAGCAUGAUAAUCUUUAAUAUUGUAACCCUGAACAUCAGAAUGAUAUGCACAUCGUACAUUAGGAUCAAAACUUCUUGAAUGUGGGUCAGGAGUAUACCCAAGGAGAGGAGUGAUUAUGCCCUGUUGUACCAAUAUAUGGAAUAAAAUUGCAUACGACUCUCCAAUUGGUGUGAAGUUAUCCCUCGACUUCUACCUCAUUUCAUUAUUUAACUUGGACCGAACAUCUGGCCUAGAAGGGGUUUGGUAUGUUUGUGGAGUUUGAGGAAGACUCUGAAGAGUUGGUACACGCCAUUAUGGGUAAGAAGGGAAUUGAUCAUAGGGUUGUGCAUUGUAUAUUAGAUAUGGAGGUGGAGGAAUAGAGUAUAAUGGAUUUCGGGAAAGAUUCUGUGGAGCUUGGGCAUAAACUUGGGUUUGAGCCUGUGGAUAACGAUGGUGGGGUCCUCUUUCCCGUGCCUGUUGUCCAACUACAAUGGUAGAUGUAUAUUCCUCAUACUUCUUCCCUCCGACACUUUCCAAACCUUUUUGAAUUGCUUGAGUAGUCGCUUUCAAUAUUGCAAAACUCACAAUGUGACCGGUCUUAAUUCCAUCCUCUACCAUCUCCCCCAUUUUGAGGACCUCAAUAAAUGGCUUGCCUAAUGAAGGUAACAAGUGUUAAUAAUAAGAUUCAUCCUGCGCUUGAAUAAAUACCUCCACUAUCUUACUUUCUUUCAUUGGCGGUUUCACCCAAGCAGCUUGUUCACGCCAUCUAACCGCAUACUCUCUGAAAGUUUUAGUACUCUUUUUCUUCAUAUUAGUUAGGGAUUUCUCUUCAGGAAUCAACUCCAUAUUGUAUUAAAAUUGUUGCACGAAUUCAUUAUCUAGGUCAUCCCAACUAAUCCAUUUGUCAAUGUCUUGGUCAACAAACCAUUCCGAAGCAAGGCCUGAAAGACUCUCCCCGAAAUAAGCCAUGAGUAGUUCUUCCUUCCCUCCAGCGCCUCUUAAUUGGUUACAAUAGCAUCUCAAAUGUGACACUAGGUCCCCAUGUCCGUCAUAUUUCUCAAACUUUGGCAUUUUAAAGCCAGGAGGAAGGUUGACCCCUGAAAACAUGCAUAAGUCCUUAUAUGAGACACUUUUGUAACCCCCAAGUCCUUGCAAGUUCUUCAUAGCCAGUUCCAAACUUCUCAAUAUUCUGGUCAUUUUCUCUUGUUUCUCUGUCAUAACAGGCUUCUCAGUGUUAGGAGGAAAUUCAGGCGGGUGAGUGUCACCAUAAAGACCAGUCAACAUAAAUGUAGGCUCGAAAGUGUAAUACUGAUCACCAGUAAUAUUCAAUACAGGCUCUCUUAUAGAGUAGGGAAGCACAACUUGUGAAUGAACAUCAAAAGUAGGAGCUUCAGGUGGGGGUGGCACUGAAAAAUCAUGAACAGCAAGUGGAGUCGAGUAUGUGGUAGUCUUGGAUUGGGGAGUGAGAAAAUGAACAUUGAAAGUGGUUGGAUAUUGUUGCCCCGGAGUCGAUCCUGAUGCAUGUUGUGGCAUAUUAACAAAAAUGGAAAAUUAUGCAUAUGACACGGGAGGCAAUCUAGAAAGAUAUUCCAGAUUAUCAGUGGGAACUGGAGGAGGCGACAAUCCAUUAGCCCAAGCUCGAUGUAUUUCUAUCACUUGUUGCCUUAAUUUCCGAAUCUCUUCAUUAUCUCCUAAAUUCUCAUUUCCCAAACUCCCUGUCUGAUUAGUGACAACAAACUCGAUAUCCUUGUUGGCCAUAACCUUCUCUGUGACUUGGUGCAAUAUGGAGGACCAACCAAAAUGCCACAAACCAACCACCUCAAACUAACUGAACAAGAGAUAGCAAAUGUGUUAGAGUUCAACACUUUCUCAAAAUCUCUCCUUUUAAAAAAAAAGAUCACCAAACCCAAGAAGGGUGCCUACGUAUCUCACUCCCGAAAGAGGAGAAUCAGGUGUGCAUAGUUCGUGAAGUCUUGCCAAAAUGACCAAUUAAACUCUUUUUCUUUUUCUUUUUAUUGAAAUUUUAAGAAGAAAAGAAAAAUGACAAAUUUUCAAAAGAAUAGACGAAAAUAUUUUUUUUUGAAUUUUCUAGAUUUAAUAACCUAUAAAAAAAUGAAACUUAUGAUUACCAAAGAAACUCCUUUUGGGUUUUCGAUUUUGAAUUUCAUAAGAAAAUGAAACUUGAACCUAUUAAAGAAAAAUAUUUUUUUUAGUUUUAUUUUUAAGGAAAAUCUUUUUUUGUAUUUUUGUUUUCAAGGCAUAUAUGAAACACCUACUCUAAAUGACGAGAAGAAAAUCUUUUUUUGAUUUUUUAAAUAAGAUCCCCGAACCAACAAUAAGCUUCCUACGUAUCUCACUCCCGAGAGAGGAGAAUUAGGGGUGUGUAGUUCGUCCAGAUAGGACAAUUAAGGAUUAAAUAACAGACUGAACCCUGACUUGAGAGACGCGACCACAAACAGAAGAUGAAAAACAAUAAAAUAUUUUUGAGUUUUUAGUUUGACACUGGGUUUGUUGUUGUUGUUGUUGUUGUAGUUUGACACUUCACAGAAGACUGACACCAACAACUAUGAAAGAGAAAAUCUUUUUGGUAUUUUCGUUAUAAGAGAUGCACAAAACUUUUACCAUCUUUUGACUUUCUUUUAUAAAACGCUCCUAUUAAGGAAAAAAAAAUUUGAAAUUUUUGAAUUAUGAAUGCUUACUAAAGAAACAAAAGAAAAUCUUUUCAACAUUUUUGAUGUUUUGGGAAAUGAGUGCAAAAAGUAAAAAAAAAAUAUUUUUUUUUUGAAUUUUUGAAUUGUGAAAAAACAAAAGCCAUAAAGAACCCUAAAAACUACCAAAUCUCUUUUUUUUCACUCUUUUUUUUUCUUCCUUUUUUCAACAAUUUUCUUCCUACACACGUUGCUUCUAACUCAUGCUUUUGCCCAAAUCAGUCUGUCAAAUGACCUUGUUACUCUCAAAGAUGCAAUAUUUAGCACGUAGGGAUGCUUUAGAGGUGAGUUUCCUACAAAGGAUCAAGUGGGCCCAGCUAGGUUGUCACGCCCCAAAAUCCCAUCGGGCCGGACUGGCACCCNNNNNNNNNNNNNNNNNNNNNNNNNNNNNNNNNNNNNNNNNNNNNNNNNNNNNNNNNNNNNNNNNNNNNNNNNNNNNNNNNNNNNNNNNNNNNNNNNNNNNNNNNNNNNNNNNNNNNNNNNNNNNNNNNNNNNNNNNNNNNNNNNNNNNNNNNNNNNNNNNNNNNNNNNNNNNNNNNNNNNNNNNNNNNNNNNNNNNNNNNNNNNNNNNNNNNNNNNNNNNNNNNNNNNNNNNNNNNNNNNNNNNNNNNNNNNNNNNNNNNNNNNNNNNNNNNNNNNNNNNNNNNNNNNNNNNNNNNNNNNNNNNNNNNNNNNNNNNNNNNNNNNNNNNNNNNNNNNNNNNNNNNNNNNNNNNNNNNNNNNNNNNNNNNNNNNNNNNNNNNNNNNNNNNNNNNNNNNNNNNNNNNNNNNNNNNNNNNNNNNNNNNNNNNNNNNNNNNNNNNNNNNNNNNNNNNNNNNNNNNNNNNNNNNNNNNNNNNNNNNNNNNNNNNNNNNNNNNNNNNNNNNNNNNNNNNNNNNNNNNNNNNNNNNNNNNNNNNNNNNNNNNNNNNNNNNNNNNNNNNNNNNNNNNNNNNNNNNNNNNNNNNNNNNNNNNNNNNNNNNNNNNNNNNNNNNNNNNNNNNNNNNNNNNNNNNNNNNNNNNNNNNNNNNNNNNNNNNNNNNNNNNNNNNNNNNNNNNNNNNNNNNNNNNNNNNNNNNNNNNNNNNNNNNNNNNNNNNNNNNNNNNNNNNNNNNNNNNNNNNNNNNNNNNNNNNNNNNNNNNNNNNNNNNNNNNNNNNNNNNNNNNNNNNNNNNNNNNNNNNNNNNNNNNNNNNNNNNNNNNNNNNNNNNNNNNNNNNNNNNNNNNNNNNNNNNNNNNNNNNNNNNNNNNNNNNNNNNNNNNNNNNNNNNNNNNNNNNNNNNNNNNNNNNNNNNNNNNNNNNNNNNNNNNNNNNNNNNNNNNNNNNNNNNNNNNNNNNNNNNNNNNNNNNNNNNNNNNNNNNNNNNNNNNNNNNNNNNNNNAGCUCACAAUCAGAAUGUAGCAGUAUAUCAAAACUUCUGAUUCUUUGAACACACUCAACGGUUGAAGAUCACAAAGAGCUUUUUGAAAUUAGAAAAGUGUUUUCAAUACUGAAAAUUUUCGUUACCACCUGAGGAAAAAGUGCAGUAUUUAUAGCCAUAAAGUGCCCCUUCAGAAAGGAAGCAAUGGCUCAUCAGAAAGGUGCAUCGCUUCGGCACAGUCAUGUCUGUUUAUUUUGAAAUAAUGUCUUUUCAGAAUAGCCACAUCCGACGAACAACCACCGUUUUUCCAAUACAGUAUGUCAUUUCCUUGAAGGGUUGUAUCCCUUUUGAGUUACAUUUCAGUGUUUAUGCAUGCAUGUUCAUGAAGAAAAUAUUUUUUUUCCGUUGGUUUUUUAGAUUUAAAAAUUUCACUUGGUUUUUCCAAGUUCCAAAACAACUUUGUCUAAAAAAUUAAUCUUAUCUUUGACCGAACCCGAAGCCGAGUGAAUGAUGACGGCGAUGAUGACGGCGUGAGGAACCUCUUGGUUCUUGCCCCACUAUCCACUUGAAGGAGUGUUUCUUAAUAAGAACACAAUAAAGUUGCUUUCUUCCACCUGGGAGGAGUUGUCACAACUCGAGUCGAGGCCCUAGCCGUGACGAGCAUCCUGAACAGCAAAGGCCCGAGAGACCCCUUAGCCCACCCAGUAGUGAUAUUGUACGCUCAGAGCCCAGGCCCGCAUGGCUUUAAAAUACGUGUAAGGCUUGCUUACUUAUAUACCCAAAAUCCCUCCUAUGUUUUACCGAUGUGGGACUUCUUAUCUUAAGUUGGUGUGUUACAUACACCCUCUUCCCUUAUGGACACAGCGUCCUCGCUGAGGUUUGCCUCACCUAAUUAGAUUUGCAUAGACUCAGGACUCUGGCCCACAUCGACAAGGCUGACACAGGAGCGACUCUGAUACCAUUUUGGUCACGACCCGAGUCGAGGCCUUGGCCGUGAUGGGCAUGCCGAACCACGAAGGCCUAAGAGACCCCCCUUAGCCCUCCCACUAGUGAUAUUAUUUGCUCUGAGACUAGGCCCGCACUACUUUAAAAUGCUUCACUAGGGAGUAAGGCUUUCUUACUUAUAUAUCCAAUAUCCUUCUUGUAUUUUGCCAAUGUGGGUGUUACAUACACCCCCUUAUGGACUCAGGGUCCUCGCUGAGGUUUGCCCCACCAAAUGGAAUUUGCCUAGAUUCAGGACUAAAGUUUGCCCCACCCUAUCGGAAUUUACAUAAACUCAGUUUGGACUCUAGCCCACAUCGACAAGUCUAACACAGGAGCGACUUUGAUACCAUUCUUGUCAUCACUCAAGCCAGGGUCCUGGCCACGACGGGCAUCCCAAACAAUUAAGGCUCGAGAGACCCCUUAGUCCAUCUACUAGUGAUAUUGUCCGCUCUGGGCUCUGGCCCACACGAUUUAAAAUGCAUUACUAGGAAGUAAGGCUUUCUUACUUAUAUACCCAAUAUCUCUCCUGUGUAUUACCGAUGUGGGACUCUUUAUCCUAAAUUGGGGUAUUACAUGCACCCCCUCUUAUGGACUCAAGGUCCUCGCUGAGAUUUGCCCCACCAAAUAGGAUUUUCCUAGACUCAAGACAUAGGUUUGCCCCGCCUUACUGGGAUUUGUCUAAACUCAGUUUGAACUCUGGCCCACAUCGACAGAGCUGAACACAAGAGCCGCUCUGAUACCAUUCUUAUCACGACCCGAGACAAGGCCCUGGCCGUGAUGGGCAUCCCGAACAAUGAAGGCCUAAGAGACCCUCCUUAGCCCGCCCACUAGUGAUAUUAUCUUCUCUGGGCUCAGGCCCGCAUAGCUUUAAAAUGCAUCACUAGGUAGUAAGACUUGCUAACUUAUAUACCCAACAUCCCUCCUGUAUUUUGCCGAUGUGGGACUCCUUAUCCUAAGUUGGGGUGUUACAGAAGUAUACUUUCCUUUAGUGAGUACACUUUCCUUUCAAGUGUGUGAUCACUUUCCUUCUAAAAAUUUCCUCAAUUUUCCAUCUACAUCCUAUUGAACCCAACAAUGUCUUUCUAUACAAAAAGAAAUCUUUCAUAAUAUUAGAAAAAAAUUAUCAAAACACACCUUCAUUGUCUAUUGUUCCCUUUUCCUACAUGAAAUAUCACCAUCAUUCAAGUAGGAAACGAGAACAACUGAUAGUUAGGGUAUGUUCCAAUAAAUAUUGUGAUAGUUUAGGUAGAAAACUUGCUCACCGAAUAAUUCAGGUAUAAAACUCAAAAAACCAGCUAAGGGCAAGUUGAAGUACACGUUUAUGUCUUAUGUUUAAAAGAAAACCAGAAACCAAAGAAAAUUAGUGAUUUUCAACAUGAAAAUAUCUCUGCUUGCUUUGUUGUUAUUGAACUACAUUCAUCAUCACCAUCAAAUAAGUAAAUUCCACAAAAAUAUAUGUACAAAUAAGCACUAAUAAGUGUUAGAAUAGUGGGAGGAUGUAAGAGAAGUUUUGUAUAACAGUGGUUUUAUACCAGGGAUCUUUACCUAGAGUUGAGGGACUAUAGCAAAUAGUCUUUCUACCCUACGCUUUAAUGAUGGUAUUUCUUGAAAGAAUUACAAAAGGCAAAAUUCAUAAAUAUGCGCUUUAACUUGGCCUCAGAUCACAUCUAUAACUUCCAAAUUUGGGUGUGCACAAGUAGGCACUUAAAUGAAGGAUUCUUUGUUAAAUGGCAUUUUCAAGUCUUCUUUUUAAUUAAAGAAACUACACAUUUUUUUUAGGCAAAUGACACAUUUUUUAGAUAGAUCUAUUAUCUAUCCGAUUGAUAUAUAGACAGAUCGAUUAUCGAUCUGACCUAUAUAUUGACAGAUCGAUUAUCAAUCUGACCUAUGUAUAGAUGGAUCGAUUAUCAAUCCGACAAAUGAGAAAAUAUAAGUAUGCCAUUUUGCUAAUUGGAAACUUGAAGAGGCUUAAUAACCAAAUUUACUCAGUAGGCCAUUUUUCUAAUUGGAAACAUGAAGAGGCUAAUAGCAAAAUUUUCUUCUUAAGCUUGUAUAAAGUUGAACAAGUAGACACAUAUGUCCUAUAUGGCAUCCUAUGUGGCCAAUUCUUGUCCUACAUGGCGUCCUACGUGUAUUAUGCCACAUAGGACGUGUGUGUCUAUUUGUUCAUCUUUAUAAAAGUUUAAGUGCCUACUUAUACACACCCAAAGUUGAAGAUCACAGAUGUGAUUUUUAGUCAAGUUAAGGGAAUGUUUAUAUAUUAUGCCUUUACAAAAACAUAAAAAACACUGAGAUAUAUGUAACACAUCGAUAUUUUUGAGCUAAAAUUCAAACCGUCAUUUCUAUGUGUAUAAUCAUGGAUUCUAUUAUUUAUAUAAAAAAAUAUGUAUAAUUUUCAUUAACCUAGCAUGAAAAGUGCCUUUUAGGGGAAGAAUGUUAGUAGUAAACACUUAGCAUGAACUGGAGUUAAGAACUUUCACUAUCGACCAAAUUUUAAAAUUUGCUUCUACAUGGGUCAACUUUGAAUGUGUAUAACUUGCGAAAUAUGUGUAAUUUUGGAGUUAAAUACCUACCAAUUUGUACAUAAUUGAAUUAGAUUUCCAACUCCUCCAAUUUCGCCUUAAUCCGAUACCCGAGCCAAAAGUUAUGAACAUUUUUGUACAAACCAGUGAGCGUCCGUGAUAGCAGCGCGACACGGAGCUCAUCAUGGAUAUUAGACUCUACGACGCACCGAUGUUUUAAAUUCAUCAAUUUUUGGAUUUUUUGAUUUGGAAAGAAGGGUAUUGAAGUCCUUUCACUUUUAAAUGACCCCUAAACGCUAUAUUAUUCUAUUUCUAUUCGUUUCACGAUAUAACAUUGUUAUAUCACCUCUCCAAAAUCCCUAAUCAUUUCUCCAUAAGAAAGAAAGUAGAAACUACCCAGGGUUUGAGAAAUUCAGGCUUCGGGGGUCCAAUUUCUCUAUGUUCUCUUGGAUUUCUCUCCGUCAAAAGGUAUGUGGGACUAUCCUAAAUCUCAUGGGCAUGAUUUUAUCGUUUUACAAGCUUUACGAAUAUAUAAUUACGUAUAUGCAAUGGGUUUUGAAAUUAUUGAAGAGCAUGCAUUGGGGACCCCGUUUUAUGAUGAAAUCUUGUUAAAACUAUGGGGGGUUUCCUAAACUUGAAUUAUAUUUUUGUGUAUGAAUGUUAUGAGUUUUGAGAAUUCAUAUGAGAGCACAAUUUACGAGAUUCCCUCUCUUGUUAUGAAAGUCAUUGUCUUAAUGUGUUGUGGGUUGUUCAAAUGCAUGAAUUACAAGCUCGAGAUUCAAAUCUUUACAGUCAUGAUGGGUUAACAUUGUUUAUGAUAUGAUGAGAGGGUAUUUCUCUUGUUUAUAAUUGUUUAUCCUGUGAAAGAAUUGCAUGUAUUUUAUGAAAGGAUUGGCCACCACAUUAUAAAGUAUUGAAAAGGGAGUAUUCAGCAAAUGUUUUCAUAUGUUUUGAAAUAAUAACUCUCUUGUGUGAUGUUUAAAUCUUUUGGGUGACCAUCAACAUGAUUUUUGAAUGAAAGGGGCUAUGAUUAUGACAUGACAUGAUAUGACUUGCAAGUCUAGGUAUGAUGAUACCUAUCACGAGAUGCCCUUGACUUGAAAGAGAUAAAUGUUUUAAAAGCAUGAAGCAUGAUUUUAAUGGACUAAAAUUGAGCUUAAAGAGAGGUAGUUGGUUAUCCGAAGAAGUCUUGAGUUAGAUAACUCAUAGCCCGAAAUUGUGUUUUGUCGAUACGGGUUUUAUAUGUUAUUCGGCAAGUGGAAUAACAUGGUAUGUCGGCAAGUUGGGCAUACCUUUUCAUGAUACUGCAAUCCUUGAGGCAAACUCGGAUUGGGGGGUUUGGCCAACGAGUUAAUGGCGGACCUAUAUAGCCCAUGGGUAUUAAUGUUUUGUAGGGUGUACAUCUAACUCAGAAGUAAUACGAAGAGUUGAGUCAGUGUUCUACAAGAAUGGUUGAAGCUCAUCAAAUUAUGCCCAUGUGUUUUCAUUUACAUUAUCCUAAAUUGAUUUAUGAAAUGCUCUCACCUAUGUUGUAUAAAAAUAUAUGUUAUAUUUUUGGAUUGUUCUGCAUGCCAGUACUUUCAAGUAUUGACCCCCCUCCUCCCCCCAUAUUACAGGUUCUGUUGUAUAGUCUCACGGUCCAUCACAUCAAUAGAACACUUGAGGUAUGACAGAAUUGGUGAGCCAUCUAUCUUUUGGAAGGCAUUUACUCAUAUGUUGAGUAUUUUAGUAUAUGGUCUAGCCGGGGGCUUUAUCCCGACCUAUACAGUUUAGUUUUCAUUAGAAGCUUCGUCAAUGGAAUUCGAGUACUGUAUUGUCAUACUUUGUUGACACAGUUUGUAUUAUAAGUUUUUGUUGAACUUCAUUAUAUAUUCCGCACUUUGAUUUAUGUAGGUAUUAUGCUUAUGAUAAAAUGCAAAGGGGUCUCUCGAGCCUUCUAUGGUUUGGGAUGCCCGUCGUGACAAUAUAGAACAAAUUUCAUGUAGUACAGAGUUUUCCAACCUUUUAUUUAACUUCAUUCUUUUCCAUUACAGCGGAGAUUCAGUGAUCCCAAGUAGAUUUCUUGAUUUGCCAACAAUUCAGUCCGUACCAAAGAAGAGAUAAGAGUAUACGAGAAGAAGAAUUUGAAAGAACAAAUAUUGGAAUAUUACUAGACAACUUGUUUUUAACUAUAGGCAAACAAAAUGAAGAAAAAGGGAUAAAAUUGAAAAAAAAAACCUGUCAUAACAAUAGCAAUACAACUUCAUCACUUAUUCACCACAAUAAAAUAAAAGAAAAAAGGGGAAAAUAGCUCGGAGAAUGCAAUCGAUGUCUGACAAUUUAUCUUUAGCCUCUGACGUCUUGGCGAAGGAAUUGUAACCAUCUUCUUAACAUAUGCUCUGCAAAUAAAAAUUACACUGGUCAAAGUAAUUGGAAAAAAUAUAAAGAAGAGACGUUACUCAAUUUUAUGUGGCACUCUUUUUCUUUUUGCUAUGUCCAAAAAGAAUGUAGCUACACCUAUGUUGCUCGGACUCUUAAAAAAUGUGGGUGCAUGUCGGAUUCUCCAAAAGUAGUGUAUUUUUGGAGAAUCCAACAUGAAUACGGCAUCAAAAGUGAUGAGUCCGCGCAACUUAGAGCUACACUGUUAAAGAAUAGAAGUUUCAAAAGUUAUUAUUGACUUUCUCAAACUCCACCGCAUAUCGACAACACAUUAAUAAAGUUAUGCUAGUUUUAACAUGAAUAACUCUUCUCUAACCCGGAAGUCAGAAGUUGUAAUGUUUUGAGUUAGAAUCUGUUGUUGCCCAUUUAGUCUUUGCUACUUUAUUGACAAUUUGAAACAAAAAAGAAAUUGUACAUCUGCAUAUGCAUCAGACUUCUGAAGGAAACAGGUUACCACUGCUUUGUACAUUCCCAUUACUCGUUCCAUACUUGCCUCGGCUUCUUCCUUUCCGUGUUUCUCUGCCAAGGACAGUGAAAAGUGUAAUCAACAAGUUGAUGAUUAGCUAGAGGAAGUUAGUGUGUGUGAUGUAUGUGCGACUGAGUUAGUUAGUUAAGUGUGACAGCUGUCAUUAUACAACUGUCACAAGGUGCAAACCAACUCUAUAAAUGUGACUUGUAGUGCCAUAAAAAGCUAAGAGAAAAUCAAUCAAUGAAAACUACUCUUCUUCUAGAAUCUUCUACUCCUCUUCUUCAAGAUCUUAGCUCAAUACUAUAGAAAGCUAAUAUGGUAUCAAAUCCACUACUGAUCGCUAGCUGUAAUCGGUACUAGAGACUAUCGAUUUCACUUGAUCAGUGAGAAUAACAGCUACUAUUCUAUUGGUUACAGUGAACUUUAAUGGCGGUUACUCGAAACUCAGUUGCAUAUCCUUCAACUACAACUGCAGUACCUGGAAAUACACCUACUUCAACUGGUACAAUUGAAAUUGACCACAAUUAUCCUCUGUAUUGGCGUCCAAAUGACACUCCAGGUAGCUCUCUUAUUUCUAUCCAGCUUACUGGCACUGAAAAUUAUGCCCUGUGGAGUAGAUCUAUUGCGUUGAGUCCCAUAGGUAAGAACAAAAUAGGCUUUGUUGAUGGGAGAUAUCCUAAAAAUCACAUUGAUGAAUCAGUACAUGAUCAGUGGGAGAGUGUUAAUGCUGUUGUUUUGUCAUGGAUUAUGAAUUCAGUACGAAAGGAUCUGUUGAGUAGUAUUAUGUAUGCCUCUAAUGCUCAUAAUGUGUGGAUAGAUUUAAAGAAAAGGUUUGAUAUGGUGAGUGGCUGUAGAGUAUUCUACUUGCAUAGAGAAAUUAUGACCUUCUCUCGGGGAACUCUGUCAGUUGCUGAUUAUUUUUCUCGAAUGCGAACUCUUUGGGAUGAAUUUGAUGCUAUUAUGCCUUCUCCUAGAUGUAGAUACCCUGAAUCUAGAAGUUAUGCUCAACACUUUGAUUAUCAAAGAGUAUUACAGUUCCUAAUGGGUCUAAAUGAAACAUACUCUCCGUGUAGAAGCCAACUCCUAUUAAUGACCCCUGUACCAUCCAUUAGCAAAGUGUACUUCAUGAUUGUAGGUCAUGAAAGCCAUAGAUCCAUAGCUUCUAGUUCCUCUGUGGAUCAUCUUAGUGAUACACUGGAUGUAGCAGCUCUCUUUACCCAUAAACCAGGUUACAAAGGCAAAGGUGGAUAUCUAGGUCCUGGUGGUUCAGUUGGUACAAGUAUAGUUAAGACUACAGGUAUCGAUGAAGGAAGACCACUAGCUUCUACUUAUAGAGGUGCUCCACAAAAAAAACCAUCAGUGGUUUGUGAGUUUUGUGGUUAUAAUGGUCAUACUAAGGAUCAAUGUUUCAAGCUGAUUGGUUACCCAUCAGAUUAGCCCAAGUCCAAUAAGAAAGGAUCAGGACAGUAUGCACAUAUGGUAGACUCUGCAUUCCCUGUGGACACAUACCCUACUAGUAAUAAGUUGUCUCAAGCCAGUUCAUCCCCAACUACUUCAAGUCCUACUCCUCAUUUUACACCAAGAUUAUAUCAACAACUUGUCAUGCUGCUCAACAAAGGGAAGGAAAAGGAUUCCAUUUCACCUGCAUCAAAUGCAGGCAUCACGAUAGCUCCAACUAGUCCUACUUUAAGUGAUAGGUGGAUUAUUGAAUCUGGUGCUACUAAUCAUAUGGUCUCCAACCCUGAUAUGCUUCAUAGUUAUCAUAAAAUGCAUCAGUCUUUAUAAAGUCAGGUCUAUCUUCCAACAGGUAACUAGGUUUCAGUCUUUCACAAAGGCACCUCUGGUGUACUCAACAAUUCCCUCAUUACUGAUGUCUUAUAUCUGCCUGAGUUCAAAAUAUAAUCUUCUAUCUAUUUCAAAACUUACCAAGGAGUUGCAAUGUUCAGUGAAGUUUUUUCCUGACUUCUGCAUCUUCUAGGAUCUCUAUACUAGCAUGGUGAUGGGGAUUGGUAAAGAAUAUCAAGGACUUUACAUUCUCCCAAAUGCUUCCUCUAAACCUACAAGUGUAAAUAAGUGUGCCAAUAAUGUGAAGUUGUUGUCGGAUUCUAGUGUUCUUUGGCACAAAAGACUGGGUCAUGCACCUAUUGAGGUGCUUAAAAGGCAUGCUGAACUAAGUCAUUUGAAGUUUGAAGAUCACAUAUGCACUGUGUAUCCCCUUGCUAAGCUGAUUAAACUUUCUUUUCAGCAUAGUAUCUCUGUGUCUAAGGCUCCCUUUCAUCUGCUUCAUUAUGAUAUAUGGGACCUUAUAGAGUGCCUACCUAUGAUAAAAAGAGAUUCUUUGUUACAAUUUUUGAUGAUCAUUCUAGAUUAACUUGGUUGUUUCUUAUCCAGUUUAAGUCUGAAGUGAUAGUUGUACUCAAAGAUUUUCUGACUAGAAUGCAAAACUUGCUCUCUACUUCUGUAAAAAUUCUUAGAACUGAUAAUGCCUGUGAGUUCUUUAGUCAUGAAUUUAAAUCUCUUAUGUCUAAUCUUGGUAUUUGCAUCAAACUUCAUGUGUCUAUACCCCUCAACAGAAUGGGGUGGUGGAAAGAAAACACAGAACUAUUUUGGGAGUUGCAAGAUCCCUCAAAUUUCAAGCAGGUGUACAUCUCAAGUUUUAGGGUGAAUGUGUUGAGACUGUUGUGUACUUGCUGAACAGAAUUCCCUAAGAAAUACUUCACUAUAAAUCUCCCUUUGAAAUCCUCCAUCAACAGGUGCCUUCACUUUUUCAUUUAAAAGUCUUUGGCUGUUUAGGCUAUACCUCUAGUCCUUUGUUCAGAUAAGUUUGCUGCUAGAGCAAUUCUUUGUGUCUCUAUGGGCUACUCAUCCACCCAGAAAGGGUACAAACUAUAUGAUUUUCAUACCAGACUAUUCUUUACUAGUAGAAAUGUCAGCUUUCAAGAGUCCACCUUUCCUUUCCUUCACCAAGCUACCAUUGACUCUUAAUUAUUUCCUGACCUGCUGACCACUCUUGUUGAUCAUUCUGUUCCUUUUUUCUCUUUCCCCUCCAUUCCUUUAUCUACUUCUUUUCCAGUCUCUCCUGAGCUGGAGCAUGGUCGGGCCUAUACCUUCAUCCUCAGCUCCUACUCAUCCCUCUGUAUCUCAUUCUGACCCCCCCUCUUCUCAAAAAAUCCACCAGACAUAAGAAACCUCCUAGUUGGAUCCAUGACUUUGUCACUACCAAGCUUGUCUCAGCUCACCAAUGUUUGUAUCCAUUAUCUUCCUAUGUCACAUACUUUCAGUUCUCUUCAUAUUUUAAUCAAGCUCUCUCUGUCUAUUUUUCUAUUCCUGAACCCUCUACUUUUCUUGAAGCCUUCAAAGAUCCAUCUUGGGUUGAGGCUAUGAAGCUAGAGAUUGCAGCUCUUGAGGAGAAUCAUACUUGGUCUAUUGUUGACUUUCCACCUGGUAAAGCUCCUAUUGGUUAUAGGUGGGUGUACAAAGAAAAGUACAAGACAAAUGGAGAUGUAGAAAGUUAUAAAGCCAGACUAGUAGCUAAGGGCUAUAGUCAACAGGCUGGGGUUGAUUACUCAGAUACUUUCUCUCCUAUGGCAAAGAUGGUGACAGUAAGAUCCCUUAUUGCUCUUGCUGCUUCUCGACAAUAAUUGUUUUUUCAAAUGGAUGUGACAAUGCUUUUCUUAAUGGUGAUCUGUCAGAAGAGGUCUACAUGCAUAUUCCUGAUGGUUUUUGCAGACAGGGAGAGACUCAGAAAGUCUACAAAUUACACAAGUCUUUGUAUGGUCUAAAGCAGGCCCAUAGACAAUGGAAUAUGAAGCUGACCGAUGCUCUCUUACAAGUGGGGUUCAGUCAAAGUUAUUAUGACUACUCCUUGUUUACCAAAAAAUCAGAAAAUGAAAUAGUGAUUAUUCUUGUCUAUGUGGAUGAUUUAUUAAUAACAGGAAACAAUGUCCCCUUGAUUAAUCAAGCUAGAUCAGAUUUAUAACAAAAGUUUAAAGUGAAGGAUCUUGAUGAUCUGAAGUUCUUCUUGGGCAUAGAGGUAGCCAGGUCCAAGGAAGGGAUAGUGCUGAAUCAAAGAAAGUAUGCUCUUGAACUUAUAUCUGAGGCUAGACAAAGUGGAUCAAAAUGUGCUAGUACUCUACUGGAAAUGAAUCAGAAACUAACAUUUGUGGAAUAUGACAAUCAUAUGUCCAAUGGAACAGGAGAUGAUAAUGCAACGCUGAAGGAUCCAACAACAUAUCAAAGACUAGUAGGAAGGCUAUUGUAUNNNNNNNNNNNNNNNNNNNNNNNNNNNNNNNNNNNNNNNNNNUGGGGUGCUUGCUUACAAACUAGAAGAUCAGUGGCUGGGUAUGUAAUAAAGUUUAGAGGUGCUUUAGUCUCUUGGAAAUCAAAGAAACAAGAGACUGUGUCCAGGAGCUCUGCAGAAGCAGAGUUUAUCCCUCCCGAAGUCAUUUUUUUUACUCAUUUACCACUUUACCAUACACCUCCUUUUAGUUGAUAAUUUUUCCACAAAAGAACAAAAAAUAAUAAUCAGCCCUUAACAAAAUCCCUAACAAAUUUUAUCUUGUUUUAAUCAUCCUAACAACUUACCCCUACCCUACCCUUAUCCUACCACGUGGUCCCCACCUCCCUAACAAGACCACGAAUUAUACGCACAUAAGAAUACAGGAUAAACACAAAAAAUUGGAAGCAUAUAUAGAGAAUUCCAGUAAGAGGAGGGUGGGACCCACAUGUAUUAUUCCCUCAACAUAUACAACACACAACCUCCAUUAAAGGACCAUCAAUACACUCUCCAUUUUUGGAUUUCAGGGGAGAAACACUACAUACACCAAAAAUACUCUCCAUAUCCUCAUGAACACACACACAGACGCAUACACACAUAUUACACAUCGGAGAAAAGGGGAAUUCUCAAAGAUAAAAAAAAAUAUGCACAAAGUAGAGAGAGACAUCAACAAAUAUCAUCAUCCUCCAUUUUCUUUCAUCUUCCAAAAAUAUACACACACUAAAAUCGUGACUACACAAAGAGAAUAGCACUCCAUCUUUGAACACUUCAUUUUUCUUUCCUUUUCUUCUUCUUGGAACACACAAUUUCCAUGGAGAGAGUUAGAAAUUGAGAGAGAUAGAAAUUGAGAGAGAAUGACAGAUUGAGUAAGACAGAGAAAAGAGAGCUUGAGGGAGAGAAACAACGAAAGGAGCUCUAUUCCGGUGGUUGAAAAUUUGGGGAGCUUGAGGGAGAGAAACAGCGAAAGGAGCUCUAUUCCGGUGGUUGAAAAUUUGGGGGGUGGGAUUGUUUUUUUUUUGGUUUAAUUUUACUUUUUAUUAAAAAUAAUCACAUGAUGGACCAACCCAUCUUACAAAAAAUUCAUCCCUCCCAUUAUUCCCAUACCCGGCCCAACCCAAAAACCAAAAUAAAACAUUUAACAUGAGUAGGGUUUCUAAAAUCAAAAGUUUCCUAAACCAUAUUUCAGCUCCACCGCCUCUUGCACUACUGUUUCGCUUCCUCCCGUUGAAGAUGAUAAUCGAUCUUGUAAAUCCUUCUUCAUGGUAUCGUGUUUCUUUCAGCUUACAGAGAUGACUGAAAUCUCUUUGAAAUUUUACUCUUUUGUUUCCGAUUCCCUCUAACUAUUGAUACUCUCCUCUUCUUAGCUUCAUUCUUCAAUCUUUGCAAAAAUUGAAUAUUGUUUUGCAUCUAAGAAGACCUGAUCUGCAGAGUAUACCAGCUAAGUAUGUUAUCUUCUUAUUUUGUCCCCUCACCUUUUCUGGAUCUGCUUUGACCGCAUCUUUAUUUGCUUGUACGAUUUGAAGAUCAAUGGAGAAUUGAUGUCGCAUAUAUUCAACUAUCCGACUCCAUCUCAGGUAUUUGCAGCUCUAUCUGGGUCAUCUACACUUUCUUGAUACUGUGCACUAGUUACUGCUCACACUUAGUAAUCUAACCCCUUCUUUUUUUGUUUGUAUUCCAAAACAAAAAACCUGAUAGAUUUGAAGAGCAAGUAAUUAUUGAUGUCAGAUAUAAUCAGCUAUCCGCCUCCAUCUCAGGUCUUUUCAGAACCCUAUGGUCCAUCUACACUUUUUUGAUGCUGUGAACUAAUUUCUGUACAAGCUUAGUAAAACAUGCACUUUCAUUGAUGAUACAUACUUCUGUAUAUAAAUUACAUGUAAACUAUGAAUCUUGAAUGUUUUCCUGUUCCUUAUUAUCUUACUGGUAUGAUCCUCAAGCAUGGCCUUUGCCAUUUGUCACUAUUUAAGAUUGCUUUACCUUUUUCCCCUAAUUGCUGAUAGCUUGUGAUGAUGAAAGCACCCGUGUCUAUUGCUAAAUUAGCUAAAUAAUCAGCUAAUUGAUUUCUCUCUCUAUAUAUAUAUAUGUUGAUACCGCACUUGCUUGUUUUGCAUGAAACUGUGUAUCUGCUUGACUGUGUUUGCUAUGCUCCAUGGACACAACCAAACAUUUGUCAAUACCUUCUGCAUUAAUAGGGAGUCCGUCUGAAUGAUAAUCUUAUUGUGCUACAAUUGUGAACAAUGCUUAACUGCCUGUAGAAUUGCAUUACCCUCUGCCUGCAUACUAUCUGCAUAAUGUUGUGGUUCUCCCUUAGCAAAUAAGACAUCUCCAUCUUUAUUCCUCAAACGAAAAGCAUAGGAAUUUCCUCCAUUCUCUCCUCUUACAUCUCCAUCAGUAUUAUAUUUUACCCAGCCCUCCUAAGGUGUCUUCUACAGUACUAUUAUAGCCUUCACUCUUAUUUGCAUUUGCUCAAUUCUGCAAUUAUAUGUGGCCAUUCUGUUGGGAAUUCCAUUUGUGGUUUCCCGACCUUCAACAGCUUUCUAAAAUUCCUUAUAACAUUAUAUAUGAUCCUCAAUCCUGUAGUUUCCUUAUCUUCAUGUUUCUUCCUGUUCCUUCUUCUCCACAAUUCCCACAGAAUCAUGCUAGGAAUUGCAAAGUAGUAAGGCUUUUCUCUUCCUUUUACUUCAGCAUUCCACCAUCUUAGAAUUGUUCCCCUUAGAGUCAAACUGUGAACAUGAAUACCUUCAUAAGAAGAAAAAUAGGACCAAGUCCUAUUAGCUUGGUAAGAAUUCUUGAAUACAUGAGAAAAUGUCUCCACUUCUGGGGCAUUACAACACCAGCACUUAGAUGGCCCCUACAUCCCCAUCUCAUAAUAGUAUCAUCUACAGGAAUUCUUCUUUUCCACAGUCUCCACAUGAAAAACUAAUCUUAAAAGGUACUCCUUUCACCCAUAUCUUCUUGAAAAUGUUUUCUAUCCCCUCCCUAUUCCUUAUAUACUGCCAGGUUGAUUUAACUGUAAAUAAUCCUUUAGAAUCAAUACUCCAUAUAGGCCAGUCCUCCUCUAUUCCUAUUGGAGGGAUGAUUUUGGUAAGAACAUGAUCUGCUACUUCAUCAGUGAAUAACUCUCUAAUCAAUUGUUCAUCCCAUGUAUCAUUUCUCAGGUAAAAAAUAGGGCACCCUAGGUUAAUGAAAGGGAAUUAUCUUAUCAAAAUAACAGUAGCCACUUCUGCUAACACCCUUACUGCAUGAGAUACUCCUUUGUGCAUAUAAAUUGCACUCUUCUCCUUGUUUAUUUUUUGUCCUGAUAUUUCCUCAUAUUUAUCCAAAACUGUAAUGACCAACUGUAAAUUUUUCACUUCAGCUUUGCACAAGAUGAUCAUAUCAUCUGCAAAUGCAAGGUGAUUUAAUUUUGGACUUUCUCUCGGCAUCCCAAACAUCCUGAAAUCCUUCUUCUUCUUCAGUUUCUUCAGUGCUCUUGAUAAAACCUCUGCUGCUAUUAUAAACAAAGUUGGUGACAAAGAAUUCCCCUGCUUCAACCCUCUUGUAGAUCGAAAAAUUCUUUAGGCUGACCAUUCAAAAGUAUUGAAUACCAAUUAUUUUCCAAUAGUCUAAAGACCAUGUCUAUCAGUACCUCUGAAAAACAAAAUGAUCUCAAUAUCUUUGUUAAAAACAACCAUUCUACUCUAUCAUAGGCUUUCAUCAUGUCAAGCUUCAACACCAUGUUAGGUGACUUCCCUCUCUUUCUAAUUUUAGACACAACUUCCUACACUACCAAAACAUUUUCAGUAAUACUCCUACCUUUAACAAAACCUUCCUGUUCCAUGGAUCAAAUGGGGUAAAAUUCCUUUUAUCCUUUCAUGAACUAUUCUUGAGAAAAUCUUAUUGAAAAAAUUACUAAGUGAAAUAGGCCUCAUGUCUGAGAAAUUAUUCACUACUAACUUCUUUGGUAACAAUACCAAAUUAGUAUGAGUAAUAAAUCUAGGAAGUUGAAAUCCACAAAAGAAAGAUUUUACCAUUUUAUGGAUGUCCUGCUUAAUGAUUUCCUAAGCAUCUUUGUAGAAUGCCGUUGUCAUCCCAUCUGGUCCACCUGCACUAUCUCUAUUCAGCCCCAUCACAACAUUUUUGACCUCAUCCUCAUUAGGAAUUCUCAUUAUUUCUACAUUUUGUUCAUCAUUCACCAAUUCUGGUAUUUUCUUCGGCAUGCUAAAAUCAUCUGCAUCAUUUUGUUUUGUAAACUAUUUCUGGAAAAAAUUAACUGUAGCUUCUGCAAUAUCUGGUACUUCUUCCAACCGUUGUCCAUCUUCAUUUUGUAUCUUACUGAUCCUGAGCCUGCUUCUCCUUCCUUUCACAAUAGUGUGAAAAAAUUUGGUGUUUCUCUCUCCAUCUUUGAACCAUUCAUACCCAGCCUUUUGUCUCCAGUAAUCUUCUUCCCUUUUUAAUUGCAUAUUCAGUUCAGCAUGAGCUUUAAAAAAAUUAGCUCUGUUCAAUCCACUAGGAUCCUCCUCCAAUUGUUUUUCUCUUACCUUGAUAAUAUCCUCCUUUCCUGGAAAAUAUCUCUUUACUCCAUUUAGUUAAAGCUGACUUAGUGUUUUUCAACUUUUGUUUAAACACUAUAAAUGGAUUUCCUUCAAUCUAAGAAUUCUAAUUUUGUUUAAUCACCUCCAAACAUGCUUCCUCUUUUAACCAAAAAUUCAGAAAUUGGAAAGAUUUAACAAUCUGCUCAUUGUUUGUUUUGCACUGAAUUAGCAUAGGAGAAUGAUCUGAUCCACUCCUAACUAGAUGUUCCACUUCCAUCUGCUGAAACAUAUGUUGCAUUCUAUCAUUGCACAAAACCCCAUCUAACCUCUUGAAAAUGCAAUCCUCAUCUGUUCUCCCAUUCCACUAAGUGAAUUUACUCCCUUUAAAAUGGAUUUCUUCCAUAUUACAUUAGCUGAUCGACUGAUUAAAGUCAUGAGUUUCAUUAAAAGUAACAGGUAAACCCCCUAGCUUUUCUUCUUCACUUCUAAUCACAUUAAAAUCCCCUCUAAUCCAAGUACUUGAUAGAAAUCUGACAAAUCUGUUAAUGGAUCCCAAAGUACCACCCUUUCAUUUGCAUUACAUUUAGCAUAGACUAAAGUAACCAACAAUGAGAUACCUGCAUUUUGAUUGGAUACUUUCAGAGUUAGCUGCUUCUAUUCAUCUUUCACAAUGCUAAAUUCCACAUUGUCUUCCAUAAAUGCCCAAAUUUUUCCAGAUACAUUUAGCACAGCAUGCUUCAUCCCCAGCCUCCUCCUAUACUCUUCAAUAUAUUGACCAUCUUGGAAAGGUUCCAUUAAUCCAAUGAAGUAAAACUGGUACCUUUUUUGCAUUUUUAUAAGUCUAGUAAAAGCCUGUUGGGUGUUAACAGACCUUAUGUUCCAAAUCAAUGCAUUCACUUGGAUUUUGAUUUAGCAGUGUGACUCCUUGUAUGCAUUGUUUGUGAUUUAGCCUCUGCUCCGCUACCACUCUUUUUCUUUUUCCUUAUCCCUACUUGUUUCUCCUUCAUAGCUUCUAUUUGUUUAGGGGAUAGAUCUGCUGCUUUAGCCACCUGAUUGAUGUUUUCUUCAAUAUCAUUCUCAUCAAUAUCUUCCUUUGUCUGAUUACUAUUUUCUAUCAUGUUCUAUGCUUGUAUUGCUAAGGGUGUAAUCCCCUCUAAUACCAUCAACUCCUCCAGCUCUUCAUCAUAGGCCUGCAGUUGCAUUUUUUCAGUCCCUUCUUCCUGAUCAUACUGAUCCAUAUCAUAAUGUGAAAUCCUCUCCUUGUUACUAUCUUCAGUUGGCUCCACAAUUUUACUUGAGUCAGUCUGUUCCUCAAUGCUGUUGUGAUCUGCUGCACUGUAAUUCUUUGCAUUCCUAUCAAUUACCUCCUGAUUUAUUUGCUUUUCGUCAGCUGACUUAUCCCCUUGAUUAGCUACUUUGCCUUUGCCAAAACUUGUAUUGACCUAAUCUUUAGUGCUGAUCUUUUCUCCCCCCUUCUGAUUAUUAGAUUCACCUUGUCCUUCCUUGUCAUUAUUGGUGUUUUCCAUGUUAUCUGCAUCUUUAAGAGCUACAAGAGUAUUUGACAUCUGUAGCUCCUUUCCUUCUUCUUCGUUCAACUCUCCCAGAAUGUGACCAAAUCUAUCCUUUUUAUAUUUGUUUUUCCUUGUAAGCCACUGAUUAGUAGUGAUACCUCUCUUUGUACUAUUCUGAUUAUGUGAUUGAUUCAUCUGUAUAUUAUUCUCUUUGUCUGUCACCUUUGUUUCUGCCUCCUUACUCUCCUCCUUCUGUUUGUCAUAUAACUCUGGGUGUUUAUUCCAACAACUUGCCUCAUCAUGUCCUUGCAAAAAACAUUUUGUACAGUACUUUGGCAUGUAAUCAUACUGAAUUUGGACCCACUUGGAUUUGAUUUCCUAUGUAACUUCAUUCUCUUCAUUAAUUCGAAUCAUUUGGGGUAAUUUUGCUACUAGAUCCAUCUCCACUUUCACUCUUGCACAACUAGGUCUUGUGUAAUUUUUUGUGGCCAUAUCAACAGUAAGAGGUUUGCCAACUGCUGAAGCAAUAGAAAAAAUUGCAUCUUUUGCGAAAAAAUUCGGAGGUAAAUCUGGCAUGGAGAUCCAGGCUACUGCAAUUGUGGUCUCAAUAUCUGGUUCAAAUCAUGGAUCCCAUUUCAAUGUCCUCAUCUGCCAAUAUUUUUCCAUUGAACCAAUGUAAUAAGCUGCAGUUGACAAUAAUUGAACGUAGCCCUCAAACAUCUCCAGCCUUAAUAAUAGUACAUGCCUUUCAUCCAAUACUCCAAUGGUGCAUGCCACUUUAUACGCAUUGAUUUGGGAUGAUUUUACGUAAAACUUCAAUAUGUGGCUUACCAUAUGAGAAUUUACCUAUGAUAGCAUAUUGUAAGUUCUCUUGCAUGAUAAUAUUUUGCACUUCUGAUGAUUUCCACGUAAUAGAAGGCUCUCCAUGCAACAUAAUAAUGGGUUUAGGCGGAACCCUAAUAUUAGUCAUAUCCACCACUAUUGGCUUCAAUAAAUUUGCAUAUUUCUUAAUUUCAUCUCCUUUUUGAAUGUUCUAAUUACUGUCUUCAUCAUUACUAUUAUCCGGUGGGAUGGUCCCACCGGCUAUGCUGGCCAUAAUGGCCGGAACAAAAACAAUUUUGGUAUUACUCGUCCAUAGGGUUUAGGGUUUUUCCGUCCUUGUUGGUUGAAAAAUAUCAUUAAAAGUGUGUUUACCCAUGGGGAAUUGAGAAAUUGAUAAAAAGGGUGAAUUUAGAUUUCUUUUGGUUUAUUGUUGUUCCGGUUAAAUAAGCAUGAAUGUCGUUGGAAUAUGAUAGAAUUAUGACAUGUUGAAAUGGAUAGGCAAAUAGUAGGGUCAGGUAGGCAAAUGCAGAACUCAUGGAAUGUUGAAUGUUGAAAAUGUGUGUUGAAUGUCUUGGUUUUUAUGGUUUUUUUGGAAAAAAAAAUGUACUCAUUUAGCCGAGGAAUGCCCUGAAGUCAUUUGUAUUUGUUCACCAAGGAAUGCCCCGACGUAUUAUGUUGGCGGAAGAUGUUCAUGAUGAAGGCUCGAUGCAUCGGGUAAAGCAUUGAAGCUUAGUCUACGAUUAGUUUAGAAUAUGAUUUAUAUUUCCGUAUUUUUCUAUUUUUUGGACUGUAUAACUCGGACUGAACACUAAAUUUUGAAUUGUUUUGUUUUGAUUGGCUUGAUUGAUUGUUUUACGUACUUUGCGUGGCGUAUACAUUCAUAGUGUUAAAAUUAGUCGAUAUGCUCCACCAAGCGACCGUGGUCAAACCACAGGAUCGAGGGGUGACUAACACCUUCCCCUUGGUCAACAGAAUUCCUUAGCCGGAAUCUCUGUCCACGGAUCAGUUUAAAAGAGUCAAAACUGUUUUGAAAAGGAUUUUCCAAAGGUGACUUGGCACACCGAAUUAUGCCAAGUGGAGACUCUGAAUUUGAAUGUAAAAAUCAUCUUUUUUCGAAAUAAACCUUCAUUUUGUCACUUAGUAAUAAAAACCCUUUCGAACCUUAAAAUUUAAUAUUUCUUUUGGUUGAAAAAGGGGUGUGACAGUAGUGUCAUAACAAGCUAAGAGAAAAUCAAUCAAUGAAAACUACUCUUCUUCUAGAAUCUUCUACUCCUCUUCUUCAAGCUCUUCACUCAAUACUAUAGAAAUCUAGCAAAGGCAUCACCUUCAAUCAAAGAGUAUUUAUCAAUCAUAUGUCUAUUUGUGUAUCUCACCAAUCCUAUAUUUAAAGUUCUCACCUGCAGUAAAGAAGACACAGUUAGAAGAUACUAGCGAAAAGAAAUAACUAGGAUGAUUUAACCUACAGUAGAGCUGAUAUUCUCGAUGAUAGUAUCUCCAUUACCCUGGACAAAUUCGGCAUGGCUAAUAGCUUGUGGCAUCAACUUUGAUAUCAAAUUGAGAGAGUCAAUAAUGGAGGCCGAUAGCCAUGUUCAAUAUGCAGAAGAUAAUCAAAGUGUAAUCUAUCAAUGAAGGAUGUGAUAGCUAUUUAUCUAGUGGCACUUGCACAUUUGAAUUAAUUUCUUUAGUAGCGGUAGUAGUCAAAUCGAACUUCUUUUUCUUAUAAAUAGGAGGGAAAUAGGCACCAAUUUUUUCUUGAGUUUGAGAUGGCAUAUCCGACUCUUACAGUUGCACAUGAGGCCAAAUGUUGUACAGCAGCAUCAAUUUGAACAGCUUGAUCAUAAGAAACAGCAGGCCCUCAACAUGAAAUGCCUAUCGGUGGCUGAUUCUCGGUGCAAGUGAAUUCCACCACCCUGCAUCACAAUUCAAACUCUUUGCACUACAAAUAUCCCACUUCUUAUUGAAUUGGAGUUUCUCGGUAACUUUAUUACCUGCAGAGGUUUCACAUUGUUUGUGAUGAUGGUAUUUCUUGAAAGAUCUACAAAAACUGAGAUAUAGCAUAACUUGCAUAUGGUAUAGAGGUUGCCGAUUACCUUAUGUUUGAUUUCCAUCUUGUCCAUCAUAUUAGAGUCAGCAAUCCCAUGUUCAGUUGAAGUCGCCAGCGUUCGGUAGCAGCAAACUCACAGUGCUAGGCAUAGCAGCAGACGCCAACUAGGAGGUGUGAACUGAGCAUGGCGGCAGAGCUCGGGGAAGAAGGGAAGGGUUCUGCUUUUUGACAGGUACAGAAUGAAAGAAACUUUUAUUAUUUAUGCUUCAGAUUAUGAACUUUUGAAUAACAAUUCUUUAAACAUUUACUAUGGAUUACUAUUGUAUGACGUACCGAUGAGUUGUUUGUUUCCCCCUCCUUUAUUUCUCCUUCAUUUUCUUCAUUCUACCAAAGUAACUUCUCCUUCCCUUCCUUUCAAGUUCUCGAUGUAUAAAACGUGCAUAAAAUGUCAUCUUUGAGCUAUUGAUCACGGUCAAACAUCAAAUGGUAUUUACAAAACAUUAUCCCAAAAUGUUAUACACAUUAUCGUCAUAAGUCGUCUGAAAAAAUUGUGAAAAUUAUCUGCACACUUGAGCAGACAUCACAACAAAAGCAAGCCAUUUUAAUUUGUUUUUUCCCUAUUACCAAAAGCUUAUAGCGAUGAAACAGAAUCACAUCAUCGACACAUUUUUACUUGAAGUUCACAAAAAGUUCAAUUGAGAAUUCAUCAAACACAUUGUAAGCAACACGCGUAAAUUUGGUUUCGAAGCAGCAAAAUAAUAGAGAAGAACCUGUCUUAAAUAAUGGGAUAUUAUUUGGGCCAAGGAUCUGAAGCUUGUCUUCUCCCAUCAUAUAUUCAACAUAUUGUUUAAUCUCCAGAGCUGAAUCUUCAAGCUGAGGGCUCGUCAAGUUCGAUAAUUUUCAAUGAACCAAUAUCCCCAAAAUUAGGCGGAAUCUCUGUAAGCUUACGACAAUCUCACAGUGCUAAUUUCUCAAGCACGGGAAAUGAUUCCUCUCCAAACUCCCACUUAGCAAGAGUCAAUCCUCUCAAAUCCAAAUAUUUGAGAUUCUCAAAGGUGUCUUCCUCCCCCAUGUUCCAUUCUUCCUCCAGGAUGAUUGUUCUCCUAAGGCACAACUCUUCAAGGUUGGGCAGUUUCGCUAUUGUUGAUAGUGAAUUGGAUGUCAGAGGAAAGUUCCACAACGACAAUAUUUUCAAAUUGGAAGGAAAAUGAAAAUUCCACGACCAAUUUUUCACUAAAAAGGGCCUACUGUCAUUUGCGUAUGAACUUUCAAAAUCUACUCUGAGUAAAUCUAGUUCGGUUAGGAAAUCCAAUCUCGGGAACCAAUAUCGCUCUGUUGAAUAAUCCCAUGAUUCCUUGAGAAUAAGUGUGAUCUCUUGAAGAUUGGGAAACCUUUUGAAAAUAUCCUCUGUAUUUUUCGUACAAGAAAGCACGACACUAAUAUUCUCAAGUUCUCUAACUUUGAGUCCUCUGCUAUCAGUAUUGGUGCAUUUGUAUCCAAGUCAAAGAAUGAACAAGGAUCAAUGGACAGCACUCGCAACUUUACAAGAUCCCAAAUACUCGGUAAUAGUACCAAGGUUGAUCCUUUGUUUUCAACUAAAAGGGUUUCGAGAUUCCGGAGGUUUGACAAAGAUGAAGGCAGAGAUUUAACUUUUGUCCCAAUGAAUAACAACCUCAAAUGAUUCAACAUGCCUAUUUCAUUCAGCAAAGAAUCUUUCACCGUGAUAAAAGAGGGAUACAGGACCAACACUCUAAGAAGCCUCAAGUCUCUUAGGUGACAUGCAUUAGAAAGGCGAUAGUUCAGCUUGUGUCCAGUUAUUUCCAAAGAACAGAGGUGUUUACCAGAAUGCCUUUUCAUUUUUGAACUAAACAGGAUGAAAUUGUUAGGCUCAAAGUGCUCCUUAUCAUUAUCAAUUCUUACCAUACGUGGCAUCAAAUGUGAAGAAGAAGAUGGAUCACUUGAACUUAUCUGCUCAAACAACUUUUCCUCUUUUGCUUUAAUCAAGCAAUAUUCAUGCACUAGAUCAUGUAUGUGGCAAGUCGGUAGAUCCCCUAUCUCAUUGAUAGCAAUUACCAAGCUACUGAGGUGACAUGCAUUAGAAAGGCGAUAGUUCAGCUUGUGUCCAGUUAUUUCCAAAGAACAGAGGUGUUUACCAGAAUGCCUUUUCAUUUUUGAACUAAACAGGAUGAAAUUGUUAGGCUCAAAGUGCUCCUUAUCAUUAUCAAUUCUUACCAUACGUGGCAUCAAAUGUGAAGAAGAAGAUGGAUCACUUGAACUUAUCUGCUCAAACAACUUUUCCUCUUUUGCUUUAAUCAAGCAAAAUUCAUGCACUAGAUCAUGUAGGUGGCAAGUCGGUUGAUCACCUAUCUCAUUGAAAGCAAUUACCAAGCUACUGGAAAUUAAAUUAUCCAAAUAAAUUUCCAUCACUUCUUCCAAACUCUUCAUCUCUGUCCGUUCCACAAGUCCUUUGGCACGCCAAAACGUUUUCAACCCAUCUCUGUUGAUUUCUUUGUCCUUCGGAUAACUUGCAAGGUAGAGAAAACAUGGCUUCAUAUGAUGAGGUAAAUGGUCAUAACUUAAUUCGAUAACCUUUAUCACAUCCACUUCACUGUUCAAAAUAAAGGAAUUCAAAUUAUUUCGAACUACAAGCCACACAGACUUUGUCUUUUCCAAACCUGCAAUGACUCCAGUAAUCAGAUCAACAACCAAAGGAAGUCCCUUACAAUUUUGGACUAUAUCUUUUCCAACAUCCAAUAGUUCAUCAGGGCAACUCUCUUUUCCAAAUGCCCCUUUCUCUAAUAACUCCCAACUUUCCUCUGAACUUAGCAAUCGAAGAUUAAGAGGAUCAGUGUUGCCCUUUCCAUGAAAAGCCACUUCCUUUUGUCGAGUCGUCAAAAUAAUUCUGCUUCCUUUCACAACUUCAGGGAAAGGUCUUGUUAGCUCAUCCCAUGUGUCAGUAUCCCACACAUCAUCUAACACAAUUAGGUACCUCUUUCCAUACAGUUGUUUUCGUAGGAGCCAGUAACUUGAUUGAAAAGUUUCAUCAGCAACUUCUUCUCGUCAUAUUCUUGGUCGAUUGUGCACCAUGCACGAAUGUCGAAAUGACUACAAACUUAUUCAUCAUUGUAUACUUUGUAUGCCAAAGUAGUUUUGCCCUAACCCGGCAUACCAGUGAUUGAGAUGACAUCUAGGUCUUUCGGUCCACUGGUGAGCUUACUAAUUAACCAGUUUGUCUCCUCCUUAAAACCUACAAUUAUUUUACCAGUUGUCAAUGAUUUUCUUUCAACUGGAUUCUUAGGAGUGUUUACAACAAUGAGGCUCUUGUUCUUCAGAAUCUCCUCAGGUAAAUUGGAGACUUCUUCUCUUAUAAGCUUGAUCUUUCUUAUGGUAAUGGGAAGUGAGAAAAUAAGAUGCAAGAGACUAUUAUCUCGAACAAUAAUUGAAUCAAUGACAUCUUUUGCCNNNNNNNNNNNNNNNNNNNNNNNNNNNNNNUUUCUUCCUUUAUCAAAGAAAUUGAAUAAGCAUCGGAAUCUAGCAAAUCAGUUAAGUGUCUGUGUAGCAGAUGCAUAAAGAGCGGUCCAUCACUCAUGGGGAAGCUCCAUUGACAUGGGUCCGGGACUUUCAGAUAAACAUAUUUGACAUCUUCCUUGAGGAGUUCAAUAAUUUUCAGCAAGUAUUGAGUUGCACGACUUGCUUCAUCGGUACUCUCUUUAUUCUUUGAUUUUUCUUCUAAGUCGUGAACGAGAGUUGAUACCUCCCUGAUAAGUGCUCCAACACGUGACAAAAGAUCAAACAAUUUAUCAUGAUGAAUAAAGUCCUUGGGCUCAUCAGUAAGAAUAAUUAAUAGGAACUCUAUCAUGACAUGAAUGUUUCGAGCCCCUGAAGUGUUUGCGGUAAUAACAGUUACCACUUGCUCUUGUAGAUGAAUAAGAUAUUCUCUCAGAACUUGCGGAGAGGUUUCAAGGAGUUGCUUAGUAAAGCGUCCAACUUCUACUGAUGGUUAAGCGUUCAAAUUUGUAUAACAUAUGUGCAUCACCUCCAGUUCAAUUGGAAUAAUCUUCAAGAGUAGAUGUGCUAGCUUGAAGAGUCAAUAGUCUCCAUCAGUCAAUCAUCCCAAAGGAAGAGUGCAACUCUCUCAGCCAUGAGUUUAAACUGAGGUAAGACAAAUUGAAUAAUUUCAUGCUCAACGCAACCAUUCACUUUCAACCCAUCGAAAUCUCUUACAUUUCCACAUACAUUCUGAAGAAUCUCAUACUGAGUCUCUAAUGGAAAUAUCUUUUCAGCACGAUACUUGGACAUAUGAUGGAGAUUCAGGAGGAGGAAGUUCAACUGCUCGUCAGUCAUGGUGGCACUUGAUGUAGAAUGAUGACAUGAACUGAUACAUUCAUCGAUAUUAUCCAUGAGGCUAGGAAGGACAUGAUCCACGUUGUAUUUACACCUGACGGUGUUGUCAACAUCAUCCAAAAUUGGUCUAAGCAGAUUAUCGACCUCUUGUCGUUUGCCAGUCAUUAUAUCUUCAAACUUUUUCAAAUCAGAAUAAGAAAGCUGGACGUACGUACAAAAAAAUGCCCGCAGCAAUUUUAGCUUUUCAAUUUGAUCAGCUAUAUCGACUGCAUUUUAACCUUUUUCAUUCUUUAACCUCUCCAUGAAAUCCAGAACGUUAACAACGUCCUUGCGUAGAGCAGAAAAUGACACCUGCCAAACGACCAAAUAUUAUAUCAAAAUUUUCAUAGCGAACAUAUAUACCAUGCAAAAUUUACUCUAUACAGGCAACCAACACGUUGCACAUGUAUUUUAUAUAUAUAUAUGCUUUAUCUUCUACGAAGAUAAUUCAAAUAACACAAAUCAAAAUAAUGGGAAAAGGUCUAAAUAUACUGCAAGACUUGAACCAAAUAUGCCCCCCGCCCCCCCCAAAGAAAAAGGGCAAUUUAUACCCGUGGCGUAACACCAAUGACUCCAAUAUGCCGUUUUUAACCAAAGGAAGUGAGAUAGUCGAUGUUAAAAAAAAAUUUCUAUUUUUUUUUUAAAACAAAAGCCACAUGGAAAAAUGGUCAAAAUUAACCCCCUCUACUUUCAAAACAUGUAUACAUUUAAGAGAUAAGCAUCCAAUACCUCCCCGAACUAUGACCAAAAUUGCUACAACACACUCCAACUUCACAGGGGUCCUAUUGCACCCUUUGUGCUGACGUGACACCUUAAUUACAUAAAAAGGGGUUUACGUCAAACGUGUUGUUGAGUUCAAAAUCGAGAGGGCGUCAUGCGGAAGCUUAAAGUUUGCAAAUCAAGAUGACGAUAAUUCAGAUGAUACAAUAUAAACUAAAAACAUAAUAUUAUUGGUAUAAUUUGGCCAACUGCCCUACACAUGAAAAACAAUAUUAAAGAAAACAUAAAACUAUUGGGAGAAAAUCUCCCCCUAAACAAGACUCGUAAAUGACUACAUUUUGGACUGUGUCAUGGUAUGAGAAGAGGGGUCUUCUAUUUAUAGAUGUCCAAAACCUUUUUUCCAAGAAAGAGUUUGCCAAAUAUGGAAAAGUUUUAUAUUUUUCUUUUAGGAAAAGUAAAAGUAAUUAUGGUAUUACUUUUUUUUUUUCAAGAAAAGUAAAACUUAAACUUGGUGAUAAAUUAGCUAACAGAUGUCAUGUUAGCUAAUAAGAUUGACAAAAGGUAUCACGUUAGCUAAACAGGUUGACAAAAAUAUGCUAAAAUUUAGUUAGGGGGUAAAGUUGAAGUGUUCGUCGCAAAUUUGAUUAUAGUUUAGGGGUACUAGAUGCUUUACAUUUAAUCUCCAUUUUACAAUCUGACCUUUCGGUAAAUUGUAUUUUCAGGAAAAUUAGCACAUAGUUCAAUGACUCAAAUGGGACAAAGGUUUUAUUUUGUGACUAUACUGAUACAACAAGUAAAGUUCAGUGAUUUUAGUGAGUCAAAAUUAGUUUAUAUACGUAGCUAAUGAACAGACACAUACAUAAGUAAAGUUCAGUGAUCAUAACUUACCGCAAAAUUGUUUGCUUUCCCUUUCUCUAUUUCUCCUUGUUUUUCCAUGACUGUAAGUGUCUUUCAAGUUUUACUAGCCAAAUUCUCCGGAUCUAAUGUAAAAAAGAAAGAAGCAUAAAAUUAAUUUCAUAGACGUUUUUGCACAUAUAAAUAGGUCAAUAUAAUCUAGCACCUGCAGUCACAUUCAAAAGUAAAGAAAAAAACUUUUUUCGCCAGUAAGGACGGAAGUACUCAGAAAAGGGUAAUCUAAGAAGACAAAUAUACUCCCUCAUUUUCUAGUUAUGUUUCUUUCUUUUAUCCUGUUUGGAAAAGAAUGCAUCAUUUUAAUUUCAACAUUCCCAUUGGACCAUUAAUGACGCUCUUUUGUGGGAAUGGCACAGCAGGUUUAAGACCACAAAACGAGACAUCAAUUCCACCUUGAGUUGCACAUGGUCAUCGUCACAAUCUGUUGGAUCUUGUGGGAGUUGCAGCUUUGGCAACUAGCCUCGCAGAAAUGGCUGUUGGAGCAAUAUCAAAUCUCUUAAGCGUCAAUACAACAGCACAUGCUAUAACUGUUAUACUGGGAGUUUGCUUUACAUAAAACAGACAAUGGAUUCCUCUUGGAUGACUUAGGCAGAUAAUGGACAGCAUCCAUGGACAGCAUUCGCAACUUUACUGAGAGUAUGGACUAUGGAGGAAUAAUAAAUUGUUAUUUUCGUUUGUACCUCGGGUACACAGAAUCAGUAUAUGUAGAACAAUAACUUCAACUAGAGUUCAAGUAUAAACAAGAACACAAUAAAGUAUAUCAAAUACCCUCAACACAAGAUCAAAAUGACCUUUCCAAGAGGUGUAUUUUAUUCUUUCAGAAAUUAAGAUGAAACAGAAAAUAGCCAAGUCGUCCGAAUUCACGGAGUUUCCUUAAGGAAAUAAUUCCCCUCACUAUACCCGAGGUUGUGGAAUUUUUCCUCCCAGGAUAAAAUGGCUAAACAGACCAACUGUAGCGGUACCUCAAACGGUUGGAAUAUCUUCGAACGCAAAGAACGUUUUGAUUAAUCAUACAGAGUAAUUUGGAAGACAAGAAGUGAUGUAUCAUUUCUAAAGCACCAGUUCACUUGAAACAGUGCGCAUGUAUAUAUAAAUGGAGGUUCGAAAGCAUUUUUCCUUGGCAUUCUUCGGAAUUCAAAUAAAGUUUGUCCAAAAAUUGGAAUAUCUUCGAACGCACAGAACGUUUUGAUUAAUCAUACCGAGUAAUUUGGAAGACAAGAAGUGAUGUAUCAUUUCUGAAGCACCAGUUCACUUGAAACAGUGCGCAUGUAUAUAUAAAUGGAGGUUCGAAAGCAUUUUUCCUUGGCAUUCUUCGGAAUUCAAAUAAAGUUUGUCCAAAAAGAUAGAUCUCAUCGAUCCAAAUCCAAAUCUGAGCUGAGCAAGCGACAACGACGCGAAGCAUCUCUUAUUCCUUGCCUCACUUAUCUAUGUGGGAGUGUGUUUCACAAUAUAAACACUUUAAAGCUUCUUUCUCCCACCAAUGUGGGAGAAUUUAGUAAGCUUUCCUAUUUUUGAGUACACUUUCCAUAUUGGUGUGAUCUCAAUUUUUCUCUUCCACUUGAUUUUUCUCCAUUUUCCAUUCACACUUCUCAUUUACUAUGAACCCAACAUAAAUGACACCAAAUCAUGGUGCUGAUGGGUUUAAUGCUUAUAAAAAGACAAUAUUUUUUUGGUUCGUAGGAGUGAACAUGUACAACUUUGUUAGCCUAAAAAAUAAUAAUAUGGGAAGCUUUAAUAAAGAAAAACACAUUUUGUUCAUUCCUCUUUUUUGCUACAUGUAUAGGUUAUACACUUAAAUAGAUAAGACCUGGAUAAACUUAUUGAAUAGGCUUGAUCCAUUAUAUGAGAAUGGAGCCAAAGAAUUUCUUCAUUUUGCGUCCUUAGAUAGCCCUAAUGCAUCUUUAAUCUUGUGUCCAUGCCGAAAGUGUCGUAAUAUGAAAUUUGUCAAAAAAGAUUUGAUUGUUGAACAUGUUGUGGUUGAUGGAUUUGUAACUGGUUAUACCUUCUGGAUUUAUCAUGGUGAGCAAUUAUAUUGUGGUUAAUGAAGUUCUAACUAGAUAUUCGGUCGGUCAACUAUGAAGUGGUGAGCCCUCUAUCUUUCGAAAGGCCUGGUCUCUCUUUUAGUUUUCAUCUAUUAUCCUAGAACUUUGAAUUUCCUUUGUCAUAAUCGGGGGCAUGUCCCGACUUAUUUGGUAUUCUUUGGAUUAGAGGCUUUUGUGGAGAGUAAUGAUGUAUCUUUAUGGAUGGGGUUUUGACUCUUAAAUAUAAAUUUUAUUUUGCUAUUUUGUUCUUUGGUUAUAAUAUUAGAAAAUAUUUACUUUACAUAUAUUUCAUGUGGUUGUUACUUAUGAAUGUACAGAUUAAAUUAAAUAUAAAUAUUUAUGUUAUGGGAAAAAUUAUAGAGAAUUUGUAUCCAUAUUUAAAAUGAUAGUGGCGUUAAUCUAAAUGCACUAAUAUUGAUGAUAAAUUUACAAUGUUCUAAAUAAAUGUCACUAAAUUUUACGACAUUAAUAUUUUAUUUAUUGACAUUAACUAAAAUGUUGGUAAUUUCAAUGCAACAUUUUAUGAACACAGCCUUUUUGCAUCCUUGUUUUUGUCUUAAGAAUCGAAGUACUAUAUAAAAAUGAGAGUUGUUGCCUCUUUAUGAUAUAUGAAAUGCGAAAUAAAUAUAUCUAGGUAUAUAAAUAAUCAAGACUUAUUGUCACGACCCGAGUCGGGGGCCUUAAGACUAUACUUCUUCUUAUGGACUCUGUGUUCAUAUUUUCCGCUCUGGGUCUAGACCCGCACAACUUUAAAACACAUCACUAGGGAGUAAGACUUGCUUACUUAUAUACCCAGUAUCCCUCCUGUAUUUUGCCGAUGUGGGACUUUUAUGGACUCAGCGUCCUCGCUGAGAUUUGUCUCACCGAAUGUGUUUUGCCAAUGUGGGACUCCUAUGAACUCAGCGUCCUCACUGAGCUUUCCCCCCACCAAAUGGGAUUUGCCAAGACUCAGGACUUAGGUUUUUCCCGCCUUAUCGAGAUUUGCCUAAACUAGUGAUAUUGUCUACUCUGGGUCUAGACCCGCACGACUUUAAAACGUGUCACUAGGAUAUACCCAACAUUUCUCCUGUGUUUUGCCAUGUAGGACUCACUAUCCUAAGUUGAGGUGUUACAUAUCUAGAUGGAGAAAUAAAAAAAUAGUAUCAAAUAAAAAUGAAAUGAAAAGAAGUUUGUUUCUUGUGAGAAAUUGUGAUUAGCUUUCUAACUAAAUUAAUCUAAACCCAACUAUCAAUCCUGUAAGUGUAACCUUUUGAACUUUGUUGCAGACAAGUGAUUAAUGUUUUUGCUUUUUAGACUUUCAUGGAAGUAGCACCAACUUACCUUUAUAAACUUUUUAAGAUAUGAUUUUUCUUAGUACUGAUCCUUAUUAAUGGUGGUUUUUCAAAAACAAUUUUGCCUCGUGUCAUCUUACUAGAGAUACACAUCAUUAAUUUAAAUUAUGGAAAAAGGAUCAAAUAUGCUAUCAGACUACCAGAAAUGACUCAUUUAUGCCAUCCGUUAAAAUUUCAAUAAUUUUUCCUUAAUUGAAAGGGAAUAAGAGAUGAAAAUUUUGUAGGGUUUUCAUCAGAUUUCACAUCUUCUAAGUGAACCUUUUAAUUUUCAUCGGACUUGAAUGUUAUUUUAAUGAAGGAAACCUUUAAUGAAUUAUUUUUUACUUUUUUAAAGCAAAACUCUAGAAAGUACAUAUAUUUGUGAUAGUCCUAUAUUAAGUUUUCUUUUAACAUCUAAAGGCUACGUGUAUCUUUUUAAUUAGGUGGCAGCAUUUGGUUGGAGUAUUAGUCCAUGUAGGAGCGAUUUUUAUGCAUAUGUGUUGCAAGAUUUAAUGGAUGACAUAAAUGAGCCAUUUCUGAUACUUCGAUGACAUAUUUGAGUCUUUUCUUUUUGUUUUAAUUAAAGAUGUGGACCUCUAGUAAGACGACACGUUAACAAGUAAUGACAUGGGUCCUGUCAAACACUCAAUUUUUAGGAUACAAUUGACCCACAAUUAUUUAGGGUUUUGAGUCAAGAAAUAUUGAAAUUAAUAUCAAAUUAGAGGAAUUCUUACCUUGGAUUUGUAGUAAAAAGAUGGAUUACACAAGUUGUUUAAGUUUCCAAUCAACCCACAAGACCAAUUUUUGAGUCACCACUCUUUUAGGGCUACAAGGGUUUUAAUAGAGGUGAAGAAUGCUCAAAAUCUGUCAAAAGCCCUUUUUUAUAAAGUUUUAGAUGGGCCCACAAGGUCAAAAUUUAUUUUUGACCGUCCGAACUCAUUUGGACUCCGUUUUUCGCAAAUGAACUAUGUAACCCCACUAAAUUCGACAUUCCGAACGCAUUGGUGAAGUCGAAUUAUUCAUACGAGAUUAUUUAGAUUAUUUGUGGGUCCCACACCCCUAUAUUUCGAUAUUUGACUUUUCGACUAAUUGGUCAAUAUGAGCUCGGGUGCUAUGGGAUGCGAACCAAGGGUCUAUUUAUCCUAAAAUUGAUCUUACAUAGAUGUUGGCACAGUCGAGAUUUGCAUGCGAAAUUAUUUUACUGAAAUUUCGUUCGGCGGACGUUUGGAAUCGAUGAAGACUUCCAAUUAUAAAAGUGGUUCUAAAAAUCAAACGAACCGUCAGGUAACCGAACUAUCAAUUCUAGCAAAUCACUAAUGACUUGAGAUGACUAUGGAGGAGCUAUAUCAGCAAAAUAAGCAAGAAUACGGCUAAUGACCUGAAGGGUCAUUACAAUUAGAAAGCAUUAUAGGAACAAUACUCUGCUUAAUUUAUACUCUGACCAGGGAAACCUUAUGGUAUCGUAUCAGAUGACACCUCUGAUGAUAACUUCAAAAUUAAUCCUUGGCAAUUUCUGAGUUAGCAGACAUUGACCAACAGGCAUAGAUCGCCAUUCCCCGCCAAAGCUAUGGAGAGCAUCCCUAGAUUCUUAGUAUGGGCCCCGAUGUAAUCAAACACCCGAUCUGUAAGGAGGCCAGAAAGGGCAAGUCGCCACGAUCCCUUGCAGUGAUGGACAAACAAUGGCCACAAAACCAGUAUGGAGCGGUCCAAGGGUUAGGUAAUCUGGAGUUUGAGGCUUGACUAAACACAAACGAAAACAAGUGGAGCUUAGGGCAGCCAGAUGAGACUGCUACAAGGCCUCUCUCAGUCAAGGAUACAUUCGUCAUCUUCAAUAUAAUCUAGCACCUGCAGUCACAUUUAGAAGGAAAGAAUAGAACUCUUUUCCAGUAAGGACGGAAGUGUAACAGAUAGGCUUCAUAUAUAGAUUAGAUUCCUAUUAGAUCUAAACUAAUCCAAACUAUGUAAGAAACCUACCCGUUACAGGAAGUACUUAGAAAAGGGCAAUCUAAGAAGACAAAUAUACUCCCUCAUUUUCUAGUUACGUGUCUUACUUUCUUUUAUCCUGUUUGGAAAAGAACGCAUCAUUUUAAUUUCAACAUUCCCAUUUGACCAUUAAUGAUGCUCUUUUGUGGGAAUGGUACUGCAGGUUUCAGACCAAAAAACGCGACAUCAAGCCCACCUUGAGUUGCAGAUGGUCAUCGUCACAGUCUGUCGGAUCUUGUGGAAGUUGCACCUUUGGCAACUAGCCUUGCAGAAACGGCUGUUGGAGCAAAUAUCAAAUCUCUUAAGUGUCAAUACAACGGCACAUCUUGCUAUUACUAUUAUACUGGGAGUUUGCUUUACAUAAAACAGACAGUGGAUUCCUCUUGGAUGACUUAGGCAGAUAAUGGGUUAUAUAUCCUUGCUCACAGCUAAAAUUCUUUGCUCACAGAUAUAUCCCACUUCUUGAUCACCUGAUGAUUUAUCACAAAUUACUGACGGUAUUUCUUGAAAGAUUUACAAAUCAGGAAUUACUUCAUGCAUUGCUUGACAUAAAACUGUUGGUCGAUUCUUCUUUGAUGGUCUAGGCAGAUGCUCGGGUGAUGUAUCUGUGCUACUCUUGAAUGAUUCUGAGCAACAGAUUUUCCAUCCUCAUCCUUAUCUUCCUGCAACGGCAAUUAUAUCCCAACACUGUCAAAUUUGUAUUUCAGAAAGCACUAAAGAAUUGACCAGUUCUGUUUCUAUAUAUAGAUAUAUUGAACAUAAGACUCUUAGCAUAAUUAUGAAACUGACGAUAACACACUUGGAAAAAACAUACACAAUAAAGGUCAGAUAGCAUUUCUCGGAACAUAACCAUAUGCAUCAGGGUUCUGAAGGCGAUAGACUUGUUGAAAUGUCACUCCAUGUAGUAUGUGCUUGUCUACCAAAGUUAAUGAACUUAAAGGCGACACCUGCAGAAAAGAAACCAUGGUUAGAAGAUAUUAGUGAUGAAAAUGAGAGUAUCCAAAGUUCGAAAAGAAUUAACCUUCAGGAAUAUUGUUAGAACCUCCAUUACGUUGGACUCAUUCGAUUUUGUCUGAAGUUUGAGAUGGCAUAGCCAGCAUCGAUAUAUUAAUAGGCACAUGAUGCCAAAUGAUGUACAACAACUCCAAAUUCUUAUCAAUGGUUGAUACCACUUCAGGUUGCCUUAGAAUUUGUCAAUGACUUCAGUAUCUGAAGAGUUUUACAUGUUUGUGAUGAUGGUAUUUCUUGAAGGAUAACUUUCAUCAUAUGGUAGAGAGGUUGCCGACCUUUUUUUUCACUUCCUUCUUUCCCAUAUAGCAGAGAGUCGGCAACUCCAAUUAUGUUUCAAAGAGACAUUUACAGUUGAAGUCGCUGGAGUCUGAUGGUAGCAAACUCGCAGUGCUAGACAAAGCAGCAGCACACAGACUAGAAGGUGAACUGAGCAUGGUGGAGGAGAUGGGGUUCUGCUUUUUGAAAGAAUGAAAGAAACUUUUACUCCGUAUUAUUUAUGCUUCAGAUUAUGAACUUUUGAAUGACAAUUCAUUAAACAUAUGUACAACAUUUAAUAUGGAUGACUAUCGUAUGACGUAUCGAUGAGUUGUUUGUUUCUUCCUCCUUUAUUUCUCCUUCAUUUUCUUCAUUCUACCAGAGUAACUUCUCCUUCCCUUCCUUUCAUGAUCUCAGGACCUGAUGUAUAUAAAACAUGCAUAAAAUGUCAUUUUUAAGAUAUUGAUCAAGGUCGAACAUAAAAUGGUGUUUACAGAACGCUAUCCCAAAAUGUUAAUUUACACACACACACACAAAGAAGAGUAGUAAAGAAGAAAACAGAAGACCCAAAUAUUCAAUGCAAUCCCUUCUGAUCCAAAUAUUCAAAUCCAAUAGUUUUGGCUUGUAUGUGCAUUAAAAAAUAUCCACUAAAUAAAUAUCUGCACAUUAUCCCUUUUUUAUACACAUUGUCGUCUUAACUUGUUUGGAUCCACCCCAACCCAAUAUCUGCUUGCUCUUUUAAAGCUUAUUGUGAUGAAACGGGAUCACAUCAUCUACUCAUUUCUACUUAACGUUCACAAAAAGUUCAGUUGAGAAUUUCAUCAAAUACAUUGUAAAUUUUGUUUCUAAGAAGCAAACUAAUAGAGAAGAACCUGUCUUAGAUAAUGGGAUAUUAUUCGGGCUAAGGAUCUGAAGCUUGUCUUCUCCUGUGAUAUCUUCAACAUAUUGUUUAAUCUCCAGAGCAGAAUCUUCAAGUUGAGGGCUCUCGUCAAGUUGGAUAAUUUUUAAUGAACCAAUAUCCCCAAAAUUAGGCGGAAUCUCUGUAAGCUUACGACAUCUCCAUAGUGCUAAUUUCUCAAGAACGGGAAAGGAUUCCUCUCCAAACUCCCACUUAGCAAGAGUCACUUCAUUUAAUCCCAAAUAUUUGAGAUUCUCAAAGGUGUCUCCCUCCCCCAUGUUUCAUUCUCCCCCCUCGAUGAUUGUUCUAAUAAGGCCCAGCUCUUCAAGGUUGGGCAGUCUCGCUAUUGUUGAUAGUGAAAAGUCAACGCCAAUUUUUUCAAAUUGGAAGGGAAAUGAAAAUUCCACAACCAAUUUGUCGCUAAAGAGGGCCCACUGUCAUUUGUGUUUGAACUUUUAAAAUCUACUCUGAGGAGUUCUAGUUCAUGAAGGAAAUCCAAUUUCGGGAAAGACAUGCAUCAGAAUGACAAUCUUUCAUCUCAUCUCCCGUUAUCUCCAAAGAAUAGAGGUGUUUACCAGAAUGCCUUUUCAUUUUUGAACUAGACAGGACGAAAUUGUUAAGCUCAAAGUGCUCCUUAUUAUACUCAAUGUUUACUAUGCGUGGCAUCAAAUCUGAAGAAGAAGAUGGAUCACUUGAACUUAUCCAUCGAAACAACUUUUCCUCUCUUGCUUUUAUAAAACAAAAAUCGUGCACAAGAUCAUGAAUUUGGAAAGUCGGGUGAUUACCUAUCUCAUUGAAAGAAAUUACCAAGCUACUGGAAAUUAAAUUAUCGAAAUAAACCUCCAUUACUUCAUUCGCACUCUUCAUCUCUCUCUGUUCAUCAAACCCUUCAGCACGCCAAUACAUUUUCAACAUAUCUUUUUCAAUUGCUUUGUCCUUUGGGAAACAUGCAAGGUAAAUUAAGCAUGGCUUCAGGUGAUAUGGUAAAUGGUCAUAACUUAAUUCUAUAACCUUCCUCACUCCCUGUUCACUGUUCAAAUUAAAGGAAUUCAAAUUAUUUCAAACUUCAAGCCACACAGCCUUUUUCUUUUCCAAACCUACAAUGACUCCAGCAAUCAGAUCAGCCACCAAAGGAAGUCCCUUACAAUUUUGGGCUAUUUCUUUUCCAACAUUCAAUAGAUCAUCUAACACUCUAAUAACUCCCUAUAAUUUUGGGCAACUCUCUUUUCCAACUUUUCCAAAGGAAGUCCCUUAUAAUUUUGGGCAACUCUCUUUUCCAAAUGCCCUUUUCUCUAAUAACUCCCAACUUUCCUCUAAACUCAGCAAUUGAAGGUUAAGAGGAUCAGUGUUUCACUUUCCAUAAAAAGCUGCUUUCUUUUCUCGAGUCAUCAAUAUAAUUCUACUUCCUUUCUCAACUUUAGGAAAAGGUCUGGUCAACUCAUCCCAUGUAGUAGUAUCCCAUACAUCAUCUAACACAAUUAGAUACCUCUUUCCAUGCAAUUUUCUCCGUAGCUCAUCAGCAACAUCAGUAUCCUCACAGAACUUCAAAUCCAAGCCAGUAACCUGAUUGAAAAGUUUCACCAGCAACUUCUUCUCGUCAUAUUCUUGGUCGACAGUGCACCAUGCACGAACGUCGAAAUGACUACAAACCGAUUCAUCAUUGUAUACUUUGUACGCGAAAGUAGUUUUGCCCAAACCCGGCAUACCAGUGAUUGAAAUGACGUCAAGAUCUUUCAACCCACUGGUGAGCUUACUAAUUAACCAGUUUGUCUCUUCCUUAAAACCUACAAAUAUUUUAGCAGCCGUCAAUGGCUUUCUUUCAACUGUCUUCUUGAUACAGUUUACUACAGUGAGGCUCCUGUUCUUGGGAAUCUUCUCCGAUAUACUGGAGACUUCUUCUUUGAUAAGCUUGAUCUUUUUUAUCGUAAUGGGAAGUGAGAAAAUAAGAUGUAUGAGACCAUUAUCUCGUACGAUAAUUGAAUUUAUGACAUCUUUUGACUCAUAUGCCACAUCUAAAACACGUGCCAGAGAUCUGUAUUCAAUUCUUGCUCAAUUGCCAGACACAUUCAUUAGAAUCUCAUACUGAGACUCUAAUGGAUAAAUCUGUUCAGCAUGAUACUUGCAUCGAUGAUGUAGAUUCUGGAGGAGGAAGCUCAACUGCUCGUCUGUCAUGGUGGCACUUGAUGUAGAAUGAUAACACGAGCUGACACAAUCACCAAUAUUAUCCAAGAGGCUUGGAAGGACAUGAUCCAUGUUGUAUUUACACCUAAUGUUGUUGUCAACAUCAUCCAAAAUUGGUUGAAGGAGAUUCUCAACCUCUUGUCUUGACUCACUCAUUGCAUCUUCAAACUCUUCCAAAUCCCAAAAAGCUGGACAUAUGUACAAAUCACUCAAGUUUCAGCUCUUCAAUUUGAUCCACUAUGUCAACAACAGUUUGAUCUUCUCCAUUCUUUAACCUCUCCAUGAAAUCUAGAACGUUGACAAUGUCCUUGCGAAGAGCUGAAAAUGACACCUUAGUUGGUCAUCUAUAGUUGUGUCUACAGAAUGUUGCGGCGCGGCGAAGAUAUUGAUGAUGGAGGAAUAUUAUUUUUUUUCGAGAAUGUAAUUCUUGGAUGACAGAAUCAGUCUCCAAGUGGGAGAAUUGUUGGGUUGUGGAGCCUGAUUAAUAUGUGAUGUACCGUUAUAUAUUAAUGUUCACCCAAAUUUUAGGUUGUACUGUUCAUUCUCAUUUCUCUGUGUAAAUGUACAUACUCUGAAUCAAUAAUAUAAAUAGCCCGUCCGCCGUGGAGGUUACCCACGGGUGUUACACGAAAAAUAUUUCUCUCUCUUUCUCCUCACUUACUCUCUCUCUCAUCUUUUUCAUCCUCGCCGCAGAUCUAGUGUGUGUAUGCAAAUCGAUCCUAACAUUUCUCUCGGAUAUGGAUUUUGCUUCAUUUUUUAUUACUUCCCCAAACCUGUUGACUUUCGUGCCGUGCCGACUCGCGUCUGUUGGAAACCAGCAAUAAGUCUGUGGGUUACCGUGCCGACUUGCAUCUGUUGGAACUGUGGACGGGAAGAAAUGCUAGGUGUUUUGAAAGGAAAGCUUUCUCUGUACUAAGGUUUACAAAUGUCUUUAGCUUAUGGCUUUUUGAUGCAACUUGCAGGAUGUAAAGGAUGAAAACAGUAUGUUCGAUUUCAUCAAUUCACUACAGGAAUAGAUUUCAGUAUAGAUUGGCUGCCCCUCUUUUUGUUUUUGCAUGGGGGGAUAUUCUGCUUUGUGCCUACAGAGCACCUUCUCAGCGCUUUGCUGUUAAUCUCAAUAUACUUAAAUGCCAGUUCUUUCUUUUGUGUAUUGCUUUUCCCCCUUACUUUUGGGGUUCUCUGGGUAACAAGAUUAAAGGUAUUUCAUGAAGAUAUCAGUGUAUCAAUUUUUAAUUUUUAUUUUUUUAAAAACACUAUUAGAGACUAAUCUUUUAAAUUGAUGAAAAUAUUGUCACGACCCAAACCAGGGCCUGGCCGUGACGAGCAUUUCAAACCAUGGAGGCCCGAAACACCCCUAUCUGAUAAUCAUGCACAUAAUUCAUAUGAUCAAAGUAAUGUGGAAGAAACACAAUAUAACGGAAACAUGGUCAAGAAUCAUAUGAAAAUGACAAUGGGGAAUAGUGUCCCACAAUCUAAAUCAACAUCUCUAAAACCGUCUGCGAAAUCUCUACUACAUGACUGAAACAAUGUCUAUCUGAAAACUGGGACAAGGCCCCCAGCAGACCCAAAAACUGAAUAUAAGGUAAAAGAACUGCAGGACAUAAGACCUUCCGAAACAUAGAAGGCUCACCACUUGUCUCUACAGCUCUGUCUGAAAGUUCUACUAAUUUUUUUGACCCCUAGACUAGGCCUCUGAACCUGAGAGGUUGGAGAGGGGAGGGGGCCAGCACAAAAGUACUGGCACGAAGAGAUAUCAAAGCAAAACAUAAUAUUUUUUCAAAAUAUAGUUGAGAGCCAUUAUAAAGCAAUUUCGUAUCAAAUCAUUAUAAAACACAUGGGUGUAAUGCAAUAGUUUUUCUCAACAAUAAUGAAAUGCAACUGAGCUAGGUGGAAUAUCCUACAUAAUUUACACCAACUGUCAAACCUCGGUUGCCGCCGAGAUUAGAGUAUAAGUGAGGAAGAGACACAGAAGACCACAAAGCAUGGCGUCUCAACCCAAAUCAAAUAUGGUAGUGCACAAGACCACAAAGCAUGGCUCCUAACCAUAAUCCCAAUUUGGGAUAAUAUAAUAUCAGAUACACAAGACCACAAAGCAUGGUACCGAUAUUCCGUGUCGGCAAACACGUUCUUCCAGCGAUGAGCCGCUUGUGUCUCAAACGCCUUCUUCGGGCAUCCACCUUUCCAAUGUAAAAUCAAUGCAUUCAAAUUUCAUNNNNNNNNNNNNNNNNNNNNNNNNNNNNNNNNNNNNNNNNNNNNNNNNNNNNNNNNNNNNNNNNNNNNNNNNNNNNNNNNNNNNNNNNNNNNNNNNNNNNNNNNNNNNNNNNNNNNNNNNNNNNNNNNNNNNNNNNNNNNNNNNNNNNNNNNNNNNNNNNNNNNNNNNNNNNNNNNNNNNNNNNNNNNNNNNNNNNNNNNNNNNNNNNNNNNNNNNNNNNNNNNNNNNNNNNNNNNNNNNNNNNNNNNNNNNNNNNNNNNNNNNNNNNNNNNNNNNNNNNNNNNNNNNNNNNNNNNNNNNNNNNNNNNNNNNNNNNNNNNNNNNNNNNNNNNNNNNNNNNNNNNNNNNNNNNNNNNNNNNNNNNNNNNNNNNNNNNNNNNNNNNNNNNNNNNNNNNNNNNNNNNNNNNNNNNNNNNNNNNNNNNNNNNNNNNNNNNNNNNNNNNNNNNNNNNNNNNNNNNNNNNNNNNNNNNNNNNNNNNNNNNNNNNNNNNNNNNNNNNNNNNNNNNNNNNNNNNNNNNNNNNNNNNNNNNNNNNNNNNNNNNNNNNNNNNNNNNNNNNNNNNNNNNNNNNNNNNNNNNNNNNNNNNNNNNNNNNNNNNNNNNNNNNNNNNNNNNNNNNNNNNNNNNNNNNNNNNNNNNNNNNNNNNNNNNNNNNNNNNNNNNNNNNNNNNNNNNNNNNNNNNNNNNNNNNNNNNNNNNNNNNNNNNNNNNNNNNNNNNNNNNNNNNNNNNNNNNNNNNNNNNNNNNNNNNNNNNNNNNNNNNNNNNNNNNNNNNNNNNNNNNNNNNNNNNNNNNNNNNNNNNNNNNNNNNNNNNNNNNNNNNNNNNNCGUCGCUUAUCACUUGGAAAGGUCAUAACUUCUUGCUCGGGUGUUGGAUUUUAGCCAAAUUGGUAUCGUUGGAAAGCUAAAUCUAAUACCUAUCAUUUGACACAUAGUAGGCUUCCUAAUUCGACAUAUACAGAGAAUUAUGGUCGAUGGAAGCUGACACACUUUACAACGUCCACUAAAACUUAGUCGACCGAAAUAGUUUCAACUCGUCCUUGAGUUGAAGGACCUCUAUGGUCUAAAUUCAAGCUUGAGCGGAUUCACAUACUACACAAUAAUUAACAUGCCGUAUUGGCAUAGGAUUUUAUGGCUUCGGAAUUAGCAACGCAUCGAAAUCAUGGUUUUUAUUCUAGCCCAAAAUGCGGGGCGUUACAAAUAUCUUCUGCUUUACUUUUAUUAUUCAUCCGGCAACUUCAAAUUGUGGGGAGAUGUUUGGUUUCGGGGUAGUGAAGAAAAUAAUUUUAGUAUUGAAGAUAAUUGUAGAAAAAAACCAUGCAUGGUGUUUUUAAAAAGUCUAGAAAGUAAAAGGAUGAAGCAAUGGAUCCUCACAGCUUGUCUACCACAAGUCUAAAAGGAUAAAGAAGAGUAAGCUAAUCAAAGUGAUAAGCAUCCAGUACCCCUUCAAACUUUGAUCAAAGUGGCUACGACAUACUUCAACUUCACAGGGGUUCUAUUAUCUCCAAACUCAAUUUUAGCGUGUUUUUCAUGACACCCUUAUUACAUAAAAUCAUGCCUACAUCAAAGGUUCUACAUCAGCUAUAAAGGCUGACAAAAGAUGUCAUGUCAGCUAACAAGGUUGAUAAAAAUAUGCUAAAAUUUAGUUCAAGGGGAUAAUAGAGACCCGUGAAGUUAGAGUGUGUCGUAGAAAAUUUGAUCAUAGUUUAGGCGGUACUACAUGUUUUACUCUUAAUCAAACUCUCAAUAGUUUGCUCACUUUAUAUUAUUUCCUUCAUUUCAUUUUAUUUGACACUAUUUUCUCAUUACAUCGUCAAAAUAAUAUUAACAUUCUUAAUUAAAAGCUUUUAUAUUCACACAAAUAUUAUGACAUGUGUUAGAGUUUGUGACCCGAAUUUUGUUGAUCCAGUCCUAAAAACAUCGCGGUGCGACCCAUGUUUGAGAUUUUUUGGGGGGUCUGUGCUGGUAGCGGAGGGGUCAGGCCUAUAGUGGGUUGAUUUUGGGCUUAGAAUUUAUUUGUACGCGCGUACUAUAUAGUGUAUUUCCUCCUCCUCUGCUUGUGGCUUUUCCCGUCAAGGGUUUCUACGUAAAAUCUAUGUGUUCUUAUUUUCUUUUGUUUAUGGUAUUGCUUAUUCCUGUCUGUUCAAUGACAACGUGUUUAUUGUAGGAACCAAAUAAUCAUACGUCAUGAGAAAACUAAUCAAGCAAACCAUCGAAAGAAGGAAGCUAAAGUCUAUAAAGGAAAGAGAACAAAAGGCAAUCAAACUUCUGAAUUUGUUAUAAUCUUACCUUUUGACCACUUAAUGUUCGGUAAACCAAGAUUGUUAGAACACCUCUUGUUUGAGAAAUAGUUAGUUAGAAAGAAAUUGGCUAAAACAAGUAUUUGGAAAGUUCACCAACAGAAAGAAUAAUCAAAUUUCAAGAUUAUUAGAACAGUAUGAGAUUCAAUUUUAAUGGGGCUUACCUGUCUGCCACUUAGCACAGUGAUUUGAUUAUAAAACUAUGUAUUUACAAAAGAUGUGUGAAACAAACAAAUCAACAAAUGAAACUGUGUAGUUAUAAAAGUUUCUAAGUUUCCUAACAGAUAAGGCACAGGAUCGUAUCAUAUACUCAUUGCUACAUAAUAUUAACAAAUAGUUGUAAGUGGUUGUGCCUAUUCACUUUGGUGGCACAUUGGAGGAUCUAUAAAAGACAUAGGUUGUUCAAUUGGAAUAUUUCUACAAUUCCAAUAUAAAACUACAAUUGAAUUCUCCUCAGUUGAAUGAAGGAGAUCUAAUGAUCAUUAGAUACAACAUCCCUCAAAUUUAAAAUAAUUAUCGAUGACUGAUUCUUGGUGCACGUAAAUUCCACCACCCUGCAUCACCAACAGUUGCAGUGAACGCGCAUGGUCAAGGGAGAAAUUGAUGGUGUAUGAGAUUCAAAAGCCUUCUUCAAUAACCUUUAGCUCCCAUGUUCCGUCGACUACAACAGCACGUUAAACCUACCCAAGGGACUCGAGCUACAAAAUUGUGGAGAAAGAUCAGUGUAGAACUGAUAACUACAGUCCUCCUAUGUAGAACCUGCUGCAUAUUCAUCAACGGUCCAAGUGGAAUCAGUCAUGCCGAACCUCCGUCCUGCCACUGUCCUGUAAAUGAAGAAUUUCUCGACCGGGAAACUUUCUGGUCUAGUGUCCGGAUGACCUUAACACUUGGAAACCUCUGAGCUAGCAGAAAACACGCGACAUAACUUAAUGAACAAGAAGACAUCCAAAGAUACCGCAUCGUCUCCAGCUUUGACUUACAGCCUUGCCGCCAAAGGAGCAGUCUCAUAUGUCCAAGCAGAGGACGUUGUGGAGGCCUAGAUAUACGAAGAGCAUCUCUAGAUUCUUAGCACGCGAUCUGUAAGGAGGCCAAAAAGGGAAAGUUGUCGCAAUCCCUUGCAGUGAUGGACGAUGGCGUCAAAACCAGCAUUGAGCGGUCCAAGGGUUAGGUAAUCAGGAGAUUGAGGCUUGACUAAACACACACAAAAUCGGAUCAUGUUAGGAUGGUUCCUUGCAAUAGUAACUAAGGCGGCAUUUGUCAUUUUGCGGCAGAAGUGUAGAACUGAGUGGAGCUUAGGGAAGCCCGCGGAGAUAGCUACAAUGCCUCUCUCUGUCAAGGAUACAUUCAGUUCUUGCGCAUAAGGAAAUGCCCUAUGGUUUCAAGGUCCUUACAAUAGGUGGCAAUAUCCUCAAGACUGAUUUCGUCAACAUAACCACGCACCUGCAGUCACAAUCAGAUGCAAACUAAGAUCAAAACUUUUUUGUAAGGACAAAAGUACUCUGAAAAAGAGUAACCUACAAAGCAAAUAUACUCUCUCCAUUUCAAUUUAUGCGUGUUACUUCCUUUUUAGCCUGUUAAGAAAAGGGCACAUCUCUGUAUUUAGUAUGAUUUUAAUUCCAACAUUGUCAUUUUACAUUUAAUGAUACUCCUAUGUAGGAAUGGUAUUGCAUGUCUAAGACCAACAAUUUUCUCUCGGAAAUUUUUGCUUUUGCGACUAGACAACAUGUUCAUGAAGGUAGAUGAUUAAUAACCGUGAUAAAUUCUUCCAUUUUAUCACAAACACAGUUAUUGUAUCUAGUCUCGAAAGUAUCAAAAAUGUAUAAAACUAUACAAAAGAAAAAUCAAGCUAGAACUUACCGACAGCCACUGCAACUUGUAAGACUGUCUGAUCAUCAUACCAAGAUCAGGGCUUAAAACCAAAGGCGCGAGGCUAUGGUGAACAUGACAUACAAGUGAAAAAAUAGGCUGGCACUGCGUCCCAAAACCUGCUCAAGCCGUCGAGUUUAUAGCUGUCUUGAAAAGCAUACUGCAAAUUUAUCUGAACUCCGUCAGGAUCUGCCUGUACGCCAGCAAAGUAACAAAAUACAACCAACUGGGUAGCAUGGAGAAGAAUGUUAGGAAGAGCUUAGAGUCCUCAAAUUAGUGGCUUUUCCUGCGUUGAUGUAUCAAAAGGAAUAUCAACUUACUGUUGCAGAAGAGGCCAAAUGUUGUACAGCUAGCACCUAUUUGAACAUAUUGACCAUUACACACAGCAGCCCCUCAACUCCAAAUGUUCAUCGGUGGCUGAUUUGUUGUGCACGUGAAUUCCACCAUCCUGCAUAUCACAAUUCAAACUCUUUGCACGCACAUAUUCCACUUCUUGUUGCAUUGGGAUUUCACAUAUUUGUGAUGAUGAUAUCUCUUGAAAGAUUUACAAAAACUUGAAAAAACUGAAAUGAGUUGGAAAGAAAUAAACUUUUAUUAUUUAUGCUUCAGAUUAUGAACUAUUGACUAACAAUUCUUUAAACAACUGAUGGCUAUUGUUUGACGUAAAGAAGAGUUGUUUGUUUUCAUUUUCUUUUCCUAUUUCCAUGAUUGUACUUUCCAAUAGUCAAUACCAAAGUAACUUCCCCUUCUAUUUCUUUCAAUGUUCUCACGAUCUGAUGUAUAAAAUGUGCAUAAAAUUUUAUUAGGUGGAAGAAGUUAGAAUAGAAGAAAACUGAAAUAAGUAAAGAAUACAAGAAUAUAGCUAGAUUUGAUACUUAUUUUUUCGAGUUACCAAGGUCAGGGCCAAAUGUAAAUUUUUAUACAUGUAAAUGAGAUGAAGAAACAAAACAACAAAUACUUGCUAAAUUUUGACUUAGUAUUAUUCACGAACAGACAGUUCAUCAGACAUAUAGUAGACAUCAAACAUAAGAACCGGAACAGCACACGUAUAUAAUAGAGAAGAACCUGUUAUGGUUGUGCUCAAGGCUUCCCCCACAUAAUUCUUCAAGCUACUUAAAUAAUGGGAUAUUAUUCGGGCCAAGGACCUCAAAAUCCCGUCCCAUAAUAUCUUCAACAUAUUGUUGAAUCUCCAGAGCUGAAUCUUCAAGUUAAGGGCUCUCGUCAAGUUGGAUAAUUUUUAAUGAAUCAAUAUCCCCAAAAUUAGGCGGAAUCUCAGUAAGCUUAUGAAAUCUGGACAGUUCUAAUUUCUCAAGCACGGGAAACGCUUCCUCUCCAAACUCCCACCUAGCAAGCGUCACUUCUUCCAACACCAAAUAUUUGAGAUUCACAAAGGUGUCUUCCUCCCCCAUGUUCCAUUCCUCCCCUUGGAUGAUUGUACUCAUAAGGAACAACUCUUCAAGGUUGGGCAGUCUCGCUAUUGUUGAUAUUGAAUCUGAUGCCAGAGGAAAGUCAUACAACACCAAUGUUUUCAAAUUGGAAGGGAAGUGAAAAUCCCACGACCAAUUUGUCGCUAGAGAGGCCCCACAGUCAUUUGCAUUUGAACUUUCAAAAUUUGCUCUAAGGUAAUCUAGUUCAGCUAAGUGAUCCAAUUUCGGGAACCAAUAUCGCUCUUUUGAGUAAUCCCAUGAUUCCUUGAGAUCAAAUACAAGACUUUGAAGAUUGGGAAACCUUAUGAAAAUAUCCACUAUUUCUUUUGAAUAGGAAAGCAUGAGCGUCCUUAAAUCUCUCAAGUUCUCUAACUUCGAGUGCUCUGCUAUAAGUAUUGGUUCAUCUAUAUCCAUAUCAAAGAAAGAACAAGCAGUCAUGAACAACACUCGCAACUUUGCAAGAUCCCAAAUACUAGGUAAUAGUACCAAAGUUGAUCCUUUGUUUUCAACCCAUAGGGUUUCUAGAUUCCAAAGGUUUGAGAAACAUGAAGACAGAGAUUUAACUUCUGUCCCAAUGUAUAAGAACCUCAAGUGAUUCAACAUGCCUAUUUCAUUCAGCAAAGAAUCUGUCACCAUCAUAAACAGGGAAGCAGGGUCAACACUCUAAGAAGCCUCAAGUUUCUUAGGUGACUUGCAUCAGAAAGAAGAUCUUCCAUCUCGUUUCCAGUUAUCAUCAAAGAACAAAGGUGCCUUUUCAUUUUUGAACUGAACAGGACGAAAUUGUUCAGAUCAAAGUGCUCCUUAUCAUCAUCAAUAUUUACUGUGCGUGGCAUCAAAUGUGAAGAAGAAUAUGGACCACUUGAACUUACCCGUCCAAACAAGUAUUCCUCUCUUGCUUUUAACAAACAAAAGUCGUGCACAAGAUCAUGAAUUUGGCAAGUUGCUUCAUCACCUAUCUCAUUGAAAGCAAUUACCAAGCUACUGGAAAUUAAAUUAUCAAAAUAAACCUCCAUCACUUCUUCCACACUCUUCAUCCCCGUCUGUUCGACAAGCCCUUCAGCAUGCCAACACCUUUUCAACUCGUCUUUGUCCAUUGCUCUGUCCUUCGGAAAAGAUGCGAGGUAAAUUAAGCAUGGCUUCAGGUGAUGAGGUAAAUGGUCAUAACUUAAUUCUAUAACUUUCAUCACAUCAACUUCACUUUUCAAAAUAAAGGAAUUCAAAUUAUUUCGAAUUUCAAGCCACACAGACUUUGUUUUUUCCCUCCCUGCAAUGACUCCAGCAAUCAGAUCCGCCACCAAAGGAAGUCCCUUACAAUUUUCGGCUAUUUCUUUUCCAACAUUCAAUAGUUCAUCAGGUCAACUCUCUUCUCCAAAUGCCCUUUUCUCUAAUAACUCCCAACUUUCUUCAGGUCUUAGCAAUCGAAGGUUAAGAGGAUCAGUGUUGCACUUUCCAUGAAAAGCCACUUUCUGUUGCCGAGUCGUCAAAAGAAUUCUAAUUCCUUUCUCACCUUCAGGGAAAGGUCUUGUUAAAUCAUCCCAAGUAGUAGUGUCCCAUACGUCAUCUAACACAAUUAGGUACCUCUUUCCAAGCAAUUUUUUCCGCAGCUUAUCAGCAACAUCAAUAUCCUCACUGAACUUCAAAUCCGAGCCAGUAACUUGAUUAAAAAGUUUCAUCAACAACUUCUUCUCAUCAUAAUCUUGGUCGACUGUGCACCAUGCACGAAGGUCGAAACAACGACAAACUGAUUCAUCAUUGUAUACUUUGUACGCCAAAGUAGUUUUGCCCGAACCCGGCAUACCAGUGAUUGAAAUGACAUCUAGAUCUUUCGAUCCACUGGUGAAUUUACUAAUUAACCAGUUUGUCUCCUCCUUAAAACCUACAAUUAUUUUACCAUUUGUAAAUAACUUUCUUUCAACUGGAUUCUUGGGAGAGUUUACAACAAUGAGGCUCUUGUUCUUUGGAAUCUUCUCCUGUAAUUGGGAGACCUCUUCUUUGAUAAUGUUGAUCUUUUUUAUGGUGAUGGGAAGAGAGAAAAUAAGAUGCAAGAGCCCAUUAUCUCUUACGAUAAUUGAAUCAAUGACAUCUUUAGCCUCAUAUGCCACACCUAACACACGUGCCCAGAGAUCUUUAUACAAUCCUUGCUCAACAUUCACGAUGAACGAUCUUAUGAAUUUGAGGGCUUCUUUCACCAACUCAAUUUCUUCCUUUAUCAAAGCAAUUGAAUAAGCAUUGGAAUCUAGUAAAUCAUUUAGGUGUUUGUGUAGAAGAUGCAAGAAGAGAGGUCCAUCGCUCAUGGGGAAGCUCCAUUGACAUGAGUCCGGGGCUUUCAGAUAAACAUAUUUGAGAUCUUCCUUGAGGAGUUCAAUAUUUUUCAGCAAGUCUAGAGCUGCACGACUUGUUUCAUUGGUACUCUCUUCAUUCCUUGAUUUUUCUUCUAAGUCGUGAACAAGAGUUGAUACCUCCUGAUAAGUGCUCCAACACAUGCCAAAAGAUCAAAUAAUUUGUCAUGAUGAAUAAAGUCCUUCGGUAUAUCAGUAAGAACAAUUAAUAGGAACUCUAUCGUGACAUGAAUGUUUCGAGCCACUGAAGUGCUAGGGGAGGUAACAGUUACCAUGUGCUCAUGUAGAUGAAUCAGAUAUUCACUAAGAAUUUCUGGAGAGGUUUCUAGGAGCUGCUUGAUGAAGCAUCCAACUUCUGCUGCUGGUGAAGGUUUUAAAUUUGUAUAGCAUAUGUGCAUCACCUCCAAUUCAAUUGGUAUAAUCUUCAUACGUAGAUGAGCUAGCUUGAAGACUUUAGAGUCAUUACUAGUUAGAUCAUCCCAGAGGAAGAUUCCAACUUUUUCAUCCAUACGUUGAAGUUGGGGUAGGACAUAUUCGACAAUCUCGUGCUCAACAUAACCAUUCAAAAUCAACCCAUGGAAAUCUCUUAUGUUGCCACACACUUUCUGAACAAUCUCAUACUGAGUCACCAAUGGAAAAAUCUGUUCAGCAAGAUACAUGGAUAGAUAAUGGAGAUUCUGGAGGAGGAUGUUCAACUGCUCGUCAGUCAUGGUGGCACUUGAUGUAGAAUAAUGACACAAACUGGUACAAUCAUGAUAUUAUCCAUGACGCUAGGAAGUACAUGAUCCAUGUUGUAUUCACACCGGCCGUCGUUGUCAAUCUCAUCCAAAAUUGGCCGAAGCAGAUUCUCAACGUCUUGUCUUGAAUCACUCAUUUCAUCUUCAAACUCUUCCAAAUCACAAUGAGAAAGCUGGACGUACGUACAAAUAAAUGCCAGCUCAAGUUUCAGCUCUUUAAUUUGAUCAGCCAUGCCAACAGCAUUUUGAUCUUCUUCAUUCUUUAACCUCUCCAUGAAAUCCAGAACGUUGACAACGUCCUCGCGAAGAGCAGAAAAUGACACCUGCCAAAUGACCAAACCAAUGUUUUAUUUAUUUUCUAUAUUUAUCAUAAUAUCAAGGAAAUAAACAAACCCAUUAAGUUGAAGUCUUCCAUUUAAUUUCAUGUCAGGAAGGAAAAAUUUGUACAUUGGUUUGUACGACUGUGGGGUUUAUCAACAAUUUCCUAUACCUGAAAAUUUGGCUAUUAAGCCUCUUCAAGUUUCAAAUUAGCAAAAUGACCUACUUCUAUUUGCUCAUCGGUCGGAUUGAUAAUCGAACUGUCCAUAUAUAGGUCGGAUCAAUAAUCGAUUUGUCGAAGUUUGGAUCGAUAAUCGAUCUGUUUGAUUGAUAAUCGAUCUGCCUAUAUGUCGUUCGGAUAGAUAAUAGAUCUGUAUCAAAAAUGGGUCAUUUCCCUUAAAAAAAAAAGACUUGUAGUCUAUUUAAUUAAAAAGAAGACUUGAAAAAGCCAUAUAACAAAAGAUUUAAUACAUUUUGGUUGUAGUUGGAUUUUUGAAGAAAUUAAAAUAAUUGUUGAUAUGUUUUUUUCCUAUCCCCGAAAUUUGACUUUCCUGUGAAUUAUAUACUUUGUGGGUAACUAACACAUAGUGCUGUGAUUUUAAUUAGACUAAAGUUUAAAGUAAGUGUUUUAGUCUUUUCAUUUUGUUUCUAACUGUGUUUUUUUACUAAAUAGUAACAUCUUUUUCAAGAAACUACUAAAGAGUUACAUCUUGUCAAGGUAUUAUUAAAGUUAAAAUUAGUAAAAACACAUUUAUUUUCUAGAAAUGAAUAGUUUCUUAAGGAUGUACCCAAAAUGAAACAACAAUUAUUUAGGAACAGAGCGAGUAUGACUUACCACAAAGUUGUUUUCUCUUUCUCCUUCAUUUUCCAUGUCUGUCUUUCAUGUUCUAUUUCCUUUCAAAUUCUGAGGGUCUGAUAUAUAAAAAGUUUAUUAGGAGAACAAAAUUACAUAGCAAUAGAAAUCCCUGGUAGAAGAUAGAGAAAACUAGAUAUCCUAGUAAGAACACUAGAUCCAAGUCCAAGAAAAUAUUUAUCUUUUAUCUCAAAUUGAACCCAGCAACAUCAAGGACUCUAAUUUGGUUAAUGCUAUGCAAGAAGAACAUCAAAAAUGAAAAAACAAGAGACUUUGAACGUGAUCUUACCUUUUAACCGUUUGAAGAGGAGUUCAAGCACCUGUUUGGGAAAGAAUAUUGAACAGUUUUAAAGAGUUGUUGAACUAGUUUGCUAAUUCAAGUGUAGCUAGAUCUAGAUUUACAUCUCCAAGAUUAAUAAAAUACCAACUCAAUAACGUUCCUUUGAAUUAUUUUAAUACUCAAGAUCAUUAAACAAUUGUUAAUUCUGCUGCUUGUUAUUGGAAUAGGUGAUCACAUGUGCAGAUUAUUGGUAGUCUAAAAUGCCAACUCUUGGUGUCUGUUUUCCCUUUCUCCAUAACCUUGGUAUCUUCUUGGAUCCACACACCCCCAUCUCAUCUCCUCCUCCCUCAUGUAAGCAUCGUCAAAGGCUCCAUACCUUUUAUAAUCCUCUCUACCAUAUUCCUCAAAGUGGACGGGAUGGUUUUGGAUGUUUGGAACUUGAUUUGGAUGGAUUGGAUUUUGUGGAGGUGGUGGUCUUUGGCUUAGUGGGGCUCAGAAGAUGGGUUUGGAUUUAGUAGAGGUAUUGGACGUCCAAGUUCCUCUUGAAAAACUUGAGGAGUUUGGGAAUGGGUUGGUCUAUUGGAGUCUCGUUUUAGGGGGUUAUGAGUAGUUUGGCUUGCGGCAUUUAGUGGAGCUAGUGCAGGAUUCGGCAAUUGUGGCCAUGUUUCGGGAGUAACGGUGGUGGAGGAACUUCUAUCAUGUCCACUUGACGAAACAUGUCGAGGAGUAGAAGGGUGAGAGUUCCUUUGACUCUCCACUUGUUCUAACCUCCUACUAAUAGUUGUUAUUUCUCCCCUUAUGGCUCCCACUUCCAUACUCAACUUUUCAAGAGUUCGGGUCAUAGCCUCAAGAGUGACCCUUAUAUUCUCCAUUUCAUUAGAAUCCAUGGGUUGAAAUGUGGUUCCCUCCAUUGUCAAGGUAUCACUUACACAAGCAACAAACAAGUUAGUUUAAAAUCCCUUUCCCCAUUCACACUCUCUUGGUUCACUCACACUCAAAGCUCCACGAGUGUUGUUGAUUGGCUAGUAACCCGUGAAUCCUUAAGGUAUGAGUAUGCUCUUGUCCGGAAUGAAUUCUUGUUUGAAACUCAAAGAAUUCCCAUCGGACUAGAGUCAAGGAGUUCCAACGUAUUCAAAUGACAAAAGCACACAAACAAACGUUGACACGAAUACAAGGCUUCAAAGGACUAAUUGACAACCUAGUAGCAAUGUACUAGCUUGCUAAUUAGUUCUCGAGUCAAUUAGAAGAAACUAAGAAUCAAUAAUUAGAAACUAGAAUAUCCAAAUUGAGCUUAAUUAAUGANNNNNNNNNNNNNNNNNNNNNNNNNNNNNNNNNNNNNNNNNNNNNNNNNNNNNNNNNNNNNNNNNNNNNNNNNNNNNNNNNNNNNNNNNNNNNNNNNNNNNNNNNNNNNNNNNNNNNNNNNNNNNNNNNNNNNNNNNNNNNNNNNNNNNNNNNNNNNNNNNNNNNNNNNNNNNNNNNNNNNNNNNNNNNNNNNNNNNNNNNNNNNNNNNNNNNNNNNNNNNNNNNNNNNNNNNNNNNNNNNNNNNNNNNNNNNNNNNNNNNNNNNNNNNNNNNNNNNNNNNNNNNNNNNNNNNNNNNNNNNNNNNNNNNNNNNNNNNNNNNNNNNNNNNNNNNNNNNNNNNNNNNNNNNNNNNNNNNNNNNNNNNNNNNNNNNNNNNNNNNNNNNNNNNNNNNNNNNNNNNNNNNNNNNNNNNNNNNNNNNNNNNNNNNNNNNNNNNNNNNNNNNNNNNNNNNNNNNNNNNNNNNNNNNNNNNNNNNNNNNNNNNNNNNNNNNNNNNNNNNNNNNNNNNNNNNNNNNNNNNNNNNNNNNNNNNNNNNNNNNNNNNNNNNNNNNNNNNNNNNNNNNNNNNNNNNNNNNNNNNNNNNNNNNNNNNNNNNNNNNNNNNNNNNNNNNNNNNNNNNNNNNNNNNNNNNNNNNNNNNNNNNNNNNNNNNNNNNNNNNNNNNNNNNNNNNNNNNNNNNNNNNNNNNNNNNNNNNNNNNNNNNNNNNNNNNNNNNNNNNNNNNNNNNNNNNNNNNNNNNNNNNNNNNNNNNNNNNNNNNNNNNNNNNNNNNNNNNNNNNNNNNNNNNNNNNNNNNNNNNNNNNNNNNNNNNNNNNNNNNNNNNNNNNNNNNNNNNNNNNNNNNNNNNNNNNNNNNNNNNNNNNNNNNNNNNNNNNNNNNNNNNNNNNNNNNNNNNNNNNNNNNNNNNNNNNNNNNNNNNNNNNNNNNNNNNNNNNNNNNNNNNNNNNNNNNNNNNNNNNNNNNNNNNNNNNNNNAAAAUAACCCUAACACUAUCUAUUUAUAUUAGUCCACAAAGGGAGAUAACAAAUGACCAUCCUACCCUUGCCAAGGGGUGGCCUUGGAGUGUAAGUUUAUUACACUUCAAGGCUCCUCUUCACACUUAAAAACAUUUAAUCCAUUAGAAGGCUUAAGUACCAACUCACACACGGCCAUUUGCAUGAACAUAGCUUGGAGUUUUUGUAACUCCGGAGCUUGGCUACGUGUGAAUGGUCGUGUACUUGUUGGAUAGCUUGUAGAACUUGUUGGACAGCUUGGUACACCCGUAUCAGUUUUAUACUUCUGCCGCCAAAUGACAAAUGACGCGUUGGUUACUAUUGCAAGGAACCGUCCUAAUAUGAUCCGAUUUCGUUUGUGUAUUAUCGAGCCUCAAACACCUGAUUACUCAACCCUUGAACCACUUGAUACUGGUUUUGGGGCCAUUGUGCAACACUGCAAGGAAUUGCGGCGACUUUCUCUUUCUGGCCUCCUUACAGAUCGUGUGUUUGAGUACAUCGGGGUCCAUGCUAAGACGUUAGAGAUGCUUUCCUUAGCGUUUGCAAGGGAUAGCGAUCUAGGCCUCCAUUAUGUUCUCUCUGGUUGUGAGAGCCUCCGUAAAUUGGAGAUUAAAGACUGCCCCUUUGGCGACGAGGCUCUGUUGGCCAAUGCUGCAAAGCUGGAGACAAUGCGAUCCCUUUGGAUGUCCAACUGUUCUGUAAGUUUUGAAGCAUGUAAGCUGCUAGCUCAGAAGUUGCCAGGGCUUAAUGUUGAAGUUAUAGACCAGAGAGGUCAUCCGGAUACGAGACCACAAAGUUGCCCCGUUGAGAAACUUUACAUAUACAGGACAGUGUUAGGAAGGAGGUUCGACACUCCUGGUUUUGUUUGGAUAAUUGCUGAAGAUGCAUCAUCAACUCCAUAUAGCAACGGAAAUUGCUCUCUGGCUUCUUCUUAGAAAUGACUUCAAGUAUUAGUUCCGUGCUAAUCUUUCUCCUUGUGUAGUUGCAGUGCCCAGUUGUGGUGGGGUUGAAGCUCGCAAGCCAUCAAUUUUACCCUUUGUUGAGCGACUUCGCAGCAAUUAGUCACAAAUAAUGAGUUUAAACUCUACAUGUUGUGCUGUAUCAGUAAGGAUUACUAUUGUAUUUUUGGGUGGGAGGGGGCAUGUCCAACUGAGUAUCCUAUUUUGUAUGAUUAUGUAGUGACUCGUUCUUCUGGUGAAAUGGUGUUGUAAUGUACUUCUGGUCAUGUAUGGUUGAACUUUAGUUGUAAUUCAUUUGAUGAUUUGUUGUUUAUUUGAGUACUGGAAUUCCAUUUGUUCAACUUUUAGAAGUUAUUUACUUAGAUAAACAAACACUUCUUUUCGUUCAAAGUGGGAUUUUGGUCAAAGUUGAUUGAAUAUUUGAGGAGAUGGUGUCAUGAGUGCUUAAAUGAUUUCAGACACAGUAGGUUUGGACAGUCAAAAGGUAAAUAUACUGUGUAAUCUACGGCUUCAUGUGAAUGUAGUUGCUUUUCUCCAGAUCCUUUAUAUAUAUUAAAGAUGUCGACUAAAUAACUAUAAACCUAUACUUCAAAUCCUGGAUCCAUCUGUGUGAAUGCAAAGAUCAAAAAAGUUGCCAUGCUACUGUACUAUUGUAACAAAAGCAAAAGCAUGAACCAAUUUAUCUGUAUCACUUUUCUGGUAAAAAAGUCUAUUAAUGUUCAAAAUUCCAAACGGAAAUUAUCCUUUCAAAAGUUCAUUCAUGCACGCAAUUGCUUUUACUGGUAUAUCGAGAGUUCCUCCACGUAUUAUUCGUCAUUAAACGGAUAUCGGAUUCCUCUUGGUUGAUUUAAGCUUAUGCCAAGGUGAUAUAUCUGCACUACUCUAACCACUUGAAUAACUCCGAGCGAUAGACUUUGUGACGCAAUCCCUCUAAGGUGAUAGUUUCCAUGAUGUGUAUCUGAGUAAAAGUUGCUUCAUUUCUAAUUGAGUAGCUCUAGAUAACAAACUUCUCUUCAUUAAGCUCACCAAUCCUAUAUUUGAUGGACUUAAAGGUUCCACCUGCAGAAAAGAAGACACGGUUAGCAGCCAAAAUCGGAAAAGAAUUAACUAGGACGAUUUAACCUAGAACCUCCAUUACCCCGGAAAGAUUCAAUACUUCUAAUUGUGAGAAUCAACAAUGGGUACCUCAUCAGUGAAGGAAUAGGAGAAGUGUGCUCAUCAGUGAAGGAGGCCAAUCGCCAUGUUAGGCUUGUCGAAGACAUUCAACUAGCAAUCUACCAAUGAAAGAGAUAAUAGUCAAUUACGUAGUGCAAUGUAUCAAUAAACUUCUUUUUCUUAGAAGCAGGAGGGAAAUAUGCACCAAUUUUGUCUAUCGAUAAACACUUACUGUUGCACAUGAGGCCAAAUGCAGCAUCAACAUCUGAAUCAUUAGAAACAGCAGCCCCUCAACACCAAAUGCUUAUCGGUGGCUGAUUCUUGGUGACGUAAAUUCACCACAUUGCAUCACAAUUCAAACUCUUUGCACUACGAAUAUCUCACUUCUUCUUGAAUUGGACUUUCUCGGUAACUUUAUUACCUGCAGAGGUUUCACAUUGUUUGUGAUGAUGGUAUUUCUUGAAAGAUAUACAAAAACUGAGAUAUCGUAACUUGCAUAUGGUAUAGAGGUUGCCAAUUUCAUGUAUGUUUCAAAGAGAGACUUACAGUUGAAGUCGCUGGCAUUCGGUAGCAGCAAACUCACAGUUCUAGGCAUAGCAGCGGCACGCCAACAAACUGAGCAUGUAGGAAGAGCUCGGGGAAGCAGGGAAGGGUUCUGCUUAUUGAAAGGGACAGAAUGAAAGAAACUUCUAUUAUUUAUAUUUCAGAUUAUGAACUUUUGAAUAACAAUUCAUUGAACAUAUGUAUAACGUUUAAUAUGGAUGACUAUUGUAGACGUACCGAUGAGUUGUUUGUUUCCUCCUUUAUUUCUCCUUCAUUUUCUUCAUUCUACCAGAGUAACUUCUCCGACCCUUCCUUCCAAAUUCUCAGGAUCUGAUGUAUAAAACAUGCGUGAAAUGUCAUUUCCGAGUUAUUCAUCAAGGUCAAACAUCAAAUGAUGUUUACCAAACAUUAUCCCAAAAUGUUAUACACAUUAUCGUCGUAAGUCUUCUUAAAAAGUUGUGAAAAUUAUCUGCACACAUGAGCAUAUAUCACAACAAAUGCUUGCCAUUUUAGUUUGUUUUUUUACAUAUUACCAAAAGCUUAUUGUGAUGAAUCGGGAUCACAUCAUCGACACACUUUUACUUGAAUUUCACAAAAAUAUUAAUUGAGAAUUCAUCAAACAUAUUGUAAACAACACGCGUAAAUUUUGGUUCUAAGCAGCAAAAUAAUAGAGGAGAACCUGUCUUAGAUAACGGGAUAUUAUUCGAGCCAAGAAUCUGAAGCUUGUCUUCUCCCGUCAUAUCUUCAACAGAUUGUUUAAUCUCCAGAGCUGAAUCUUCCAGUUGAGGGCUCUUUACAAGUUUGAUAAUUUUUAAUGAACCAAAAUCCCCAAAAUUAGGUGGAAUCUCUGUAAGCUUACGACAUCCCAACAGUAGUAAUUUCUCAAGCACGGGUUUCUCUUCCCCGGACACCGAACAAAGGAAAGGAUUCCUCUCCAAACCCCCACUUAGAAAGAGUCACUUCUCGCAACCCCAAAUAUUUGAGAUUCUCAAAAGUUUCUGAAUGACUUCAGUACCUGAAGAGUUUUCGCAUGUUUGUGAUGAUGUAUUUUAUUGAAGAUUUACAAGAACUUGAGCAAAACUUAGAUAUCAGAUAACUUUCAUAUUGUAGAGAGGCUAUCAAUAGCAGACAGUAGGCAACUCCAUGUAUGUUUCAAAGAGAAACUUACAGUUGCAAUUGCCAGCGUUCUGUGGCAGCAAACUCUCAGAGCUAUCCCACUACGUUAAUUUACACACACAAAAGUCGGGGUUGAUUUUCCUAAUUACCUUAAAGCUUAGUGUGAUGAAAGUUCACAAACAGACAGUUCAGUUGAGACUAACAAUAAGAGCAGAAAUAAAAGAAUAGAGAAGAACCUGUUCUGGUGGUGCUUAAGAGCUACUUGACUAACGGGAUAUUAUUCGGUCCAAGGACCUGAAACUAGUCCCCUCCCAUAUCUUGAAUGUAUUGUUUAAUCUCCAGAGCUGAAUCUUCAAGUUGAGGGCUCCCUACAAGUUGGAUAAUUAUUAAUGAACAAAUAUCCCCAAAAUUAGGCGGAAUCUCUGUAAGCUUAUGACAUCUCAACAGAACUAAUUUCUCAAGCACGGGAAAGGGUUCCUAUCCAACCUCCCACUUAGCAAGAGUCACUCCAUCCAAAUUCAAAUAUUUGAGAUUCACAAAGCUUGUCUUCCUCCCCCAUGUUCCAUUCCUCCCCCUGGAUGAUUGUUCUCGUAAGGAACAACUCUUCAAGAUUGAGCAGUCUCGCUAUUGUUGAUAGUGAACCGGAUGUCAUUGGAAAGUCACUCAACAACAAUAUUUUCAAAUUUGAUGGGAAGUGAAAAUCCCACGACCAAUUUGUCGCUAAAGGGAGUCCACUGUCAUUUGUGUUUGAACUUUUAAAAUCUACUCUGAGUUCUUCUAGUUCAGUUAGGAAAUCUAAUUUUGGGAACCAAUAUCGCUCUUUUGAAUAAUCCCAUGAUUCCUUGAGAACAAAUGUAAGCCUUUGAAGAUUGGGGAACCUUAUGAAAAUAUCCUCUGUCUCUUUCGAAUAAGAAAGCACGAGUGUCCUUAAAUCUCUCAAGUUCUCUAACUUUGAGUGCUCUGCUAUCAGUAUUGGUUCAUCUGUAUCCAUAUCAAGGAAAGAACAAGAAGUCAUGUACAACACUCGCAACUUUGCAAGAUCCCAAAUACUCAGUAAUAGUACCAAGGUUGAUACUUUAUUAUUCACAUGCAGGGUUUCAAGAUUCCAGAGGUUCGAGAAAGAUGAAGGCAGAGAUUUAACUUCUAUCCCAAUACUUAAGAACCUCAAAUGAUUCAACAUGCAUAUUUCAUUCAGAAAAGAAUCUUUCACCAUCAUAAAGGAGGGAUACAGGAUCAACACUCUAAGAAGCCUCAACAAAGACGAUCUUCCAUCUUGUCUCCAUUUAUCAACAAAGAAUAGAGGUGUUUACUAGAAUGCCUUUUCAUUUUUGAACUGAACAGGACCAAAUUGUUAAUAUCAAAGUGCUCCUUAUCAUAAUCAAUUUUUACCAUAUGUGGCAUCAAAUCUGAAGAAGAAGAUGGAUCACUUGAACUUAUCCAGACAAACAACUUUUCCUCUCUUGCUUUUAUCAAACAAAAGUCGUGCACAAGAUCAUAAAGUUGGCAAGUCGGGUAAUCACCUAUCUCACUGAAAUCAAUUACCAAGCUACUGGAAAUUAAAUUAUCCAAAUAAAUUUCCAUCACUUCUUCCACACUCAUCAUCUCUGUCCAUUCAACAAGCCCUUCAGCACGCCAAUAUAUUUUCAACCCAUUUCUGUUGGUUUUUGUGUCCUUCGAAAAUCUUGCAAGGUUGAGAAAGCAUGGCUUCAGUUGAUGAGGUAAAUGGUCAUAACUUAAUUCUAUAACCUUCAUCACAUCAACUUAAUUGUUCAAAAUAAAGGAAUUCAAAUUAUUUCGAACUUCAAGCCACACUGACUUUGUCUUUUCCCUCCCUGCAAUGACUCCAGCAAUCAGAUCAGACACCAAAGGAAGUCCCUUACAAUUUUAGGCUAUUUCUUUUCCAACAUCCAAUAGUUCAUCAGGGCAACUCUGUUCUCCAAAUGCCCUUUUCUCUAAUAACUUCCAACUUUCUUCUGGUGUUAGCAAUCGAAGGUUAAGAGGAUCAGCGUUGCCCUUUCCAUGAAAAGCCACUUCCUUUUGCCGAGUCAUCAAAAUAAUUCUACUUCCUUUCUCAGCUUUAGGGAAAGGUCUUUUUAAAUCAUCCCAUGUAUUAGUAUCCCACACGUCAUCUAGCACAAUCAGGUACCUCUUUCCAAACAGUUGUUUCCGUAGCAUAUCAGUGACAUCAAUAUCCUCGCUGAACUUCAAAUCCGAGCCCGCCACUUGAUUGAAAAGGUUCACCAACAACUUCUUCUCAUCAUAUUCUUGGUUGACUGUGCACCAUGCACGACAGUCGAAAUGACUACAAACUGAUUCAUCAUUGAAUAAUUUGUACGCCAAAGUAGUUUUGCCCGAACCCGGCAUACCAGUGAUUGAGAUGACAUCUAGAUCUUUCGGUCUACUGGUGAGCUUACUAAUUAACCAGUUUGUCUCCUCCUUAAAACCUACAAUUAUUUUUCCAGUUGUCAAUGAUUUUCUUUCAACUGGAUUCUUGGGAGAGUUUACAACAACGAGGCUCUUGUUCUUGGGAAUCUUCUCAGGUAAAUUGGAGACUUCUUCUCUGAUAAGCUUGAUCUUUCUUAUCUUAUGGUGAUGGGAAGUGAGAAAAUAAGAUGCAAGAGACCAUUAUCUCGAACAAUAAUUGAAUCAAUGACAUCUUUUGCCUCAUCUUUUCCCACAGAUCUUUACACAAUCUUUUCUCAACACUCACGAAUAACGAUCUUAUGAAUUCUAGGUCUUCUCUCACCAACUCAGUUUCUUCCUUUAUCAAAGAAAUUGAAUAAGCAUCGGAAUCUAGCAAAUCAGUUAAGUGUCUGUGUAGCAGAUGCAUAAAGAGCGGUCCAUCACUCAUGGGGAAGCUCCAUUGACAUGGGUCCGGGGCUUUCAGCUAAACAUAUUUGACAUCUUCCUUGAGGAGUUCAAUAUUUUUCAGCAAGUCUUGAGUUGCACGAAUUGUUUCAUCAAUACUCUCUUCAUUCCGUGAUUUUUCUUCUAAGUCACAAACAAGAGUUGAUACCUUGGUGGUACGUGCUCCAAUACGUGCCAAAAGAUCAAAUAAUUUGUCAUGAUGAAUAAAGUCUCUAGGCAUGUCAGUAAGAAUAAUCAACAGAAACUCCAUUAUGACCUGUAUGUUUCGAGCCCCUGAAGUUCUUGCGGCAAUAACAAUUACCAUGUACUCUUGUAAGUGAAUCAGAUAUUUUCUCAGAACUUCCGGAGAGGUUUCAAGGAGUUGCGUGAUAAAGCAUCCAACUUCUGCUGAUGGUGAAGCUUUCAAAUUUGUAUAACAUAUUUGCAUCACCUCCAGUUCAAUUGGAAUAAUUUUCAUGAGUAGAUGUGCUAGCUUGGAGAGUCAACUGCUCAAAUUGCUCAGCAAGAUACUGCUCAACAACGUCCUUGCGAAGAGCAGAAAAUGACACCUGCAAAAUGACCAAACCAAUGCUUUAUUUAUUUUCUAUAUUUAUUAGAAUUGAUGUCAUUAAAUUGAGUUUAUACAUUGAUUUUGUACGAUUGUGGGUUUAUCAACAGUUUUGGUGCUUAAAAUUUUUCUAUUACUUAAGAAAUACAUUUUUGAAAAGACAUUAAAAUAAUUGUUCACAUGUUAUUUUUUUACGGCCGAAAAUUUGACUCUCUGUUGAAUUAUACUUUCUUGGAAUUACUCCCUGUAUCCCAAUUUAAAUGACCCACUUUUUCUUUUAGUCAGUCCCAAAAAGAAUGGCGGGCUUCUAUACUUUGGAACAAUUUAACUUUGUAACCCUAAUUUCACCUUCUUUAAAUAAAAUAAUUCUACCUAAUCAACAAACGGCGACAAAAUAGUUACAUCUUUUUCGUGAAACUACUAAAGAGUUAUAUCUUUUUCAAGAAACUACUAAUGAGUUAUACUACUCCCUCUGUCCCAUAUUAGUUGGUCAUUUUUCUUUGUACGCACAUGUUAAGAAAUUGUAAAUAAAAAGAAAAUUUUACUGAUUCAGCCCUUAAAAAACUUCUUGGAUACUUUUACGAACAAGUGUGAAUGCUUUCAAAAAGAAUUAAUUACAAGAACAGAAUCUAAGAAAAUUAAUUAAUGCUUUUUGUAGAAAUCUAAAAGAAAUUCAUUGUGGAAAUUUUCUGAUAUUCAUUCUAUUCAGUAUCAACUUUGUAUAAUUAGGCUAUGCUAUGUAUAUAUAUAUACAGCUAAGAAAGAUAUACCCUAAUGGGGUCUCCGGCAAUAUUUUCUUGAUUUACUAAGGUGGACAAUUAAUAAGGGAUAACUAUUUUUAGUAAGAUCGCCAACUAAUAUGGGACAACGGGAGUAAAUAAUUAAUUUUUUUAAAGGUAUUUAUUAAGGGUAAGUUAGUAAAACAAUCUUUAUUUUUAAGGAAACGAGUAUGACAUACCAUAAAGUUGUUAGCUUCUCCUUUCUCUCUUUGUCCUUCAUUCUCCAUGACUCUAAGUGCCUUUCAAGUUUCCUCCCUUUCAAGUUCUCAGUAUCUCACGUAUAAAAUGCAUAUAAAAAGUUUAUCAGGAGAAUAAAGCAGCAAAAAUGUACAAAUAUAAAUAAGUAAAUAGUAUUCUGUGUUUACUUUCUCAAUUUUUUCUGCAGAUCUUAAUACUAGAAUUAAACAAAUUAAGUUUAUUAGAGACUAACCUUAUCACUUAGUGAAAAUUCUGAUAUAGUUGCUUUGUUCCUCUGUGUUUUUGUGUACUCUCGAGAAAACUAUUAGCUUGAAUAAUGAAAAGCUGAAAAUUAGAAGAUAAAAGAGAGAACAAAUCACUGAUGAUAGGUAGAAAAUGAUGCAUAGUAUUUCCAAUAAUGUUUAUAAAGCAAAAGCAAAUGGGGCCUCCAACAUAAUCAUACUCUCAAGUGGGAACAAUAACCUGCAAUAGGGAGUAUUGGCCAUGAAAUAUAUAUAUAUGCUUUUAGAUCAGUAUCCAGUAUCUUUCGAAUUAUGAUCAAAGUUGCUCUAAUAUACUCCUUCACAGGGAUCCUAUUACCCCGAACUCAAUUUUAAUGCAUUUUUGUCACCCUUUUGGGCUGACGUGGAACCUUUAUUACAUAAAAUGAAGCCCACUUCAAAGAUGUUGCGUCACCUAAAAAAGAUGACAAAAUACGCUAAAAUUUAGUUUGGGGUAAUAGAACUCGCGUGAAGUUGAAGUGUGUCAUAGCAAAUUUGGUCAUAGUCCAGAGGUACUAGAUGUUGUACUCUAUUUUUUUGGUAUUGCGCUAGGUCAUAAAAUUUUAAAUUUUUCAGUAAUUUUAAAAAUACCAAAACACUGCUUUCACUCCAAAUUACUCACAAAAGUUCAAAAAUAACUCCAAUUUAUAUUCGUUUUCUCCUUGCGAUGACCUUUUAUUAUUACUAAUUGUCUCCUUCCACAAUUUCUUUUAUUAUCCAUAGAGAAGUGUAUUUUUGUAUUGUUACUCUAUGCACAACGAUAAUAUUGUGAAAGUAAUCUAUCUGUGGGAUCAAAAAUAUUUUGUCAGAUUUUUAAUGUCCUUUUAUUCAACUUUCACAAUCCUACUUCAGAUGAUAUUAGCGUAUCAAUUUUUUUUUUUAAAAACACUAUUAGAAGCUAACCUUUUUACUUGAUGAAAAUAUCUUCUGGUUGUUUUAUUGGGAGAUGUUUGGUUUGGGGUAGUGGAGAAAACAAUUUCAGUAUUGAAAAAAAUUGUAGCAAAAAUGAUGUGUAGUAUUUUCAAAAAGUCGUAGAAAGUAAAAGGUUGAAGCAAUGGGGCCUGAAAAAGUCUAAAAGGAAAAGGAAUAAGAAAAGUCUAGAAAUUUUAGCGUAUUUUUGUCAUCCUUUUGUGCUAACAUGACACCUUUAUUACGUAAAAUGAGACCCACAUCAAAGGUUCUAUGUCGGCUAUAAAUCUGACAAAAGAUGUCACGUCAGCUAAAAAGAUUGACAAAAAUAUGCUAAAAUUUAGUUCAAGGAGGUAAUAGGACCCCAUGAAAUUGGAGUGUAUUGUGGCAAAUUUGAUCGUAGUUCAAGUGGUACUGGAUGUUAUACUCUUAAUCAAACUCUCAAUAGUUGGUUAACUUUAUAUUAUUUCCUUCGUUUCAUUUUGUUUGACACUAUUUUCUUAUUAUAUCGUCAAAAUAAUAUUAACAUUCUUAUAAUUUCUUAAUUAAAAGCUUUUAUAUUCACACAAAUAUUAUGACAUGUUUAUUGUUAGGACCCAAAUAAUCAGGCGGCAUGCAGAAACUAACCAAGCAAAUCUUGAAAGAAGCUAAAGUCUAAAAAGGAAAAAGAACAAAAGGCACUCAAACUUCUAAAUUUGUUAUAAUCUUACCUUUUGACCACUUAAAGUUCAGCAAACCAUAAUUGUUGGAACACCUCUUGUUUGAGAAAUAGUAAGUUAAAAAGAAAUUGUCUAAACAAGUACUUUGAAAGUUUACCAACAAAAAGAAGAAUCAAAUUUCAAAAUUAUUAGUAUUUCGCACAGUGAUUUCAUUAAUGGAAUCUAAGGAUGCAUAUAGGAUGUGUUUGUGUCGCCCUAAUACAACAUACCUCAUUCAUGGUUUGCAGUCGCAGAUUAUAAUGACCCUACAAAUUGAUUUUUUUUUUCUUUUUCUUAUUGUUUGGGACCUAUGCAAGAAACAAAUGUUAGUGGGAAGGAUUCUUUAAAAUAAAAAAAUAAAAAAGUAUAUGAUAACAUCAAAUAGGGUAGAGUAAGAGGAAAAGAACAGUUAUAGCUUUAUUUCUCCCUUUUUUUCUUUUUUUUUUUUUGGUAUCAGAGCAUUUUUUUUUUUUGCCUCUUUUUUUUUCUUUCUUUCUUUCUUUUUUUUCCUUUUUUUCUUUUCUUUUUUUUCUCUUUUUUUUUGUGGUAAUAGAGUAUUUUGUCUUAAUUUAAUUUAGAGAUAAGAAUCCAAUAUCCCCGAACUAUGACCAAAGUUGCUACGACACACUUCAACUUCACAACAGUCCUAUUAUCCCCGAACUCAAUUUUAGCGUAUUUUUAUCACCCUUUUGUGAUGACAUGACAUAUUUAUUACAUAAAAUGGGACUUACGUCAAAGGUGUCAUGUUAGAUAAAAAGGUUGACAAAAGGUCCCAUGUCAGCAUAAAAGGUUGACAAAAAUUGGCUAAAAUUUAAUUCAGGUAGUAAUAGAACCCUUGUGAAGUUGGAGUAUUUCGUAGCAAAUUUGGUCAUAAUUCAGGAGUUACUAGGUGAUUUGCUCUUUAAUUUAACUAGUAUAGUACCCGCGUGAUGCGCGGAAGUUGUUAUUAUUUAAUCGAUUGUGAAUUUAAAUCAUUUUAUCAAUGAUUCAAAUUAAAAGAAUCCAUCAAUACUUUAAAAUUUUAUUAUUCAUUAAUGAAGUUUAUAAUUUUCAAUAAAUUUUGUGAGCAUUUAAAAAUCAUUAUCAUUUCAUUCAUCUAAAAUUAUUUAUUUAUUGUCUUCGUUAAACUAAUUUUAAGUCCUUGAAGUAACAAAACUCACACACAAAAAAAAAAAAUCUAAAGGUGAAGCAAAAUCUGUUACAAACAAUCAAUCAAAAUAUACUUUUUAUAUUUAAAAUUCUAUUUGUUCUAAAUUUACUUUGCUGUUCUGUCUUUCAACUAAUCAUGUUUUAUUGAUUCAUAUUUCUUACUGUUAUUAAUCAUCUCUUAUUACUGAUAACAUAACGUAUUAACUCUACCUUAUCUAAAAUAAAGUACACUAACAAAAGGUAUUUGUUAAUAAACUACCUUAUCUAAAAUAAAGUACAUAACAAAAGGUAUUUGUUAAUAUAACGACUACAACUUCAAUUAGAACAUCUUAUUAAAAUGUAAAAUUUCAUUUGCAAUAUAAGAGAUGACACUAUAUACCCAAUCUUAAUUUUUCAACGUGCACAAUUUCGGAAUCGAUCAAAUUAAAUUAACUAAUGAUAUUUAGUAUUGGCAUCAGUAAAAACCUUAGUAUAGUAGCAGAUGUUAAAUACUAUCGAAAAAUUCUUUUAUCUAUUCUUCAUUAUUAUCUUCCUCGAUCUUUUGUGUGGUUCUUUUUUUNNNNNNNNNNNNNNNNNNNNNNNNNNNNNNNNNNNNNNNNNNNNNNNNNNNNNNNNNNNNNNNNNNNNNNNNNNNNNNNNNNNNNNNNNNNNNNNNNNNNNNNNNNNNNNNNNNNNNNNNNNNNNNNNNNNNNNNNNNNNNNNNNNNNNNNNNNNNNNNNNNNNNNNNNNNNNNNNNNNNNNNNNNNNNNNNNNNNNNNNNNNNNNNNNNNNNNNNNNNNNNNNNNNNNNNNNNNNNNNNNNNNNNNNNNNNNNNNNNNNNNNNNNNNNNNNNNNNNNNNNNNNNNNNNNNNNNNNNNNNNNNNNNNNNNNNNNNNNNNNNNNNNNNNNNNNNNNNNNNNNNNNNNNNNNNNNNNNNNNNNNNNNNNNNNNNNNNNNNNNNNNNNNNNNNNNNNNNNNNNNNNNNNNNNNNNNNNNNNNNNNNNNNNNNNNNNNNNNNNNNNNNNNNNNNNNNNNNNNNNNNNNNNNNNNNNNNNNNNNNNNNNNNNNNNNNNNNNNNNNNNNNNNNNNNNNNNNNNNNNNNNNNNNNNNNNNNNNNNNNNNNNNNNNNNNNNNNNNNNNNNNNNNNNNNNNNNNNNNNNNNNNNNNNNNNNNNNNNNNNNNNNNNNNNNNNNNNNNNNNNNNNNNNNNNNNNNNNNNNNNNNNNNNNNNNNNNNNNNNNNNNNNNNNNNNNNNNNNNNNNNNNNNNNNNNNNNNNNNNNNNNNNNNNNNNNNNNNNNNNNNNNNNNNNNNNNNNNNNNNNNNNNNNNNNNNNNNNNNNNNNNNNNNNNNNNNNNNNNNNNNNNNNNNNNNNNNNNNNNNNNNNNNNNNNNNNNNNNNNNNNNNNNNNNNNNNNNNNNNNNNNNNNNNNNNNNNNNNNNNNNNNNNNNNNNNNNNNNNNNNNNNNNNNNNNNNNNNNNNNNNNNNNNNNNNNNNNNNNNNNNNNNNNNNNNNNNNNNNNNNNNNNNNNNNNNNNNNNNNNNNNNNNNNNNNNNNNNNNNNNNNNNNNNNNNNNNNNNNNNNNNNNNNNNNNNNNNNNNNNNNNNNNNNNNNNNNNNNNNNNNNNNNNNNNNNNNNNNNNNNNNNNNNNNNNNNNNNNNNNNNNNNNNNNNNNNNNNNNNNNNNNNNNNNNNNNNNNNNNNNNNNNNNNNNNNNNNNNNNNNNNNNNNNNNNNNNNNNNNNNNNNNNNNNNNNNNNNNNNNNNNNNNNNNNNNNNNNNNNNNNNNNNNNNNNNNNNNNNNNNNNNNNNNNNNNNNNNNNNNNNNNNNNNNNNNNNNNNNNNNNNNNNNNNNNNNNNNNNNNNNNNNNNNNNNNNNNNNNNNNNNNNNNNNNNNNNNNNNNNNNNNNNNNNNNNNNNNNNNNNNNNNNNNNNNNNNNNNNNNNNNNNNNNNNNNNNNNNNNNNNNNNNNNNNNNNNNNNNNNNNNNNNNNNNNNNNNNNNNNNNNNNNNNNNNNNNNNNNNNNNNNNNNNNNNNNNNNNNNNNNNNNNNNNNNNNNNNNNNNNNNNNNNNNNNNNNNNNNNNNNNNNNNNNNNNNNNNNNNNNNNNNNNNNNNNNNNNNNNNNNNNNNNNNNNNNNNNNNNNNNNNNNNNNNNNNNNNNNNNNNNNNNNNNNNNNNNNNNNNNNNNNNNNNNNNNNNNNNNNNNNNNNNNNNNNNNNNNNNNNNNNNNNNNNNNNNNNNNNNNNNNNNNNNNNNNNNNNNNNNNNNNNNNNNNNNNNNNNNNNNNNNNNNNNNNNNNNNNNNNNNNNNNNNNNNNNNNNNNNNNNNNNNNNNNNNNNNNNNNNNNNNNNNNNNNNNNNNNNNNNNNNNNNNNNNNNNNNNNNNNNNNNNNNNNNNNNNNNNNNNNNNNNNNNNNNNNNNNNNNNNNNNNNNNNNNNNNNNNNNNNNNNNNNNNNNNNNNNNNNNNNNNNNNNNNNNNNNNNNNNNNNNNNNNNNNNNNNNNNNNNNNNNNNNNNNNNNNNNNNNNNNNNNNNNNNNNNNNNNNNNNNNNNNNNNNNNNNNNNNNNNNNNNNNNNNNNNNNNNNNNNNNNNNNNNNNNNNNNNNNNNNNNNNNNUAAUAAUAAUAAUAAUAAUAAUAAUAAUAAUAAUAAUAAUAAUAAUAAUAAUAAUAAAGACUUCGUUUUAACACAAAAAGCAAAACUUUGACCGUGCACAAAUAUGACUUUUAACUAUUUACAACUGCACAAAUAUGACCUUCCUCCAAGUCAACCCUUUUAACGUGUGGCACCGUGUGAUUGGAUGAGCUUUCCACGUAGGCACGAGUGAAACUCACGCAUGGAGAUUGAAAAAUCGGAGGUCCUAUUUGUUUAGGUUUGAAUAGUUAAAGGUCCUAUUUGUGCACUAUCAAAGUUUAAGGUCAAAGUUAAAAUUUUGUGUCAAAUUUAGGGUCAUAUUUAUGUAUUAUGCCAAAAAGCCACCACUAAAUUGAAACAAAUAUUUUUAGAUAGAAGAUCCCAACUAUUUGAAAACACAGAGAGUAUCAAAGUUAAUCUAUAAACACCGAAAGGAAAAAAUGCCCAUUCUCCUUCCCACUCUUUAAAUGCUAGCCAAAUUUAUAUCAAUAAAAUCAAUCAUAUAAUUAGAACGAAGUUUUAUCAUUCAUAUUUUUUUAUUAUAUUGUUCACAAAUUAAAGAUAUUCGAUUGUUCAGAUCAAUUUUUUAGUUAUAAAUCAUUUUUUUUUUAUCUACAAUGAAUUACAGUUCUUCAUAUGUUUCAUGUGAUAUUUCUCAUCAUCUGUAUCUAGUAAUUGAUAAAGGAGAAAUUGUAUAAGAUUAUUAAACUCAAAAGAACAAUACAACCAUAUAAAAAUCAAUGCACGUGUAAACAAAUUACGCUUCACAACAUUUUUAACUUUACAGAACUUAAAUAUCUAUAAUAUAGUACAUACAUCACAAGUUAUUAAGUGUUGUGAAUGUUGCGAAUAUAAAUUGAUAUCAAAUUGUUGACUUCACAAAAACAUUCCUUGAACACUAUAUUAAUGGACGAAGCUUGAAGCUUCAUUAUUGGCAUUAAAUUAAUUUAGUAGCUUAAAACUACUAAAGAGUUACAUUUUAUAAGGAAUUUAUUAAAGGUACAUUAGUAAAAACAAUAUUUAUUAAAGGCAUUCAAGAAACAACUGUAAAGUUGUUUGCCUCCCCUUUCUCUCUUUGUCCUUCAUUCUCCAAGACUGAAAUUACCUUUCAAGUUCCUUUCCUUUCAAAUUCUCAAGAUCUGACUUAUAAAAUGUAGAUAAAAAGUUUAUCGGGAGAAUAAAGUAGCAAAAAAUGUACAGAUACAAAUAAGUAAAUUGUAUUAUGUAUUUACUUUUUCAAUAUUUUCUACGGAUCUUAAUACCAUAGAUAAACAAACUAAGUUUAUCAAAGACUAACCUUUAUCACUUGAUGAAAAUUCUAAUAUAAUUGCUUUGUUCCUUUAUGUUUUUGUGUACUCUCCUGAAAAAUAUUAGCUUGAAAAAUGAAAAUCUGAAAAUUAGAAGAUAGAGAGAACAAAUGAUUGAUGUUAGGUAGAAGGAAAACGGCUCAAAUAUACCACUGAACUAUCAGAAAUGACUCAUUUAUACCAUCAGUUAAAAGUUGAGCUCAUUCAUGUUAUCGUCGUUAUAAAACUAGCUCAUCCAUGCCAUUACUUUUUAAUGGUGGUUUUAAAAAACAACUUUGCCACGUGGCCUUUUAUUAGAGGUCCACGUCAUUAAUUAAAAUAAACAAAAAGGCUCAAAUAUGCCAUUGAACUAUCAGAAAUGACUCAUUUAUGCCAUCAGUUAAAAGUUUGGCUCAUUCAUGCCAUCACCGUUAUAAAUUCAACUUACUCAUGCCAUUACUUUUGAAUGAUGGAUUAUUAAAAAUAGCUUUACCACGUGAUCUUUUAUUAGAAGUCCACGCCAUUAAUUAAAAGAAAUCAAUAUUAAUUUCAAAAUAUCUGAAAUUAGUUAGUACCGGGAUUAUUUAUUCUAGCAUUUAUACCAUAAUGAUGAGAGAAGUUAUUCCAUAUACAUGGCGGGAUAAUUGGAAUAGCAGAUUUCUUUUAAGCUGUUAUUUGAAAAUGAUUUUUCAACAAUGUAUGCUCCACUAAUUCGUGAUGGGAGAAGUUAUUCCAUAUGCAUGGAGGGAUCAUUGGGAUAACAGACUUCUUUUAAGUCGUUAUUUGGAAAUGAUUUUUUCAAUAAUGUAUACUCCCCUAAUUUGUGAUGGGAGAAUGGAGAAGUUCUAUUGGUACGUCUCUUUCUUUUUCUUGCUUGCCUUAAUCAUUCAUUGGUUUAUUUUCUUGCAACUUCAGAGUAUAUAUUGGAGUCACUAAAACUAAAACUAAUCAGUUACUGUAUCAUGGAAUUUUUGAAGUUUUUGUUAAGCGUAGCAUUUAUAAUGAUUUAGAAUCAACUAGAAAUAGCCAAAGGAUAUACAUUAAUCACCAUUUUUUCUAAUUAAAAAAUUGUUGUUGUUGUAGGAAAAAAAAUAUUUUAAUGGGUGUGGGUCAGGUUAUGUUAAAUGAAUCAGUUAUUUUUAAUGGGUCUAAGAUAUUUUGAAACUAAUAUUAAUUUAUUUUAAUUAAUAUCGCGGACCUCUAAUAAAAGGCCACAUGACAAAAUUAUUUUUGAAAACCCACCAUUAAAAAGUAAUGACAUGGGUGAGCUGAUUUUAUAACGAUGAUGGCAUGAAUAGGGCUGUGCAAAAAUUAAACCGACCGAUAAACCGAAUCGAUAAAAAUGUUAUUGGGUUAUUGGGUUAACGGUUUCUUAUUGGUUUUCUACAAAAAUUUAUUGGGUAAACGGUUCAGUUUCGGUUUUAGCUUACUGGGUUAACGGUUAAACCGAUAACCAAUAAGAAUAUACUAAAUUAUUGUUUUAUAUCCCUAUUUAUGUUAUAUAUAUAAAUCACUCUCUCUAUAUAUAUAUUUAUAUAUGUAUAUAUAUUAUAUGCACUACUUAUUCACAAUUUAGUGAUUCACAAAGUAUUAACCUAUUCAAGGCAACAAAGGCACAAUAUAAAACUCGGCUAUUAUCGUAUUGAAAAGCUUGAGGCAUUUAUAGCUUCCAACAAUUGGGAUUCAAUUUUUUUUUCGAACUAAUAUUCAGUUCAAGUUUGAAGAUUCUUGUAAACUAAAAUGCAUUGCGUAGGAUUUUGGCGGUAACUAAGAUUUCAUUUUUUUAUGUUAGUUGUUACUAUUUCUAUUCUAUAAGUAUUUUCUUAUUGGUUAAACCGAAAACUAAACCGUUAAGGACCAAAACCGAUAAACUAAAACCGAUAAGAAAAAAUCUUAUUGGUUGGUUAUUGAUUUUACAUAUUUAAAAACCGAAAAUUGAAAAACCGAACAAUAACACAUAAAACCGAACCGAACCGACCAAUGUGUUGGAAAGGAAAAAAAGAUGCUAAAUGAAUAGCUAGACAGAAACAGAGCAAAGAGAAGAAAAUACUGCAGUGAUUUCUUUAUUUCUGAUUGCAUAUGAAAGUAAAGAUACAUGCCUAUAAAUAGGCUCACAAUAAACUGAAAAUUCUAAACUUUAGGUCCACUAACCCACUAAUUUAUUGACUAGCUAAUAAUCUGCAGCACUAUCCAACUUGCUAGAAUAUAGGAAACUAACUAACAACUCACUAACUUCCUGAAGACUUGGUCAAGAACUUUUUUGAAUCAUUUCUCAACACUCCCCCUUGAUUCAAAACUGCAAACUCCAAGUUGACCUUUAAAGAACUCGUGCUUUGCUUGCGGAAGUGAUUUGGUGAAGAUGUCUGUUGCUUGCUCAUUUGUAUCAUAAGACUUCAAAGUAAUUUCUCCAUUAGAAAUAAGAUCUCGAAUAUAGUGAUAGCGAACAUCUAUGUGCUUUGUUCUACCUUGGAAAGCUGGCUUCUUCGUCAUCCCAAUGGCAGAUCUAUUAUCACAAAAAAUCUCAGUCGCACCAGCUGGUUUCUGAUUAAAAUCUGCAACAAGUCUCCUUAACCAAACUGCUUGACAAGCUGCAGAAGUUUCUGCAAUAUACUCAGCCUUUGAAGUUGACAAGGCCACCACUUCUUGCUUCUUUGAACUCCAUGAAAUUGCUCCAGAUCCAAGAUUAAACAAGAAACCAUAGGUGCUCUUUCUGUCAUCAAUGUUGCCUGCAUAGUCACUAUCAGUAAAACCAGUUAAUGUGAAACUUGUUACCUUAGAAUUCCAAAUUCCAUGAUCUGAUGUCCCAGCGAUAUAUCUAAGUAUUUUCUUUGCAGCUCCAAGGUGAAGCUUGCUUGGAUUGUGCAUAAAUCUGGAUACGACACCGACAGAGAAAGCAAUGUCUGGUUUUGUAUGAGACAAGUAGUUCAAACCACCAACCAGACUUCUAAAAUAAGUUUCAUUUGCCAAUUUAGAACCAUCAUCACGACACAACUUCUCAUUGAUAUUCAUCGGAGUAGAAGCAACAUUACAAUUUACCAUAUUGAACCUUUUCAAAAGAUCUGUUGCAUACUUUCUUUGUGAAAGAAAUAUGCCAUCAACUUCCUGUUUCACCUCAAGAACAAGAAAGUAAUGCAACAUUCCCAAAUCGGACAUAUCAAAAUUCUUCAGCCUGCAGUCUUUAAAUUCAGUGACAAUAGACUCACUUGAACCCAUAUAUAUCAUAUCGUCUACAUAAAGACAUACAACUAGAAAAUCGUUUUUACCUCCUCUUUUUAUAUAAAGAGUAGGCUCAUUGUUACUCCUUUCAAAGCCACUCUCCUGGAAAUAAGAAUCAAUUUUGAAGUACCAUGCCCGCGGCGCUUGCUUCAAGCCAUAAAGUUUCUUUCUUAACCUGUAAACCUUAUCUUCUUUACCAUUUACUACAAAACCUUCAGGUUGUGAGACAUAAACUUCCUCUUCCAAAUCACCAUUUAAAAAAGAGGAUUUAACAUCAAAUUUGUACACUGGCCAAUUUAAUUUCCCAGCUAAGGCUAAAAAGGUUCUCACAGUUUCAAAGCGGGCAACAGGAGAAAAAGUUUCGUCGAAGUCAAUACCUUGCUGUUGAGAAUAACCCUUUGCAAAAAUCCUUUCCUUGUGUUUUUGAAUACUGCCAUCUGCAUGAUAUUUGGUUCUAAACACCCAUUUGAGCCCAAUAGCCUUCUUUCCUUCGGGCAAAUUUACCAAGUUCGAAGUCUGAUUCUUUUGAAUAGCUAACAGCUCUUUCUCCAUAACUUUGCACCAUUUAUCCUCUCCUUCGGCAUCUUUAAAGAAAAUAGGAUCUGAAACAAGUAAAGCAAAAGUACAAGAUGUACUGUCAGUAUAUCUGGGAUUUGGUUUUCUAUCCCUUGUUGAUCUUCUUAAUGGAGUUGGCUUAGCUGAAGGUUCUUCUAAUAUUGGAGAAGUUGGCGGUGCAACUGAUGAGGUAGUCGAUGGACCAUCCAAACCAGGAUCUGCUACAUACUCUUGAUCAACAAUAUUGUCAGAAGGCAAUAAUUGAAUAUUUGAACUUUCAUUUUCAGAAUUAAAGUUCCAUCUUGAAUCUUCAUUAAACAUAACAUUUCUAUUGACCAUAAUUUUUCCACUCACUGGAUCAUAUAGCUUAUAAGACUUGGAUUGUGUACUAUAUCCAACAAAGAUACAUUUUUCACAUUUUUCAUCAAGCUUACGUUGAUCUUCUGAAUUUACCAACGCAUAAGCUAUACAACCAAAGACACAUAAGUGGCUUACCUUGGACUUGUUACCUCUUCAAGCUUCAUACGGUGUUUGAUUAUACACAGCUAUUCAGCAAAUAGAUUGCAGUGGCAACAGCUUCAGCCCAAAAAUAUUUUGGUAAACUUCUCCCUUCCAUCAUGCUUUUGCCCAUCUCAACAACUGUGCGGUUCUUUCGUUCGGCUACACCAUUCUGCUCUGGUGUAUAAGGUGUUGUGAGCUCCCGAUGUAUUCCAUUUUCUUCACAAAAGGAACUGAAUUCUUUAGACAUAAACUCACCACCUCUAUCUGUCCAAAGAGUUUUGAGCCUACAUCCACUUUGCCUCUCAACAAAAGAUUUAAAUUUCUUGAAAUUGCCAAAUGUUUCAGAUUUAAAUUUUAAGAAAUAUAUCCAACUCAUACGACUAUAGUCAUCAGUAAAAAUCAAAAAGUAUCGACUUCCACCUAAGGACUCAACACUUAUAGGACCGCACAAAUCUUCCUAAACUAACUCAAGACAAACAGAAGCUCUCCAAGACUGGCCUACAGGAAAAACCUUUUUACUUUGUUUUCCAUAAACACAACUUUCACAAAAAUCAAGAUUCUCAACUUUUGGCAAUCCAAAAACCAUUUCCUUUUGACUCAAUAACUUCAACUCAUUAACAUUUAAAUGCCCAUAGCACAGAUACCAUAGUCUAGUUUCAUUAUCACCACUAGCUACUGUCACACAUUUCUCGACCAUUGAAACUUCUAAAGGAAACAUUUUAUUGUUAGUCAUUGGAACUUUAGCAAUGGUUUUCCCAGAUUUAUUAUUUUUAAUAGUGCAAAUACCAUCGUCAAAAGAAACCGAAUAUAUGCUAAUCAUUAAUUGUCCAAUGCUAAGUAAAUUAUGAGAUAGACUAGGAACAAACAUCAAAUCUUUUAAAAUUUUAGCAUUACCUUGGCUGGUCAUGAUGCUAACAGUACCUCUGCCUUCAACCUGAAUCUUCUUGCUGUCUCCUAGUCUUACGUCUGACUUUUUGGACUCAUCAAGAUCCUUGAACAAAGAUCUUGUUCCAGACAUAUGUUUGGAACAUCCACUGUCCAAAAAUCAAACAUCAUUAGGAGUCUCUUUUUCACAAUAAAGGGCCAUGAACAACUUACUUUCAUCAUCAUUUUCCUCUGCAAAGCUUGCUUGGCUAUUUUCAUCCUUUUGCUUUUGCCAGCAAUAAGCUUCUUUAUGACCUGGUUUUCUGCAGUACUUGCAUAGAAACAUUCUGUUAUGCUUCUCUUCAUUUGAUCCUCCUCUAUCCCGACUCCUUCCUUGGACUCUUGCAUGACCUCUUCCUCGAAAUCCACCUUUGCCUCGGCCACGAUUUGCAAAGUUUUCUAAUUUAUCCCUUUUAGGAGUGAACUCCCCCUUCACCUGAAAUGCCUUCUCUUUAUUUUUAUCAUGUGACCUUAGGAUCCUCUCUUCAUGAUCUUGCAAAGAACUCAUUAGUUCAUCAAAAGUAUAAUCAGAUAAGUUAUGAGAUUCCUCUAUCGCAUCAAUAACAUGUUCAAACUUUGGAGUAAGACUCCUUAAAACUUUUGCUACAACAAUUUCCUCAGAUAUAUCUUUACCACAAGACUUCAUUUGAUUAACAAGAGAAGAAACUCUAGACAAAUAAGUCUGAAAAGAUUCAUUACUUUUCAUAUAAAGAGUUUCAAAGUCACAAUGAUAAGUCUGCAAUUUUUUGCAAUCACCUUGGCUGAACCUUGAAAUUCCUUCUUUAAAAUAUUCCAUGCCUCCGAAGAUGUAGUUGCUGCUGCAAUUCUUGCAAAAAUUGUGUCAUGGACUGCUUGUUGAAUCAGGAACAACGCUUUGGCGUCGUUCUUUUUUAUCCCUUUCAAUUUGUCUGCCUCCUUUCCAGAGCCUGCUUGAUCUACAAAGCUUGCUUCCACCAGCUCCCAAACCCCUUGUGAUUUGAAAAGAGUUUUCAUUUUGAUACUCCAAAACUCAUACUUUUCACCAAUAAAAAUUGGCAUGAGUGGGUUGCGAAGCCUCACGAUUCACUGCCAUUUAAAAAAAAAAUAGGGCUUUGAUACCAGAUUUGUUGGAAAGGAAAAGAAGAAGCUAAAUGAAUAGCUGGACAGAAACAGAGCAAAGAGAAGAAAAUACUACAGUGAUUUCUUUAUUUAUGAUUGCAUAUGAAAGUAAAGAGACAUGCCUAUAAAUAGGCUCACAAUAAACUGAAAAUUCUAAACUUUAGGCUCACUAACCCACUAAUUUAUUGACUAGCUAAUAAUCUACAGCACUAUCCAACUUGCUAGAAUAUACGAAACUAACUAACAACUCACUAACUUCCUGAAGACUUGGUCAAGAUUCUUUUUGAAUCAUUUCUCAACAUGAUGCACACCCCUAGGCAUGAAUAAUUAAUGGCAUAAAUGAUGGCAUAAAUGAGUCAUUAUUGAUAGUUUAGUGACAUAUUUGAGUCUUUUUCAUUAUUUUAAUUAAUGACGUGGACCUUUAAUAAAAAGUCAUGUGGCAAAGCUAUUUUUGAAAACCACCAUUAAAAAUUAAUGGCAUGGAUGAGCCGAUUUUGUAACAGCGAUGGCAUGACUGAGCCAAACUUUUAACUGAUGGCAUAAAUGAGCCAUUUUUGAUAGUUCAAUGACAUAUUUGAGUCUUUUCCCUAUUAAAAAUACUGUCAAGAAAUGGACCUUAGAGGUGAGGAUUACUAAAGUCCAUAUAAUCAAACUACUAUUCCAUUAGUAGUCCAUUCCCCAACUAAUGUGUGACUUUUCUGGCGCUUGGUGCAUGGACCGACAAGGAGCACCAUUCCCAAACUAAUAUGGAACUUUUUACCCACUCGUACCUGGCUUUGAUACUAUGUCAUUAAAUGGACGUUGAGCCUAACUCAACCUCAAAAGCUAGCUCAUGACGUGAGAAUUACCUAAGUCCAUAUAAGCAAAAUACCAGUCCAUUCUCUAACCAAUGUGGGACUUUUUACCCACUUCUAACAAAUAUAAAUCAUUGACUCGGACUCAAUCACUUCUAAAAAAUAUAAAUCAUUGACUUGAACUCACUCAAUGGUUUGCACGUCAUUCUCUUAUAGAUUGACAAUAUAUAUGUGACUUGUAAAUUGUGGUGGUGUCCGAGCCAACUUUUUCGUACUUUGAUUAAGUACACGGAAUACUAGCAACCUCCCUCCAGCAUUAGAUAUAAUGUAACUAGAUCUCGUGCAACUAUGACACAUGGAGAGAGUGUUUUCUUCUUGUCUCCAUAAAGAAUAUUACUUUUGAUAACAUUAGUAUUCGGUUUAGCUUUUACACACCUCACUAAAAUCCAUGAGAUACUGAUACGGGACAAAUGGACAUCUUAUCUUUUGAUGAUAUUUUUGGAGGCCAACACAUAGAGGCUCAGGACUUGGUGACCUCGAGAAUACAAGAACAUGCAUAGAGGACCCAUUUUGAGCAUAACUUACAGCAAUCUCGCGUGUGGAAGAUUGAUUAGAGCAUUUAAGGUUGAGGACUCAUGGUUUUGGACCUUAAUUAAGGGCAUUUUGGACAUUACACAUGGUGUAUUUACACACGAUGACUGCCCCUCUCAUUAAGGGUAAAGUGGUCUUUUUAUCUUCAUUUGUAAUAUAUUAUAAAUAGGCCCCCUUAGUCUUAUUUUCACUAGAUUUGGAAUGAUGAAGAAUUAAAAGACAUAUUUUCUCUCCUUUAAGAGUGUAACACCCUUAGUUGUAGGGCUUGAAAAAGUCAUCCUUAGCAUAGGGCUUGGAAAAGCCAAUAUUGAUCUUUGCUUGGAAACGAUAGAUCUUGAGGUGAGUUCAUUCCCUUGGUGGUCACUGUAAGAGUGUGGUUUUGAUUGUUACAUUCAUUAGGGGUUAAUGUUGAAAUACACUUGGUUCUUAAUCUUGUAAUAAUCUUGGUCUCACUAUCUAUCUUUAUUUUCUUGCAAAUCGUGUAUGUGUUGUGUAGUGGACUGUUUUGGGGUCUUCGUUGAAUCCAAAACUUGUAUUAUUGUUGUUCAUCUUGUUCAUAAUGUUUUGUAGUUGUUUUGGUGUUAAAAUAUACUCUUGUAUCUUGUAUUCUUGUUGUUGGUAGCGAAUCCGAGUGUGGUCUCCAUCUUGGUCCUAGAAUCCUUAAGAUUAGUGGACUGAUUUGGUGUUUGUUUCGUGCUUCUAUUGUCUUUUUCGUAUCAUUUGGUAUCAGAGCAUGGCUUGAUUUUGUUCCCACAAGAUCAAUCUUGGGCUUGAGACCUUGAAAACUACAAAAAAAAAAAAAACUGAAAUCUAAAAAUUCCAGAAAUAGUCUAAUCUGCCACCUUUGUGUUCUUGGCCAAAAAUUGCGUUCUUGUUCUGUCUUGGUCGAGAUUUGUUUGUUGUAUGUCUAGAUAUAGUAGUGUUAUUAUUUUUUUGGUUGUUUUUAGUGUUAGUUUUCUUGUCCACUAACACUUUGAGUCUAGAUCUAAUCUUGAGCUUGAACUUGUUGAAUUUGUAGUUGUCUUGGCCAAGUGUUGGAGCUAUUGUUAUUGUGGAUUGGAGUUGGCCGUGUGAAAAAUUGUUGGUGUUCUUGAAGAUUAUUGUUGGUGUUCUUGGUGUUGUUGUUUUUGUUGUUCUUGAUGUUCAUCACCACCUUCAUAUAUUGUUGAAGAUAAAGUGAAUGCUAAAUCCAAAAAGUUGAAGGAAAAGGGUGUAUUAUUUGUUAGUCUUGAAAGACACUACAACCAACAAGGACCUAUCAAUCAAGUCUCAACCACUUUCCAACACUUAUCCAUGAUUUAAGAUGUUUUAAGGAGAAUUACAAGAAAAAAGUCAAGUCUUGAAAUUGAAAAAGGCUCCAAGACUUAUUUUCCCUCCUAAAACAAAUUUCACCAAUCUAAAUUAAUUUUUUUUGACCAAGACUUGAACAUUUGAGAAUAACUUGAUAAAAUCGAACUAAUACGUGGCUGCCAUGUCAUCACUGCUACUUUUCAUGCAAUAUUUCCGAGCUCAAAAUUUUAGAUUCUUAGUUUCAUCUUAUUGUUUCAUUAGUUUCAUGUCUUGAUUCUAUAAUUAAUUAACAACUAGUAAUCACCUACUUAGUUGUAGAUUAAUUAUUGAAUCCGUUUCUUCGUGUCUUUGUUAUUGUGUGCUUUUCUCAUUUUUAAAUUGUAGUAACUUCUUUGUUUCAAGUUCGUAAGUAAAUUUUAUUUUUGUGUCUUGAGUUGAUCAAAUAAGAAUCUAUUCCAGCCACCAAGUAGAAUUGACAUCCUAUUGACUACCGGAGUAUAAGCAACUUUCAAUAUUUGCUGCUCUAAUUGUGAGAAUCACAAAGGUGAGUGAAUACGAGUGUUAGUAAGAAGUUUUUACUACUAAUCUUGUUUGUUCAUUUUGUAGGUUUAAAAGGUGAUAUAAGGGGAAUAUGUCUUCGAUAGCCGGGGAUUAUUGUGACUACAACAUGGGAGACUAUGAUUGUAGUGAGGGGUUUUAUGGCUACGAAGUUGAGGGAGAUUGUGGAGGCUAUGAAAAUAGCCAUGAUUGAAACUUGGGCAGAUGAGGAAUAUGAAGAUCCAUAUUCUCCACCUUGUAGUACUUCUUAUCAAAGUCAAUAUAGUGUGAAUGAUUAUACUAGCUCUAGUGGAGGUUGUUCAAUGAGAAGAAGAGGGUAUGCAUCUCCAAAACCAAGGAGUACUCGUAUGCCUUAAAAUGUUGAUCUAAGAAGGAGUGUACACUCCGGAAAGGUGACCAUGUGUGGGAUACUGGGAAGCCUCAUUGUGCUAAAUGAUAGGUACUAUAGAAACUACAUCGUUCCAUCCAUAGUUGACUACUUGGAGUUGUUUCGUGAGCCUUUACUUGUUCCAUACUUCUUGGACGGGUUUAAGGUUACCGAGAGGGUCAAGGUUGUCUUCUCCCAAUUGGAAUACCAUGAUGAGGUGUGGUGCGAUAUUCUUCCAUUGACAUACGAUCAUGUAUGCUUAGGUGCCGAUUGGUUUGCACAAUAUAGAGCUCCAAGCAUGCAAAAUUGGCCAAAUAUUAUUAGAGACCGAUGGGGGAAUCGCCUCAUGACUUACUUACUGCCCAAGCCACAAAGAGAAAUGCCGACCUACUCCAAUCCGAAUUAUUAUGAGAGACAAAAGAUUGGGAGGAGUAAGGGAGUGCAGGGUGGUAAUCCGAGGGUGAAAAAAGGAGAGGCUGUGUGGAGCAAAGUGAGAGGAUUACCACCAAACCAUGCUAACAUUAGUUGUCUUUCUAUUUCUAAGGACAUUUGUGUAGGUACCAACAUGGCAAGCGAACAAGAACAAUGCCAAAAGGAAGUUGCUGCCCAAAUUUUUGGAGAACCUUCACACCAUGACAAAGAAGAAUCUACUCAAGGACUUCAAGGUAAAAUGGAAAACUCUUACACUUUUGUACAUGUGAAUGAUAAUUGUGUGGCUAGUAGCCCAUUGAGUGUGAGUUGUAUCUUGCCUAUAUGUGAGUUUAUUGUUUCUUUGCCACUUGAUGAUGAUGUACAUGUUGUGAGUGUGGAUACACUAGUUGAUCCCAUUAAUGAUCGAAUAGACUCUUAUUGUAAGAUCGAUUUAUGUCCAUCUAGUGUUGAAACCAUUAUGUUGAAUGAAUGUACAUUAUCUUCUGAAAUUUGUGUUGAUCAACUUAUGUGUGAAAAUUACCCACCACCUGAGGAUGUGUAUGAUGUAAUUAAUGAACCUCAAGUGUGUGAUGAUGUUGAAAAUAUUGAUCAAAGUGAGAAUGAACCCGAGAGCUCUUCUUGGGGUAAUGUUGUGUUUGAAACAUCCUUGAAACUUGAUAUUGAUCAUUUAGAGAGUGAGGAAUUUGCUUGUUCUAAAUCUGUCCGUGAGGUAGAUCACACUCUUUUUAUGUAUAAUGUCUUGUUUGAAUAUGAUUUAAACACUCCUAAUGAACCUAGUGGUGAAAAUGAUGGUAUAGCUUGUCUUGGAAGCUAUAGCCUAUAUGCUAACCCACUAUGGUGUGACAACAUUCCUCCUAAAGAAGGAAAUCUCUUCUUGGAAGAUGAGAGUACUCUUAAGGGUAAGGAAUGNNNNNNNNNNNNNNNNNNNNNNNNNNNNNNNNNNNNUUGAGAGUACUCAUGGUGAUUAUUGGGAAACUAGUAGUGAGUACACCCAUGAGAGCACCUUAGUAGAAGUCGAUUUGAGUGAUACCUUUCUCUACUCUCUAUUUGCUUUGGAUGAUAUGUAUUUUAUUGUAGAGAGUAUGUCAUUUAGUUUGGGUAUAGACCACGGGAAAGAGAAGUGUUGUCGAGACCCAUGUCUAUGGCCACUUUUCCCCUUUGACCCCAGUGCCAAAUUUAGAAAUGGUGAUAUUGGUGCACCAAACUUGCUGCUUGGUCUACAUGACAAGCAAAGUGUCACUCUUGAUGUAUCCUAUAACCAAAUCCUUUGUACAUAUUUUAUUGAGUUUUUAAUAUUCCUUUCAAAGGAUUCUUGGUUAUANNNNNNNNNNNNNNNNNNNNNNNNNNNNNNNNNNNNNNNNNNNNNNNNNNNNNNNNNNNNNNNNNNNNNNNNNNNNNNNNNNNNNNNNNNNNNNNNNNNNNNNNNNNNNNNNNNNNNNNNNNNNNNNNNNNNNNNNNNNNNNNNNNNNNNNNNNNNNNNNNNNNNNNNNNNNNNNNNNNNNNNNNNNNNNNNNNNNNNNNNNNNNNNNNNNNNNNNNNNNNNNNNNNNNNNNNNNNNNNNNNNNNNNNNNNNNNNNNNNNNNNNNNNNNNNNNNNNNNNNNNNNNNNNNNNNNNNNNNNNNNNNNNNNNNNNNNNNNNNNNNNNNNNNNNNNNNNNNNNNNNNNNNNNNNNNNNNNNNNNNNNNNNNNNNNNNNNNNNNNNNNNNNNNNNNNNNNNNNNNNNNNNNNNNNNNNNNNNNNNNNNNNNNNNNNNNNNNNNNNNNNNNNNNNNNNNNNNNNNNNNNNNNNNNNNNNNNNNNNNNNNNNNNNNNNNNNNNNNNNNNNNNNNNNNNNNNNNNNNNNNNNNNNNNNNNNNNNNNNNNNNNNNNNNNNNNNNNNNNNNNNNNNNNNNNNNNNNNNNNNNNNNNNNNNNNNNNNNNNNNNNNNNNNNNNNNNNNNNNNNNNNNNNNNNNNNNNNNNNNNNNNNNNNNNNNNNNNNNNNNNNNNNNNNNNNNNNNNNNNNNNNNNNNNNNNNNNNNNNNNNNNNNNNNNNNNNNNNNNNNNNNNNNNNNNNNNNNNNNNNNNNNNNNNNNNNNNNNNNNNNNNNNNNNNNNNNNNNNNNNNNNNNNNNNNNNNNNNNNNNNNNNNNNNNNNNNNNNNNNNNNNNNNNNNNNNNNNNNNNNNNNNNNNNNNNNNNNNNNNNNNNNNNNNNNNNNNNNNNNNNNNNNNNNNNNNNNNNNNNNCAAAACUUGUAUUAUUGUUGUUCAUCUUGUUCAUCACGUUUUGUAGCUGUUUUGGUGUUAAAAUAUACUCUUGUAUCUUGUAUUCUUGUUGUUGGUAGCGAAUCCGAGUGUGGUCUCCAUCUUGGUCCUCGAAUCCUUAAGAUUAGUGGACUGAUUUGGUGUUUGUUUCGUGCUUCCCUUGUCUUUCCCGUAUCAGAUACCUACAACCUCUCACCAGCAGCAACAAAUAUCAUGUAACUCUGUCCACCAAGGCUAGGACAAAUCGGAGGAGUUGUUUUUUUUGUCAAAAACUAAGAAUAUUAUUUUUAAUAAUUGUGGUGAUCGGGCUAGCUUUCGUGCAGCUCAACUAAAUUCAUGUAAUACCUGCAACCUUUCACCAACAAUAGAUAUCAAGUAACUCUGUCCACCAACGCGAUGGGAAGAGUGUUUACUUGUCUCCACAGAGAAUAGUAUUUCCUUUUUUCCUCCCUUUUGUUCUUAUUGUACCUACUAAACGAUUUAAUCUUCAUUUCCCUUCUUUACUUUUAUUGGGUGAGUGUUACAUACUUUAAUGUCUGAAAUUUACUACUUUUUCUGUCCCAGUAAUUAGUCAGUCCUGGGCACAAAAAAGACAAGUAAAUAUUCUGUUUUUGUCUCAGUUCUGUUGUUCGAAUUUUUCCUACGAACCAAUGUACUUUCCUUUAAAUAUGCAGCACUAGUAGGUUGUUUACAAUUGAACAAAACGCAAAAUGGAAUGGGACAACAUAAGAGCAUUGGACUAGAGAAAAUGUAUAGUACAAACUUAGCUUCUGUUCCACUUAUGUUCAAAUUUCAAAAUGUGGUGUGCAAUUCUAUAAACAGUGGAUAAGUUCUUUGUGCAAAUGACAUGAUAAAAAAUUUGUGUAGAUCCAAAUUGUUAUGGAGAAAUAAGAAUGAAGAGAUUUCAUAUUCCUCUUGGAUGACUUAGGCAGAUGCCCGGGUGAAAUAUCCGCGCUUCUCUAGCCAUAUUUGAAUAGUACCAAGCAAUAGAGUUUUCUCUUCUUGUAGAGCUAACUGCAACAGCGACUAUAUUCCAACACAGCUUUUUCCUCUGUUAUGUUAAAAGAGAAUCCACAUUGUCAAAUUUGUACUUCCGGAGCACUAAAGGAACCGUAACAGUUCUAUAUAUGUAUCGAUAUCAAGAAUCCAACAUGAGUAGUCCACAUCAUGAAACUGAAGAUAAAUUUAGCAAGGAAAUAGGAGAAACUGGGGAAAACCAUAGUGUAAGAUAACAACUUGGAAACAAAGGCCAGAUAGCAUUUCCAUUCACCUAUGGAAAUCUGGCGGAGUGAAGCUGCAUCGUUACAAUCCACAUUAAGACUAGUACAUUUUUCUUGAACCAAUUUGUCUUAAAUUUGAGAAGGGGUAUUCAGCGUCGAUGUAUUAAUAGGCACAAGGCCUAUCAUUGCACAUGAGGACAAAUAUUUUACAUCAACACCUAUUUAAACAUCUUUAUCAUUAAAUACUGCUGCCCUCAACUCCAAAUGCUUAUCAAUGGAAAAGAAUUAACCUUGACUCAUUCAAUUCCUAUCAAUUGAUGCAUUAAUUGGCAAAAGAGGAUUUUAAUAGCACUUACUGAUGCACCUCCACUUCAAAUGCCUAUCGAUGGCUGAUUCCACCAGCCUGCAUGAAAAUUCUAACUCCUUGCACACAAAGAUCCCACUUCCGGCUGCAUUGAAAUUUCUGAAUGACUUUAGUACCUGAAGAGUUUUCACAUGUUUGUGAUGAUGUAUUCUAUUGAAAGAUUUACAAAAACUUGAGCAAAACAUAGAUAUAGGAUAAUUUUCAUAUAGUAGAGAGGCUAUCAAUAGCAGACAAUAGGCAACUCCAUGUAUGUUUCAAAGAGAAACUUACAGUUGAAAUUGCCAGCGUUCUGUGGCAGCAAACUCUCAGAGCUAUCCCACUAUGUUAAUUUACAGACACAAAAGCUGGGUUGAUUUUCCUAAAUACCUUAAAGCUUAGUGUGAUGAAAGUUCACGAACAGACAGUUCAGUUGAGAUUAACAAUAAGAGCAGAAACAAAAGAAUAGAGAAGAACCUGUUCUGGUGGUGCUUAAGAGCUACUUGAAUAACGGGAUAUUAUUCUGACCAAGGACCUGAAGAUCGUCCGCUUCCAUACCUUCAACAUAUUUUUUUAAUUAGGUGGCAACAUUUGGUUAUAGUACUAGUCCAUGUAGGAGCGAUUUUCAUGCAUAUCUGUUGCAAGAUUUAAUGAAUGACGUAAAUGAGUCAUUUCUGAUACUUCGAUGGCAUAUUUGAGUCUUUUCUCUUUGUUUUAAUUAAAGAUGUGGACAUCUAGUAAGACAACACGUGGAAAAACUGUUUUUGAAAAAACUAGCGUUAACAAGUAAUGGUAUGGAUGAACCUGUUUUAUAACGACAAUGACAUAAACGAGCCAAACUUUUAACGUAUGGUAUAUUUGAACCUUUUUCCUUAAUUUAAUUAGAAAGUUAAUCAAAAUUAUAGGAACUAUACUCUGCUUAAUUUAUAUUACUUUGCUGUUUCACUUUGUUUGACACUAUUUUCUUAUCAUCUCGUCCAAAUAAUAUUAACAUUCUUAUAAUUGGGUGGGAGCGGUGGGCAGGGUGGAUCUAGGUAAUUCAUUGCAGGUCAUCAUAAAUCUAAUAACUUUUAUGCUAACCGUAUAUUUACACCGAGAAAUCCGUUGGUGGAUGGGGGAGGAGUGUAAAAGAGAAGACGAAACAAAACAACAAAUGACAAAAAUGGUAGUAGGUUCAAAAUGGUCCGUUGUGAUAAUUAAAUUUAAAAGGCAUAAUAAUUUAUAACCCUAAACUUGACAUCAAAUUAUAAUAUUGACCUUAAACUUUGAUAGUGCAAAAGUAGUCCCUUUAACUAUACACAAGCUGAACAAAAAGACACUCCGAUUUUGCAACUACACGCGUAUACCUCACUUUCUCUGACGUGGAUUACUAAUCCACUCAUAUGGUGCCACCUAAUAAAAAAAACACAUUAUAAGUAUGACCUUUAACUUUGUCAGUAUACAAAUAGGCCCUUUAAAUAUACAAAAGUUGAAAAAAAAUCCUUCAAUUCCAACUCGAACGUGCUCCGUUUUGCGUGUACAACAUGCGUUUUGCCACAAAGGAUCGGGGUGUUUAUUUGUUCAGGUUUUGGAUAGCGAAAGAUACUAUUUGUACACUGUCAAAGUUUAAGAUCAAUGUUAUAAUCUGGUGUCAAGUUUAGGGUCAUAUUUAUGUAUUAUGCCAAUUUAAAAUGAUAUUGCCAGACAUAAGAAGUCACUUUAGUCAGAGACUUUUAUAUGAAAAGAGUAGGGAUGGUAAUGGGCGGUGCGGGUUUUAGGUUAUGUGGGGCGGUGUGUGUUUUAGAUUAUGUGGGUGCGGUGCGGGUGGGGCGGAUUUAAGUAAGUUUUUUUAAAAUGGUAUGGUGCGGGGCGGAUUGCGGAUAUAUGCGGGCUUAAACAAAAAUAAAGUUCAAAAUUUGUAUUAUUCUACUAAAUCUACCUAAAAUCAUAUGUAUUAUUCACUUAAAAUUUUAUGAUACUUAAAACAACAUGUAUAACACUACAAAUAAAUAAUUUUAUAACUUCUUUAAUUUUUGUAUUCAUCUUAAUGAAAAUUUGAUAUUUGAUCAUUUACUUGUACACAUGAUACUUUUUUGAUAAUUUCUUAGUGAAAAGUGAUAUAAUAGAAAUUGGUAGUUACUAUUUCCUAAUACUGAAAAUAUUAUGGUUUUCAGUGGAGUUAUAAAUUUUUCAAAAAAGAAAAAAGUAAAAAUGUGGGGCAGUGCAGUGCGGGUAUGCGCAGGUAUGAGUAUGGGGCGGGUCUAUGCGGGUUUAAAGGUGAUGCGGUGUGAGGCGGGGCGGUUUUAAAAUUCACAGGUUUAGAAAAAAUCCACACCGCACCAUUGCCACCCCUAUGAAAGAGUAUCCAUUAAACAUAAUGAAUUUCUGAGGUCCAUCAGAAAUGGCCUUUCUACCUUUUGUCAAUCUUUGUCAAGCCUUACAUUAAUAUCUGGUGAAGUCCUACAAGUGGAGUCUGAGGAUGGAUAAUUCCGAUAUACCUUUGCAGGGUAGACCAUGUCUAUACUAAAAGUUAAUAAUGUUGAAACAACUUGAUGAAGAUUAGUAUUCAGGAAGAGUUAUAACUAAUGUUAAGCCAUGCAGAACAUACUAAUUAUUAACAACACCAUUUUCAUAAAAGAGCAAGUUGAACAUGCUCAUAUUAACCACCCCACAACAUAAUAGUAGCAUUUAUUUUGAUGAUACAGAAUAAACACAGUUCAAAAUUCUCUAUUUGUGAUUACUAAGUGCUCUGAAAUCGCUCGGUUAAUGGUGAAAUUGAUUGCGUAUGAGCUUGUAAAGCUUUCUCCAUAACCUUCAGCACUCAUGUUUUGUCGACUACUACUGUAUGAUGUCGAUGCUGCUGAAUCUCCAUCAAUGUUCAAAACAGAAUCAGGCAUGCCGAACCUCCGUCCUUCCACUGUCAUGUAUAUGUAGUGUUUCUCGACCAGGGAAACUUUUGGUCUCGUCGUAUCAAGAUGACACCUCCGAUGAUAACUUCAAAAUUAAUCCUUGGCAAUUUCUGAGCCUUGUCACUACAUGCGCCAUAAAGUACUGAACAAAAAGACAUCCAAAGACACCACAUCGUGUCCAGCAUUGCAGCAUUGACCAACAGAUCCUUGUCGCCGAAGGGGCAACUCUGAUCUCCAGCAUACAAAGGAAUUUCACAAACAGAGAGCACCUAGUGGAAGCCUAGAUCGCUAUUCCGCACAAAAGCUAUGGAGAGAAUCUCUAGCUUCUUAGCAUGGGCCGCGAUGUAAUAAAACACCCAAUCUGCAAGGAUGCCAGAAAAGGAAAGUCGCCACGAUCCCUUGCAGUGAUGGACAAUGGCCCCAAAACCAGUAUCGAGCGGUCCAAGGGUUAGGUAUUCAGGAGUUUGAGGCUUGACUGAACACAAAGGAAAUCGGAUCAAGUUAGGAUGGAUCAUUGCAAUAGUAUCCAAGGCGGCAUCUUCCAAUUGGCGGCAGAAGUAUAGAACCAAGUGGAGCUUAGGGCAGCCAGCUAAGACUGCUAUAAGGCCUCGCUCAGUCAAGGAUGCAUUUGGCAUCUUCAAUAUAAUCUAUCACCUGCAGUCACAUUCAGAAGUAAAAAAUAACUUUUUUCACCCGUAAGGACAGAAGUACUAGGAAAAGGGCAAUCUACGAAGACAAAUAUACUCCCUCAUUUUCUAGUUAUGUGUCUUACUUUCUUUAUCCUGUUUGGAAAGAACGCAUCAUUUUAAUUUUCAACAUUCCCAUUUGACCAUUAAUGACAUUCUUUUGAGGGAAUGACACAGCAGGUUCAAAACCACAAAACGAGACAUCAACCCCACCUUGAGUUGCACAUGGUCAUCGUCACAAUCUGUCGAAUCUUGUGGAAGUUGCAUCUUUGACAACUAGCCUCGCAGAAAUGGCUGUUGGAGCAAUAUCAAAUAUCUUAAGCAUCAAUACACUGGCACAUCUUGCUUUUACUGUUAUAUUGGGAGUUUGCUUGACAUAAAACAGAUAGUGGAUUCCUCUUGGAUAACUUAUGCAUCAGGGUUCUCUAGGAGAUAGACUUGUUGAAAUCUCCCUCCAUGUAGUAUGUGCUUGUCUACCAAACUUUAUGAGCUUAAAGGUUCCACCUGGAGGAAAGAAACCAUGGUUAGAAGAUAUUAGCGAUGAAAAUGAGAGUAUCCCAAGAUGGAAAAGAAUUAACCUUCAGGAAAGAAUUAUGCUGGACUCAUUCAAUUUUGUCUAAAGUUUGAGAUGGCAUAUCCAGCAUUGAUAUAUUAAUAGGCACAUGAGGACAAAUGUUGUACAGCAACUCCAAGUUCUUAUCGAUGGUUGAUUCCACUUCAUCUUGCCUUCAAAUGUGAAGAGUUCGUGAUGAUAGUAUUCUGGAAGAUUUACAGAAACUUGAGAAAAAAUAAGAUAUAGGAUAACUUUCAUAUGGUAGAGAGGUUGCCAACCUUCUGUUUCACUUCCUUCUUUCCCAUAUAGCAGAGAGUCGGCAACUCCAUUUAUGUUUCAAAGACAGACUUACAGUUGAAGUCUCUGGAGUCUGGUAGCAGCAAACUCGCAUUGCUAGGGAUAGCAGCAGCACACAGACUAGGAGGUGAACUGAGAAUGGCGGAGGAGCUGGGGGGAGCAGGGAAGGGUUCUGCUUUUUGACGGGGACAGAGAAGGUUUGAAUAAUAAUUCAUUAAACAUAUGUAUAACUUUUAAUAUGGAUGACUAUUGUAUGACGUACCGAUGAGUUGUUUGUUUCCUCCUCCUUUAUUUCUACUUCAUUUUCUUCAUUCUACCCUUCCCUUCCUUUCUAGUUCUCAAGAUCUGAUGUAUAAAACGUGCAUAAAAUGUCAUUUUCGAGAUACUGAUCAAGGUCAAACAUCAAAUGGUAUUUAUAAAACAGAAGAGCAGUUUAUAAGAUAAAGAAGAAAACAGAAGACCCAAAUAUUCAAGAAAACAAAACCACUUUUUUCAUACGCAUUAUCGUCAUAAGUCUUCUGAAAAAAUUUGUGAAAAUUAUCUGCACACUUGAACAUACAUCACAACAAAUGCUUGCCAUUUUAAUUUGUUUUUAUCUUAUUACCGAAAGCUUAUUGUGAUGAAACGGGAUCACAUCGUCGACACAUUUUUACUUGAAAUUCACAAAAAGUUCAGUUGGGAAUUCAUCAAACACAUUGUAAACAACACACAUAAAUUUGAUUUCUAAGCAGUAGAAUAAUAGAGAAGAACCUGUCUUAGAUAACGGGAUAUUAUCCAAGCCAAGGAUCUGAAGCCUAUCUUCUCCGGUGAUAUCUUCAACAUAUUGUUUAAUCUCCAGAGCUGAAUCUUUUAGUUGAGGGCUCUCUACAAGUUGGAUAAUUUUAGAUGAACCAAUAUCCCCCAAAUUAGGUGGAAUCUCUGUAAGUUUACAACAUUCCCACAGUGUUAAUUUCUCAAGCACGGAAAAUGAUUCCUCUCCAUUCCUCCCUUGGAAGAUUGUUCUCAUAAGGAACAACUGUUCAAGGUUGGGCAGUCUCGCUAUUGUUGAUAGUGAAUCGGAUGCAGGAGGAAAGUUAAACAACUUCAAUUAUUUCAAAUUCGAUGGAAAGUGAAAAUCCCACGACCAAUUUUUUAGUAAAGAGGGCCCACUGUAAUUUUUGUUUGAACUUUCAAAUUCUACUCUGAGGAAAUCUACUUUAGUUAGGAAAUCCAAUUUUGGGAACCAAUAUUGCUCUGUUGAAUAAUCCCACGAUUCCUUGAGAACAAAUACAAAUCUUUGAAGUGUCACGACCCGAGCUGGGCCCUGGCGCGACGAGCAUCCCGAGCUGGGCCCUGGCGCGACGAGCAUCCCGAACCAUGCAAUAGUUUAAAAUACAUGGGCCCUUUCAAAAGAUCUUAAAACAAUCUUGUCAAUGCGAUUUCAUUCUUUGUAUUACUUUUGAGCUAGAUGAUACACCCUACAUUUCUACAAUCCCACGAGCUAUAUGAAAUCCACCCUUGACUCGGCGGCCAAGCCCCCAAUCCAAGUUUGCCGAAAGAAUUGGGGUGUCAGCAAGGGGGGCACACGCAAGAUCACAAAGCAGGGUGUCAUAAUCCCCAAUCAAGUCAACAUGUCAUGGUAGUGCACAAGAUCACAAAGCAGGGCUCCUAACCAUAAAUCCCAAUUUGAAACGACAUGAAUCAAGGUACACAAGAUCACAAAGCAUGGUACCAUAAUCCCGUGUCGGCAGAUCACGGUUUCUAGCAUAGAGUCUUUCAACUCGUACUUUCUUUAGGUAACCAUCUAACUCUCUUUAAGCCCAUUUUUAACCUUUUCUAAACAUGCAACUUUCUGAAUUCAAAAUCUAAUAAUCUGAGUGAAAUCUGAUUUCUAUUCAAUUCUGUGUCUGUCAUGGCAUUCUCUGAUUUGGUAUCGUCAUAACAAGACUUGCAAGUCAUGUUUCUGAGCCAUAAAAUAUCAUAUCAUAGUUCUCUAUCAAAACAUUAAGUUUAGACCACCAUACUUCAAAUAAUUCUAGAAGAUUCUUUCUUCCAAAAAUAUUUAUCAAAUUAUGCAAAGAUCAUUCUUUUUCAAUCAUUUCAACAAACAUGUGGUGGUCAUGUAUCCUUGGCAAACCAUGCAAUUCUUUCAUUAUAUAUAUAUAAAUUCAAUAUUUAUCAACAUGUAAAAAAACCCCUCUCAUCAAUUUAAAAUCAAUCUUAAAUAGUUCAACAAUAGUCAAGAACAUUGAUAAAAUGCUUCUAAAUAAUAUUCUAAAAUCAAGAGGUGUUGCAACAUGAGAGGGAAUGUAAAUAAUCAUGUUAUAAAUUCAAUUAACAACUUAAACACAUACACACAUUUAUAAGAUUACAAAUCAAUUUGGGGGAAAGGCCUCAUGACCAAAUCAAUAUCAUCAAAAACUUUAAAAGCAUAAAUCUAAUUAUAAAUCAAAAAUCCCUUUUUCUAAAUUCAUGAUUUCUAAAUCUUUAACAUGAUUAAGAAGAAUUUACCAUGCCCAUGUAGAUAUAGGAAAACCCCACGUACCUUAGAUAAUUUAGUUUGAAAGAUGAAACCCGGAUCUUGAUCCUUUUCUUGGAAUUCUUGAUCUUAGGGAUGAGUUCUUAAUCUUUGGGAAAAGGAUUAGGGUUGGAUUUUUGAGAGGAAUUGAUUAGUUUGUGAUGUAGUUUGCACAAAUACUGAUUUUAUUGUGGCUGAGGUGAGAUGAGGUAAAAGACAAAAAUACCCCUAAGGAAACAAAAAAGGUUGCAACAGUCCCUUAGUUGACAGGCUGAUAUGCUGAAAUAAACUGGGCAUAACUUUUUACCUCGAUGUUGGAUUUGGAUGAAAUGAGUUGUGUUGGAAAGAGAACUCAAAUACCUUUCAUUUGAUAUAUAGCAAUCCACCCAGUUCGUUAAAUAACAGAAGAUAUGGUCGACGAAAUUUGACCCAAGUUGAAGUGUCCACUAAAAUUUAAUCGAUAGAAUUGUUUUCAACUCGUCUUCGAGUUAGGGGAUUCUUGCGAUCUCAAUUCAUAUUCAAAGGUUUUCCAACGCUAUAGGAAUGAUCAAAACACAUACAUUAACAAGGAAUAAUUUAGUUCGGGUCUAUACGCAUAGGAACGAUGGUCUAAAUUGAAGCCCGAAAGUACAGGGUGUUACAUUAUCCCCCUUGGGAUCAUUCGUCCCCAAAUAAUGGGAACGUAACAUCGCAUUGACCAUUUUUCCUCAACAAAAUAUGCAAAGUCAGUCAACGAGAUUUAUGAUAACCCAUAGGGAAACGUGUAAGCACGAAACAUGUGAUAGUGAAACUUGAUGUCGACAUGAUCUUGGCAUGUGUUUUAUAGCACAUGAUCAAAACAUUGUAAGAAAUGAUUUUUUCUUCUCUUAUAAUAAUCCUCGGCCUAAUUAAGAUUGGUACAAUAAAUGAGAUGAGAUUCUCGCGGGACAUAAGAAUAUUAACAUUCUCCAUCUUCCAAGAUACAAUGAAAAGACUUAAACUUGGAGACACUAUUUGUCUACGCCCCAAAUAAUAAAUUACAUGCCUCAUCGCUCCCAACUUACAAUUCUUCCCAUACACAUCUACCCACAUGAAUUCGAUUCCACUGUAAUAUACUUCUAUGUCGAAGCCUCACUCGAGGAAAAAAGGUGCUAACUUAAGCUACGGGUCGCUGUACUCUACAUCUUAUCCAGAAAUCAUCUCACCUCAUCACUAUAAUCCAACAAACUACUCAAGUCCUAACUUUAACUCAAGGAAUACUAACCACAUAUUUAGCAUUUUAAUUGGAUCAUGAAAUAGCUUCAUCCAAAUUACAGUUUGAGGGGAAAAAGCUGGAAGAUUGCAAAAUGACCUGCCUGAGACACUGUAAAGCUGUGGUUUUCAGAGAUGACUCGGAUGAGGCUAGAAGUGGGAGCUGCUUAUUAAUGAAUGAGGUCUUUUCUCUCAUAGAUGAGGAAAGAACGGACAAGAGAGUAUUUCUUAAGGUGCAGAAUUCCUCAAAAGCGCAGAAAAAGUCUCCAAUCAUUUCUGGAGAAAAAAAAAAAAAAUCAAGAUCUCACAUGGUGAUAAUAGGAUCUACUCUUGCCGCUUUCUUUGGGAUAAUUGUAAGUAUCACUGCUUGCUUUGUUCUUUUCAAAAAGAGGACACGCGAUUCCAGAAAGUCGGGAGAUUUGUUUGGAUCUCGAACCAAUCUUACCUGGAAUGCUAACUUGGUUCACUUACAAUGAAUUAAAAUAAUAACAGAAGAUUUCAGCAGAAAGCUGGGGGAAGGAGGAUUUUGAUGCUCUAUAUGAAGGAACAAUGAGUAAUGGCAUUAAAAUAGCUGUAAAGAGUCUAGAUGGUCUAGGUCAUGUGAUAACAGUCAUUCCUAACAGAAGUAAAGAUAGUCUGUGGCAUUCACCAUGUCAACCUGGUAAAACUCAUUGGAUUUGUGCUGAAAAAAAAAAACAAAGGCUUUUGAUCUAUGAACACAUGGUAAAUGGAUCACUAGAUAAGUGGAUUUAUAAUAAGAAUCAAGAAAAUGGGCUUACAUGGCAUACAAGGCGAAGGAUAAUAACAGAUAUUGCCAAAGGAUUAGCUUAUCUUCAUGACGAAUGCAGCCAGAAGAUAAUUCAUUUGGAUAUCAAACCACAACAUCCUGCUAGAUCAAAAUUUCAAUGAUAAGAUAUCUGAUUUUUGGGAUGUCAAAGCUAAUUGAAACAGACAAAAGAAAAAUUGAACUAGAAUGAGAGGGACAAGAGGAUAUUUAGCCCCUGAAUGGCUGAACUCAGUAAUCACUGAGAAAGUGUACGUGUAUGCAUUUGGUAUUAUGCUCUUGGAAGUUCUCUGUGCGCGGAAAAAUUUAGACUUAUGAAGAUGUCCAUUUGCUAACUGUUUUUGAAAGAAAAGCGGAUCAACAACAACUCAUGGAUAUGGUUGACAAAAACAAUAAGGAAAUGCAGAUGCACAAAGAAGUAGUGACAGAAAUGAUGAGCAUUGAUGCGUGGUGUCUACAGGGCGAUUUCACCAAGAGGACUUCCAUGUCAUUUGUGGUUAAAGCAUUGGAAGGUUUGGUGUCUGUUGAAACCAACUUGUAUUACGAUUUCACUAGACUACCUGAGGUUCAAGCUGGCAACCAACAGAGCGAAGCCACUGACAGUUCAAUAUUGCCUUCAGUAUUACAUCGAGUCUAAUCCACCUAAGUUUUACUAUGCUUCAAGUUCUCCGGAUAGUAUACAUUUCAGUUUUGAUAGUCAAACACUUACCGCUCUGCAAGAAUCUCCUACAUCACCAGCUCAAUUCAUAAAGCUUCAGCUUGAUGGGCAUUUACGGGUAUACCAAUGGGAUGAGAAAGUACUUAGAUUGGAAGUCAUAUCUGAUCUUUCCCUUUCAUAUGGAGGAAACUGUGGGUAUCCAACUGUCUGUGGAAGAGAUGGCAUUUGCACUGGUGACGGGCGAUGUAGUUUCCCGCCAGAGGAAAAUUUCUUCAUGCCAUCAGAUUAGAGGAAAAAGAAAAAAAAAAUGUAGGAUGUUCACAGGUGAUAUCCAUUAACUGCAACUCUUUGCAGAAUCAUAGUUUCAUAUAGCUCAGGAAUACCACAUAUUGGAGCACAGAGGGACAUUAUAGCUUCUUGUUUUGAGGUCGAAACAUGACAUGAGUUACAUCGAGAGCUCAAACCAUUAGGUACAAGCAAGACCUGAAUACAUAAGACAUAGAUAGAUGUCCGUUUAAAUCGAAGUAGGAGGAGCUUGCUUGAAUAGGAUUAGGAAAUGGUUUAUCAUAAUUCUUACUUGAAACUAGACACUACAAGAAACUUCGGAAACUGCUGCAAUCUAUCAUUUCCCCCUUUCAGAAACACUAAUCGUAAUUACUUCUAACUCCCAAAGUCAUCAACUUACAACUAACAUUUUCAUGGGCAUAGACACCCACACUUUUAAGCUCUUAAUACUCCAUCUUCAAUUUCUUAGAAUACUAUUAUUACUCCUUUAAUCACAUAACUUACAACUUAACAUAAGCUCUAAAACUAUAACAAGGCGCGCAUUGCCUACCUAUAUCUCCUCAAUUCAACUAUAAAGAACACCAUACAACAACUUUCCCGACUUCUCCAUAAUACAAGAUUCAAGAACAAAAUCUAGGCACACGUGACACCCGUACACAUCACCUUAUCUAACAACAUACUACCUCAGGGUUCAACUUAUUCUAAUAUACCCACGCUCUUAUCCACUUAAUGAUUCAACAACAAUUCAUCAUUAUAACACUAGUGUCAUGCAUAUAUACAUAUCACAAUUACCACUUAAACUUUUCAUAAAUCAUCAACUUAGGCUUUUUCACAAAUCACAUCAAGCCCACUAAUUCAUUCCCACAAAACAUACAUCAUUAAUCUUAAGUUACUAUUCUUACCAUCACAUUUUACAUCUAAAGUUCAAGCCUAUAGUCUAGCAUCAAUCAUCUACCGCCGAUGAAGCAUGUAACAUAAUAUACUAGUCCAUCAAAUUGGGAAAUCAAUCCAAAAUACUUCAUUUAAUUUAACUACGACCUACAAUCAUUUCCCCUCGAAAACAUUACUACUACACCUCAAAAUCUACUACAUACUUUCUCACAAGCAGUGCUCGUUUACAACUACUAGAGGAAAGACAAUCAAAGGGGUGAGGUCACAUAAUAAGGAUGGUCGAUCUCAAUCUUAUAAUACAACCCAUUUCAAUCUUAUCAACAUAUUCUAAUUUCUCACAUCAUAUUUACUUAGCCAUGUAUAUAUUCUCACUAUCACCAAAUUCUAGAAACACCAAUGAGUCUUUACCCAUAACUUAUUGACUAGUCUACCUUUUUCCAUUCACAACCUAUAAAUCAUUUCUAUAACCACCAUAACUAUCCACUUUGAGCUCCUUCUCUAUUUUCAAUAAAUAAUAAUCAUAUCCAGUCACUUCCUUCACAAACUACCAUACAAUCUACAAAUAUUGCCACACAUUAGUCUAUCACUAUAAAAUGGCAAACCAUCCUCCAAUCAAUGGUUAUACAACUAAAACUAUUUAUUUACACAAAAGUCACCCUCACUCUGACUUCUAGCCUUGUGACUUCAUAUCACCAACUUCUUGACCCAUUUACUACCAAUAGAUCAUGACACUUUUUUAAUUUCUACUACUCGGGUGGAAAUAUAGUUCCGACAUUCUGCUAAACAUCAUUAGCCUUAUGCAUGACAUCCACAACAAGAAUUUUGAAAGAAAACGGAAUAGACUUUGUAUCUUAGGAUGAAAAGCACGAUUUCAUAAGAAUAAAAGCAUACACUCAAAUCAAUACAACCUAAAGACUAAUGGACUCCUCCCAAGUCCUCAUGCUGUCUCAUAACUUUACGGAUGACUCAAUCAGAGAGAACCACAUUGUUGAGGAGCUAGACUCUUAGACUUGUAUCGCCUCGACAGUGAGGCAUGGCCCAUGAAAUUAGAACAAGGAAUGAAUUUAUAUAACUCUCUCAUGGAAAACUCUAUAGCAUGAACUAGAGUAUGAAAGAAUAAGAAACAACUCCUAAAUGCCCGGUAGCCUCCUGAUUAUAAGUGCGGUGCAUGACACACCCAUAAACAAGACUCUACUAGACACGAUUUCGCAGACACCAUGCGACUAUGAACCGUGCUAUGAUACCAAGUUUGUCACGACACGAGUUGGGGCCUUAGCCGCGACGAGCAUCCCGAACCAUGAAGGCCCGGGCGCCCCUUUCUAUCUGACAAUCGUGAACACCAUUCAUAUACAAUAAAGAAAAAUGUGGAAAACUAUUACAACGGAAUCAUGGUCAACUUUUAUUUCAAACUACUCAAUACUGAAAUAAGUUCGUAAAGAUCAACAUCUAACACUUGUCUGCGAAAUUUAUACAUAUAUAACAUAGGAGAGAGAAAGUCAUAAAAUAUUAUGCAUGAAAUAGUUUAAAAUACAUGGGCCUUUCAAAAGAUCUUAAAACAAUCUUGUCAAUGCGAUUUCAUUCUUCGUAUUACUUCUGAGCUAGAUGGUACACCCUACAUUUCUACAAUUCCACGGGCUAUAUGGAAUCCGCCCUUGACUAGGCGGCCAAGCCCCCAAUCCAAGUUUGCCGCAAGGAUUGGGGUGUCAGCAAGGGGGGAACACGCAAGAUCACAAAGCAGGGUAUCAUAAUUCCCAAUCAAGUCAACAUGUCAUGGUAGUGCACAAGAACACAAAGCAGGGUUCCUAACCAUAAAUCCCAAUUUAGGACGACAUGAAAGCAUAGAGUCUUUCAACUCAUACUUUCUUCGAGUAACCAUCUAACUCUCUUUAAGCCCAUUUUUAACCUUUUCUAAACAUGCAACUUUCUGAAUUCAAAAUCUAAAAAUCUGAGUGAAAUCUGAUUUCUAUUCAAUUCUGUGUUUGUCAUGGCAUUGUCUAUUUGGUAUCGUCAUAACAAGACUUGCAAGUUAUGUUUCUGAGCCAUAAAAUAUCAUAUCACAGUUUUCUCUUUCAAAACAUAAAGUUUAGACCACCAUACUUCAAAUAAUUCUAGAAGAUUCAUUUUUCCAAAAAUAUUUAUCAAAUUAUGCAAAGAUCAUUCUUUUCAAUCAUUUCAACAAACAUGUGGUGGUCAUGUAUUCUUGACAAACCAUACAAUUCUUUCAUUAUAUAUAUAUAUAUAUAUAUAUAUNNNNNNNNNNNNNNNNNNNNNNNNNNNNNNNNNNNNNNNNNNNNNNNNNNNNNNNNNNNNNNNNNNNNNNNNNNNNNNNNNNNNNNNNNNNNNNNNNNNNNNNNNNNNNCAAAUAAUCAUGUUCUAAAUUCAAUUAACAACUUAAACACAUACAUACAUAUAUAAGAUUACAAAUCAAUUUAGGGAAAAGGCCUCAAGACCAAAUCAAUAUCAUCAAAAACUUUAAAAGCAUAAAUCUAAUUAUAAAUCAAACAUCCCUUUUUCUAAAUUCAUGAUUUCUAAACCUUUAACAUGAUUAAGAAGAAUUUACCAUGCCCAUGUAGAUAUAGGAAAACCCCACGUACCUUAGAUAGUUUAGUUUGAAAGAUGGAACCCGGAUCUUGAUCCUUUUCUUGGAAUUCUUGAUCUUAGGGAUAGUUCUUAAUCUUUGGGAAAAGGAUUAGGGUUGGAUUUUUGAGAGGAAUUGAUUAGUUUGUGAUGUAUUUUGCCCAAAUACUGAUUUUAUGUCGUGUUGUGGCUGAGGUAAGACGAGGGAAAAGACGAAAAUACCCCUAAGGAAACAAAAAAGGUCGCAACAGUCCCUUAGUUGACAGGCUGAUAUGCUGAAGUAAAUUGGGCAUAACUUUUUACUCCGAGGUUGGAUUUGGACGAAAUCAGUUGUGUUGGAAAGAGAACUCAAAUACCUUUCAUUUGAUAUAUAGAAAUCCACCCAGUUCGUUAAAUAACAGAAGUUAUGGUCGGCGAAAUUUAUAUCUCUUCCACUUAUAGGCUGUUUCCACACUCUCCCCCCCCUCUCUCUCUCCCUACCCUCUCUCCACCCCCAGCUUACCGACCCCCGGUCCCCGGCGCCGUCGCUGACCUUCGGCGCCGACCCGAUCCGGCCGCCGGCUCCGACCUAAGGUCGCCGGCGCUGACCAGACCGCCUGCUACGACCUCUGGUCGCCGGCUCUCCCUCUCUCUCUCUCUCCCUACCCCCUCUCCAUUCCAAGCCUUGACUGAAAGUGCUUUAUUGUAUAGCUCCUGAAGAUAAUACACAUGUUUUUCAAGAGUCAGUAAGCUGCAAUUUUUGUUUUUUGGAGAAAGGUAAAGAUAGAUCUUCCCGACCUUUUCAGAAUCAAAAUAAAAAAUGACACCAUAAUGAACGGCAUACCAAAAGAUAGAGGAAAGAAAUAACUUGGAAGCAUCCGAGAAAAAUUCGACAGGCACUAAAUCUCCGAUAAAAUUUGGAAUUCUAUGUUGACAAAUGCUUUAAUGGAAUAAAACUAAAGGCCGGAAUUCAUCUGCUAUAUAAAAUCUAUAUUAUAUUAAAAGUAUGAACUCCCUAACUUGAAAGUUAAAUUACCUUAUUUAAAUAUCCAAUUAAAUAGAUUAAAAACAAAAACCUAGCGCUUGUGAAGAGAAGCCAACACUUCAAAAUUAAAAACAAAAACCUAAUGCUUGUGAAGAGAAGCCAACACUUCAACUUCAUACCCCUGUUUCUAACUUGCUCCCAAGAACGUUGAGUGUGUGUUCUAAAAAUACUUUGAUAUGUGACUGCCUGUUUGAUUUCAAUCCGUUACCCUAUGAACUUUAUGUUUACUGCUUCUUUACUUAUUUAGACAAUGCAUAUGUGUUCCGCUGAUGCCUUUGGCUUAUUAAAUGUCGCUGUGAUAGUUUUUAUACGCUUCAACUGUAUUUUUUUCCUUGCAAUUAAAGUUCUCCUCUCUUUGCGCACCCAAGUUUUGCAAAAAAAAUAAAAUCAUUUAAACACCAAAAAAUUAUUCUCAGAAAGGCCAAGUCUUUCUAAGGAUUCUUGUGUCUAUUUUCGUAUCUUCUAAUUGACAUCAUAAACAUAUUCACUCUACUGAACUUGAUCCAACAACAACAACAACAAACCCAGUAUAGUCCCAUAUAGUAGAGUCUGGGGAGGGUAGAAUGUACGCAGUCCAUACCACUACCUCCGAAGAAGUAGAGAGGCAUAAAGAUAGUGGUAAAGGUUUACGUAUAUUGUUGUUCUUAAAAUUCUAGCUUUGAUCUGAACCCAUAUGGAAAUAUUUUUUUUGAUUUCCCAUCCAGUGUUUGAUACCCAUAUUGAGGAUCAACUAAAUUUGGAUUCGCGAUGAGAAGUCCCACGUUGGGCAUGUAUAGUGUUGUUUGCAUAGAGAACCCCAGUACUUUAAUUCGUUAUCUUGUCUUGAUGUUAUAUUUAUUGUAGUUUAUCUUAUAUGCGCUACAUGAUUUGACUACACCUACUUGAAAGUUCAAUUUUAGACGCUGAUGAGAUAUGCUUGACUGGUAGCGAGAGUUAAAAUCUAUUUGAUGUUUUCCUCUAGAAACUAUUUUAUCUUUUAAUAGCACUAGGUCGUUUGGUAUAGGGGAUGGGAUAAGUAGGGAUAUCUUAUGGCUUGGGAGAUCCCAUGGGAUUAUUUUAUCCUACCUUCCAUAUGGAUAGUAAUCCCCCAUUUUAGUAUUAGUGGUCGGAUAAAACAAUCCCGGAAUUAGCUAACACCUCACACCAAACAUGGGAUAAGUUAAUCCCAAAUUUUACCCUGGGAUUGUUGUCCUUAUCCCACGUACCAAACGCCCCCUAAAGACUUGCUCUAGGACUUCAUUUCAUUUUGCGUGUGGUUAAGUACAUCCGUUAUAUUCAAGUUUACUACUUUUGUUUGAUUCCGCUUCUUUUAUUCAAACAUAUUUAUAAUCUUAUAAAUGAAGGAAGCUAUGCUUUAAAAAAGUAUGAUAAAAGCAUGAUAAGUUUAUAUUGCUCCAGCAAUAAUGAUUUAUGAUGAAUGGAUGUUCAUAACAUAAACUUACUUUAUCCAUCUUAAAUGGCUUCUUAUGAUGCUAUUGGGGUCAUUACACACUUAUAGCCUGUUUGGGAUUGUUUUUUUCUCAAAAAAAAAAACUAUUUUCUUUUUUGAAAAAAAAAACACUUUUUUCAAAAAAAGAAUGGUGUUUGAUAAACUUUCAAAAAUGCUUUUAAAAAGACGCAGAAAUUGUUUUUCUGUUGUCGGGAUGAAGCAGAAAAUUUCUACUUUUCAAAAAAAGCAGAAUCAGAAAAUUAUUUUUUUCAGGACAAAAAUAUCCCUAUUACAAACAGACACAUAUGUAAAAAUAUCCCUAUUACACACAAACAGAUGUAUGAAGGACUACUUAUUUUUGUGGUGAACUUUUUCAUAUGUAGUGAUUUAAUUUAUUGAAUAAUUUUUAAAUCCAAUGUUGUUUGAUGUUUUUAAGUAACAUUUAAGUUAUUUUAGUAAUAUUAUAUCAUUAUUUAAUAUUAUUUAAUGUAUCUGUGUAUAUAACUAUUGAUUGAAAAUUUUAUAGUACGUACUUUUUAUUAAAUAAAAAUAAAAAAUUUAAUUAAAAAUAUUAUAAUAGAUAUUUAAAAUAUACUUUCUCUAUAAAAUGAUUUUAGUAGUAAAAGUCUAUUGAUACAUGUCCUUUUUCGUCAUUUGUCUCUCAAAAACACUUUUUGAAAAAGAUUCUAAACACUGUCUAUUUAUCAAAAGCACUUUUCAAAUGAAUUUACUAAACACAAAUUGUAUUUUUUUCAAAAGCACUUUUCUAAAAAGCUAUUUUACAAAAGUGUUUCUCAAAUAAGCAAUUUUCUAAACAACAAUCCCAUACGGGCUCAGUUUAUGUAAAAAGAAUCAGUCUAAUUUAGGCAUAUUUAAAAUCUUAGCAAGUUUUUAUUUUUAUCCAGCCAUAUUCUUCUUUUUUCCCCUUUAAUUUUGCAUUUAUCCUACCGCCUAUUUGAGCUGUAACAGUUACCUUUAGCAAGGUUAAUGAGUAAUUCCACAAAUAAUCACUCUAUUAACAAUUUUUAUCUCAGAAAGUCGCUCGACUAAUGAUAAUUAUCUUAGAAAUCACUCAACUUUAUUUUUUCAUAGAAAAGUCACUCAACUAUUACUAGUUCGCCUACAAAGUCAUUCAACCAAUUCAAGCUAGAUUUUCAGUAGUUUUUGUUUUUUUUAAAUGGUGCUAUAUUUUCGGUAGAUAUUGUUGACGUGAUUCUGAUCUUCCCUUCAACUUAGCUAAACUAGAAAUUCCAGGCAAAAAUACCUAAAAGAACUGUUAGGUGGUGACUCUUGAAUUAAGCCCGAAAUCAUUAAUAAAUUGUGCUUCUACUUAAUCUGAUUAAGAUGGAGUGCAAUCACCCCAAUUUUUGAUAAAACAUACUUCUAUCAAUAUUGGAGAGACGUGAUUAGGCAUGAUAUGGAGCAGUUACAGCUUACGGAGGUCAUGACCUUUAAUAGGAAGGUAAGUGGAGGAUGCGGAUUAGGGUAGAGGGUUAGGGGGUGAGAGUGCACCGGUUACAGUAGGCGAGCGUUCUUUAUUGGUGUUUGAAGUUUCUUGUUCGUAGUGUUGAGUAAUGUCUAUGAUAUCGGAUAUAUAGUUUUUAGUAUUAUUUUGUGGCUGUAGUAUUAUCUUGUAGAUAGCAAGGUUAGUUUAUUUUGCAUACUGUACACAUUUAUGUUUGUGAUCGCUAUACUGUUAUCGGUCCUAAGCCGAGGGUCUAUCGGAAACAGCCUCUCUACUUCACCUACUUCACCUGAGGUAGUGGUAUGGUCUGUGUACACUCUACUCUCCCCAAACCCCACUAUGUGGGAAUACACUGGUAUGUUGUUGUUGUUAUAUACUUCUAUACCAUAAACUGUUCUUACUAUAAAGUAAUCAUGUUUUUAUGCAAAUACGUAUAGCUUACUAAGAGUUCUUAAAUUGAUUAAACCUUCAAUAUAAUCAAGUUCCCUUACCAUAAAGUGAUCCCUUAAUAAGAGUUGGAAUGCUUGGUCCUAUUUGUUAUAUGAUUGAGUACAUCUUUUUAGCCAAAACCUAUGGUGAAGAUUUGCUCCGUAAUGGAGUUAUUGUUUGUUAGGCUUAAGUUAAUCAUAUGAUUGCAAAGUUCGAUGUUUGUUUAGAAAAUUAACUUAAAGCUUUAUGACAUGACCCUAGAUAGGAAGGUCUGGAAGACGGGAAUUACGGCAGAAGAGUAGGGCCAGAUUGGGUCGCUAGUGUAAGGAAUUACUUGGUGGGGUUUUUUUUAUUUUUUAUUUUUUAUUCCCGUUAUGAUUCCGUAUUCAGUGUUCCAUGCUUAUUACGAAUCUGUGUGCUUUCCUCUGCUUUCCUCUGUUUUAUAUUCCUUAUGGGUGCCGUAUUUAUGUUAUGUCAUCUGCUUCUGUGCUGUACUAUGUGUUUGUUUGAUAUCUCGUAACUUGAGCCGGGGGUCUUUCGGAAACAGCCUUUCUACUUCAUCAGAGGUAGAGGUAUGGACUGCGUACAUCUUACCCCCCCCAGACCCCACUAAGUGGGAAUACACUGGGUUUGUUGUUGUGUAUGGUCGGCGAAAUUUGACCCAAGAUGAAGUGUCCACUAAAACUUAAUCGAUAGAAUUGUUUUCAACUCGUCUUAGAGUUAGGGGAUUCUUGUGACCUCAAUUCAUAUUUAAAGGUUUUCCCACACUAUAGGAGUGAUCACCACACAUACAUUAACAAGGAAUAAUUUAGUUCGAGUCUAUACGCAUAGGAACGAUGGUCUAAAUUCUAGCCCGAAAGUACGGGGUGUUACAAAUACAUAGAUGGACGUCUACCUUUAUUUGACCUCAACCUGAAGAUGAUUUGAAACGUCUAGAUGUGCAUUCUUAGAGCGUUUAGUUUCCUGGUGAGACCAAGUCAUAUAAGCACCUUAAAUUUGUGUGUAUAACAAAGUAGAAACUUUUACUUUACAUCAGAAAGUCUCGUGAUCACCCCAAUACAACAUAUCUCAUGCGUAUUGCAAUAGCAAAUGAUGUGUCAAACGAACAAAUCAACAAAUGACAUGUGUAUUUGAUAAAUAUAUAAUUUUUAUUAGAAACUUGUAAGUUUUCUUAAACAGAAAAGUCCUCUCCUAAAGUCAAUACACAUGCAUGUAAUUGUUUUAUUUGGUAUAUGGAGAGUUCCUCCACAUAUUACUCUAUGUAAAGCGGAUACAGGAUCCCUCUCGGAUAAUUUUAGCAGAUGACAGGGUGAUAUAUCCGCUCUACUCGAACCACUUAAUUCCGAGCAACAAAUUCUUCAUCUCCAUCCAGACCUUCCUUCAUUAGAGCUUGUGAUGCAAACCCUCUAGGUGAUCGUUUCCAUGAUUUGUAUCCGAGUAAAAGUUGCUGCAUUUCUAAUGAGCUGCUUGUCUGUUAACAAGCAAGAGCAAAAGUUGGAAACAAUAUAACAAAGGUGUAUUUGUAAACAAAAACUUCUCUGCAUUAAGCUCAUCGAUCCUAUACAUAAUAGAGUUAAAGGUGCCAUGAUGUGAACCAAACCACGAACUAAAAGGAAAUGCGGAAAUGAAAAGGUAGAAGACAGAAGAAAAGACACAGGAAAGGAUAAAUUGGUAAUACUAACAAUAUCAAAGAUAAUACCUCCAAUUUUGAAUCCAAACAAGGAAAACACAACGAAAUUAGAGGAUAUAUUAUAUCCUAAAACCCCGAUAAAUUAAUACAAAAAAGUACCUAAUCUCAUAUGAAGACCUCAAGGAUGAUUGAAUCUCCUUGCAACCCAUGUUUCUAAACAAAGUUCAACAAACAGCUUAAUCUAGCUCUCAAAUAUGUCACAAGAGAUAAUAUUCAUAAUAAAAUGACUAAGACAACUAUUCAUAAUUUUCCUUUUACAAACACAGAACAAAGGGCUGUCUUGGACACCUCCCACCAUUGCCAAAGUGGCAACCACCAAUCCCAAGAUUUGAGAUCUUGGGAUUGGCUUCGCGUGUGUGGUCUUAAAAAGUAUGUGCUAUACAUGAUAGUAUCACCCAUGAUCCAAGCUAUUAUCCAAACAUGGUAUUGCUCUACCGGGAGCUCCUUCCAAGAACGCACAUUCUCAAGUUUCAUGCCUUCCUCCCAAGCCUCCAAUAUAGUGAUUUGAUGACAAGUCUACCAACACCUUAGCUCGUCUUCGUGUGUAAAACUUUGAUGAAGCUCGGAUCGCAUCAUGCCACCUGCAGAAAAGAAGCCACGGUUAGACGAUAUUAGUGAUUAAAAUGAGAGACUAUCCAACAUUGGAAAGGAAUUAACUAGGAUGGUUCAACCAACAGGAAGUUGAUAUUCUUAGCACCUCCAUUACCCUGGACAAAUUCAAUACAAUUAAUAGCUUGCGGCGUCAACUUUGGCAUCAAAUUCUGAGAGUCAGUAACAUUAUUACCUGAAGAGUUUUCACAUAUUUGUGAUGAUGGUAUUUCUUGAAAUAUUUAGUAGAACUUGAAAAAGCUGAAAUGAGUUGGAAAGAAAAAAACUUUUAUUAUUUAUGCUACAGAUUAUGAACUUUUAAAUAAAAAUCUUUAACAAUGGAUGACUAUUGUUUGACGUACUGAUGAGUUAUUUGUUUUCAUUUUCUUUUCCUAUUUCCAUUAUUAUACUUUCCAAUAGUCAAUACCAAAGUAACUUCCCCUUCUAUUCCUUUCAAUGUUCUCACGAUCUAAUGGAUAAAAUGUGCAUAAAACUUUAUUAGGUGGAAGAAGUAAGAAUACUAGAAAAUUAAAGAAAGGAGCGUAAAACGUCAUGGAAGAAAGAAUACAAGAAUAUAGCUAGAUUUGAUGCUUCUAUUUUUGAGUUACCAAGGUUAGGUCCAGAUGUAAAUUUUUAUACAUGUAUAUGAGAUGAAGAAACAAAAGAAUAAAUACUUGCUAAAUUUCGACUUAGUAUUAUUCACAGACAUAUAGUAGACAUAAAACACAAGAAUCAGAACAGCACGCGAAUGUAAUAGAGAAGAACCUGUUAUGGUGGUGCUCAAGACUUCCCACGCAUAAUUCUUCAAGCUACUUAAAUAAUGGCAUAUUAUUCGGGCCAAGGACCUCAAGCUUCCGUUCCAUAAUAUCUUCAACAUAUUGUUUAAUCUCCAGAGGAUAUUAGUGAUUAAAAUGAGAGACUAUCCAACAUUGGAAAGGAAUUAACUAGGAUGGUUCAACCAACAGGAAGUUGAUAUUCUUAGCACCUCCAUUACCCUGGACAAAUUCAAUACAAUUAAUAGCUUGCGGCGUCAACUUUGGCAUCAAAUUCUGAGAGUCAGUAACAUUAUUACCUGAAGAGUUUUCACAUAUUUGUGAUGAUGGUAUUUCUUGAAAUAUUUAGUAGAACUUGAAAAAGCUGAAAUGAGUUGGAAAGAAAAAAACUUUUAUUAUUUAUGCUACAGAUUAUGAACUUUUAAAUAAAAAUCUUUAACAAUGGAUGACUAUUGUUUGACGUACUGAUGAGUUAUUUGUUUUCAUUUUCUUUUCCUAUUUCCAUUAUUAUACUUUCCAAUAGUCAAUACCAAAGUAACUUCCCCUUCUAUUCCUUUCAAUGUUCUCACGAUCUAAUGGAUAAAAUGUGCAUAAAACUUUAUUAGGUGGAAGAAGUAAGAAUACUAGAAAAUUAAAGAAAGGAGCGUAAAACGUCAUGGAAGAAAGAAUACAAGAAUAUAGCUAGAUUUGAUGCUUCUAUUUUUGAGUUACCAAGGUUAGGUCCAGAUGUAAAUUUUUAUACAUGUAUAUGAGAUGAAGAAACAAAAGAAUAAAUACUUGCUAAAUUUCGACUUAGUAUUAUUCACAGACAUAUAGUAGACAUAAAACACAAGAAUCAGAACAGCACGCGAAUGUAAUAGAGAAGAACCUGUUAUGGUGGUGCUCAAGACUUCCCACGCAUAAUUCUUCAAGCUACUUAAAUAAUGGCAUAUUAUUCGGGCCAAGGACCUCAAGCUUCCGUUCCAUAAUAUCUUCAACAUAUUGUUUAAUCUCCAGAGCUGAAUCUUCAAGUUGAGGGCUCUCGACAAGUUGGAUAAUUUUCAAUGAACAAAUAUCCCCCAAAUUAGGCGGAAUCUCUAUAAGCUUACGACAUUCGCAGAGUUUUAAUUUCUCAAGCACGGGAAAGGAUUCCUCUCCAAAAUCCCACUUAGCAAGAGUCACUUCUUCCAACUCCAAAUAUUUGAGAUUCACAAAGGUGUCUUCCUCCCCCAUGUUCCAUUCUUCCCCUUGCAUGAUUGUCCUCUCAAGGAACAAGUCUUCAAGGUUGUUCAGUCUCGCUAUUGUUGAUAGUGAAUAGGAUGUCAGAGGAAAGUCACACAACACCAAUCUUUUCAAAUUCUGUGGGAAGUGAGAAUCCCACGACCAAUUUGUCGGUACAGAGGGCCCACUGUCAUUUGUGUUUGAACUUUCAAAAUCUACUUUGAGGAAAACUAGUUCUGUUAGGCAAUCUAGUUUUGGGAAACAAUAUCUCUCUGUUGAAUAAUCCCAUGAUUUGUUGAGAACAAAUGAAAGCUCCUGAAGAUUGGGAAACCUUUUGAAGAUAUCCACCGUGUCUUUCGAAUAGGAAAGCAUGAGUGUCCAUAAUACUCUCAAGUUCUUUAACUCUGAGCCUCCAGCUAUUGGUAUUGGUUCAUCUGUAUCAAAAUCAAAGAAAGAACAAGCAUCCAUGGACAGCUCUCGCAACUUUACAAGAUUCCAAAUACUCGGUAAUAGUACCAAGGUUGAUGCUUUGUUAUCAACAAACAGGCUUUCCAGAUUCCUGAGGUUUGAGAAAGAUGAAGGCAGAGAUUUAACUUCUGUCCCAAUUCUUAAGUACCUCAAAUAAUUCAACAUGCCUAUUUCAUUCAACAAAGAAUCUUUCACCAUCAUAAUUGAGGGAUACAGGAUCAACACUCUAAGAAGCCUCAACUCUCUUAGGUGGCAUGCAUCAGAAAGACGAUCUUCCAUCUCGUCUCCAGUUAUCUCCAAAGAAUAUACAUGUUUACCACAAUGCCUUUUCAUUUUUGAAUCGAGCAGGAUGAAAUUGUUAGACCCAAAGUGCUCCUUAUCAUAAUUAAUGGUCACUAUACGUGGCAUCAAAUCUGAAGAAGAAAAUGCACCACUUGAACUUAUCUCGCCAAACAACUUUUCCUCUCUUGCUUUUAUCAGACAAAAGUCGUGCACAAGAUCAUGAAUUUGGCAAGUCUGGCGAUAACCUAUCUCAUUGAAGCUAGUUACCAAGCUACUGGUAAUUAAACUAUCAAAAUAAACCUGCAGUACUUCUGUCUUUUCAGCAAGCCCUUCAGCGCGCCAAUAUAUUCGCAACGCAUCAAACUGAAUUUCUCUGUCUUUUGGAAAAGAUGCAAGGUAAAUUAAGCAUGGCUUCAGGUGCUGCGGUAAAUGGUUAUAACUUAAUUCUAUAACCUUCAUCGCAUCAACUUCACUGUUCAAAAUAAAGGAAUUCAAAUUAUUUCGAACUUCAAGCCACACAGACUUUUCCUUUUCCCUCCCUGCAAUGACUCCAGCAAUCAGAUCAGACACCAAAGGAAGUCCCUUACAAUUUUCGGCUAUUUCUUUUCCAACAUCCAAUAGUUCAUCAGGGCAACUCUGUUCUCCAAAUGCCCUUUUCUCUAUUAACUCCCAACUUUCUUCUGGACUUAGCAAUCGAAGGUUAAGAGGAUCAGUGUUGCCCUUUCCAUGUAAAGCCACUUCCUUUUGUCGAGUCGUCAAAAUAAUUCUACUUCCUUUCUCAACUUCAGGGAAAGGUCUUGUUAAAUCAUCCCAUGUAGUAGUAUCCCACACAUCAUCUAACACAAUUAGGUACCUCUUUCCAAACAGUUCUCUCCGUAACAUAUCAGCGACAUCAAUAUCCUCACUGAACUUCAAAUCCGAGCCAGUAACUUGAUUAAAAAGUUUCACCAGCAACUUCUUCUCAUCAUAUUCUUGGUCGACUGUGCACCAUGCUCGAAGGUCGAAAUGACUACAAACUGCUUCAUCAUUGUAUACUUUGUAUGCCAAAGUAGUUUUACCCGAACCCGGCAUACCAGUGAUUGAAAUGACAUCAAGAUCUUUCGGUGCACUGGUGAGCUUACUAAUUAACCAGUUUGUCUCCUCCUUAAAUCCUACAAUUAUUUUACCAGUUGUCAAUGACUUUCUUUCAACUGGAUUCUUGGGAGAGUUUACAACAAUAUGGCUCCUGUUCUUGGUAAUUUUCUCAUGUAAAUUAGAGACUUCUUCUUUGAUAAGCUUGAUCUUUUUUAUGGUGAUGGGAAGUGAGAAAAUAAGAUGUAAGAGACCAUUAUCUCAAACAAUAAUAGAAUCAAUGACAUCUUUUGCCUCAUAUGCCGCAUCUAAAGCACGUGCCCAUAGAUCCUUAUACAAUCUUUGCUCAACAUUCACGAAGAACGAUCUUAUAAAUUCUAGGUCUUCUUUCACCAACUCAAUUUCUUUCUUUAUCAAAGAAAUUGAAUAAGAAUUGGAAUCUAGCAGAUCAUUCAAGUGGAUGAGUAGAAGAUGCAUGAAGAGUGGUCCAUCAUUCAUGGGGAAGCAACAUUGAUAUGAGUCCGGGACUUUCAGAUAACCAUGUUUGAGAUCAUCCUUGAGGAGUUCAAUAUUUUCCAGCAAGUCUCGAGUUGCACGACUUGUUUCAUCUGUGCUCUUUUUAUUCCUUGAUUCCUCUUCUAAGUCACGAACAAGAGUUGAUACCUCUGUGGUAAGUGCUCCCACACGUGCCAGAAGAUCAAAUAAUUUGUCGUGAUGAAUAAAGUCUCUAGGCAUGUCAGUAAGAAUAAUCAACAGAAACUCCAUUAUGACUUGAAUGUUUUGAGCCCCUGAAGUACUAGGGGUGAUAACAUUUACCAUGUGCUCUUGUAAAUGAAUCAGAUAUUCUCUAUUAAUGUCUGGAGAAGUUUCUAGGAGCUGCUUAAUGAAACCUUCAACUUCUGCUGAUGGUGAAGCUUUCAAAUUUGUAAAACAAAUGUGCAUAACCUCCAGUUCAAUUGGAAUAAUCUUUAUGAGUAGAUUUGCUAGCUUUAAGAGUUGAAAAUCUCCAUCAAUCUGAUCAUCCUCAGAUAGCUCGGAGAGUUGAGAGUUUCCAUCAGUCUGAUCAUCCUCGUCUAGCUCGGAGAGUUGAGAGUCUCCAUCAGUCUGAUCAUCCUCAUCUAGAUCGGAGGGUUGAGAGUCUCCAUCAGUCUGAUCAUCCUCGUCCAGCUCGGACAGUUGAGAGUAUUGAUCAAUCUGAUCCUCCCAAAGGAACUUUCCUACACUCUCGGCCAUCAGUUGAAACCGGGGUAAGACAUUCUCAAUAAUCUCAUGCUUGAUGCAACCAUUCACUAUCAACCCAUGGAAAUCUCGUACAUUUCGACAUACAUUCUGAAGAAUCCCAUAUUCAUUCACUAACGGGAAAAUCUUUUCAGCACGAUACUUGGAUAGAUGAUGGAGAUUCAAGAGAAGGAAGUUCAAUUGUUCCUCUGCCAUGGUAGCAUUUGAUUUAGAACAAUGGUCCGAGCUGAUACAGUUAUCCAUAUUCUUGGUGAGGCUAGGAAGGACAUGAUGCAUGUUAUAUUUACACCUGAUGGUGUUGUCCACAUCAUCAAAAAUUGUCCGAAGCAGAUUCUCAACUUCUUGUCUUUUGCCGGUCAUUAUAUCUUGAAACUGAUCCAAAUCGGAAUAAGAAAGCUGGACAUAUGUACAAAUAAAUGUCAGCUUUGAUUUCAGCUUUUCAAUAAGAUCCACAUCAACAGGUUUUUGAUCCUCUUCAUUCUUUAACCUCUCCACGAAAUCCAGAACAUUGAUAAUGUCCUCACGAAGAGCAGAAAACGACAUCUGCAAAAAGACCAAAUGUUAUAUCACAUUUUCAAAGCCACAGCACUUAACAUAGCUAUAGAAAAUGGUUUUUGUCAAAAUUCAAUGUUGCACGUAAGCUAUAUAUUGAUCAUGACAUACCGAUGAGUUGUUUGCUUCCUCUUCCUUUCUCAGUUGUUCCUUUUCUGUUACUCUUUCCAUGAUUGUAAUGAAGUUCUCUGUAACAAAAAGUACCUACAUAACAAAGGAACAGAGUUAAUCACAUUAAGUUCUAUCGUGGUAUUGAUCAAGGCCAAAACAUCAAAUACCUAUAGAAAAACUAUUUUGUCCGAAUAGUAAUUUUAGUGCAUUUAGUCUCUAACACCAGAAUUGUUAGUGUUAAUCACAGAUAAAAUGUUUUCACAUUAAAUUUUCAGAAAAGGAAUUUGUAAGAUUGAGGAAAUUACAGGUCCCAUAUGUUCAAGGACAGAACCUAUCACUACAAAUAUAUUUCCUUUUUUAUGACAUUAAAGGACCAGGUUCCUAGAUCAUCAUGAAGUGGUACAACUGUCACCUCUCUGCAUAGUUUGUCUGCUAGUGCAACUAACUGUGCAGGAGUGCAACGUACCCGAUUAAACACCCGGUCCAAUUAAAAUUCAACCCUGAUUUAUACACCCGUAUAAAUAUAAAAGGAUGCUUCUCAAUCAAAUAGUUUUUGCAAUUUUUGUGAAUCACUGUAAAUGACGAAAACUCUCUAUUGCUAAAGUUCCAAAGCUUUUGUGUGCUUAAGGUUUAGUCCUUCUUGAGUCAAGUCUUGCAUUGUAAUCAUUUUACUCAUCUUAUAAGUGUAAAGAUUUUCUUUUGGCAGUAUAGUGCUUAGGUAGAGUUACCUAAGGCCCAUGGAUUAGAGUUAAUCGAUUAUGAAGUGAUUGAGGUGUGUAGAGUGGUUGUGGUAGAGCUAUUGAAACCUGUAGAACUUAGAUCUAUAUUCUUGGAGUCUGUAAUCAAUGAGUUUUCAUUAUAGUGGAGAUUGAGUGCUUGUGAGGGCAAGCCUUGGUUUUGCAUACCUUGAGCAUGAAGGUUUCCACGUAAACCACUGUGUUUAUUUUAAUAUCUACAAGUUUUUGUUUGUUACUAUUUUAUUGCUAUUCUCUUAGUCUUAGGGACCUGGUCCCUUGUACGAUGGUGCACUCUUUACAUUUCAACAAUUGGUAUCAGAGCAAGGUUACUAUAAAAGGUUAACACCUAGCGUUAUUUCUUGAUCAUGGCUGCUUCACCUAUUCUGGAGGAAAUAAUAUAGGUGGUGGAAAACCAGGAUGUAUGACUUCAUUAUGGUUGAGGCUAGUGAGUUGAUGGAUGUAAUACUUGAUGGUCCUUAUGUGCCUGUUAAGGAGGUUAAAUAAGGAGACAUAACAAGAAUGGUUGUCAAAACCAGGAGAGAAUAUAAUGAUAAAGAAAGUAAGAAAAUUGAAAAGAAUUACAAGGCUAAGAAAUUGCUUGUGUGUGGUAUAAGACCGGAUGAAUACAACAGGAUUCCUCUUGUGAAAAUUCUAAGGAAAUCUGGGAUUGCCUGAAGCCUUCUCAUGAAGGAACCACUGAUGUGAAGGAUUCAAAAGUUGAUAUGCUGACUACUCAGUAUGAAACUUUCUCUACGAAGGAGGGGGAAACUAUUCAAGAGAUGUAUGAUAGAUUCACUUCAAUCACAAAUGAGUUGCACCGCCUAGUAGAAGUGAUUCCUCCACAUAAACAAGUGAGAAAAAUUCUAAGAGUUCUUCCUAUGUCCUGGGAAAGCAAAGUAGAUGCUAUUACUUUUACAAGAAACCUGAAGGCUCUCACUGUGGAUGAACUUAUUAGUAAUCUAAAGACUCAUGCGCACAAAAAUUAGCAAGGGCAAGAGAAGAAAAAAGAAAAAGGAGAAAAGUCUCUGGAAUUGAAGGCCUCAAAGUCUAAUUUAAGCAAGGAGGACACUGAUGUUGCUUAUUUGGCCAAAAGAAUUGUGAGAUUAAUGAAGAAAAGUGGUCAGUUUCAAAGGAAAGAAAGCAGCAACAAAAAGGGAGGUACUAUUAAAGUUUGCCGCAAAUGUGGAAACCUGCGCGUUUCAUCAAAGAUUGCCUAGUACAUAAAAUGGACUAUCAAGAAUAUCUGAAGUCUGGAGGUUAUAAAGGAAAGAAUAAGGACCAAAUUCUUGAGAAGACAAGAAGAAAAGUUAUAGCUGAUUAUGAAGUAAAACAGGCUCUAGCAAUGUGGGGAGAUACUUCUAGUGAUUCUGAUGAAGCAGAAAAGCCUGAAGAUGUCUCUAUGUUAGCAGUGGAGGAUAGUGAAAUCACCUAAGACACUUUGUAUGCUCUUAUGGAAAAAGUAGAUUAUGAAAAAAGAAAAUGAGGUAAGUCUUUCUGACAUUAAGGAAAACUUAGAGAAUUAUUCUUCUAAGAAGAUAAAGAAGCUUGCAAAUGUGCUGAUUGAUUUUGUGUGUCAUUUGACUACUGAGAAAAAUGUUCUUGAAGACAAAAUAGAAAAUCUAGAUAAUGAAUUAAUAGCCUUAACUCUUCAAUUGUCUGAAACUGAGGAAUAAUCCUCAAAAUUAAAAUGUGAAAAUCUGAGAUCUACUAGAUGAGUUUGAUAAUAAAUGGAAGAAAGAAGCAUCAAAGCGUCAAAUUGAGCUUGAAGAAAAGUUAAAGGGGUUUCAAAGGAAUCUCAAUACUGCACUUCAUAAGAAUGAGAAAUUAAAAUGGGAUGUGGUCCGCAUAAGAGAAGACCUUAACAAAUCCCAAAAAUGGACCACAUCCUCACAAAUUCUGACUAAUUUCAAUAGUUAGGGAGUCAAUAAUGGUAGAGGUCUUGGAUACCAAUAUAGAACCCAUGCUUCUGGGUCUCAAGGGAAGCAUGCUUUUGUUCUAAAACCCUAGGUCAAUAGUUAUUUUUAGACCGUGGAAGUGAUGGUCACUUGAUGAAGAAAUGUCAAGGAUGACCUAAAGCUAAAACAAACGGUACUAGAUACAUCCAACAAAAGAAAUAUCAUCCUAAAGUACACAAUCUCUUGAGAAAUACUGAGAGAAACAAACUCCCCAGCUGGACCCAAAAGGAUUUGAUCACUCCCUUGUCUUUUUAUUGGGAACUCAAACUCAAGUGUGUUCCCAAUUCUAACAAAUGACUUUGUUUCCAAUUAAGAGUAAGGGAACACAGUCAGAAUUGGUUCAUGGAAAGUGGAUGUUCAAAACAUAUGACAGGGAGGACUGACUAUUUUCUCUCACUCAAGAUACUUCAAGGUGGAGGUGUAUUAUUUGAAAAUAGUAAAAAGGGUUAUAUUCAUGGUGUUGAAAAGAUUGGAAAGUUUCUUGAUCAAUCAAUAGGAGAUGUGUACUAUGUAAAUGAUCUCAAGUACAGUUUUUGAGUGUAUCUCAAAUCUGUAACAAAGGUAAUGAGGUAAAGUUCGUAUUAGAUGGCUGUAACAUGACAAGCUUGAAGUUUGGAAAAGUCAUUCUCAGAGCUAAAAGGUGCAAAAAUAUGUGUGUGGCUGAUCUGGACUGGACUCUGUAACUGAUUGUGAAUUGACCAGCUUAAGUGUUCAAGGUAAAAAUGUUGAUCUAUGGCACAGAAGACUGGGACAUGUAAUUUCCUCCCUGAUAAAUAAAUUGAUCUCAAAGUCUUGGUCCGUGGUGUUCCAAAGGUGUAGUUCUUAGACAACAAAAUUUGUGAUGCCUGUGUCCAAGAAAAAUAAAGCAGAUCUUCCUUCAAACAAAAAAAGCAGGUUAGCACCUCUAGACCCCUUCAGUUGUUACAUAUGGAAUUAAGUGGACCUAUUAAAGUCCAAUGUAGAGGUGGUAAGAGGCCUGUGUAUACCAUUCUGUGGCUAUUCAAGGUUCACCUAGACAAUGUUCUUUAGAACUAAAGAUGAAACCUAUGAUGUUCUGGUGUUUUUUCUAAGCAAAUUCAGAUGAAGCUAAACUGCAAAACUAUUGGAUUCAGAUAUGAUCAUGGAACAAUGUUUGAAAACUCCCAAGUUGUAGAAUCUUUUUCUGAAAAUAGAAUUAGUCAUAAUUUUUGUACUCCUAGGACUCCUCAGCAAAAUGAAGUGGUUGAAAGAAAGAACAAGACUCUCCUAGAAAUUUCCAUGACUAUGUUGAUUGAUAGUGGCAUUCCAGAAAGUUUCUGGGCUGAGGAUGUUAACACUGCAUGUUAUAUCACUAAUAGAUGUUUGAUCAGGUCACUCUAGAACAGAACCUCUAUGAACUUUGUUCAGAAAAAAGCCAAAAGUAGACUAUUUCAAACCCUUUGAAUGCAAAUGUUUUGUUCUAAACAAUAGAAAGAAUGAGCUUGGGAAAUUUGACUUUAAAAGUGAUGAAGCAGCCUUUAUAGGCUACUCCUCAACAAGUAAAGCUUACAGGGUCUUCAACAAAAGGACUCGGUGUGGAAUAAAGUGUACAUAUAGCCUUUAAUGAGCCAGGAAUGUCCAGAGAUUUUGGUAGAGAUAAAGAUUCUGACAUAGAAGAACUCAUUACCAUUCAAAGGGAUGAUAUAUCUAAAGAUGAUGGUUAAGGACAUGCUGAUAAUGUUUAGAAUAAUGAAGGUGAUGGUGAGUCCAAUGCUCAUUUACAAACUCCAGCUACAGAAGAAAAACAUCAAGAAAGCUUUAGUAAAAAUCUCCAACGACCUAGUCCCAGCAAUACUCAUCUCAGAAUGUCAAACUGGAAGCAUAAAUCCUCUCACCCCCUUGAAAAUCUGACAUCCCCCUUGGAAUCUGGAAUUCAAACAAGAGAUCCAACUAGAAAUUUCAUGAUCUUCUCAGGCUUCUUGUCACAAAUUGAACCCAAAAAUGUGAAAGAGCUCUGAAGGAUGCUAACUGUAUUAGUCUCUCUAUGGAUUAAAGAUGAAACAAGCACCUAGAUCUUGGUAUGAAAGACUUUCAAAAUUUCUUUUGGAAAAUGACUUAAAGAGAGGGAAAAUAGACAACACUCUUUUUCUGAUGUCUAGAGGCAGGAACUUAUUGAUUUUCCAGGUCUAUGUUGAUGGCAUCAUAUUUGGAGCUACUUCUGAGUCUUUAUGUGAAGAGUUUGCAAAGUUAAUGGGUAGUGAAUUUGAAAUAAGCAUGAUUGGUAAAUUGAGCUUAUUUCUAGGCCUACAGAUUCAACAAACCCCUCAAGGAACUAUAAUUUGUCAAAAAAAAUACAUCAAAGAGUUGAUAAAGAAAUAUAAUAUGAGAGAUGCCAAGAAAAUUGAUACUGCAAUUGGAACCAAUUCGAAGAUGGAUAAAGAUGAACCUGGUCCUUAGUGAAUGAGACCAUGUAUAGAGAGAUUAUUGGAUCCCUACUGUAUCACACUGCAGGUAGGCUGGAUAUUGUAUUCAGUAUGAUAAUGUGUGCCAAAUUUCAGGCUUAUCCUAAAGAGUCCCAUUUGAAUGUAGCAAAGAGAAUUCUCAGAUAUCUGAAAGGUACAAGGGACCUGAACCUGUUCUAUCCAUCUGGUGAUAGUUUUGACUUAAUAGGGUAUGUUGAUGCUGAUUAUGCUGGAUAUUUGGUGAACAAAAAAAGCACCUCAAGAAUGGCUCAUUUAAUUGGUUCUUCUUUAAUCUCCUGGGGAUCUAUGAAACAAAACUCAGUUGUCUUAUCUAUUCUUGAAGCUAACUAUGUAGUUGCAGCUUCUUGCUGUACUCAAUUAUUAUGGAUCAAACAGCAACUAAAGGACUUUGGGAUUGCAUAUGAUACUAUCCCCUGAUAUGUGACAAAACAUGUUCUAUAAACAUGACCAAAAAAUCCAGUGCAACAUAAGAGGAUAAAGCAUAUUGAUGUGAGGCAUCACUUUUUGAGAUACAAUGUUGAAAAGGGAGCUAUUUGCAUGAAGUUUUGUAAGACCAAAGAUUAGGUAGCUGAAAUCUUUACAAAGGCACUUCAUAAAGAGCAAUUUGUGAAGAACGGGUUUAGUUGGGAUUGAUCAAGAUGAAUUAACCUACUUGAUGGAUCAACUUUCCCUUAUCAUUGGCUAGGAUCAGGAGGCAAGUAUCCUUUAUAAACUAUGUGCUUAUUGGUCUAACUCAUUACUAUACCUUUACAGGUAUACACAUAUGGUGAACUACUUUGAAGGAGAAUAGUUGUGGCAUACACUAUAUAAAAGAUUCACUCAAGCUAGAGAGGGACCUGGUCCUGUCUCUCAGGUUAGUACUAAAACUGUGUACUUUAAAAUUCAUAAAAAAGAGUGUCUGAAAAAAAACAUAUCCCGUCCUUUCUCUAUGUAAGAGAUGUCAAAUCCCUAAAAAGGUGAAGAGUUGCACCUAUUGGGACUAGACAUGUGAUUUCCUCUAAAAGGUCCCAAAAGGUACAAUAUUUAGUUCCCUUAAGUACAAAAUCAAAUCCUUUUUCUCCCAUUCUUGUCCAAAUUUUUUCUCAAAUCAUCCUCUUUAAAACUCCUCUUCACUGAAAUAAGUUUUUUUGUUCUCAUUCACUCUCUCACAAAUGCUUCAAAUGGAUGAUAUUUCUACUCCCUUAAGCCCCACCGAGGAUUCUGAAAUAUUCAAUACCCAUUAUUCUUAUCAAAAAACCCUGAAAUAAAAAAUCCUACUCUAUCAAUGUCCAAAAGUACAGAAGAUUCCUUUUCUAACCCUCCUCAAGAACAUCAGUUCACUCUACCCUCUACAUAUUUCCUCAAAAAUCCAAAUCCUUUAAAUGAACCCAUUCCAGAAGAAACCUCAAAAACAAUGGAAACCCCUAUUGAAUCAGCCAUAGUGGUGGACCAAAAUCAAGCCUUUGGUUCACCUAUUUAGUUCGAAGUUUCUCAAAAUCCAAUUCGCUCAAAAGAACCAGAAAGAACUGAUCCCUAGUCGUAAGGACUGGGUGGCUGAUUGAACUUGCUUGCUAAUGAUCCUAGGGAGAUUUCCCUUGGUGUAGUGGAGAAUGUGAUUUGUAAGAAGGUGGGAGAUUUAUCUACUUAAGGAGAUGAUUGCAAUGCCCCAAGAUUUUCCUAGCAAAAUUUUUUCCCUUAAAGUAUCAAGCAUUGGAUUUUAGAAUGAUUUAUACAUAUUUUCCUGUGUAAUUUCUUAGAUUUUAACUUUUCAUUACAUAGAUGACUGAAUAAGAUUUCCGAUGAUAUAAGGUUCAUCCAAAAUGGACACUCGGUGAAGAAGUUAUGGCUAUUUUAUGUGCUACUCAUAAAACAUCGUCAUUUUGGUGUUUAGUGCAUCGCGGAGAAGGUUUAAUUAGCAACUGUCAAAUUUCAGUAGGACCUUGCUAUACUGGCGUGUCGUGGAGGAUUCCAAUUUCACAUUCGUUAAUUUCCAGUGAGCCACCACGAUAGUGGCGCGUCAUGGUCGCCCAUCAAAUUGGGCACCAGUUAUAUUUUUACUCCGUCUCAUUAAGGGUAAAAUGGAACUUCUCCAACCCCUUGUCAUCUCUAACACAGGAUUUAAUCCCAAAAACACCAAAGGAAGAUUAUUUUCAUCAAAAUCUCUCAAGAAACUCCAUUAGGGUUUCAAAGUAAAAAUCCUCGUAACUCAAAAUUUAAUCGCGGGUUUUAGAAGAUAAUUGGAGAUUUGGAAUCCUCGCGUCGUAGGCUUUAAGAAGCAUCCGUUAAUUUUUGAAAUAGAGGUACGCGGGGUUUUUCUUAAAUCUCAUGGGCAUAGAAAUCAUGAUUUUAAGAAAGGGGUUUUGAAUUUAUGAAUAUAUUCAUGUUUUAGAAGUGUUGACGAUAUUGUUUUGGUCUUUAGGCCUUCCCCCAAAUUGAUUUGAAAUUAUAUAUAUUGUAAGCAUGUGUUUUAAGGUUGAUGAUUGAAUUGAGAGCAUGAUGCAUGAAAAAUCCCUCUCUUGUGAUGAUUUCAUUUACUUAUGGUAUACUAUGAAUUGUUCUAAAUUGCACCUUGAAAAGAAUGUUAUGAAAUGCCUUGAAGAAUGAUAUAUUUGUAUUAUGAUUUUAAUUUCAAAAGAGAAAGGGUUGUUUGAAUUGAUAAAUGUUGAACAUACAUAUAAUGAACGAGUGCAUGGUUUUGUCAAAAGCACAUGACCACCUUAUGUUUGAAGGAUUCUUGCAUAGUUUUGACUUAUGUUUCAGAACAUGAAAUCUCUUAUACUAAUUUGCAUGUUUUGGUGGUCUAAACUAUGAUUUAAUGAAAGAUCAUUCUUAUUGCAUUAUGGCUUAGAAAUAGGACUUGCAAUUCUUGGUGUGACGACACCAAUUCAGUUUAUUCCAUGAUGAUUCAGAACACAAUAGAAUGCAUGUUUGAAAUCAGACUUUUUAGAUGUUGAAAUUAAAAAAAUGCAUAAUUCAGAACAGGAUAAAAAUGGACACAAAGAGAGCUUAGGUGGUUCCCCGAAGAAGGCAUGGGUUCAGACAACCCACUACCCAAAAUCAUAAUUUGUCGAUCUGGGUUAUUUAUAUUACGCUGGCCUAGAGCCUUGUGGCGUAUCAGACUUAGAAACUCCAACCUUUGCGGCACACUUGGGUUGGGGGCUUCCCCGCCGAGUCAAUGGUGGAUUCCAUAUAGCCCGUGGAAUAUCAAACUUGUAGGAGAGUGCCACCUAACUCAGAAGUAAUACAAAGGCCAAACUUUACAUUGACAAGAGUGAUUUAUGAUUUUCAGAAACUGCCCAUGUGUUUUAGAACUAUUUCAUGCUUGAUAUUUUGACAAAUUGCUCUCUAAUUAUUUUAUUUAUAUAAAUGCUUUAUUUUGGAUUACUUUGCAUACCAUACAUCUGUAUUGACCCCCUCUCCUCCCUCUAGGUUCCGAGUCUCAGUCUAGGGGUCUAGAAAAGCAGUAGAUUUUAUCAGACAGAGUUGUAGCAUUUAGUUGGUGAGCCUUCUCUAUUCUGGAAGGCUUGUCUUUUUUAGAUUAUGUCAUUUAUUUCUGUUUUAGUCUACUGGGGGCCUUGUCCCAGUUUCAGACAGCUGUCAGAUUAUCAUGUAGUAGAUAUUUCACAGACUGAGUCAGAUGUUAUUCAGAUGUAGUUUGAUUUACAGUUUUCAUACUUAUGUUGAAUUCAUAAUUGACCAUGUUUUCGUAGAAGAUUAUGUUUCCGUAUCUUCUUUUAUUAUAUGAAUGUUGUGCAUGAUUACCAGAUAGAGAAAGGCGUUCUGGGCUUUCAUGGUUCGGGAUGUUCAUCAUGGCUAGGUCCUAGUUUGAGUUAUGACAAACUUGGUAUCAAAGCAAGGUUCAUGGUCCCAGGGUAUCUGCGAAAUCGCAUCGGGUAGAGUCUUUUUUAUGGGUGUGUAGCACGCCACACUUAUAAUCAGGAGGCUACUAGGCAUUUAAGAAAUGUUUCCCCUCUUUGUGCUUUAGAUCGUGCCUCAAAGUCUGAAUCAGAAAUUGUCCUCUAAUCAAUGAUCUAUUGUAUUUCAGAAAAUGAUCAUGCCUCCUUUUUGUUCCAACAAGCAGGAUACUCAGGAUGAUGAAUUUUACCUAACUCAUGGCAUGCGAACCUGUAACAGAGACCAUACCCCAGAACCUGUUCCCUCUCCAGAAGUACCUCCUGUCCCGACCAGUCCUCCUCGAACUCCGAGGAUAAAUGUUAACCAUCCUUAAUCUUCUCAGAGGAACAUAUCAAAUGUAGAAUUCAGACAAUCCAUUCGCAUACUUGCCCAUUUGGUGGCCGCACAGACUCAGAGGUCAGAGGAUAGUGGGUCUGCAUCUGCUACUUCUGAGGUAACCAGGGUAGGCCAGUUCAUGAGAAUGAACCUGCGCAGAUUCUCUGGUAUUAAGGUAGAAGAGGACCCACAGGAGUUCGUAGAUGAAAUAGAGAAAAUUUUCAAAGUAAUGCAUGUGGAUCAGGUGGAAGGGGUUGAGCUAGCAGCAUACCAACUUAAGAAUGUAGCGAACCAAUGGUACAAUGAGUGGGAGGAUGCGAAAGGGGAGAGUGCUGAGCCCACAGCUUAGGAUGAGUUUGUGGAAGCUUUUCUUGGCUGAUUCUUCCCUCUUGAGUUGAGGGAAGCCAAAGCAUAGGAGUUCAUGAAUCUUAAACAAGGGAAAAUGAGUGUCCAAAAGUACACUCCGAAGUUUAACCAAUUGGCUCGUUAUGCACCAAAAGUGACAGAAAGUAUAAGAGCCCAGAUGAGGAAAUUUUCAUUCGACCUUUCCGAUGAUCUAGCACUUGAAUUUCAAGGGGCGAUGCUAAGUAGGGAGAUGGACUUUGCUAGGAUGUCAGUCCACAUACAGUAGGUAAAGAAGAAGAAAAAGAAAAUUUUUGAAUCUAGAGAGAGAGACAGGUAGGCGAAGAAGGCUAAAACAGCGGAUCAGAACCCCAGUUAGUAGCAGAGCGAUAAUUGGGGUAAGAAAUGGCAAAAGAAGAAGUUUUGGAGUAACACAAAAUCUACAGCUAGCGCCCCAGCGCCCAUACCCCCAGUUGAUAGACGAUUUCAAAGUUUUCAGACUAGUCAUGGACCCAGAGCUCAGGACACUCAGUCACAGGGUAGAGUGGAUCAGCAGUAUUGUAAUUUUCCAUGGUGCGAAACUUAUGGUAGGCAUCAUCCAGGAAGGUUUUAGCUGGGCUAGAUGGUGUUCUAUUUAUACGGCCAGACGGGUCAUUUCCACAGAGAUUUCCCCUCCACUAGGAGGAAUGUUGGUGGAGCUAAGUCCUAGGCAAAUUCUUCUGCAUCACCCCCGCCUCAGAAGGGCACCACAUCAGCUGCUGAAAGUGGUCGGAACUGGUUAUAUACAUUGACCAACCGCCAGGAGGCGGUAGCCUCCCCAGAUGUUAUCACCGGUACGUUACAAAUCUUUACCGCGAUGUAUAUAUGUUGCUUGAUCCUGGGUCUACCUUAUCUUAUGUAACCUUGUAUGUGGCUUUUGGGUUUGCGUUUGAGCCCGAUGUGAUUGCUGAACCUUUCUCUAUUUCUAAUCCAGUGGGUGAUUCUAUUGUGGCUAGGAAAGUAUACAAAAAUUAUCUUGUGUCUAUUAUUGGUAGGGAUACUAGGGCAGACCUCAUAGAACUUGAUAUGGUUGCUUUUGAUGCUAUCCUAGUGAUGGAAUAGCUCCAUCGGUGUUAUGCCACACUAGACUGUAGGACCCAAAAGGUUACCUUUUUUUUCUGAAUGAGCCAUCAAUAGAGUGGGAAGGGCAUUCUUUAACACCUAGAGGGCACUUUAUAUCUUAUCUCAUAGCCUGUAAACUUAUUUCCAAGGGUUCUUGUAUCAUCUUAUUUGGAUUAAAGAUUCUAAUGCCAAAAGUCUUCCUCUUCUGUCUGUCCCUGUAGUAAAUGAAUUUCCAAAAGCCUUUCCAGAUGAUCUCCCAUGAAUUCCACCCGAUAGGGAGAUGGAUUUUGGCAUUGAUGUGUUGCCAGAUACCCAUCCUAUUUCUCUUCCACUAUAUAGAAUGGCUUCUACAAAGCUAAAAGAGUUGAAAGAACAACUAGCAGAUCUCUUAGAUAAAGGUUUUAUCAGACCUAGUGUUUCUUCUUGGGGUCCACCUGUACUCUUCGUGCUAAAGAAAAAUGGUUCCCUGCUUAUAUGCAUAGAUUACCGUCAACUAAAUAAGGUCACUGUUAAAAAUAAAUAUCCUCUUCCUAGGAUUGAUGACCUUUUGGAUCAACUUUAGGGUACUAAGUGUUUUUCUAAAACAGACCUUCGUUCGAGAUAUCAUCAGUUGAAAGUUAGGGAAUCAAAAAGAUUCCCAAGACAUCUUUCCAAACCAGAUAUAGUCAUUAUGAAUUCUUAGUCAUGUCCUUCGGGUUGACUAAUGGCCCUACAGCUUUUAUGGACCUAAUGAAUAGGGUCUUCCGUCAGUUCCUAAACCUGUUUGUCAUAAUUUUUAUUGAUGACAUCUUGAUUUACUCCAAAAGUGAGGAAGACCAUGCCAAUCAUCUCUAAAUUAUUCUUCAGACUCUCAAAGAUCAUAAGUUGUAUGCGAAAUUCUCCAAGUGUGAAUUAUGAAAGAAUGCCAUUGCUUUCUUAAGACAUAUUGUGUCUAGUGAGGGGAUUCGGGUUGAUCCCCAAAAGGUUGAGGUAGUGAGAAAAUGGCCCAAAUCCAUGACUCCAACCAAUAUUCGGAGUUUCUUGGGUUUGGCGGGUUAUUAUAGAAGGUUUGUAGAGAGUUUCUCUUCUAUAGCCGCGCCACUUACUAAGUUGACUCAGAAGAAGGUUAAAUUUUUGUGGUCUAACUCAUGGGAGAACAGUUUUGAGAAAUUGAAAGAUAAAUUGACUACAGCACCUGUUCUGAGCCUUCCGGAAGGCACGGAGGGUUUUGUUGUGUACUGUGAUGCAUCCUAUGUAGGACUUGGGUGUGUACUUAUGCAGCACAGUAAGUUGGUGGCUUAUGUAUCUAGGUAGUUAAUGGUGCAUGAGCGAAAUUACACCACUCAUGACUUAGAAUUAGCAGCUGUGGUGUUUGCUCUUAGAAUUUGGAGGCAUUAUCUUUAUGGGGUGCAUGUUGAUAUAUUCACUGACCACAAAAGUUUGCAGUUUGUUUUCUCGCAGAAAGAAUUGAACCUCAGGCAGAGGCGCUGGAUGGAAUUGCUAAAGGAUUAUGACAUGAGCCUUAACUAUAUUCGGGUAAGGCAAAUGUGGUAGCCGAUGCCCUCAGUAGGUUAUCCAUGGGAAGUCUUUCUUAUGUUGAGAAAGGGAAGAGAGAGAUGGUAAAAGGUAUUCACCGGCUUGCAAAUCUAGGAGUGCGAUGCUUGGAUUCUGAAGAUGGGGGAAUAGUUGUUCAUGAGAUAGCUAAGUCUUCCCUUUGUGUAGAAGUUAAAGAGAAGCAGGUUGAAGAUACCAUAUUGAUGCAGAUCAAGAAAGAUGUGGGUCAGCAGAAGGUGAGUCCUUCGAAAUAGGUGGUGAUGGUAUUUUGAGGUAUCCGGGUAGAUUAUGUGUGUCAGAUGUUGAUGAUUUGCGGAAGAGAACCCUUGAAAAGGCUCACAUUUUGAGGUAUUUUAUUCACCCAGGCUCUACUAUGAUGUACCAUGAUCUGAAAUCUAUGUAUUGGUGGAAUAAUAUGAAAUGUGAUGUGGCUAACUUUGUUUCCAAGUGUUUGAACUGCCAACAAGUUAAAAUAGAGCAUUUGAUGUCAGGUGGUUCUUCCCAAGAGAUAGCUUUACCCCUGUGGAAGUGGGAUAUGAUUAAUAUGGACUUCAUUACCGGACUCCCGAAGUCCAGAAACUAGUAUGAUUCUAUUUGGGUAAUUGUAGAUAGUUGACCAAGUCAGCCCACUUUCUGCCUGUUAGGAAUAACUUUUUGGGAGAGGAUUAUGCCAAGAUAUUCACUGCAGAAAUAGUUUGUUUGCAUGGUGCACCCGUGUCCAUCAUAUUCGAUCGAGGUACACAGUUCACUUCUCAGUUUUAGAGAUCUUUUCAGAGAGGAUUAGGCAUUCAAGUGAACCUAACCACUGCUUUUCACCCUCAGACUGAUGGACUAGCUGAGCACACUAUUCAGACCCUUGAGGAUAUGUUGAGGGCCUGUGUGAUUGAUUUUAAAUGUAGUUGGGUAGAGCACUUGCCAUUGAUAGAGUUCACUUAUAAUAACAGUUUCUAUUCUAAUAUUAAAAUGGCACCAUUUGAGGCAUUGUAUUGGAGAAGAUGUAGAUCUCCAAUAGGAUGGUAUGAGGUAGGAGAGACAUAAAUUUUUGGGCCUGAUCUUGUUCAUCGGGCAAUAAAGGAUGUGAAAAUCAUUAGAUAACGACUAAAGAAAGCUCAGAGUUGUCAAAAAUCCUAAGCCGAUGUUAGGAGAAGAGAGUUAGAGUUUGAGGCUGCAGAUUGGUUGUUUCUUAAAGUUUCUCCCAUGAAGGGAGUCAUGCAAUUCGGGAAGAAAGGUAAAUUUAGUUCUCACUAUAUAGAACCCUAUCAGAUCUUAAGGAGGAUAGGUGCAUUCGCGUAUGAGUUAGAGUUGCCUGCUAGUUUGGGUUCCGUUCAUCUGGUAUUCCAUGUGUCCAAGUUGAAGAAAUGCAUUGGGGAUUAUUCUCUAGUACUACCUAUAGAGGAAAUCAAGGUAACAGAUUCCCUAUCCUACGAAGAAGAACUGGUAACAAUCUUAGAUCGUCAAGUUCGGAAAUUGAGGAACAAAGAGAUAGCCUCAGUUAAAGUGUUGUGGAGAAACUAGAAAAUUGAAGAAGCGACUUGGGAAUUAGAAGUUGACAUGAGAGCAAGAUACCUAAACCUUUUUGAUCCAAUGGAUGAAGAAAUGGAAGGUACAAUCCUUGAUUUAUUAUUUUUAUGCCUUAGAAUGUUUGAAAUUAUGCUUGUCUGUGUCCUGCAUCAACAUUCGGGGACGAAUGUUCCCAAGGGGGGAAUAUUGUAACGCCCCAAGCUUUUCCUAGCUAAAAUUUUGUCCUUAAAGUAUCAAUAAUUGUCUUUUAGAAUGAUUUAUACUUAUUUCCCUGUGGAAUUCCUUAGAUUUUAACUUUUCAUUACGUAGAUGACUGAAUAAGCUUUCUGACGAUAUAGGAUUCAUCCAAAACGGACACUCGGUGAAGAAGUUAUGGCUAUUUUAUGUGCUAAUCAUAAAACAUCGUCAUUCUGGUGUUUAGCGUGUCACGGAGAAGGUUUAAUUAGAAAUUGUCAAAUUCCAGUAGGACCUCAUGAUAGUGGCGCGUCUCAGAGGAUCCCAAUUUCGCAUUCGUCAAUUUCCAGUGAGCCACCUCGAUAGUGGUAUGUCGCGGUGGCCUAUCAAAAUGGGCACCAGUUAUAUUUUUACUCCGUCUCAUUAAGGGUAAAAUGGUACUUCUCCAAACCCUUGUCAUCUCUAACACGGGAUUUAAUCCCAAGAACACCAAAGUAAGAUUGUUUUUAUCAAAAUCUCUCAAGAAACUCCAUUAGGGUUUCAAAGUAAAAAUCAUCGUAACUCAAGAUUUAACCACAGGUUUUAGAUGAUAAUUGGAGAUUUGGAAUCCUCGCAUCGUAGGCUUCAAGAAGCAUCCGUUAAUUUCCGAAAUAGAGGUACGCGGGGUUUUCCUAAAAUCUCAUGGGCAUAGAAAUCAUGAUUUUAAGAAAGGGGUUUUGAAUUUAUGAAUAUAUUCAUGUUUUAGAAGUGUUGACAAUAUUGUUUUGGUCUUUAGGUAUUCCCCCAAAUUGAUUUGAAAUUAUAUAUAUUGUAAGCAUGUGUUUUAAGGUUGAUGAUUGAAUUGAGAUCAUGAUGCAUGAAAAAUCCCUCUCUUGUGAUAAUUUUCAUGUACUUAUGAUAUACUAUGAAUUGUUCUAAACUGCAUCUUGUAAAGCAUGUUAUGAAAUGCCUUGAAUAAUGAUAUAUUUGGAUUAUGAUUUUGAUUUCAAAAGAGAGAGGGUUGUUUGUAUUGAUAAAUGUUGAACAUACAUAUAAUGAAAGAGUGCAUGGUUUUGUCAAAAGCACAUGACCACCUUAUGUUUGAAGGAUUCUUGCAUAGUUUUGACUUAUGUUUCAGAACAUGAAAUCUCUUAUACUAAUUUGUAUGUUUUGGUAGUCUGAACUAUGUUUUAAUGAAAGAUCAUGCUUAUUGUAUUAUGGCUCAUAAAUAGGACUUGCAAGUCUUGGUAUGACGACACCAAUUCAGUUUAUGCCAUGAUAAUUCAGAACACAAUAGAAUGCAUGUUAAAAUCAGACUUUUUAGAUGUUGAAAUUAGAAAAAUGAGCCUUGUGGCAUAUCGGACUCACACUCCAACCCUUGCGGCACACUUAGGUUAGGGGCUUCCCCGCCGGGUCAAUGGCAGAUUCCAUAUAGCCCGUGGAAUAUCAAACUUGUACGGGAGAGCCACCUAACUCAGAAGUAAUACAAAGACCAGACUUUGCAUUAACAAGAAUUAUUUAUGAUUUUCAAAAAGUGCCCAUGUGUUUUAGAACUAUUUCAUGCUUGAUAUUUUGACAAAUUUCUCUCUAAUUAUUUUAUUUAUAUAAAUGCUUUAUUUUGGAUUACUUUGCGUACCAGUACAUCUGUAUUGACCCCCUCCUCCCUCCAGGUUCCGAGUCUCAGUCUAGGGGUCCAGAAAAGCAGUAGAUUUUAUGAGUUGUAGGGUUCAGUUAGUAAGCCUUCUCUAUUCUGAAAAACCUGUCUUUUUAGAUUAUGUCAUUUAUUUCUGUUUUGGUCUACUGGGGGCCUUGUCCCAGUUUCAGACAGCUGUCAGAUUUUCAUGUAGUAGAGAUUUCGCAGACUGAGUCAGAUGUUAUUGAGAUGUAGUUUGAUUUACAGUUUCCAUACUUAUGUGAAUUCAGAAUUGACCAUGUUUCCGUCACAGAAUAUGUUUUCGCAUCUUCUUUUAUUAUAUGAAUGUUGUGCAUGAUUACCAGAUAGAGAAGGGCAUCACGACCAGACCCUAGUUCGAGUCGUGACAAUGAUGCUGAAGUUAAGAAGUUUGUACAACCUCCAAAUGAGGAGGAUGCGAUUAAUGAAGAGGAACUACCAUUAAGGUGGUCAGUAUAGAAGCAAAGUGGAAGUAAGGGUAAAGAAAAAGUGGUGGACACUAGUGGGAAGGUUACUAGAACCUACUCAACUAGGGUUUGUGAGAAGAAGUUGCUAGGGGAUGCCAUGAAAGCUAACAAGUCAGAAACUCUUUUGGUUUCCUUACCACUAAAGGAUAUAAGUUUUAACUUGUUUUCUAAGACAUCAUACUGGAAACUCCUAUCGUUUUGAUAUGAACCAUGAUCCAUGAAACUCAACUAGAUCACCUCAAUUUCCUCUUUAGUUCCACUAAGGGUUAUGUAAGUUAUGACUUGGAAUAUUGUUAUAAUGAUGUUGAAAGACGUUACUUUUCAUGACUCCCCCAAAAUACUAAGUGCUAGUUUAUGAUUUAUGAAACCAAAGACACUGAAUUCCUAUUUGAGCCCAUAAAAAGGCUGAAAUAUUAACAUAAGCCUAGUAAAGCUAGCAUGUUGAUCAUUAAUCAGCGAAGAUAAUUAUGCUAUAAUGACUUAAAUUUUCCAUGAUCUCCAUAAUAUCAUAAAAUCCCUAUCUUAUGAACUAUGGCACAAUGACACAAUGACACAAUGACACAAUCCGUAUGACUUCUAGCAUUAUGAAUUUAUUCAAGAAUGUCUUCAUUACCUUGAUAUAUGAUUCCAAAAUCAUAAGUUAUGCUAAAAAUACAAUGUACAUUCCAAAAUCUCACACUUGAUAAACUUAUGAAAAUCCUUCACUGAUGAAUUAAUAUGGCAUAAUGAAUUAUGAUUCUACCUCCCAUGAGUUUUAAUGAUAGUCAUACCUUAUUAUGAACCUAAGGUGGCUCAAUCUCAAAUGUGAACCUAAGUUGGUUAAUUCUCAGGCAUGAUCCCAAAAGUGGCUAAACCAUGAAUAUGAGCCUAUUAUGGAUAAUAUAUGAACAUGAAUCAGUAUGAGAACAUUAUGAACUAAGGAAAUUAGUUAGAUAACCGUGAAGCCAUAGGGUUAAAUGACAAAUGUCCGAAACUAUGUUCGCGGACAUAGGAUAGAGAUUAUUCCGCAAAUUGGAUGACUAUUUUUUCAUAUGUCCCAUAAAGGGUAUAACCAUGGAUACUUGCUAGCAAAUUAUGCCAUACGGGCCGAGAUCAUACUCCAUGUGCUCAUAUGGUGGUUUAUGACGGUUCACUACUUUCUGCCAUAAAUAACCAAAAUCCACCUUACUUGGUCAAUCAUAAAUUUAGUUUAUAUUCUUGUUCAUUUCCAGUUGUCUUCACUUAGAUUUGAAUUUAUUGUCAUUUAUAAUCGCUUGAUGUACUACCCUUCUGAAAUGGUUUUGCAUACCAAUACAUUGCAUGUAUUGAACGUCUUUGGCGCUACAUCAUUUUAUGAUGUAGGUUCUGGAUAUCAAGUCCGUGUUCCGUGCCUCAUUAGGAUGUCUAUGUUUUGCCAUUGGUGAGCCUCUUUCCUAUCAGGAGGCUGAACGAGCUAUGAUGACUUCGUUAUAUUUUCUUUCCUUCCAGUAUUGUUACUUAUUAGAGGCUUCAUAGGCUGGUGUAGUUGUCAAUUAAACUUUGUAAUUUCUAGUCUCUAUCAUGACUUUUGGUAUUGUAUAAUAUUAAGUGGUGUUAAUAAACCUUGAUGAAAAUGUUUAUCCUUUAAGAAAUCUUAUUUCAAUCACAUGUUUCAGUUAUAUUCUUUGGUUUAGGUUCUAUUCUCAUGUGUUAUGAUAGAAUGUUCGCACAUACUAGCAAUAAUAUUGGGUGUGUGCCAUGUCCAGGGCCACAGCUCGAGGUGUGACAAAAAUCCUCGAACUAUGAAGAAAAUGUUCACCGUGACUACAUUAGUAGAAAACAAACAUGUUGAAGGAAAAGUAGGGACCAUGUCCCAGGUAUCAGAACUAUUGACAGUUCAAGAGAGUUUGAGUAAGGAGUUGGAGAAAGUGAGAGUUUAUAUGGACUCUAAGCAUGCAGAAAUCCUCAAAUUGAUGUUGAAGAAUCAGAAACUUUCAUCUGAGGGACCAAGUGCCAAUGAAGCACUUAGUGCAGAGAAUGCAGAUCUCUAGAAAAAGGUUUCAACACUCACUAAUGAUGUUUAAAACUUAAAUACUAAAGUGAAGAACCUAACAAAAAAGUUGUUGGAUUCUUAUGCUACUGUGGGUGCUUGAAUGAAAAUGCUUCUAAAGGACCUCUCCCCAAAACCUCCAUCUACCUAAGACCUGUCCCUCCUAUUUUUAUUUUCUCCCUAUGUUAGUUUCCGGUCUUUGACAUCUGUGUGGCUUUUGAACAUUAAGAUGUGUUAGAGUUCUGACCUAAAUUUGGUUGGUUCAACCCUGAAAGUUUUGCGGUUUGUGAUUUUCAAUGGGGUCUGUAGUGGUAGCGUAGGGAUCGGGCCAAUAUUGGGUAUGGACCUUUAUGUUUUUUGGCCUAGGUGUACACACAUACUAUAUAAGUGCAAUUUAGUGGGCUAUUUUCAUUAUUCAGAAAAUUUAGCUUUCUCCAUAUUGUACUCUCUCUCCAUUAUAGUGAAACCUCCUCUGCCUCUGCCCAUAGUUUUUUUCUGCAAGGUUUCCACGUAAAUCUGUGUGUUGUUCUUGUUUUCUUUUACUUUUGGUUUUAUUAUUCUAUCUGAAUCAUAACAAAAUGGUAUCAGAGAGUGUUUGAUUGUUUUCUCGGUGAUGUCAAACAUGAAGUAUGAUAUUCCACUAUUGGAUUGCAAUACUAGAUAUUUGUUAUGACAGGUUAAGAUGUGGGUUGUGCUCAUGCAGAUGGAUAUGGAUGAUGCUCUAUUAGGGUUAUAAAAGAUGCCUUCAUUGUGGAUGGCAGAGGACAAAUAGUGUAAGGAUCGGAAGGCUCUAUCUUAGAUCCACCUUUAUUUAUCUAAUCAAAUUCUACAGGAUGUUUUGAAGGAGAACACUGCCACUGUGUUGUGGUUGAAACUUGAAUCAUUGUGUAUGACGAAGAGCCUAACAAGUAGGAUACAUCUUAAACAAUUAUUACCAUCGCAUGUCUGUGGAUUCAUCCAUAGAGGAUAACCUAUCUGUAUUUAAGGAAAUCAUCUCUGAUUUAGAGACUCUAGAGGUUAAGUAUGAUGAGGAAGAUCUAGAGUUGAUUUUGUUGUGUUCAUUGUCUGCAUCAUACACCACCUUUAAGGAUACAAUUUUAUAUAGUCGUGAUACCCUGAUGACAGAUGAAGUAUAUAAUACGUUAUUCUCUAAGGAAAAGAUGAAGCAUCUUGUCAAUGGGUCGGAGACUCAAGAAGAUGAUCUCACUGUUUAAGGAAGGACUCGUGAGAGGAAUUAUGGGGGUGAUGACAGGAAUAGGUCAAAAUCCAUAAACAGAAAUAAAACUUGUAAUUUUAGCAAGAAGAAGGGCCAUAUCAAAUCCGAGUGUUGGAAGUUACAGAAUAGAGAGAAAAGAAAAGCUCAUAAAUCGAAGGGAAACCAACCAAAGAAGUCCGGUGAAGCCAAUUUUGUUUUAGAUGGCGGUAGUGGUGGAAACUCUUGGUAAUUUCUGAUGGUAAUUCCAAAUGUUGUGAGGAUUGGUUUCUUGAUUCAUCUUAGACGAUUCAUAUGUGUCGCAAUCGGGAUUGAUUUACAACAUAUAAAAUAGUCUCUAAAGUUGUUGUGUUGAUGGGAAAUAACAUACCUUGUAAGAUAGUUAGUAUUGGAAGAAUCAGAAUUAAGAUGUUUGAUGGGGUUGUGAGGACACUUGUUGAUGUGCGAUAUGUCCUGAAGAGAAAUAUCAUUUCCUUGAGUACCCUUGAUUCGAACGGAUAUAGGUAUACUGAAGAAGGUGGAGUCCUGAAGGUUACUAAAGGUCGUCUUACUCUAAUGAAGGGACAGAGAAAGUCUAUAAAUUUAUAUGUCUUGCAAAGCUUUACGAUUACAAGUGAUAUGGUUGUUUCUACCUCUUCUCUAUCAAAAAGUAACGUUGCUAAACUUUGGCAUAUGUGUCUGGGCAUAUAAGUGAAAAUGGGAUCGUUGAACUAAGCAGGAGAGGACUUCUUGAUGGCCAGAGUAAUACAAAAUUAGAGUUCUAUGAGAACUACGUUUUUGGGAAAUAGAAGAGAGUCAUAUUCACUAAAGGCAUCCACUCAACUAAAGGCACACUUGAUUACAUUCAUUCUCAUCUCUAGGUCCUUCUAGAGGAGGUGCGAAUUACUUUUUGACUAUUAUUGAUGACUAUUCCAGAAAAGUUUGGGUAUUCCUGAAGCAAAAGAAUGAUGCGUUGCUUAAUUUCAAGGAGAGGAAGAUUAUGAUUAAAAAGAAAAUAGGGAAGCAGGUAAAACUCCUUCAGACUAAUAAUGGUUUAGAGUUCUGUUCUAAUGAAAUUAAUGCUCCGUGCAAGUCAGAAGGGAUUGUGAGGCACUUGACAGUUCGUCAUACUCCGCAGUAGAAUAGUAUGGCUGAACAAAUAAAUAGGACUAUAAUGGAUAAGGUGCAUUGUAUGCUAUCUAAUGCUGGUCUACCCAAGUCUUUUUUGGGCUGAAGGCGCUUCUACAACUUCUCUUCUUAUUAAUCGCUCCACCCCAGUUGCGAUUGAUAAAAGGACUCCACAAGAGUUAUGGUCUGGUACUCCUACUAGUUAUUCUAAUUUGAGGAUAUUUGGAUUUCCUGCUUAUGCUCAUGUUGAUAAUGAAAAGUUAGAACCUAGAUUUGUGAAAUGCUUAUUUAUGGGUUAUAAGCCUGGUGUUAAAGGUUAUAAGCUUUGGUGUCCAGAAAACUGAAAGGUUAUAAUUAGUAAGGAUGUUGUAUUUGAUGAAACUGCCAUGCUUUGGGCUCCCUCCGAAUCUAGUGCUUCUCCCCGGAUAAGCUUAGUGACAUGAAUUAGCAAAAUUCAAGCACCCACGUUGAGUUGCAGAUUGGAGCAAAGUCUACCCGAAUUUUUAAUAGGGUUUGUUGUGGUAGUGUAGGAAUCGGGCCGAUAGUGGGUAUGGACCUUUAUGUUUUUGGGCCUAGGACCUAUUUUUAUGCACGUACUAUAUAAGUGUGAUUUAGUGGUUUAUAUUGAUUAUUCAGAAAAUUCAACCAUUCUCCACAUUAUACCAUCUCUCCAUUAUAGUAAAACCUCCUCUACCUCUACCCGUGGUUUUUUCCUGCAAGGGUUCCAUGUAAAUCUGUGUUAUUCUUGUUUUCUUUUACUUGUGGUUUUCUUAUUCUGUCCGAAUCAUAACAAGAUGCUCUAGGUUUUUUUGUAUGCUGCAAUGGUACUCCUCUUUAUGAUAUGAAUGAAUCCGAUUUGUGUCUAUCAUCUUCUUCUUUUUUUAAAAAAAAUAGUCCAUUCAUAUUAGUGCUGCCCCAGUGGCCAUGAGUUAACUGAUUUGCACUUAUUCUAUUCUUGGUUUGUUGUUCUUAAUUUUCUAUGACGCCAAAAGGGGAAAUACUGAGUUAUUCAAGCAAGGAACCUGGUACUGCUGGUGCUGUUUGAAACAGGGGGAAUACUGAUAGGGGAAACACAAGGAGGAAGCAUAAGGAUAGGGGGAAUAUUGAUAGUGGUUGCUCUGAGGUUGAAUAAAGUUUGAUGCUCUGAAGUUAUGUUUUGUCAUCUUAAAAAAUGGAGAAAAUUGAUGUCUCAUGUUUUGAUGAUGUUCAGUUGACAUUAAAUGAGCAGGUCCCUGGCUCAUAAUGAAGUGGUACAGCUGUCACAUAUCUGCACAGUUUGUCCGCUAGUGCAACUAACUGUGCAGGUGUACAACAUACCUGAUUAAACACCUGGUCUAAUAAAAAUUCAACCCUGAUUUAGACUCCCCUAUAAAUAGAAAAUGUUGCUUCUCAAUCAAAUAAUUUUUGCAAUUUUGGUGAAUCACUAGAAAAGGAGAAAACUCUAUAUUGCUCAGGUUCCAAAGCUUUUGUGUGCUUAAGGUUUAGUAUUUCAUGAGUCAAGUAUUGCAUUGUAAUUGUUUUACUCAUCUUUUAAGAGUAAAGAUUUUCUUUGGCAGUAUAGUGCUUAGGUAGAGUUACCUAACCUAAGGUCCAUGAAUUAGAGUUUAUCGAUUGUGAAGUGAUUAAGGUGUGUAGAGUGGUUGUAGUAGAGCUGUUAAAACCUGUAGAAUAUAGAGCUAAGUUCUUGGAGUCUGUAAUUAAUGAGUUUUGAUUAUAGUGAAGAUUGAGUGCUUUUGAGGGCAAGCUGUGGUUUUUCCUCCCUUGAGCAAGGAGGUAUCACGUAAACCACUGUGUUCAUUUUAGUUUCUGCAAGUUUUUGUUUGUUACUAUUUUAUUGCUAUUCUCUUAGUCUUAGGGACCUGGUCCCUUGAACGGUGGUGCACCCUUUACGUUUCAACAGAGGGGAUCAUGUCACGACUCAAAUUCUGAAGCUAGGACUGGCACCUAAUAAGCCAUAACCCAUUAGGUCAACCGGUGCAUUCAAUCACCAAACUCAAAUUAAAGUCUGAAUUCUCAUUCAUCCCAGCACACCCCUAGAUCUCUAAGAGACCAUAAUUUUAUUUACAAAUUUCUUUCCUGUUUUUAAAACUCGUACAUGUAUGAUUUUAUUUAGCCGCUACCAUUAUUUUCUUGUGUCAAUCAUCUGAUAUACAGAACUCAAAGGCUAAAAAAAUGUGGAUUCUAGCCGCAUAGAGCACGAAUCAUGUUUCUUCCCAAGUACAGCUUAUUUACCAUUACUUUUCAGACAAAACUAUAUUGAUGCUUCUAUUUGUGAGUUAUCAAGGGACCUUGAUCGGUUGUAGAUUUCUGCUGUUUGACAGUAUAUAUGCUCCGGUUGGGAGUUAUCAAGGGACCUUCUACAUGUUUAGUUGAAAUGAUAGAAAAAAAUGGUCCCUUGUGUUUGGGGUAUGUUAAAAGUAGUUCCUCCGACCCUGCUAACGCUAGAUACUUUAUGCACCAAAUUACCCUUUUACGGAAUUGUUUUUAUCAUUUACUUGACAGCCCACAUCAUGUAAUUAUGCUUCCAAUAAAAUCAUAAGAAAAACCUUUAUGUUAUAUCUUUGACUCAUAAUGUAAAAUGAAAUCGCCGGUAUUUUUCCGGUAGAAGAUAGAAAAACACGAGACUUGAACAAGAUGUUACCUUUUUAAGGUCUAAAGUUUAGUGAUAGAAGUCCUUUUUUAUGAAAUGGUGUUGACCAGUGUCAAAGAAGAAUCAACUAUCUUGAUCUAGAUUUACAACUCAACAUUAUUACAAUACAACUCGUUGAUUUUUGUAAUCAUAGCCAGGCAUAGGAAACAAUUAAACUAAACACAGUGGAUUCAAAUAUUAGAAAUAGUCAAGUGUCUGUUUUUGAUAAGCGUGGUGUCUAGGCUAGUUUGCGUGCAACUCAUCUAAUUCCAUGGUAUACCUUUCACCUCCCACCAACAAGAAGUAUUGGGUGACUCUAGCUUUAUUCUACUCACCAAGGCUAGAACAGAUGAGAAGAAAUCACUAGAAAUAAUCAAGAAUUUUCAUCCACAUCAUGUUAUUAUGUUGUAAAUAGAAUCAAAAGAAAACUUUUUGUUAUAUCUUUGAUUCGUAAGGAAAAAUAAAAAUCCAGAUAGAGAAAACUAGGAAAGGAAAAAAACCAAAAGACUUUCAACGUGAUGUUACCUUUUCACUCUUUGAAGUUCAGCAGUUGAAGUUUGAGAAAUAACCUUGAACAGUGGCAAAGAGAGUAAGUUAUCUAUGGGAUCAAAAUGAUUUUGUCAGAGGAGUUGAAGUAAUUUGCUAAAUGGAGUGUAGGUGAAAGAAGAAUGAAAUAGGUAGGUAGAUCCAGAUUUAAAUUCAAAGAUUAUUAAAAUACAGCUCGUUGACUUUGAAUUUUUUUAAUAAUCGUUAUCAUCUUAGUCAUCUUAUUCAAUUGUUAAUUCUACUGCUUUGUGUAAAUGCUUCGCAUGGGCUGUUGAGAUAAGUAUUCACAUGGGUAGAUUGUUUAUUUAUUCAACUCCUUAAAAUCUGGUAAUUUGCUACAGAAGAACUUGAAAGGCCACCACCAACACAACUAAGAGCAAUCAAUUCAAUGAUAAUAUUAAAAUAAAAAUCAUUGACUUGGACUUGAUCAAUUUUUUGCCAGUCUCUUGUCUUGACAAUAUACAACAAGAAGAUAUCCAGUAAAAUCCCACAAGUGAGGUCUGGGGAGGAUAAAGUGUAUGCAAAUCUUAUCACUAUUUUUGAGAGGUAGAGAGGCUCAAGUGUAACAAAUCCAGGUACAAAGAGGAGGAACAUAAUGAAUAUGACAACACAGGACAAUGAAAAAUCUACCAUAAAAACAAUAAUCAGUCAUAAAAUAGUGUGAUAAGUAUUUACAUGGGCAGAUUGUUGGAAGUCUAAAAGAGAUUGUUUAUUUAUUCAACUCCUUAAAAUCUGGUAAUUGGCUAAAGAUGAACUUGAAAGGCCGCCACCAACACAACUAAAAGUAAUAAAUUAAGCAAUAAUAUUUAAAAUACAAAUCAUUGACUUGGAUUUAUUCAAUUGUUUGCACGUCAACCUCUUGUAUAUUGACAAUAUAUAUGUGACCUGCAAAUUGUGGUGAUGCAUGUUCAGGCCAACUUUCCCGCACUUUGAUUAAGUACACGGAAUACUUGCAACUUCCCAUCGGCAUCAGAUAUCAUGUAACUAGCUGUCAUGUAAUUAUGUCCACCAAGACUAGGACAUGUGGAAGAGAGUUUUCUUCUUGUCUCCACAAAGAAUAUUACUUUUGAUAACCAUAGUGUUUGGGCCAGCUUUUGCGCUCCUCCACUAAAAUCCAUGGAUACCUGCAACUCUUUAGGCAACUCUGCCAACUAAGGCUAGGAUAAAUUGGAGGAGUGUUUUUUUGUCAGAAAUUAAGAAUAUUGAUUAUGACAAUUGUGAUAUUUGGGUCAUCUUUCUCGCACCUUGACUAAAUUCAUGUAAUACCUGCAACCUUUCACCAACAAUAGAUAUCAAGUAACUCUGUCCACCAACGCGAUAGGAAGAGUGUUUUUUUGUCUCCACAGAGAAUAUUGUUUCCUUUUUUCUCCAUUUUGUUCUUAUUGUACCUAAUAAACUAUUUAAUCUUCAUUUCUUUACUUCGGUGAGUGUUACAUACUUCAAUGUCUGAAAUUUAAUACUUUUUCUGUCCCAGUUAUUAGUCCGUCCCGAGCACAAAAAAAGACACAAAAAAUAUACCCUCCCUCAGUUCUGUUGUUCGAACUUUUCCAACGAACCAAUAUACUUUCCUUUAAACAUGAAGCACUGGUAGGUUACUUAUAAAUGAACAAAAUCACAAAAUGGAAUGGGACAACAUAAAAGCACUGAACAAAAAUUUGUGUAGAUCGAAAUUGUUUAUAGCGACAUAAGAAUGAAGAGAUCUCAUAUUCCUCUUGGAUGACUUAGGAAGAUGACCUGAUGAAAUAAUAUACGCGCUGCUCUAGCCAUAUUUGAAUAGUACCGCGCAAUAGAUUCUUCAGCUCUGUCCAAACCAUUAUGCAUUAGAUUUUUAAUGAGCUUCUUGUCUGUUGUUUAUCAGCUAUCGGAGAGCAAGCGUAGCAGCUAAAUUAUCUCUUCUUGUAGAGCUAGCUGCAACAGCAACCAUAUUCCAACAUAUCAUUUUCCUCUUUUAUGUUAGAGUGAAUCCACGUAGUCAAAUUUGUACUUCCGAAGCACUAAAGAAUUAACAGUAACAGUUCUAUAUAUGUAUCAAUAUCAAGAAUCUAACAUGAGUAGUCCACAUCAUGAAACUGAAGAUAAAUUUAGCUAAGGAAACCAGAUAGUAUACUUAGACAAACCUGAGGCAACAAUUGCAAAAAAGCACAGAUAACAACUUGGAAACAAAGACCAGAUAGCAUUUCCCUUAAAAUAUGGAAUUCUGGCAGAGUGAAGCUGCAGCUUUUCAAUUCACAUUAAGACUAGUACAUUUUUCUUGAACCAAUUUGUCUGAAAUUUUAGAACGGGUAUUCAGCAUUGAUGUAUUAAUAGGCACAAGAGGAUUUUUAACAACGCUUACCGUUGCACAUGAGGCCAAAUUUUGUACAUCACCACCUAUUUAAACAUCUUGAUCAUUAAAUACUGCACCCCUCAACUCCUUUCAUGUUGAGGAUGACUUUCAUACUUUAAACGUCAACAAUUUUUUUUAUACCCAAACACCUUCAAUGUCAUACAAAUUGUUACUUCUAUUAAUCCUAGAAGAAAAUCACAUAUGUUAUAUAUCAUAAUAGAGUUUUUUGCAUAGGUCAUGUACAGUGCAUCCCAAGCUGUCUUUGCUGAGGUAGCCGCUGCAACAGUUGUGGCAAUUGUUGGAUCAACAGAUGUCAUAAGUGCGUUUUGAAUAAGUUGGUCUUGUCAAAAACAACUAGUAAACACAGGAUUGGCACUAGGGACUGUGCCAGUUGUGAGAGUGUGAGAUGGGGAAGGUGUAGACCCAUCAAGAAGACCAUAGAGAUCAUGACCAUGCAUAAGCAUGGAAAAUUGCGUCUUCCACGUUGCAAAAUUGUGGCUACCAAGCAAUUUAAUGGGCAAUUGGGACGCAGGGUUAAAUUGAACAACCAACAGAAUGAUGUUGUUGUCAGCAUUAACAACUCGAGGAGUGUCUUCCAUUUGUGGAGGGUGUUUGGGAGGAAAAAAAUCUUACUUGUUAGAGUAUACUGAGGUCUCUGAUACUAUAUAAAGCUGAGUCAAGUAUGAGAGAUUAUUUGAUUUCAUUUACAUGUGUGUAUAUAUACAAGAGAAUACAAACUAAAUAAGGAAAGAAUCAAGUAAUAAAGAAUAAAGAUCUUGUCCUAAAUAGAAACAAAAUCACUUUGAUAUACUAUGAUAUGAAAGAUCUGCUGAGAUAGGGAAGAUCAAUCAUGAGAUAUCUUCCAAGAUAAGAUGUAUGCGCCAAUACCCCCCACCCCCGCCCCCUAAACUCAAUUUUAGCGAAUUGUUGUUAUCUUUUUGUGCUAAUGUGACACCUUUAUUACAUAAAAAUGGGGCCCAUGUUCAAGAUGUCACGUCAGCUAAAAAGAUUGGCAAAAAUACGCUAAAAUUUAGUUAGGAGGUAAUAGGAGCCCCGUGAAGUUGGAGUGUGUCAUAGCAAAUUUGGUCAUUGUCCGGUGUACUAGAAGGAAACAAUUUUGUAGUGCAAGGCAUAGCAGCAGCACGCCUACUAGGAGGUGAACUGAGCAUAGAGGAGGAGCUGAGGGCAGCAAGGAAGGGUUCUGGUUUUGAUGGGGACAGUGAAUGUUUUUGGGAAAGAAAGAAACUUUUCUUAUUUAUGCUUCAGAUUAAAAGUUAUUGUUUAGACAUAUGUAUGGCAUUCUGUAUCUUAACGUUUAGUGUUAAUGUGGAUGACUAUUGUAUGACGUACCGAUGAGUUGUUUGCUUCCUUCUCUCUUUUCUCCAUUAUUCCCUCUUCCCAUGAUUGAACUUUCCAAAGUAGCUUCUCGUGCCCUUCCUUUCUAGUUCUCAAGGUCUGAAGCAUAAAAAUUUAUCAGGUGGAAGAAGUAAGAUUUCCAGAAACUUAAGAAAGAAGGCACAAAACAUAUACAUGCCCUUUAACUUGGCCACAGAUCACAUGUAUGACCUCCAACUUUGGAUUUGCACAAUUAGGCACUUAAACUUGUAUAAAGUUGAACAAGUAGACACAUAUGUCAUAUGUGGCAUCCUACAUGGUAAAUUCUUGUCCUACAUGACAUCCUACGUGUAUUAUGCCGUCACACCCCUUUUUUUAACUCUUAAAAAAGAUUUCAAUUUUAAGUUUGAAAGGGUUUUUGUUACUAAAGUGACACAAAUGAAGAUUUUGUUUUGAAAAGGAUUAUUUACAUUUAAACUCAGAGUCACCACUUGGCAUAAUCCGAUGUGCCAAGUCAUGAUUGGAAAUCCUUUUUAGAAAAAUGAUUUUGACUCUUUUAAACUGAUUCGCGAACAGAGAUUCCGAUUAAAGAAUUAUGUUGACAGAGGAGAAGGUGUUAGGAAACCCUCGAUCCCGUGGUUCAACCACAGUUGCUUGAUGGAGCGUAUCGUUUAAUUUGACAUUACGAAUGUAUAAGCCACACAAAAACACAUAAAACAAUCAAACACACAAAACAAAUCCAAAAUAUUGUGUCCAGUCCAAAUAUACAAUCCAAAAAUAAAAAAAUGUGAAAAUAUAAAUCAGAUUCUAAGAUAAUCCUAAAACUACGCUCCAAUGCCUUACCCGAUGCCUCAGACCUUGAUCACGAGCCUCCUAUACGUACAUGAUACUUCGAGUCAUUCCCCGGAUAAAUCAAUACAAGUCCCUCAGGGCAUUUCCUUGUAAAAUAAAUACAUUUUCUCAAUUCUAUGCAUUAAGAUUGAAAGAACCAUUCAACAAAUAUUCACACAUUCAACAAAUCACCAUCUUCCAUUUUCUACAAUUUGCCUAUCCAAGCUUAGUAUUUUCCUACCCAUUUAACGAUCUAAAACAUGAUACUUUAAAUUUAAACCAUAUCCAAAAUGAAUCAAAUCUAAUCAAUGCUCAACUUAUUCGAUUAUCAAUUCCCCCAAAUUUCAUUCAAAGUUGCAAUAUAACAAUUCACGAUUACCAUUUUUCGACAAUCUACGACCAAAUAAUUCCACAUUAAUCAUUCACAUCACACCCAAAAUAAGAGAAAAUUGAGACGUAACAAUCAAUCACACACUAAAAUAAAGAAUUAACGGAGAAUAAGAAUAAGAUAAAGAUGGACCUUAAUGUGGAAAUUUUUACUGCAAUUUAUGAACACAGAUUGAACGAGAAGCAAUUCAAGAGUCGAACCACAAAUCAAAAGUAGCCAAGAGACAAAAUUGACGAGCCACAAUAGAAAAUUUGAACUGAACCUCAAUAAACAACCAAACUCGACCCUCAAAUCUGUCUCGCACCACUCGACGCAGCCAAGGAAAACCCAAUUAAUCGUGUUCUCCAGACAGAAACUUUCACCGCCGGAACAGUAACAGUGGUGGAGAAGGUUAUUCAAUUACUAUUUAUCGGUGACGGAUUCAAUAGAAUUCGGUCGAAAUGAAGCUCUUUUGCUGUUGUUGGGUUGUCGAUUUAGAUUCUCCGGAGCUCCAACGACUUGAUGACAAUGUGAAUAGGCGAAAGACGAUGUGGCUGGUGCGGUGGUGGCGCUUUUCUGUUGAAGACUCACCAGAAUAGUCAGCCCAUCAUUUUUUUUCUCUCGAUCUCUUCUCUCCCUUUCUUCUCUUCUCUCGAUGCUCUAUCUCUCUCACUCCUUCUCUCUCUAUCCCAUUUUUUAUGUGUGAAUUAUGUCAAUUUAAGUGUUUUUGUGAGUCUUGUGCGUCUGUUGCUGUGUUGUUUAUUGUUGGUCAAGGAAAUAGAAAACGGAGAAGUCUCUGUGGAAUUGUAAGGCGAAGACUAGUGAUCCCUUUCACUUUGGGCCCCCCUGUUUUAUUUUGUCAUCUUUUUUUUUUUUGGAAAGUAACGUGGGAGGGGGGUUAAAGGUAGGGGUAGGGGUGGUGAGGUAGUGAGGUAGGUGGGUUAGGUGUCCUAAUUUCAUAGGCAGGGUUGUUAAUUAGUUAUCACAAGAAUAAUUGGGGAUUGGGUUUAUUAGGGUUUUGUUUAGAUUUGUUAUUUUUCUGUAUUUUUAUGGAGGAGUUAUCAUGUAGAUGAGGGUACACGAUAGGAUAAAGUAAAAAUGGGUAAAAGAUAUCGGGGGGGGGGGGGGGAAAUUAGGGGUCUACAUCAUGCCCCCUUUAAAUGUAAUCACGGAGUGUUUUCAGACAAAGCAGUAGACAACAAGACAGAAUUUUGUCCCGACCAUUAUUCAAAGGAAGAAAUAGAAGGAAAAAGAACAACCGAGUCCUGACUUAGGAUAACCUACCUACCCAAGUUAUGGAGGAAUCAAGUCGCGGGUAUCUCAUAGGAUUGGAAAGAUAAAAACUAUACCGAGUUAGAGAGUCGAGUGAGGUUCCAUCGAGGUUCCGGUCCGCGGCUCUGUCAUAACAUAAAAAAUAAAAAUUACAAGUUAAAAAUAUAAAUGAAAUUACAAAAAUUCUAUCUAUGUAGCUUCUAUUGGACUCUUGACUCGCUACUUCAUCGCCCUAUUCUUCAGACAGGCUCCUGACUUGCAAUUUCUUCAACUUGUUGCUUGCCUUUCAAUUUCUACACCCUGUUCUCAAACGGGUUCCUGACUUGCUAUUUCAUCAACUUGUUGCUAUGCUUUCAAUUUAUUCACCCUGUUCUGCAGCGGGCUCCUGACUUGCUAUUUUUUAACCUGUUUAACUUUUAAUUUCUUCACCUUGUUGCUUGGUUUCCAUUUAUUCGCCCUGUGCUUCAGGCGGGCUCUUGAAAUCACAUCAAAACUAGAAAGAAAAUUAUCCCAAACAAAAAUUAUUAUAAAGAGAAAUUUCGUUUACCAGAAAAGUAAAGUUCCAAAAACAAGAAUUUAAUUUUGCCCCAGUUCAUCAUCAAUGGCUUUUGUGAAAGUCACAUCAUUAUAGGAAUUAAGGAGAAUGACUCGAUUAAAAGGUACGUCUUAUAGGAAUCAAAGGGAAUGACUCGACUAAAAGGUAUACCUUAUAGGGGUCAAGGGAAAUGACUCAACUAAAAGGUACGCCUUAUAGGAAUCAAGGGAGUUAACUCGACUAAGAGGUAUAUCUUAUAGGGGUCAAGGGGAAUGACUCGACUAAAAGGUACAUCUGAUAGGAAUCAAAGGAAUGACUUGACUAGAAGGUACGCCUUAUAGGAAUCACGGGGAAUGACUCAACUAAAAAGUAUGUCUUAUAGGAAUCAAAGGGAUUGACUCGACUAAAAGGUACGUCUUAUAGGAAUCAAAAGGAAUGACUCGACUAAAAGGUAUGUCUUCUAGGUGUCAAGGGGAAUGACUCGACUAAAAGGUAUGUCUUAUAGGAAUCAAAGGAAGACGACUCUACUAAAAGGUACGUCUUAUAGGGGUCAAGGGGAAUGACUCGACUAAAAGGUACGUCUUAUAGGAAUCAAAGGGAGAUGACUCGACUAAAAGGUACGUAUUAUAGGAUUCAAAGGGAGAUGACUCAACUGAAAGGUACGUCUUAUAGGAAUCAAAGGAAGAUGACUCGACUAAAAGGUACGUCUUAUAGGAAUCAAGGGGGAUGACUCUACUAAAAGGUACGUCUUAUAGGAAUCAAGGAGGAUGACUCGACUAAAACGUACGCCUUAUAGGAAUCAAGGGGGAUGACUCUUCUAAAAGAUUUGUCUUCUAGGAAUCUAGGGGGAUGGCUCAACUAAAAGGUAAGCCUUAUAGGAAUCAAAGGGGAUGAAUUAACUAAAAGGUAUGUCUUAUAGGAAUCAAGGAGGAUGACUCGACUACAAGGUAUAUCUUUUAAGAGUCAAAGAGAAUGACUCGACUAGAAGGUACGUCUUCUAGGAGUGAAGGUUCAAUUUAAGAAGUGUAUCACCCAGCAAAUAAAAACUAAAAUCCCUGGACAGUAAAGUGUGUCUCCAAGGUAUAUAAGAUGAUGAAUUUUUACCAUGAUUUAAUUAUCAAACCUGUGCAACAACAUUGCUUCCUGCAUUUGUAAAAGCGAGAAAUUAGGGGCCUUGAUGUUUAGGCUUUGAAAUCCUUGAUUUGAAGGUGACAUGUGUUCCUGUUUCAUGCAAGUAAAAGCUGUGAGUUUAAAAAAAUGGAGACAGGUUUGUGGCUUUGGCUUUCGUGGCAAACGCUCUUGCCGUCAUCAUAUUUAACCUUCCUUCCAACUAUUACAUAUAUCAUUGACUUGAUGCAUCAUUGACCCAAACUCAAAUUAUUAAGAGUGACUUUAAAACAAACACAGUAUCUUUGUUUUGCCAUGCUCCUCAAAUAAACCCUUUGAACUUUGGUAUUUCCAUGAGGUCCCAAACUUGUCUGCUGAUAGAACUUUCUGUAUGCCUUAUUUCGGCUCACAAUCAUAUCUCUUUCAUGUAUUGGCCUUUUGUUACGCUUUUUCAAUUGAAGAAGCUGGUAGCCAGUUUUGAAAUCUUUUCUCACUUGUUUUGACACGGACUUGACUCAAAGACAAGAAACAAAAAAAAAGAAUGACAAUUUUUGUUUGGAUAACUGACUCAAGAAAGAUAAAAUAAAAAUAAAGAGAAGAAAGAAAAGACAAUGAAUAUCCCCUUUUGAAAAAAAGAACCGAAAAAUUCAUCUAAAAAUGAAUAGUCAACACUAAUGAUUAUGACAUGCAUUUUGGAUUAAGCAGCUUGAUCUUUUCAUCCAAACUUUCUACCCAUUGUUGUUGAGUUAGUGUCUUUGAAACUGAGUUUCUUCCUUAGGUCUAUUGUAUUUAAGACCCCAUUCAGCUAGUGGUGCCUUGAAGGGUUUUCGCCAACAAGCUUCUCUCAUUUUCUUUUUCUCAGUUCACCAUUGCCUUAUGGUAUCUGUAAGGAUUUUACACUGAUGAGACUCUCUUAUCUUUGUUUCCCUUAACUCACAGUUAUCUUAUGGUGCCCAUGAGAGUUUUCACCGAUAAGACUCUCUCAUUUUUAUCUCUCUCAACUUACCAUCAUCUUACGGUGCUCGUGAGGGUUUUCACCAAUAAGACUCUCUCAUUUUUAUUUUUCUUUUGUUUUCUUAUGCUGAGGAAGACAAGUAGUUCUCAAAUGCAUCGUAUAUCCCUUGCAUGCUUAUCCUUAACAUCCUCAAAGAUUGAUCUGAUGGUCUUUCUUUGGUUGUAACUUGGCUUUUGGAUAGGGUUGGAAAUAAAGGAUGGCAUGGGCCCCAAAUGAUAAUAAAAGUAGGGUAGAACUUACAACUUUUGGAAUCAACUCAAACAAUGAGUAUUAACUCAUGCCCCAGUUUCUUUUGACUGGGAAAUUCUAAAUUUUAUUUGGUUAGACCGAGCCCAGAGUAGGGCAGCCUACGUAUCUCACCCCCAUGAGAGGAGAAUCAGGUCACGCGUAGUUCUGGCAGCUUAUUCUUUUUUUUUUUGCUUGAUUCUGACUUGUUCUUUUUCUUUUUUUUUUACUCUUUUUUCUAUGUGAUUUUUUUGACUCCAAUUUCUUGACACUCUAUUCUUCCUUCGUGGACAUAUUUUUCUGUCUUUUCUUUUUUUAUGAAACUUUCUGACUCUAUUCUCUGGCUCGAUACUUUUCUUUUGAGCUUUGCUGUCUUUAUCUUGAUUCCAAAAGAGGGGUAUGAAAGAAAAUAACACUAAGGCUCAAAUGGAGUAAACAAAGGAUGACACAAUGUUUGGAUAGCAGAAUAAAUGUCUUCGUCAUAUCAAUCCUUAAAAAUACUAGUACAUAGCAUGCAAUGUGAAAGUGGACGAUCAACAUCACUUAUAACGUGUUUUACAACACUAAAUUUCCCCAAGCAUGUGUGUCACCUCUUUUUCUAUACUUUUCAAACAUACAACUUCAUAUUUAUUGUACAUCCCUCACUUUGAAUGACUCAUGCUUUCGUGGAGUUGAUUUUCUUUCUAUUCCUCUUGAUAGGAUCACGCAGAAACUGUUUGACCUAAUUGAGACUUGUCUUUCAAUUGAUGACCAAGUUAUUCUUGUGAUUCUCUAUAUAAUUGCCUUAAUUUUCAAAGAGUCUUCAACUUGAUCACCAAAUUCCCCAACACUCUAUCUAUUUUCUCAAAUUCUCUCUUUUUCUAACUUUAACCCUCUAAUUCAAUGUUCAUGCUUAAACUAGAUUUUAAAAUCUACUGAAAAUUCCGCAAGCAUAUCAUAUCACUAGAGUCAACAUAAAAUGUAAUGUAUAAAGAAAACAAACAAACAACACAUAUUUUAGAAUACAAAGGAAAAGGGACAAUUCAUUUAGUUGAAAUAAAAGAUAGAAGGGNNNNNNNNNNNNCAAAAGAAGAUAGAUCCCGAACUACAACCCUGAAAUAAUUCGGACAACAGAAAAUAAAAAAAAUACAAGCUACCAAACCUCUUCCUAGUAGGGAGAGGGGUGAAUUCUCAAUUGCUCAGCCUGACAACUUGUAAUACCCCGGGAAAUUUUUCGUUGAAAUUUUGUGCGUAAAUGUGUUGGGUUCUAUCUUCUAGAAUAAAUUAUAAUUUUUUCAUGCAGAAUAUCUUAUAUUAUGACCCACCAUUAAGUAUAGUAUAGAAUAAGCUUUCCAACGAUAUGUGGAUCAUCCAAAACGGAUACCCGAGCGACGAGUUAUGAACAUUCCGAUCGAACUGUGAAUAGUAGUGAACAGUAAAACGUGCAGGAAAAAGUACUGAGGCCUGGUGUAUUUUUGCUCUAAUUUAAAUGAUCAUAACUCCUUAUACAUAAUGAUCUAGGUGAUCUACUAUAUAUCAAUAGAAAGCUCUGUCCUCUUUCCAAUGAAAUUGGUUUCAUCCAAUUUGUCUAUCGAAGCAAAAAGUUAUGGUCGAUCUACUUCAGCCUACCAAAAGUAAAUUUUUGGGUCAACUUCAAACGAUCAUAAUUCUUCGUACACAAUAAUCUGGGUGAGAUACUAUAUAUCAAUGGAAAGAUAUGAGAGUCCUCUUUCUAAUGAAAUUGGUUUCAUCCAAUUUGAAAAUUGGAGUAAAACGUUAUGGUUGAUCUACUUCAGGCUAUCAAAACAAUCCACCAAAGGACAGAUUCGAGAAUUAUUUGAUUUUUAGGAGCGUUUUGGUCAUUCCCCCUCACCCAAAAUCCGUCCAAACCCUUUAUUAAAGCCUAUUAGAAGCAUUAUAUGUUAUAUUUCAUCAAAUUCCCUCAGAAGGAAACCCUAAGCUCCUAUAUCCAACUUCAAGAACGUCCAAAGUUCACCAUUAAUUCUGCAAAUUUAUUCAAGAUUCCAAGUUCCUAGUUCAAGAACUCCAACAACCAUCAUUCAAAGGCACGAUUAAUAUAUCAAAAAUGAGUAUUGAUCUAAAGUUCAUUAUUCAAGGUAUGUAGGGUUUUUCAACAAGAACUCUCUUUCGUUCUUGUGCCCAAAAGUAAUUUUCUUUACAAAGGCAUGUUUUUAUUUGAUUUUUACGAAUUUGAAGCAUGAACCUAUAUCUUAUGAUGAUUAUUAUGAAAUCUUGAUAUUUAUGAUUUUGAAAGAUGAAUUUACAUGUGUGGAGAUAUAAAGCAUGAAUCUUGAACGAUAUUUAUCAUGAUUUUGAUAUUUGGAUCGUGAAUCCCCAUUGGAAAUUGUGUUUUUUUUAGAAAGUGUGUGUUAUAAGCACGUUGAUGUUGAAUAUUUGAGAUAUUUUGAAUGAUUUGACCUUUUGGUCUUAAUGGAGUUGUUUUGAACUCGAGUGUGAAAGAAAUUCACAACAUGGUUGAUUUUGAUAGAUGGGAAGCAUGAUGGCUCCGGAUGUAUACUUAUAUAUUACUGAAAUUAUUUUAUUUUGGAUUGUCUUUGAAAUGAUCGGAGCUAAGUCUGGCAGAAAUCUUUAGCAUCGAGUGGGAGGUAUAAAGCGACCUUACUUCCCUAUAACUGCGUGCCCCCGUAGGAGUGAGCCUGAGGCUGAUUUAUACAGUGAUCACUAGUUUGUAUGGAUUUGAUAUCGAUAGUCUUACUCUAAUGGCAAGGAUAGGAUGGAUCUCCCCAACGUGGGUUGUACGUUGGAAUCCAUGUAGCUCGCAUGGUUUAUGUCGGUUAUAUGAUCAACCAGUGUGUGUGUGUUUGCUUGUGUCUAUGGUGAAUGGUGAAGUGAUUUGAAAGUGUAACUGUGAAAGUUAUUCUUUUGAAAGAUUUAAAUGAUAUUUACAUUAUGAGAAUUGANNNNNNNNNNNNNNNNNNNNNNNNNNNNNNNNNNNNNNNNNNNNNNNNNNNNNNNNNNNNNNNNNNNNNNNNNNNNNNNNNNNNNNNNNNNNNNNNNNNNNNNNNNNNNNNNNNNNNNNNNNNNNNNNNNNNNNNNNNNNNNNNNNNNNNNNNNNNNNNNNNNNNNNNNNNNNNNNNNNNNNNNNNNNNNNNNNNNNNNNNNNNNNNNNNNNNNNNNNNNNNNNNNNNNNNNNNNNNNNNNNNNNNNNNNNNNNNNNNNNNNNNNNNNNNNNNNNNNNNNNNNNGUUCUUUUCCAUGGUACUGACCCACAUCUUCGGAUGUGGGCUAUAUUUUCUCAGAAUGUAGGUUCAGGUGCUCAGUUCCAGGUUCGACAGUGAUUCUUCGGGCACGCUGUUCUACAUCCUCUGUUGUAGUGAGUCCUCAUGUUCCUAGGAUGUGAUGUCUGAUGUUGGUUUCACAGAAUUAUUUACAUUUGAUAACUGAGUAUGAGUCAGUUGGGGCAUGUCUCAAUGGCUUGCUGGUUUUAUUGAUUUUCUUAGAGGCUUGUCAGACUAGUAUAGAUGUUAGGAGUUGACUAAUAAGUCGUAUUUUGUUAUCUUUCUGAAAUUCUUUUAUUCUUGGAUGAUGAUUACUCUGUUGAUAUUUGAGGGUUAUUUAUGAAAACCCCGUUGAUUUGUGUUGAACUGAAUGAAUAUGGCUCAAAGGGUUAGCUUGGGGCUACUCAUAGCCUCAAACACCGUGUGACGCUCCGGAACCCAUUUUCCGAGGCAUUACACAACUUAGCCACUAGUUUUCAUAUUAGCAUGACUAGACCUUUUCUCGCUGUCAAUGUUCUACACCAUAAUCGAUUUAUCUUGAAUCAUCUUUUCUAUUUCUCUUUUCAAGGAAUGACAAUUUUCAAUACUGUGACCCUGAACAUUAGAAUGAUACGCACAUUGUACAUUAGGAUCAAAAUUUCUUGAAUUCGGGUCAGGAGUUUACCUAAGGAGAGGAGUGAUUAUGCCCCCCUGUACUAAUAUCUAAAAUAAAUUGGCAUAUAACUCUCUGAUUGGUGUGAAAUUAUACCUUGACUUCUGUCUCAUUCCAUUGUUUGGCUUAAAUUAAAAACAAGGCCUAGAAGGGCUUUGGUAUGUAUGUGGAGUUGGAGGGUGACUCGGCAGAGUUGGCAUGUGCCAGUAUGGGUAAGAUGGGGGUGAACAUAUGGUUGCACAUUAUACACUUGAUAUGGAGAUAAAGGAAUGGAAUAUAAUGGAUUUUAGGAAAGAUUCUAUGGAGCUUGGGCAUAAACUUGGGUUUGAGCCCAUGGAUAACGAUGGUGUGGUCCUCUCGCCCAUGCCUGUUGUCCAACUAAAAUGGUAGAUGCAUCUUCCUCAUUCUUCAUUCCUCCAACACUUCCUGAACCUUUUUGAAUUGCUUAAGUAGUCGCUUUCAAUGUUGCAAAACUUAUAAUGCGACCGGUCUUAAUCCCAUUCUCUAUCAUCUUCCCCAUUUUGAGGACUUCAAUAAAUGGCUUGCCUAAUGCAGGUAACAAAUAUUGAUAAUAUGUUUCAUCCUACACUUGAGUAAACGCCUCCACUACCUGACUUUCUUUCAUUAGUGGUUUCACCCUAGAAGCUUGUUCACGCCAUCUAAUCGCAUACUCUCUGAAAGUUUCAGUACUCUUUUUUUUUAUAUUAGUUAGGAAUUUCUCAUCAGGAAUUAACUCCAUAUUGUAUUGAAAUUGUUGCACAAAUUCAUUAGCCAGGUCAUCCCAGCUAUUCCACUUGUUGAUGUCUUGGUCAACAAACCAUUUUGAAGCUAAACCUGAAAGAUUCUCACCGAAAUAUGCCAUGAGUAAUUCUUCCUUCCCUCCAGCGCCCCUCAUCUAGUUGCAAUAACAUCUCAAAUGUGCUACAGGAUCUGAUACAAGAAUUCCUAGCUUGAGACCUUUCACACGAAGCCAAGCACGUGAGUUACAACGACUCCAAGCCUUGUUCACAUUCUUGGCCAUGUGUGAGGCCCUUGUGAGCCCAUCUAAGGGCCUAUAUUUAAUAAAAUGUAAAGAGGCCCACCAAGACACCCCAAACCCACCCAUUUAAAUGGCAAGGGUAAUUUGGUCUUUGUACCUCCUUUCUAAGUGACUAUAUAAGCCAUGUAAUAGGGCUAGUCUUGCUUUAGUUCAUUCCUAUUAUUCAAGAAACAAAGACUUGCAAAUUUUUUACUUCUCUUCUCACCAUUUGGAGAGGCCAAAACCAAAUUUUGACUAGUAGAGUAAUACUAGUGUUGUAUCUCGGCUAGAAACUAGGUUCUUGAUAUUCUUUGAGUUCCUCUUGGUCCAAGUAAGAGCUUGAUAUUGAUAUUUAUUAGUAUUAGGGUCCUUUCUCUUGUUAGGGUUCUCAGAUUAAUGAAUAUUGUGUGUCAAGUUUCUAUCUCUUUCUUUGUAAAUCUUGUUAACAUUGUGUUGUUGAAUAUAAAAGUCUAGUGAAGCUGUGUGGCGCUCUUUCAAUUCACUAGCACUAUUGUCUUUGUUGUUCUUGUUGUUAAACUGACUUUUCUAGUUCAAAAAAGUGUUGCAAGCCUAGUGAAGCCGUGUGUGGCCAUUUUCUAUUCACUAGCACUUUGUUGUUCAUUUUGUUGUUCUUGUGUUGGUUGGAAUAUCUUGAUACACACUUAGCAUUGUAUCAUUUGGUAUCAAAUCUCAAGGCUAGGUUUUGUUCUUACAAAAACAAUCUUGGAAAGCUCUUAGCAAAAAGUGUGUUCUUGAACAUUUUGGUAAAAAAAAUUGGUUGUAGAUCUACAAAAGUUUUACUUGUUUAGUUGUUUCUUGUGUUGGUUUCUUUAUCAUCAACACAAAGGGUGUCUAAAUAUAAAGUUGAGCUUAAUGAAAAAGAGAAUUGUGUUGUGAAAAAAAAACUUGGUGGUGUAUUGUUGUUGUGUUCUUGAGGGUGUUGAUGUUGUGUUCAUCCUAAACUUCUCCUCAUCUUAUGUCUUAACUUCUAUAAAGAUAAAUAGAUCCAAAAAUAUUGUAAGACAAAAUUGAAAAUUGUUUGUGAGAAGACUUGCCAACAUCACCUUUUCAAGACUUGACAACCACUUUUCCUUAAAACAAGGAACCUUGUCUUGUGGGACUAGUGAGGUCAAACAUCCCCUUUUGAGUUUGAAAAAAAAAAAGAAAAAAAAAGGGGGUAUGAAAAAUGUUAUAAUACUUUAUGUUUUCCAUCCCAAUAACAAGUCAUCCAUUACAAAAGAUCUAAGGGGACUAAGACUUCAAGUUGAUGAACUAUUUAUGUGAACCUGCGGCCAUUGACAUGCUGCCAGGUCACCCUAGUUACUGUUCACGUGAUAAUUAAGCUCAAAUUUGGAUGUUCUAGUUUCUAAUUAUUGAUUCCUAGUUUCCUCUAAUUGACUUGAGAACUAAUUAACAAACUAGUACAUUCCUACUAGCUUGUCAAUUAGUCACUUGAAGCCUUGUGUUCGUGUCAACAUUUGUUUGUGUGCUUUUGUCGUUUUUAUACGUUGUAACUCUUGGCUCUAUUCCGACGAGAAUUAUUUGAGUUUCAAACAAGAAUUCAUUCUGGGCAAGAGCAUACUCAUACCUUACGGAUUCAUGAGUUCCUAGCCAAUCUACAACUCUUGUGAAACUUGAGUGUGAGUGAACCAAGAGAGUGUGAGUGAGGAGAGGGAUUUUAAACUAACUUGUUUUUUUCUUGUGUAGGUGAUACCUUGAUAAUGGAGGGAACCACGUCUCAAACCGUGGAUUAUAAUGAAAUGGAGAAUAUGAGGGUCACUCUUGAGGCUAUGACCCGAGCUCUUGAAAGGUUGAGUACGAAAGUGGGAGCCAUAAAGGGAGAAGUGACAAGUAUUAGUGGGACGUUAGAACAAAUGGAGAGUCAAAGAAACUCUCGUCCUUCUAGUCCUCGACAUGUUUCGUCAAGUGGACAUGAUAGAAAUUCCUCUGCCACCGUUACUCCCAAAACAUGGCCACAAUUGCCAAAUCCUUCACUAGCUCCACUAAAUGCCGCAAGCCAAACCACUUAUAACCCACUAAACCGAGACUCCAAUAGACCAACCCAUUCCCAAAUGUCUCAAGUUCCGCAAGAGGUACUCAGACGUUAAAUGCCUCCACAAAAUCUGAACCCUCUCUUCCAAUCUCCACUAAACCAAAGACCAUCACCUCCACAAAAUCCAAUUCCUCCGAAUCAAGUUCCAAAUGUCCAAAAUCAUCCCGUCCACAUUGAGGAAUAUGGUAGAGAGGAUUAUGAAGGGUAUGGAUCCUUUGACGAUGCCUACAUAAAGGAGGAAGAGAUGAGAAGAUGUUGUGUGAAUCCACGUAGAUACCGAGGGUAUGGAGAAAGGGGAAACCGACACCUAGAGAAAGACGUAGGCAUCAAUACCAUCAAAUUGAGCCUACCUAUAUUUAAGGGUGAAAGUGACCCCGAGGUGUAUCUUACUUCGGAGUCAGCGUGUGAUAAAGUGUUUCAAGUGAAUGAUAUCUCAGAGAAGGAGAAGAGUUGUUAUGUCAUAUCUCAUUUUGAAGUCUAUGCUAACACUUGGUGGGAAUACGUCAAGUGGUUCGGCAACGAGUUAGUAGAGGGAAAACCACUACCAUGGUUUCGGUUGAGGUACCUAAUGAGGCAACGGUAUCUUCCCGAAAGUUAUCGUCAUGAGUUGCUUACUAGGUUGUACAAUUUACGAAAAGGGAAUCGAAGUGUUAUGGCAUACUAUGACGAGUUUCAAAACUCAUGUUGAAGCUUGAUCAUCGGGGAGAACAAAUUGGCCAUGACAUCAUUCGGUUCAAGUGUAGGUUGAACAAAGAGAUCUCCACUCAUUUGACGCUUCACAAUUUUGAUACCGUUGAAGGGAUUUUCCAAGCUGAUCUUGAGAUUGAAAGGGAGCUUAAAAAGAGGUCGUCGUUCAAGGCAAAGGGACCAUCAACCUCGGGUUGGCCAAGGAGCAAAGAUAUGGUUCAACCAUCUUCGGGUUGACCCAAAAACAAGGACCAACCCGCCACUACAAGGUUGUACAAGCCUAAAACAGUCCAUAAAUUUCCUCCCCGGUAAGAAGCUCACAAGUAUCCUAAUCCUAAAGGGUUCCAAUGUUUCAAGUGCCAAGGUUGGGGACAUAAAGCCAAUGAAUGUCCAAACUGGCGCAAUGUGAUCCUAAGGGAAGGGAGAUUGUAUAACCUUUGUGGGAAAGUGGGUCUUGAAAAAGAAGAGAAUGAGGCCGAGCCUCAAGAUAGAGAGAAACCUAAAAAUGAGCCACAUGAUAAUGAUGAUUAUGAGGAUGCUUAUCCGCAAGAAGGGGAGUGCGUGGUUCCAAACUUUGUAGUGAGGUAUGCCAUGAUUAGUAAAGCGAUAGAUGACCCUAGCCAAUAGUAGAAUUUAUUACAUACUCAAUGUCUUGUGAAGAGAAGUGUGUGUACUAUGGUGAUAGAUAGUGGAAGUUGUGUGAAUGUGGUUAGUGUUGCAAUGGUGAACUUCUUGAAAUUGCCGACUACACCUCACAUUAGUCCUUACAAGUUGCAAUGGUUGAAUGAAUACGAUGAGUUAAAGGUCACAAGAAAAUGUGUGAUACAUUAUAAGGUAGCCAGCUACCAUGACGAGGUGCUUUGUGAUGUGAUACCAAUGCAAGCUUGUCACUUGUUAUUAGGAAGGCCUUGGCAAUACGAUAGGUCGACCAAACAUGAUGGAAGGUCCAAUCGAUAUACACUUGAGAAGGAUGGACAAAAGGUCGUUCUUCAUCCAUUAUUGCCUUCCCAAGUGAAUGAAUUAUACCAAAAUAUGUGAAAAUUGAGGGAAAAGGGAAAAAAGGCUGAGAGUGAGGGAAAAAGAGGGGAACCCGAGAGUAAGGGAGUAGGGGAAACCGAGGGGAUCCUAAUUUCUAAGGGAAAAGGAAGUGUGGUGAUGAUGGCUAGGAGGAAAGAAUUUUUUGUGGACCAUGACGAGGACACUCCGAUGCUCCUCUUGGCUCAUUGUUUUAACACUAACGCCACUAAUAUUUCCAUUUCUCCUCCUAUUUCUCAUGUUUUGAAGGAUUACGAGGAUGUCUUCCCAAAGGAAUUACCGCAAGGAUUGCCCCCACUUCGAGCAAUUAAGUACCAAAUAGAUUUUGUGCCGGGUUCACAAUUGCCUAACAAAUCAACUUAUAGGAGCAACCCGAUGGAUACCAAGGAAUUGCAACGCCAAGUUGAGAAACUCCUUAACAAAGGAUAUAUUAAGGAGAGUAUGAGCCCUUGUGUAGUUCCGGUGCUACUAGUUCUCAAGAAAGAUGGGACUUGGCAUAUGUGCGUUGAUUACCGAGCCAUCAACAAGAUAACGGUAAAAUAUCAUCACCCUAUUCCUAGGUUAGAUGAUAUGCUUGAUGAAUUGAGUGGUUCGUGUUUGUUUUCUAAAAUUAAUUUGAGGAGUGGCUAUCACCAAAUUCGUAUGCAAUCGGGUGAUGAAUGAAAAAUUGCCUUCAAGACCAAAUUCAGUCUCUAUGAAUGGACGGUUAUGCCAUUCGGCCUAACAAACGCUCCAAGUACUUUUAUGAGGCUAAUGAAUCAUGUGAUGAAGCCAUUUAUCGGAAAGUUUGUUGUUGUUUAUUUUGAUGAUGUAUUGGUGUAUAGUAAGUCCUUAGAUGAGCAUGUAAAGCAUUUACAAUGUGUGUUUGAUGUCCUCCGAAAGGAGAAGUUAUAUGCUAAUCUAGAAAAGUGUUCUUUUGGUGUCCAUGAGGUUAUAUUUCUUGGGUUUGUGGUGAGAUCAAGAGGGGUCGAAGUGGAUGAAUCUAAGAUUGACGCCAUUAAAAAUUGGCCAACUCCCAAAACCGUAGGUGAAGUGAGAAGUUUCCAUAGUUUGGCUAGUUUUUAUAGAUGUUUUGUCAAAGGAUUUAGCACCAUUGCCGCCCCCUUGACCGAAGUGAUUAAAAAGGAUCGNNNNNNNNNNNNNNNNNNNNNNNNNNNNNNNNNNNNNNNNNNNNNNNNNNNNNNNNNNNNNNNNNNNNNNNNNNNNNNNNNNNNNNNNNNNNNNNNNNNNNNNNNNNNNNNNNNNNNNNNNNNNNNNNNNNNNNNNNNNNNNNNNNNNNNNNNNNNNNNNNNNNNNNNNNNNNNNNNNNNNNNNNNNNNNNNNNNNNNNNNNNNNNNNNNNNNNNNNNNNNNNNNNNNNNNNNNNNNNNNNNNNNNNNNNNNNNNNNNNNNNNNNNNNNNNNNNNNNNNNNNNNNNNNNNNNNNNNNNNNNNNNNNNNNNNNNNNNNNNNNNNNNNNNNNNNNNNNNNNNNNNNNNNNNNNNNNNNNNNNNNNNNNNNNNNNNNNNNNNNNNNNNNNNNNNNNNNNNNNNNNNNNNNNNNNNNNNNNNNNNNNNNNNNNNNNNNNNNNNNNNNNNNNNNNNNNNNNNNNNNNNNNNNNNNNNNNNNNNNNNNNNNNNNNNNNNNNNNNNNNNNNNNNNNNNNNNNNNNNNNNNNNNNNNNNNNNNNNNNNNNNNNNNNNNNNNNNNNNNNNNNNNNNNNNNNNNNNNNNNNNNNNNNNNNNNNNNNNNNNNNNNNNNNNNNNNNNNNNNNNNNNNNNNNNNNNNNNNNNNNNNNNNNNNNNNNNNNNNNNNNNNNNNNNNNNNNNNNNNNNNNNNNNNNNNNNNNNNAAGUGAAGAGUUAGAAAGGGAUAGGUGGGUUACGGAUAGGGGUUCCCAUCCCUAUACAAAAUUUGAUGGAUACUUGUUUAAAGGUAGACGAUUGUGUGUUCCCUCAAGUUCGUAGAGAGAAUUAUUUGUGAGGUAAGCACACAUUGGCGGUCUAAUGGCCCAUUUUGGGGUCGAGACCCUCGAAAUUUUGGAAGAACAAUUUUAUUGGCCUAGAAUGCACAAGGAUAUGGCCUGGAUUUGCAGCCAAUGUGUUGAGGGCAAAGGAGCCAAGUCACGGCUCCAACCCCAUGGGUUGUACACCCCAUUGUCCACCCUUUUGCGUCCUUGGCUUGACAUAUCAAUGGACUUUGUGUUGGGAUUUCCGAGGACUAGAAGGGGGCGGGAUAGUAUUUUUGUCGUGGUGGAUCGGUUUUUCAAGAUGGCUCACUUUAUUCCUUGUUCUAAAUGUGAUGAUGCGCCUAGCGUAGCCUCUUUGUUUGUUGAUAAUGUUGUAAAACUUCAUGGUGUUCUGAGGACCAUAGUGAGUGAUAGGGAUUCUAAAUUCCUAANNNNNNNNNNNNNNNNNNNNNNNNNNNNNNNNNNNNNNNNNNNNNNNNNNNNNNNNNNNNNNNNNNNNNNNNNNNNNNNNNNNNNNNNNNNNNNNNNNNNNNNNNNNNNNNNNNNNNNNNNNNNNNNNNNNNNNNNNNNNNNNNNNNNNNNNNNNNNNNNNNNNNNNNNNNNNNNNNNNNNNNNNNNNNNNNNNNNNNNNNNNNNNNNNNNNNNNNNNNNNNNNNNNNNNNNNNNNNNNNNNNNNNNNNNNNNNNNNNNNNNNNNNNNNNNNNNNNNNNNNNNNNNNNNNNNNNNNNNNNNNNNNNNNNNNNNNNNNNNNNNNNNNNNNNNNNNNNNNNNNNNNNNNNNNNNNNNNNNNNNNNNNNNNNNNNNNNNNNNNNNNNNNNNNNNNNNNNNNNNNNNNNNNNNNNNNNNNNNNNNNNNNNNNNNNNNNNNNNNNNNNNNNNNNNNNNNNNNNNNNNNNNNNNNNNNNNNNNNNNNNNNNNNNNNNNNNNNNNNNNNNNNNNNNNNNNNNNNNNNNNNNNNNNNNNNNNNNNNNNNNNNNNNNNNNNNNNNNNNNNNNNNNNNNNNNNNNNNNNNNNNNNNNNNNNNNNNNNNNNNNNNNNNNNNNNNNNNNNNNNNNNNNNNNNNNNNNNNNNNNNNNNNNNNNNNNNNNNNNNNNNNNNNNNNNNNNNNNNNNNNNNNNNNNNNNNNNNNNNNNNNNNNNNNNNNNNNNNNNNNNNNNNNNNNNNNNNNNNNNNNNNNNNNNNNNNNNNNNNNNNNNNNNNNNNNNNNNNNNNNNNNNNNNNNNNNNNNNNNNNNNNNNNNNNNNNNNNNNNNNNNNNNNNNNNNNNNNNNNNNNNNNNNNNNNNNNNNNNNNNNNNNNNNNNNNNNNNNNNNNNNNNNNNNNNNNNNNNNNNNNNNNNNNNNNNNNNNNNNNNNNNNNNNNNNNNNNNNNNNNNNNNNNNNNNNNNNNNNNNNNNNNNNNNNNNNNNNNNNNNNNNNNNNNNNNNNNNNNNNNNNNNNNNNNNNNNNNNNNNNNNNNNNNNNNNNNNNNNNNNNNNNNNNNNNNNNNNNNNNNNNNNNNNNNNNNNNNNNNNNNNNNNNNNNNNNNNNNNNNNNNNNNNNAUAUUGUCUUUGUUGUUCUUGUUGAUAAACUCACUUUUCUAGUUCAAACAAGUGUUGCAAGCCUAGUGAAGCCGUGUGCGGCCAUUUUCGAUUCACUAGCACUUUGUUGUUCAUUUUGUUGUUCUUGUGUUGGUUGGAAUCUCUUGAUACAAACUUAGCAUUGUAUCAGGAUCGCCAUGUCCAUCAUAAUUCUCAAACUUCGGCAUUUUAAGACCAAGAGGAAGAUGAAACCUGGAAAUAUGCACAGAUCUUUAUAUGAGACACUUUUGUACCCCUAAGUCCUUGGAAGUUUUUCAUAGUCAGUUCCAAACUUCUCAAUUUUCUAGCCAUUUCCUCUUGUUCUUCUGUCCUAACAGGCUUCUCAGUGUUAGGAGAAAAUUCAGGUAGUUGAGUGUAGUCGUAAGGGCCAGUCGACUUAAAUGUGGGCUCGGGAGCAUAAUACUGAUCACUAAAAAUAUUCAAUACAGGGUCGCUUGUAGAGUGAGGAAUCACAACCGUUGGAUUAACAUUUAAAGCAAGAGCUUCAAACGAGAGUGGGGCUGCAAAAGCAUGAAUAGAAGGCAGAGCCGAGCAUGUGGUAAUUUUUUGUGGAGGGGUGAGGAAAUGAAUAUUUGAAGUGUUUGGAUACUGUUGCCCCGGAGUAGGUCCUGAUGCAUGUUGUGGCGUGUCGACCAAAAUAGGGAAUUGUGCAUGUGACAUUGGAGGCAAACUAGAAAGAUAUUCCAGAUUAUCAGUGGGAAAUGGAGGAGGCGGCAACCCAUUAGCCCAAACUCGAUGCAUUUCUAUCAUUUGCUGCCUUAAUUUUCGAAUCUCUUCAUUAGCUCCUACAUUCUCAUUCUCUGAACUCCCUAUCUGAUUAGUGACAACAAACUCAGUAUCUUUAUUGGACAUAACUUUCUCUGUGACUUGGAGCAAUAUGGAGGACCUAGAAAAAUGCCACAAACCAACCACCUUAAACUAACUGGACAAAAGAUAGCAAAUGCGUUAGAGUUCAACAGUUUUUCAAAACCUCUUUUUUUUUCUUGAAAAGAUCACCGAACCCUAAAAGGGCGCCUACGUAUCUCACCCCCGAAAGAGGAGAAUCAGGUGUGAGUAGUUCAUGAAGUCUUGCCAAAAUGGACAAUUAAACUCUUUUUCCUUUUCUUUUUCUUUUUCUUGAAACUUUAAAAGAAAACAACAAAUUGUCAAAAGAAUUGACAAAAAUAUUUUUAAGUUUUUCAGCUUUGAAAAUCUCUAUACAAAAUGAAACCUAUGAUACCAAAGAAAUUUUUUUGGGGAUUUAGGUUUUGAAUUUCAUACGAAAACAAAACUUGAACCUAUUAAAGAAAAAUCUUUUUUUGUUGUUUUCUUUUAAAGAUGUAUAUGAAACAACUACUCUAAUAAAGAGUGAAGAAAAUCUUUUUGGAUUUUUCGAAAUAAGAUCUCCGAACUAACAAUAGGCUGCCUACGUAUCUUACAUCCCGAAAGAGGAGAAUCAAGGGUGCGUAGUUCGUCCAGAUUGAACAAUUAAGGAUUAUAGAACAAACAAAACCUUGACUUGAGAGACACGACUACACGAUGAAAAUAAAAUCUUUUUGGAUUUUUAAUUUGACACUUCAUACAAAAAUGACAUCAACAACUAUGAUAGAAAAAUCUUUUUGGUAUUUUCGUUAUAUGAAAUGUAAAAAAUUUCUAACAUCUUUUUUUUGCAUUUUUCUUUUAUAAAAACUCUUUUGAAUGAUUUUUUUUUUUUUUUGAAGUUUUCGAAUUGUGAAUGCAUGCUACACGAGAUAAAGGAAAAUCUUUUUGAUGUUUUUGAAAAAAUGAGUGCGAAAGGUAAAAAAAAUCUUUUUAAAAUUUUGAAUUGUGAAAAACAAAAGCCAUAAAAAAACUCUAAAAAAUAAGAAACUCUUUUUUUUUCUUUUCGACUCACUUGUUCUUCUAUUUUUUUCAACAAUUCUUGCCUACGCCCUUUACUUCUAACACAUGUUUUCCCCAAAUCAGUCCAUCAAAUGACCACGUUACGCUCAAAGAUGCAACAUUUAGCACGUAGGGAUGCUUUAGAGGUGAGUCUCUUACAAAGGGCCACGUUGAUCCCGCUAGAUCUCAAUAUGAUGCAGAUAAGCAUGACUUAAAGGCCGACCUACAUUGGGGUCCACUAACAAGGCUGUUUGGGGGAACGUAUGGUCGAUAGUGGAUUGCUUUAGCUAUCCACCUACUCCAUAUAACCCAAUGGCUCCCCCUCUUAAAAUAAGGGUGACUCAACUAGAGGUUGUGUACAACACGUGUACUACAGACUUGUUGCAGAAAGAAUGACUCGGGUUAUGCGCAUGAUGCCAGAUAUAAAGCGGUAACACAUAAGGUAAAAACUGUAAACAAAGAGCAUGUAGGCACUCAACAAUGAUAAAACAAUAACACAAAACAACACAAACAAUGUCUAUACACCCAUAAUACCAAAUAAAGCCGAUACAACUACAAAAAUAAGCUCGAAUUCUGAAAAAGAUCCCCAGCAGAGUCGCCAGAGCUGUCACACCCCUUUUUUUAACUCUCAAAAAAAAUUUCAAUUUUAAGUUCGAAAGGGUUUUUAUUACUAAAGUGACAAAAAUGAAGAUUUUGUUUUGAAAAGGAUUAUUUAAAUUUAAACUCAGAGUCGCCACUUGGCAUAAUCCGGUGUGUCAAGUCACGAUUGGAAAUCCUUUUUCGAAAAAUUAUUUUGACUCUUUUAAACUGAUCCGCGAACAGAGAUUCCGGUUAAGGAAUUCUGUUGACCAAGGGGAAGGUGUUAGGCACCCGUCGAUCCCGUAAUUCGAUCAUGGUCGCUUGAUGGAGCAUAUCGAUUAAUUUGACAUUACGAAUGUACAAGAAACACAAAAACACAUAAAACAAUCAAACACACACAAAAAAAAAAAAACAAAUACAAAAUAUUGUGUCCAGUCUAAAUAUACAGUCCAAAAAUAAAAAAAAUGCGAGAAUAUAAAUCCGAUUCUAAGUCAAUCCUAAAACUACGCUCCAAUGCCUUACCCGAUGCCUCAGGCCUUGAUCACGAACCUCCUCUGCGUACAUGAUACUUCGGGGCAUUCGCCGGAUAAAUCAAUACAAUUCCCUCGGGGCAUUCCCCGGUAAAAUGAAUACAUUUUCUCAAUUCUGUGCAUUAAGAUAGAAAGAACCAUUCAACAAAUAUUCACACAUUCAACAAAUCACCAUCUUCCAUUUUCUACAAUUUACCUAUCCAAACUUAGUAUUUGCCUACCCAUUUAACGAUCUAAAACAUGAUACUUUCAAUUUCAACCAUAUCCAACAAUGAAUCAAAUUUAAUCAAUGCUCAACUUAUUCGAUUAUCAAUUCCCCCAAAUUUCAUACAAAGUUGCAAUAUAACAAUUCACGAUUACCAUUUUUCGACAAUCUACGACCAAAUAAUUCCACAUUAAUCAUUCACAUCACACCCAAAAUAAUAGAAAAUUGAGACGAUAACAAUCAUUCACACACCAAAAUAAAGAAUUAACGAAGAAUAAGAAUAUUAUAAAGAUGGACCUUAAUGUGGAGAUUUUUACUGCAAUUUAUGAACUCAGAUUGAACGAGAAGCAAUUGAGGAGUCGAACCACAAAUCAAAAGCAGCCAAGAGACCAAAUUGACGAGCCACAAUCGGAACUAUGAACUGAACCUCAAUAAACAACCAAACUCGACCCUCAACUCUGUCUCGCACCACUCGACGCAGCCAAGGAAAACCCAAUUGAUCAUGUUAACCGGACAGAGACUUCCACCGCCGGAACAGUAACAGCGGUGGAGAAGGGUAUUCAAUUACUGUUUACCGGUGACGGGUUCAAUAGAAUUAGGUCGAAACGAAGCUCGUUUGCUACUGCUGGGUUGUCGAUUUAGCUUCUCCGGAGCUCCGACGACUCGAUGACGACAUGAAAAGGCGAAAGACAAUGCGGCUGGUGCGGUGGUGGCGCUUUUCUGUCGAAGACUCGCCGGAACAGUCAGCCCGUCGUUUUUUUUCUCUCGAUCUCUUCUCUCCCUUUCUUCUCUUCUCUCGAUGCUCUAUCUCUCUCACUCCUUCUCUCUCUAUCCCAUUUUUUGUGUGUGAAUUAUGUCAAUUUGAGUGUUUUAGUGAGUCUUGUGCGUCUGUUGCUGUGUUGUUUAUUGUUGUCAAGGAAAUAAAAAUGAAGAAGUCUCUGUGGAAUUGUAAGGUGAAGACCAGUGAUCCCUUUCACUAUGAGCCCCCCUAUUUUAUUUUGUCUUCUUCUUUUUUUUUUUUUUUGGGGAAAGCAACGUGGGGGGGUUUAAAGGUAGGGGUAGGGGGUGGUAAGGUAGGGGGUAGGUGGUUAGGUGCCCUAAUUUAAUAGGCAGGGUUGUUAAUUAGUUAUCACAAGAAAAUUGGGGAUUGGGUUUGUUAGGGGUUUGUUUAGAGUUGUUAUUUUUUUUUGUUUUUUUAUGGAGGGGUUAUCACGUAGAUGAGGGUACACGAUAGGAUAAAGUAAAAAUGGGUAAAAGAUAUCGGGGAGGGACGAAAUUAGGUGUCUACAUAUACCACAUAGAAUGUAUGUGUCUAUUUGUUCAACUUUAUACAAGUUUUAGUAUCUCCUUAUGCACACCCAAAGUUUGACAUCAUAGAUAUGAUUUGAGGGCAAGUUAAAGGGCAUAUUUAUUUAUGUAUUAUGCAAGAAAGAAAUAUAAAAAGUCAUAGAAGGAAAACAAUUCUUCUGUAGUCAGAUAUAUAAAAAGUCAUUUUCGAGAUAUUGGGCAAGUUCAAACAUCAAAUGGUGCUUACAAAACGUUAUCCCACAUUGCUAAUUUACACAUAAACACACAUACAAAAAGAGUAGUUACUCAAGCACUGCUGAUUUACCAAGAUCGCUAGAUUUGAUGCUUUCUUUUACACUGCGUCAAUUUCCACUACAAGAAUCGGAAUGGAGAAGAAGCUGUUCUGUUGGUGCUCAAAAUAUUUCGACCUUAAGCUCGUCCCUGCCCGUCAUAUGUUCAGCAUAUUGUUUAAUCUUUAGAGUAGAAUCGUUAAGUUGAGGGCUCUCUGCAAGUUGGAUGAUUUUCAAUGAACAAAUAUCGCCAAAACUAGGCGGAAUCUCCUCAAGCAUACGACAUCCCCACAUUUGUAAUUUCUCAAGCAUGGGAAAGGAUUCCUCUCCAACCUUCCACUUAGCAAGAGUCACUUCACACAACCCCAAAUAUUUGAGAUUCUCAAAGGUGUCUUCCUCCCCCAUGUUCCAUUCUCCCCCCUGCAUGAUUGUCCUCAUAAGGAUCAGCUCUUCAAGGUUUGGCAGUUUUGCUAUUGUUGAUAGGGAAUUGGAUGUCAGAGGAAAAUCAUGCAACACAAAUUUUUUCAAAUUCGAUGGGAAGUGAAAAUCCCACGAACAAUUUGUUGCAACAGAAGGCCCACUGUCGUUUAUGUUUGAACUUUCAAAACCUACAUUGAGGAAUUCUAAUUCAGAUAGGAAAUCCAAUUUUGGGAACCAAUAUUUUUGUGUUGAAUAAUCCCAUGAUUCCUUGAGACUAAAUUUAAGCACUUAAAAUUGGGAAACCUUUUGAAGAUAUCCUCUGUAUCUUUCGAAUAGGAAAGCACGAGUUGCUCUAAUGCUCUCAAGUUCUCUAACUUUGAGUCCUCUGCUAUCAGUAUUGGUUCAUCUGUAACCUUAUCAAAGAAAGAACAAGCGAUCACGGACAGCUCUCGCAACUUUACCAGAUCCCAAAUUCUCGGUAAUAGUACCAAGGUUGAUCCUUUGUUAUUCACAUGCAGGGUUUCUAGAUUCCAGAGGUUUGAGAAAGAUGAAGGCAGAGAUUUAACUUCUGUUCCAAAGAAUAAGUACCUCAAAUGAUUCAACAUGCAUAUUUCAUUCAGCAAAGAAUCUUUCACCAUAAUAAAAGACGGAAACAGUUGCAACACUCUAAGAAGCCUCAAGUCUCUUAGGUGAUAUACAUCAUAAAGUUGAUCAUCCAUCUCGUCUCCAGUUAUCAACAAAGAAUAGCGGUGUUUCUUUUUUGAACUGAACAGGACGAAAUUGUUAAGCUCUAAGUUCUCCAUAUCAUAAACAAUGUUGACAAUAUGUGGCAUCAAAUCUGAAGAACUUAUCCAACAAUGUUGAAGGCAACGAUCACUUGAACUUAUCCACUCAAAACAACUUUUCCUUUAUUGCUUUUAUAAAACAAAAGUAAUGCACAAGAUCAUGGAGUUGGCAAGUCGGGUGAUUACCUCUCUCAUUGAAAAGAAUCACCAAGCUACUGGAAAUUAAAUUAUCCAAAUACAUCAUUUAAGUGUAUAUGUAGCAGAUGCAUAAAGAGCGGUCCAUCGCUCAUGGGGAAGCACCAUUGACAUGGGUCCGGGGCUUUCAGAUAAACAUAUUUGAGAUCUUCCUUGAGGAGUUCAAUAUUUUUCAACAAGUCUAGAGUUUCACGAUUUGUUCUGUUGGUACUCCCUUUACUCUUUGAUUUCUCUUCUAUGUCGUGAACAAGAGUUGAUACUUCCCUGGUAAGUGAUCCAACAUGAGCCAAAAGAUCAAGUAAUUUCUCAUGAUGAAUAAUGUCCUUGGGCACAUCAGUAAGAAUAAUCUUCAGAAACUCUAUCAUGACAUGAAUGUUUCGAGCCCCUGAAGUGCUAGGGGUAAUAACAGCUACCAUGUGCUCUUGUAGAUGAAUCAGAUACUCUCUAAGAAUGCCCGGAGAGAUUUCCAGGAGUUGCUUGAUGAAGCAUGCAACUUCUGCUGAAAUUUAAGCUUUUAAAUUUGUAUAACAUAUGUGCAUCACCUCCAAUUCAAUUGGAAUAAUCUUCAAGAGUAAUUAGCUAGCUUGAAGAGCCGAGAGUCUCUUUUAAAUCGAUCAUCCCAAAGGAAGAGCCCAACUCUCUCAGCCAUGAGUGGAAACUGAGGUAAGACAUAUUUAACAAUAUCUUGCUCAACGUAACCAUUCACUACCAACCCAUGGAAAUCUCUCAUGUUGCCGCACACAUUCUGAAGAAUCUCAUACUGAGUCAUCAAUGGAAAAACCUGUUCAGCAAGGAUCGUGGAUAUAUAAUGGAGGUUCAGGAGUAGGAAGUUCAACUGCUCGUCAGUUAUGGUGUGCACUUGGUUUAGAACGAUGACAUGAGCUGAUACAAUCAUUGAUAUUAUCCAUGAGGCUAGGAAGGACAUGAUGAAUGUUGUAUUUACACUGGAGGUUGUUGUCAACAUCAUUCAAAAUUUGUCAAAGCAGAUUCUCAACCACUUGUCUUGAAGCACUCAUUGUAUUUUCAAACUGCUCCAAAUCGGAAUAAGAGAGCUGGACGAACGUACAAAUAAAUGCCAGCACAAACUUUAGCCCUUCGGUAUGAUCGGCCACGUUGACAACAUUUUGAUCUUCUUCAUUCUUUAACCUCCCCAUGAAAUCCAGAAUGUUGGCAAUGUUCUUGAGAAGAGCAGAAAAUGAUACCUGCCAAAUGACCAAACCAAUGUUUUAUUUAUUUUCUAUAUUUAUCGGAAAUCAGAAUAUCAAGGAAAUAAGACGACUCAUUAAAUUGAAGCUUUUUGUUGAAUUUCAUAUCAGGAAGGAAAAAUUAAAUAUUGGUUAGUACGAUUGUGAAGUUUAUCAAUGGUUUUGGUGCUUACUAUUUUUGGGAUAAGUAUUGCAAACACCCAUAAACAUGACACGAGUUAUCACUUUAGUCCCCGAACUAUUAAAAAGGGUUGCCUGGUGCACUAAAUCUCCCGCUAUGCACAGGGUCCGGAGAAGGGUCAUACCACAAGGGUGUAUUGUACGUAGCCUUACCUUGCAUUACUGCUAGAGACAGUUUCCAAGGCUUGAACCCGCGACCUCCUGGCAACAUGGCAACAACUUUAUCAGUUACUCCAAGGCUCCCCUUUACCAGUUACUCCAUGGCUUUACCAACAAUAGUCUCCUAACUAUUGACAACCUUCAAAACACACCUCGAGUUAACUAAGUGAAUUUAAAAACACUCCUCUUAUUCUACACGUGCGUACAUGUGGAAUUUUUAGCUGAUGUGUUAUACACAUAGAUAUGUAUAAUAAAAAAACAUUUAAAACAUUUAUUUUUUAAAAAUAAUUAAAUCUUUUUCUUACCCCACUCCACCCCCACACUCCACUACCCUUUUUUUUAAGAAAAAUAAAAAUUUGAUGUUAUCNNNNNNNNNNNNNNNNNNNNNNNNNNNNNNNNNNNNNNNNNNNNNNNNNNNNNNNNNNNNNNNNNNNNNNNNNNNNNNNNNNNNNNNNNNNNNNNNNNNNNNNNNNNNNNNNNNNNNNNNNNNNNNNNNNNNNNNNNNNNNNNNNNNNNAAAAAUAUAAUAAUAAAAAAAUUCUACCAUACUACUUCCACCCUAUCAAGAAAAAAUUAUUAUCACUUAAGGAACAGGGUGCCCUGCAAUCUCAGGUCAGUGGAGCUGAGUCAGCCUCACCUUACCUUACGUAUCAUUUUUGUGGGCAGCUUCAUUGUGGAUAUUGUGAGGAGGGAAGGAAUUUGUGCUUUAAUUGUGGUUAGCCUGGUCAUUUGCGGUGAAAUUAUUCUGAAGCUAGGGGUACACUUGGGGCUAAUAAGGCUCAGCCUACUACUUCUUCAGCUCCUGCUGCUAAAGGAACUACUUCAGGGACAAAAACUGGUCGAAACCACCUUUAUGCACCUUCUAGUUGCCUGGAAUCUGAGGCAUCCCCAGAUAUUGUUAUUGGAAUGAUAUAACUUUUUCUCGUUAUGUUUAUUGCUUGCUUGAUCCUGGUUCUACCCGAUCUUAUGUGACCGUACACUUUUGGAUUUGGUCAUAAAAGUAUUUUUGACCCUUUUUUUAGUUUCUACCCCAGUUGGUGAGUCUAUUGUUUCUAGAAAAGUCUAUAGGGGUUGUGUGGUGGACAUUGAUCGAUUUAAUAGCGCCUGAUAAGGUGGAUUUUGAUAUGAUCUUGGAGAUGUAUUGACUUUAUUCGUGUUAUGCUUGUCUGGGUUGUAGGACCCUAAAUGUCACCUUUUAUUUCCUAAUAAACUGGUAAUUGAAUAGGAGGAGAGUUCCCUAUUACCAAAAGAGGAGUUUAUUUCUUACCUUAGGGCUCAGAAAUUGAUAUCCAAAGGGUAUCUGUACCAUCUAGUUCAAGUCAAGGUAUCUAACUUUGAAAUUUCUUCCUUUGUAGUCUGUCCCUGUGGUUGAUGAAUUUUCUAAAGUUUUUCUCAAUGAUCUUCCUGGGAUCUCUGGAUAGGGAAAUAGACUUUGGAAUCGACCUUAUAGUUGAUACUCAUCCCAUUUGUAUUCCUCCUUAUAGGAUAGCCACAGUAGUGUUAAAGGAACUAAAAAAGCAAUUAAGGAAUCUCGUUGAUAUGGGUUUCAUCCGUCCUAGUGUUUCUCCCUUGGGUGCUCCUGUGCUUUUCGUGCGAAAAAAGAAUGGGUUUCUCUGAAUGUGUAUAGACUAUCGUCAAUUAAAUAUGGUCACCAUGAAAAAUAAGUAUCCUCUUUCUAGGAUUGAUGACCUCUUUGAUCAGCUUUAAGGUGUUGAUGACCUCUUUGAUCAGCUUCAAGGUGCUAAGUGUUUCUCUAAAAUAGAUCUCCGUUGCAGAUAUCAUUAUUGUAAGAUAAGAGAGGCUGAUAUUCCCAAGACUACUUUUCAAACUCGUUAUGGCCACUAUGAGUUCUUAGUUAUGUCAUUUGAGUUAUGUAAUGUUCCGGCUGCUUUCAUGGACCUUAUGAAUCGGGUGUUCAAAUAGUUUUUGGAUUUGUUUGUCGUAGUCCUCAUUGAUGACAUCUUGGUAUACUCCAAAAGUGAGUAGGAUUAUGCCAAGCACCUCCAAAUUGUAUUGGAGACCCUUAAGGAUCAGGAAUUAUAUGCAAAAAUUUCUAAGUGUGAAUUUUGGCUAAGUGUUGUGACUUUUCUUGGGCAUGUUGUAUCCAGUGAAGGGAUCAAAGUGGAUCCAUAAAAGAUUGAGGCAGUUAAAAAGUGGCUAGACCCACGAUUACAACUGACAUUAGGAGCUUCUUGGGCUUAGCAGGUUCUUAUAGGAGAUUUAUAGAGAGUUUCUCGUCUAUUCCUGCUCCACUCACCAGGUUGACUCAAAAAAGGUAAAGUUUCUAUAAUCCGACACUUGUGAGGGUAUUUUUGUGAAAUUGAAGGAUAAGUUUACUUUCACUCCUAUUUUAACCUUACCCAAGGAUACUGAAGGGUUCGUUGUGUAUUGUGACAUAUCUCGUGUGGGACUGAGUUGUGUUUUGAUGCAAUACGGAAAGGUGGUAGCUUGUGUUUCUAGGCAGGUGAAGGUUCAUGGGUGAAAUUAUCUGACUCAUAAUCUAGAAUUGGUCAGCGUGAUUUUUUCUUUAGAAAUUUGGUAUCACUAUUUGUAUGGAGUGCACAUAAAUAUUUACUCAUAUCAUAAAAGCUUGCAGUAUGUGCUUACAUAGAAAGAAUUGAACCUCAGGUAAAGGCAGUGGCUCAAAUUGCUUAAGGAUUACGAUAUGAGUCUACACUACCACCCAGGUAAAGUUAAUGUUGUUGCUGAUGCUCUUAGCAGGUUGUCCAUGGGGAGUUUAUCUCACAAUGAGGAGGACAAAAGAAUAUUAGUAAAGGAUAUUCACUGGAUGGCCAAUUUAGAAGUUCUCAUUUUUGACUUGGAUGAUGGAGAGGUAAUUGUUCAGGAAAUGGUUGAAUUGUGUCUUGGGGCUGAGAUCAAGGAGAAGUGGGUUUUGGAUCCUAUACUAGUACAAAUUAAGGAUGAUGUGUGUCAACAGAAGGUUAUGGCUUUUGAAUUUUGGGGAGAUGGCAUUCUGAGGUACCAAGGUAGGUUGUGUGUUUCUGAUGUAGAUAGGUUAUGGGAAAAGAUCUUGAUCGAAGCUCAUGUGUCCAGAUAUAUAGUUCAUCCGGGUUCGACAAAGAUGUAUCAUGACUUGAAAGAAAUUUAUUAGUGGAACAAUAUGAAAAAAGAUGUGCCAAAUUUUGUUACCAAGUGUAUGGUCUAUCAACAAGUCAAGAUUGAGAAUUUGAUGUCCAGUGGCACGUCUCAAGAGAUAGAAUUUCUUAUGUGAAAGUGGAAAAUGAUUAAUUGGAUUUCGUCGUGGGUCUUCGCUAUCUCAAAAUUAGUAUGAUUCUAUUUGGGUCAUUGUGGAUAGAAUGACCAAGUCUGAUCACCUCUUGCCUAUGAGAAUUAACAACAGAUGAGAGGAUGAUGCCAAGUUAUUCAUUCAGGAGUCAGUCAAGUUACGUGGCCCCGGUGUCUUUUAUUUCUAACCGUGGUACACAUUUUUCCUCUCAUGUUUGGCAUUUGUUUCAAAAAGGAUUGGGUACUCAGGUAAACCUUAGCACUUUUUUCCACCCUCAGACGACCGCAUAAGCAGAACGUACUAUUCAUACUCUUGAGAAUAUGCUAAGGGCCUGUAUGAUUGACUUUAAAGGUAGCUGGGUUGAUCAUUUUCCCCUUACUGAAUUUGCUUAUAAUAAUUACUAUCAUUCCAGCAUCCAAAUAACUCCUCUUCAGUCCUUUUAUUGUAGAAGGUACAAGUCCCCAAUUGUAUGGUUCGAGGUGUGUGACUAAAUUUUUUGGGUUUGACUUGGUUCAUGAAGCAAUGGAGAAAGUGAAGGUGAUUCAGUAAGUACUUAAGACUGCUCAAAGUCGCCAAAAGUCUUAUGCAGAUGUGAGGCAAAGGGAGUUGGAGUUUGAAGUCGAUGAUUGGGUGUUCUUGAAGGUUUCUCCUAUGAAAGGAGUUAUAAUAUUUGGGAAAAAGGGGAAGCUCAGCCCCCGUUACAUUGGCCAGUAUCAAGUUGUAAGAAGGAUUGGGAAUGUUGCCUAUGAAUCGGAAUUCCCAACAAACUUGGCCUCGAUUUAUCCACUUUUUCAUAUGUCUAUGCUUAAAAAGGUAUGCGAGAGAUACUUCCUUGAUAGUGCCCGUUGAGGAUAUUGGUUACGGAUUUGUUGUCCUAUGAAGAAAUCGCGAUUGAAAGCUUGGAUAGGCAUGUUCAGAAAUUAAGAACUAAGGAGAUAGCUUCAGUGAAGGUGAUAUGGAGGAACAAAAAAGUACAGGAGUCUACAUUAGAAUCGAAAGAGGAUAUGAAAGCUAAAUACCCAUUUUUGUUUCCAAUGUUGGACGAAAGUGCUUAAGGUGUGAAUCUCACUUAUUCUCUUGAUGCAUUUCAAAUUUUGUUCUUGAAUCCCUCUAUACUCUUCCUAUUAUCAUGUUAAGGGUGUCCUAAUCUCUUAUUCUGGGACGAAUGAUCCUAAGGGGGAUAAUGUAAGUCUUCAAAUUUUUUGAUGAUUUUAUUGUGGACCUUCCCUAGUAUUUAAUAAUAUUUUUUGACUUGAAUCAUGAUAAGGGAUGUUAACGGAAUAAUUGAAAUUUUUUUUGGAAUUUUUGGAAAGCCUUCGAGGUCAUUUCAGGAUUCCAAACCAGUGAGGGCCCGCGAUAGCGGUGUCCCUCUCUUUGUGCAUGCUGCGAUAAGAGCAUGGCACGGCCUUGGGCCUCCAUGAUAGCAGUGUGCCACGUCCAAGGACACACAUCACCUAGUUUUAUUUUAUUCAGUUGGGGUGAGGACUUUUUGGUUCUUUUCUCUUUAAAAUGACAUUCAACAUAUUUUCAUCCUUAUUUCCCACCAGUUAAUAAAAUUAUCAUCAUUCCCCCACCCCCACCUCCUCUCAACUCUUAAGUGAAGUAAACCAAGGAUUUUCUUAAGGAUUCAACUCUCCAGACUCUAAACUCAAAUUCCUCUCAAAAUUCUUCCGUCAUUAAGGCAUGUUGGCAUUCCCUAUUCUAAUUGUUGUAUUAUUGCAUAAAUUUACUUGGAAUUUACGUGUUCUUGAAUAUUUGAUUUAAACUAAGGUUGAGAAUUUUUGGUGGUUAUACUCUUGCAUUGGUAACUUCUUAUUUUAAUGGUUUUUCCUAUGGUUUAAAUGUUGAAUUGCAACUGAAUUGUGUCUUGUGAUAAUGUCGAAAUUUGGUAAUUUAGGUUUCACAAAGUUUGUGGAUUUUGGCAUAAUAAUAACAUGAACCUCAACCCACAUCAUAAUUUGAUUUCUAAACAAAGAUUUCAUAGUGUCUAAACUGUUCAUUAAAAUUUUGCAUAACAUUAACUGGUAAAAAUGUUAAGAGGUUCCCAAAACUCCCUUGGGGCUAUGGUUAUGGAUUUUUAAAUAAAAUUUUGAGUCUAAAUGAUUAAAUGAAUACAGUAUGGCAUAAUUGGAAUGACUUGCAAGUCUAUUGGUAUGAUGAUACCAAUUUGGGAAUGCCUUAAUGAAAAACUCCAUGAUUAAUGAUAUGUGAAAAUAUUUUAGUUGAGCUUAAAGGGAAUUGUGUAGCUCAUCGAGAAGGUUUAGUCCCGAGGGACCAACACUGAAAACCACAUUUGCCGACGUUAAGGGUCUUCUUUACACAAUAUAUUUUUAGAAGACUAUCGUCUUGGUGUCUUUGGCCAAAUUUCCUUGAUUCAAGCGGUUAAUAUGAAUUGGGGUCUUUCUAGCAGGGGAAGCCAGACCCUUAUAGCCCGUCGGUGCCUGAAGGUCGGUAUGAGCUACAUAGUUUAGGAUUAAAUUUUUAAAUGAACUUGUUCAUGUCUCUUGUCCCCUACCCCGGCAUUCUAUUAUCUUUUUAGUUGUUGAGCACAUGUUUUAUGACUGGUUUUCGGCAAAUAUAAAUUUCAUCCAUGUACUUUAUAAGCAUUUUGGUUCAUGUAUAUUUAUUCCUUUUCUUUGGUUGCAUAUCAGUAUCCAUUGUACUGACCGUCUCCAGAUACUACAUCAUUUUAUGAUGUAGGUUCCGAGGUCUUUUCCUGUGGCCUUGUGCAGCGUUAGGUGGUUUGGUACUCCUGUUGGACAACUGUUAUUGUGGUGAGCCCUCCAUUCUCAAUUAGUUAUUGUCCUAAUACAUGUCAUUUCACAAAAGCAAGAUAUAAUUAGUUGUUUGAGUCUACUUUUACCUGCAGUAAUAAACAUGGAUAUAUAUUAAUAUAGUUCAAAAAAAAGAAGCAUUAAAUAAAUAUGAGUAAUAAAUCAGGAUAAUUUAGUUAGAUUACCUUCUAUUUAAGGCUUUUCUAAGGGUUAUGCAACAUUAAAAAGAGACAAGAAAAUAGUAACAGAGGAAGUACUAAAAAGUUACAACUCUUUCAAGGUAUUUACUAACGAUAAAUUAUUAAAACAAUCUUUAUAUUUUAGAAAUGAGUAUAGUUUCUUGAGUACUAAAAAAAGAAAAAAAAAAGUAUAGCUCCUUAAGGGGUGCACGUGUGCCCAAACUGAAAACGCCACUUAUUUAGACAUGGAGUCAAUAUGACAUACCAUAAAGUUGUUUGCUUCCCCUUUCUCUCUUUCUCCUUCAUUUUCCAUGAGUGUAAGUUCCUUUCCUAUCUAAUUCGUAGGAUCUGAUGUAUAAAAUAUAGAUAAAAAGUUUAUCAGGAGAAUAAAGUAACAAAAAAUGUACAGCUAUAAAUAAGUUAGUUGUUUUCUGUGUAUAUUUUACCAAAUUUUUCUAAAGAUCUUAUCAAAAUUAAACAAACUUUUAAAGUUUAUUAGAGACUAACCUUAUCACUUGAUGAAAAAACUGAUGCAACCAAAAAACUAUUAGCUUGGAAAACAAAAGUCUGAAAAUUUGUGUGGAAGAAGAAAUAGAGAGAUAACAAAUAAUUGAUGUUAGAGAAAACUACAAUAAAUAUCUUUCAAUUUGUCAGCUGAAGACAGCCAACAUGUAGCAUUGAAUGCAGAAAUAUCGUUUUCCAAUUUUUUAGCAUGUCCCUUAAAAAAUUAUAAAUAAGAAAUAUAAUUUUACUAAUUUACUCUCUCCGUUUAUUUUAUUUGUUCAUUAUUUUAAUAAUAGAUUUUCACUUCCACUAGCCACUUUUAACAUAGCAAGAAAAGAUAAUUAUUUUUUCAUGUUUAACCCUUAGCAUUAAUUACUUAUUCUACAAAUUAUUUAUUAAAAUCUAAUAUUGAAUAUCAAUUAAUAAGGCUAGUGUGGUAAAAUAACCAUGUCAAUAAGUUCUUAUUAAUGAAUGUGUCAAGUUCAAAUGUUACAAGUAAAAGUAAAAGUUAAUAGAGGGUGUACCUCUUAAGAUACUUUGAUUGAAACUUUACAAAUAAAUUGUUUGCACUUUCUAGAGUAAAGCAUCAAGUACCCUCCUGAACUUUGACCAAAUUUGCUACGAUACACUUCAAUUUCACAGGGGUUCUAUUACCCUUUGGACUCAAUUUUAGUGUUUUGUCACUCUUUUUAGCUAAUGUGACAUCUUUUUAGUUGACAUGACACUUUUAAUGUGGGCCCCAUUUUUAUGUAAUUAAGGUGUCAUGUUAGCACAAUAGGGUGACAAAAAUAUUUAAAAUUGAGUUAAGGGUAAUAAUAACUAUGUGAAGUUAUCUCCACUUUCUAAAUGAAUUAAUUGCAAGGGUGAAAUGCUAAGAAAAUGUAAUUAAUUCUAUUUUGAUUUUGUAGUUUGACAAGUAUUCCUAGCUCCGCUUCAUAUUACUUGGUCUGUAUUGUCCUGCCACAACCCUUAAGAAAAACUUAUUGGUGACAUGAUCUGAUAUACUUUGAACAAUUUAGGAAUGAAGAACAUUCAUGGAUUGUUUUGUUGUCGGUUGACGUCAAGUUGAAGUGUUUGAUGUGCACUCUCGAAGUUAGAUUAGUGCUUACUUUGAGUGUCUAUAUAUAUAUAAAUGUAUUACUAUAUUCCCCUCCUUUCUAAACAUUGGAAAAUUUGUGUGGAGGAGAAGAUAGAGAGAGAAGGGGAGUGGGGUAAUAGGAAACCAAGUCACUGAUUGUAAGCAAUGAGGUAGAUGAGAAGUUACCUAUGAAAGAAAAAAUAUGUUUGAACUAGUCAAACACAUGCAGCAUUUAAGUUGUAUACAGUUAAUGUUAUUAGUUGGAUAGCUGGAUACUAGCCAUGGAGCAAUAUCAGAUCUCUUAGAGUCGAUAUACCCAACUUUUAGCUUUUACUGUCAUAUCGGGAGUUAAUCCACGUAUUGCCCGACGAAAAAUGGAUUGCGGAUUCAUCUUGAAUGAUUUAAGUAGAUGCGGGGUGAUAUAUCUGAAUAAUAGAGCUAGAGUAGGAGCUACAGCAACUACAGCACAACACUUUUCUUAGUAUUGAAAUCUGUACAUGACGAGUAGUACAAAAUUUGAAAGAGGAAAAUACGAGUGUGAACUGAUGAUUGGUGAGUCUAUUUGAUUGAUAUUUAUUGUCAUUCCAAAGAAAAAAUAUAUAAGAAAUUACUUUAAAAUUAUGAAUGUGAGGAUAACAUUUACUUUUUGGAGGUGAAAGUCGAAAAAUAUGUUUUUGUGUGGAGGAGAAGAUAGAGAGGAAAUGACAUAAAAUAUGUCAACUCAUGUGACAUUUUUGACAAAAGCAUUGGGACACAGAUAACUUGCAGCAUUGAUUGUCAAGUUUGAAAUAUUUAUCAUUCUCAACUCUAGGGGGAGCGUAGAAAUAUAGAAAGCUGAAACUAACGGAGUUGUACAAUUAGGUAUUUGAGUUGUAUACGGUCUUGUUCGGCCGUCAAUUCGUACGUAAUUCAGAGUACCAAUUGAAUUUGUAUAGUGUCGUAGGCUAAGCUAAGGUCGACUAAAUAAUGAAAUAAAUAAUAUUAACUCACUAUAUGAAAGAAAUGCAGUUAAAAAAAAAAAAAAACAGAUAAGUACCUUAAAUUUGCAAAUGACCAAAUAGAAAGUUAUACUUAAUAUUGGUAUAUCUUGCUCUCACCCAAAUACAACAUACCUCAUGUUUGACUUGCAAUCGCAUACGACAUAUCAGACAGACAAAUCACUGAAUGACAAGUGUAUUUAUUGAAAUUAUAAUUUUUAUUACGAAAUUGGAAUUUUUCUAAAAGACAUUGAAAAGUCUGCACAAAAUGUAAUAGAAGUUUCUUAGUCAUAUACAGUCUACCCAGCAAAGCACAACUUACUGUUUGUGGUUUGUACAGAAGCCAAUGUCACAGCUAGAGAACUUAAACACACAAAUACAAAGAGUGCUAAAGACUUUUCACACAGAAUGCUUAAAAUCAAUGUAUUAAUAGGUAAGAGGAUUUAUAAUAACACUUGUUAUUGCACAUGAAGCCAAAUGUUGUAAAGAAACACCUAUUUAAACAUCUUCAUAAUUAAUUACAAUAGCCCCAAACACCAAAUGCUUAUCGAUGGUUGAUUCCACCACUCUGCAUCACAAUUCAAACUCUUUGCACGCGAGCAUCCCACUUCUUGUUGCAUUGGAAUUUCUCAAUGAUUUCAGUACCUGAAGAGUUGUCACAUGUUUGUGAUCUAAGUUGCUCGGACUCUCCAAAAAUGUUGCCGCACCCGUGUCGGAUCCUUCAAAAAUACACUAUUUUUGGAGGAUCCGACACACACCCAUAGACAUAUUUGAGGAGUCCGAGCAACUUAGUUUGUGAUGAUGUAUUUCUUGAAAGAUUUACAAAAAUUUGAGAUUAAUUGAGAUUGCAGACCUUUUAUAUAACUUCCUUCUUUCCCAUCAUAUCAGAGUUAGCAAUCCCAUGUAUGUUUCAAAUAGAGACUUAGAGUGGAAAUCGCGGCAUUUGGUGGCAGUAAACUCGGCAUAGAAAUGGCACACUAAUUAAGAGGUGAACUGAGCAUGGGGAGAAACUUUUAUUAUUUAUGCUUUAGAUUAACAAUUCAUUAAAUAGAUGUAUAGCAUUAAUAUGGAUGACUAUUGUAUGACAUACCAAUGAGUUGUUUGUUUCCUCCUUCUCUUGGUCUCCUUCCAUGAUUGUACCAAAGUGACUUAUCCUUCCCUUCCUUUCAAUGUUCUCAGGAUCUGAUGCAUAAAAUGUGCAUAAAACUUUAUCAGGAGAAAAAAGUAAGAAUACAAGAAACUGAAGAAAGAAACAUAAAAAGUCAUAGAAAUAUUGAUCAAUGUCAUCCCACUACAUUAAUUUACACACACACACGCCCUGCUGAUUUUCCUAAUUACCUUAAGCUUUCAUCAAACACAGUGCAAAAGAACAGAGAAGAACCUGUUCUGGUGGUGCUUAAGAGCUACUUGAAUAACAGGAUAUUAGUCGGGCCCAAGACCAGAAGCUCGUCCCCUCCCAAAUCUUCAACGUAUUGUUUAAUAUUCUUCGCAGAAUCUUCAAGUUGAGGGCUCUCAACAAGUUUGAUGAUUUUCAACGAACAAAUAUAGCCGAAACUAAGCGGAAUAUCCUCAAGCUUACGACAUCUCCACAGUCCUAAUUUCUCAAGCACGCGAAAGGAUUCGUCUCCAAAUUCCCACUUAGCAAGAGUCACUUCAUCCAAAUUCAAAUAUUUGAGAUUCAAAAAGGUGUCUUCUUCCCCCAUGUUCCAUUCUUCCCCCUGGAUGAUUGUUCUCGUAAGGAACAACUCUUCAAGGUUGGGCAGUCUUGCUAUUGUUGAUAGUGAAUCGGAUGUCAGAGGAAAGUCCCACAACACUAAUAUUUUCAAAUUGGAAGGAAAAUGAAAAUCCCACGACCAAUUUGUCACUAAAGAGGGCCCACUAUCAUUUGCAAUUGAACUUUCAAAUUUUACUUUGAGGAAUUCUAGUUCAAUUAGGAAAUCCAAUUUCGGGAACCAAUAUCGCUCUGUUGAAUAAUCCCAUGAUUCCUUGAGAAUUAGUAUAAGCUCUUGAAGAUUGGGGAACCUUAUGAAAAUAUCCUCUGUUUCAUUCGAAUAGGAAAGCACGAGUUUCCCUAAUUCUUUCAAGUUCUCUAACUUUGAGUCCUCUGCUAUCAGUAUUGGUUCACCUGUAUCCAUAUCAAAGAAAGAACAAGCCUCAAUGUCCAGCACUCUCAACUUUACAAGAUCCCAAAUUCUCGGUAAUAGUACCAAGGUUGAUCUUUUGUUAGUCACCGACAAGGUUCCGAGAUUCCAGAGAUUUGAGAAAGAUGAAGGUAGAGAUGUAACUUCUGUCCCAAUUCAUAAGAACCUCAAAUGAUUCAACAUGACUAUUUCAUUCAGCAAAGAAUCCUUCACCUUCAUAAAAGAGGGAUCAGUUAUCAACACUUUAAGAAGCCUCAAGUCUCUUAGGUGACAAGCAUCAGAAGGACAAUCUUCCAUCUCGUCUCCAGUUAUCAUCAAAGAAUAGAGGUGUUUACCAGAAUGCCUUUGCAUUUUUGAAUUGAGCAGGAUGAAAUUGUUAGGCCUGAUAUGCUCCUUAUCAUAAAAAAUGGUCACUGUGUGUGGCAUAAAAUCUGAAGAACUUAUCAUGUUAAACAACUUUUCCUCUUUUGCUUUUAUCCAACAAAAGUCAUGCACAAGAUCAUGUAGUUGGCAAGUCGGAGAUCUACCUAUCUCAUUGAAAGCAAUUACCAAGCUACUGGAAAUUAAAUUAUCCAAAUAAAUUUCCAUCGCUUCUUCCAAACUCUUCAUCCCCAUCUGUUCAACGAGCCCUUCAGCACGCCAAUACACUUUCAACCGAUCUAUGUUGAUUUCUUGGUCCUUCUCAAAUGUUGGAAGGUAGAGAAAGCAUGGCUUCAGUUGAUGAGGUAAAUGGUCAUAACUUAAUUCUAUAACCUUCAUCACAUCAACUUCACCAUUCAAAAUAAAAGAAUUGAAAUUAUUUCGAACUUCAAGCCACACGGACUUUAUCUUUUCCCUCCCUGCAAUGACUCCAGCAAUCAUAUCAGCCACCAAAGGAAGUCCCUUACAAUUUUCGGCUAUUUAUUUUCCAACAUCCAAUAGUUCAUCAGGGCAACUCUGAUCUCCAAAUGCUCUUUUCUUUAAUAACUCCCAACUUUCUUCUGGUCUUAGCAACCGAAGGUUAAGAGGAUCAGUGUUUCCCUUUCCAUGAAAAGUCACUUCCUUUUGUCGAGUCGUCAAAAUAAUUCUACUUCCUUUCUCAGCUUCAGGGAAAGGUCUUGUUAGAUCAUCCCAUGUAGUAGUAUCCCACACGUCAUCUAACACAAUUAGAUACCUCUUUCCAUACAAUUGUUUCCUCCGCUUAUCGGCAACAUCAAUAUCCUCACUGGACUUCAAAUCCGCGCCAGUAACCUGAUUGAAAAGUUCCACCAGCAACUUCUUCUCGUCAUAUUCUUGGUCGACAGUGCACCAUGCACGAACGUCGAAAUGACUACAAACUGAUUCAUCAUUGUAUACUUUGUACGCCAAAGUAGUUUUGCCCGAACCCGGCAUACCAAUGAUUGAGAUGACAUCAACAUUUUUCGGUCCACUGGUGAGCUUACUAAUUAACCAGUUUGUUUCCUCCUUAAAACCUACAAUUAUUUUACCAGUUGUCAAUGAUUUUCUUUCAACUGGCUUCUUGGUAGAGUUUACUACAGUGAGGCUGCUGUUCUUGGGAAUCUUCACAGAUAUAUUGGAGACUUCUUCUUUGAUAUGUUUGAUCUUUUUUAUGGUGAUGCGAAGUGAGAAAAUAAGAUGUAAGAGACCAUUGUCUCGAACAAUAAUUGAAUCAAUGACAUCUUUAGCCUCAUAUGCCACAUCUAAAACGCGUGACCUGAGAUCUUUAUACAAUCCUUGCUCAACAUUCUCGAAGAACGAUCUUAUGAAUCGAGGGCUUCUUUCACCAGUCUAAUGUCAUCCUUUAUCAAAGCAAUUGAAUAAGCAUUGGACUCUAGCAGACCAUUCAAGUGGAUGAGUAGAAGAUGCAUGAAGAGCAGUCCAUCAUUCAUGGGGAAGCAACAUUGAUAUGAGUCCGGGGCUUUCAGAUAAACAUAUUUGAGAUCUUCCUUGAGGAGUUCAAUAUUUUUCAGCAAGUCUAGAGCUGCACAAUUUGUUCCAUUCGUACUCUCUUUAUUCCUUGAUUGUUCUUUUAAGUCGUGAACAAGAGUUGAUACCUUCCUGAUGAGUGCUCCAACACGUGCCAAAAGAUCAAACAAUUUGCUAUGAUGAAUAAAGUCCUUCGGCAUAUCAGUAACAAUAACUAAUAGGAACUCUAUCAUGACAUGAAUGUUUCGAGCCCCUGAAGUGCUCGGGGUAAUAACAGUUACCAUGUGCUCUUGUAGAUGAAUCAGAUAUUCUCUCAGAACUUCCAGAGAGAAUUCAAGGAGUUUCUUAAUAAAACGUCUAACUUCUACUGAUGGUGAAGCUUUCAAAUUUGUAUAGCAUAUUUGCAUCACCUCCAGUUCAACUGGAAUGAUCUUCAUGAGUAGAUGUGCUAGCUUGAAGAGUCGAGAGUCUCCAAGUCGA
rnacentral:lncRNA from 1 species